GCAAAGUUAUCUGUGGUACCUAUGAGCUAUUGUUGCGUGUGGGAAGUGGGUGAUUGAACAGUAAGAUUCAUGUGCUUUCUACUUCACCAGAAGUCUUCGACAGAAUGCCCAUAAUUUCCGCAAAGUUGAGUGUGCGUGUGACAGGUGCUGACAAGGCUGGAAAAGUAGGCGCCUCUUCGAUUUCUGAGAUCGGCCCUCGUGGUCUCUGAGCAGCCCAGCUUUUGAGAAAGCGAGCACCUCUUCGAUUGAUUCGGAGAACAAUGCCUCUUCGAUUUUUGAGAAAGCAAUCGCGCUGGGGGUCUGGCUCUCGAGAUUCGGAGAGCGGUGUCUCUUCGAUUUUUAAGAAAGUAAUCAUGUUGGGAGUCUGGCUCUCGAGAUUCGGAGGGCGGUGCCUCUUCGAUUUUGGAGCAAGCAAUCUUGUUGGGAGUGUUUUCUCGAAUGUGAGUAAAGGUUGUGCAUGUUUGCUAGUCUACCUUGCCACGAAGCACAGAGGUUGACACACAUGGACUUUCCAAUUAUCCAGCAAUGGUACUGUUCCUUUACCCUCUCUUCGAUUUUUGAGAAAAUAGUCAUGUUGGGAGUCUAGCUCCCGAGAUUCGGAGGACGGUGCCUCUUCGAUUUUGGAGCAAGCAAUCUUGUUGGGAGUUUUCUCGAAUGUGAGUAAAUGUUGGGCAUGUUUGCUAGUCUACCUUGCCACGAAGCACAGAGGUUGACACACAGGGACUUUCCAAUUAUCCAGCAGUAGUACUGUUCCUUUACCCUUGUGGGUAAUAAUAUGGUAGCUAGGCCUUCAAAAUUUAUGUGUCUAAACUUUGUUAGUGCUGUUUCUUUACUAUUCUUUUACCCUUCUUGGUUAGAGCGAUGUAGUAGGAGCUGCAAGCUUCACGUGCUCAACUUUGGCAAAGUUAUCUGUGGUACCCAUGAGCUAUUGUUGCGUGUGGGAAGUGGGUGAUUGAGCAGUAAGGUUCAUGUGCUUUCUACUUUACCAGAAGUCUUCGACAGAAUGCCCAUAAUUUCCGCAAAGCUGAGUGUGCGUGUGACAGGUGCUGACAAGGCUGGAAAAGUAGGUGCCUCUUCGAUUUCUGAGAUCGGCCCUCGUGGUCUCUGAGUAGCCCAGCUUUUGAGAAAGCGAGCGCCUCUUCGAUUUCUGAGAUUGGCCUUCGUGGUCUUUGAGCAGCCCAGCUUUUGAGAAAGCAAACGCCUCUUCGAUUUCUGAGAUCAACCCUCGUGGUCUCUGAGCAGCCCAGCUUUUGAGAAAGCAAACGUCUCUUCGAUUUCUGAAGCUCCGUCGAGUGCAGAUUUUUAUAGGGGCUGGCAUUAAGUUCUAAAGCACACUUGAAAUCCACCAGUAGAAGCUCCAUUCUUGCACUUCUAAGAUCUUGAUUUGUCUGACCUCUUCUCUCUUCAACACCUUUGAAAAUGUCUGGACCUUCCGACCGUCGUUUUGACUUGAAUCUUGUUGAAGAGGCAGCUCCGCCUUUUCCAGACAACAUAUGGCGCCCAUCUUUCGUCUCCCCUACUGGUCCUCUUACCGUUGGGGAUUCCGUAAUGAAGAAUGAUAUGACCGCUGCGGUGGUGGCCAGGAACCUUCUCACUUCCAAAGAUAACAGACUACUUUCCAAACGGUCUGAUGAGUUAGCUGUUAAGGAUUCGCUGGCUCUCAGUGUUCAGUGUGCAGGUUCUGUGUCUAAUAUGGCCCAACGCCUAUUUGCUCGAACCCGCCAAGUUGAAUCAUUGGCGGCUGAAGUGAUGAGUCUCAAACAGGAGAUUAGAGGGCUUAAGCAUGAGAAUAAACAGUUGCACCGGCUCGCCCAUGACUAUGCUACAAACAUGAAGAGGAAGCUUGACCAGAUGAAGGAAUCUGAUGGUCAGGUUUUACUUGAUCAUCAGAGAUUUGUGGGUUUGUUCCAAAGGCAUUUAUUGCCUUCAUCUUCUGGGGCUGUACCGCGUAAUGAAGCUCCAAAUGAUCAACCUCUGAUGCCUCGUCCUUCUAGGAUUCUGUCCAGUACUGAGGCUCCGAAUGAUCCCCCUCCGGUGCCUUCUCUUUCUGGGGCUCUACCGACUGCUGAGACUUCUCCUAAGCAACCUUUGUGAAGACUCCCUCUUGUUUGUUUAUUUUGACUUAUGUAUAUGUACAUAUUUGUAUCUUAUCGGGAAUAUCAAUAAAUAAGCUUUCCUUCAUUUCAACGUUUGUGUUAAAUACACCAAAGCCUUAUUCGCUAAGUUCUUUGAAUUUUGUUUUAUUGAAGCUUGUAUGUUGAAGCUUUGUGAGUGGAGUAUGUAGGUUGAGGUAGUGUUCCCUUAAUUUCCCGAAUGAGGAAAACUUCUCGGUUGGAGACUUGGAAAAUCCAAGUCACUGAGUGGGAUCGGCUAUAUGAAUCUUAGAACGCCAUUGUGCUCGGUCCUGUGUCAUGUCCUUCAUUAGAUCCAAGUACUCUAAGUCUUUUCUUAGAGUCUCUUCCAAAGUUUUCCUAGGUCUUCCUCUACCCCUUCGGCCCUGAACCUCUGUCCCAUAGUUGCAUCUUCUAAUCGGAGCGUCAGUAGGCCUUCUUUGCACAUGUCCAAACCACCGUAACCGAUUUUCUCUCAUCUUUCCUUCAAUUUCGGCUACUCCUACUUUACCCCGGAUAUCCUCAUUCCUAAUCUUAUCAUUUCUCGUGUGCCCACACAUCCAACGAAGCAUCCUCAUCUCCGCUACACCCAUUUUGUGUACGUGUUGAUGCUUCACCGCCCAACAUUCUGUGCCAUACAGCAUCACCGGCCUUAUUGCCGUCCUAUAAAAUUUUCCCUUGAGCUUCAGUGGCAUACGGCGGUCACAUAACACGCCGGAUGCACUCUUCCACUUCAUCCAUCCUGCUUGUAUUCUAUGGUUGAGAUCUCCAUCUAAUUCUCCGUUCUUUUGCAAGAUAGAUCCUAGGUAACGAAAACGGUCGCUCUUUGGUAUUUCUUGAUCUCCGAUCCUCACCCCUAACUCGUUUUGGCCUCCAUUUGCACUGAACUUGCACUCCAUAUAUUCUGUCUUUGAUCGGCUUAGGCGAAGACCUUUAGAUUCCAACACUUCUCUACAAAGGUUAAGCUUUGCAUUUACCCCUUCCUGAGUUUCAUCUAUCAACACUAUAUCGUCUGCGAAAAGCAUACACCAAGGAAUAUCAUCUUGAAUAUGUCAUGUUAACUCAUCCAUUACCAACGCAAAAAGGUAAGGACUUAAGGAUGAGCCUUGAUGUAAUCCUACAGUUAUGAUGAAGCUUUCGGUUUGUCCUUCAUGAGAUCUUACGGCAGUCUUUGCUCCUUCAUACAUAUCCUUUAUAGCUUGGAUAUAUGCUACUCGUACUCCUUUCUUCUCUAAAAUCCUCCAAAGAAUGUCUCUUGGGACCCUAUCAUACGCUUUUUCCAAAUCUAUAAAGACCAUGUGUAAAUCCUUUUUCCCAUCUCUAUAUCUUUCCAUCAAUCUUCGUAAGAGAUAGAUUGCCUCCAUGGUUGAGCGCCCUGGCAUGAACCCGAAUUGGUUGUCCGAAACCCGUGUCUCUUGCCUCAAUCUAUGCUCAAUGACUCUCUCCCAGAGCUUCAUUGUAUGACUCAUUAGCUUAAUACCCCUAUAGUUCAUGCAAUUUUGUACGUCGCCCUUAUUCUUGUAGAUAGGCACCAAAGUGCUCGUUCGCCACUCAUUUGGCAUCUUCUUCGUUUUCAAAAUCCUAUUGAAGAGGUCAGUGAGCCAUGUUAUACAUGUCUCUCCCAAAACUUUCCACACUUCGAUUGGUAUAUUGUCUGGGCCUAUUGCUUUUCUAUGCUUCAUCUUCUUCAAAGCUACAACCACUUCUUCCUUCCGGAUUCGACGAUAAAAAGAGUAGUUUCUACACUCUUCUGAGUUACUCAACUCCCCUAAAGAAGCACUCCUUUCAUGUCCUUCAUUGAAAAGAUUAUGAAAAUAACCUUUCCAUCUGUCUUUAACCGCGUUCUCUGUAGCAAGAACCUUUCCAUCCUCAUCCUUGAUGCACCUCACUUGGUUUAGGUCCCUUGUCUUCUUUUCCCUUGCUCUAGCUAGUUUAUAGAUAUCCAACUCUCCUUCUUUGGUAUCUAGUCGUUUAUACAUAUCGUCGUAAGCCGCUAACUUAGCUUUUCUCACAGCUUUCUUCGCCUCUUGCUUCGCUUUUCUAUACCUUUCACCAUUUUCAUCGGUCCUAUCCUUGUAUAAGGCUUUACAACAUUCCUUCUUAGCCUUCACCUUUGUUUGUACCUCUUCAUUCCACCACCAAGAUUCCUUUUGGUGUGGGGCAAAGCCCUUGGACUCUCCUAAUACCUCUUUUGCUACUUUUCGGAUACAACUAGCCAUGGAAUCCCACAUUUGGCUAGCUUCCCCCUCUCUAUCCCACACACAUUGGGUGAUUACUUUCUAUGCAAAUAGGGGCAAAUAGGGGCAAAAUCACAUGAAAUACAUGAAAUACUGAGAAAUAGAAGAAAAAAAAUUAGAAUUUUUAAGAUUUUUUUAGAAUUUUUACCAUCUAUGCAAAUAGGGGCAAAAUCACAUGAAAUACUUGGAAGAAUACAAAGAUGUUGUAGUAUAGAUGCUCAUGCCAGGUCGUUCUCCUCAAGAACUAUUUUAAUAAUUUAUGUAAAAACAAUUUGUAAUCAACUACUGAGAAUUAAAACUUGAGAAAAGGGAUUCUGAAAUUGGGUAAUAUUAAAAACAAAUUUUAAUUAAAAACUAAUAUGACAAAAGAAAAGAGUUUUAAAUACCAAUUUAUAAUAGCACUAGGGUUCCAUCAUCACCUAGUAAUCUUACGAAUUUCUACCAAUUACUCAUGAUUUACACAUGCCACUGUGAAGGUUAGGUUUUCCUAAUAUAUAUUCUCCUUGUGAUAUUCAAGCAAGAACGUAUAUCUAAUAUGCAAUCCGUCUGUGAUAUUCAGAUCAAAUAUAAACAUGCGAGACUCAUUAAGUUUUAUGAAAACCUUUUGAAGAACCAUGCAACCCCUAAGAGCGUGAUGUUCGCCUUAGAUGAAAUUACAAUUAUCAAUCACAAGAAGCAAUACUCAAUCCUCUGAUGAUAUUCCGACCGAAUUGCAUCCAAUCACUUGUCUAAACAUCCUACUGGUGGUCAAUCAUCAAGACAAUUAGAUAGUUUAAAACAGUGAUCAAUAAUUCAAAGUGUGCAUGCAAUCAAUCAUAAGCAAUUUAAUAAAAAUUACAUAUUCAUGUUAAGGCUUAAGGCUUCGCUCUAGCAAGAGGAAUUAGUUACGCAUAUUCAUAAUUGAAAUCAUAGAAAAUAUUAUUAAAAAUAAAAGGAAUGAAGGCACCUUAAAGUAGACAAUCUCCAAUAACCCUAGCAAAGUUCUUUGUCUCUGAAGUUGAAUAAUAAUAAGCGUACCUAAAAAUUGUAGACGGCAAAGCAAUAUAUUUGCUAAGGAACAAAAUGCCGAUAAUAUCGGCAAUAUAUCGCCAAUAUUAUCGGUUUUUCACCGGACCGAUAGUUUAAUAGGUAUCCAAGAGAUUUUCGUCAAAAUAUCGCGAUAUUUUAAAAUAAUAUCGCGAAAUUUCGGAACUGUGCAAGUCGAAGACGAACGCCGGAGCUUCUACAGCUCCGACCGACUGUAAAAUAGCCCUUUAGACUCCGAUCUAGGUAUGAAAAUGAAAUAGAAGACGAGAGGAACGUUUUUAUAACGUCCGUUUGCCGUGAAACGGUCGGAGGUGUUCGGAAAGUUCGUCGACACCCACGGCCUCGCCGGAGAUGGGUGUGCCUAUUCCUAAGCCGAUUUCAUCCCAAAAACCUUGCAAAAACACGAGAUAGAACUUCAAUUUCACAUCUAAGCUUCGAUCUAGAACAGAAAAAGAAAAACCCGAAGCUUACCUAACCGGAGAAAUUGAAGGAACUCGCCGAAGCAGGUGCGAUGGUGUGCGUGUGGGUCUUGGUGCAGAGAGAAAUGAGAGGUGUAUGUGGGUCUCAGUGCAAAGAGAAAGUAGAGGGAUGAGCAAAAGGCCGUGGUGUGUGUGUGGGUCUCGGUGCAGAGAGAAAGGAUAAGUGUAUGUGGGUCUCGGUGCAGAGAGAAAUGAGAGGGAUGAGCAAAAGGUCGUGGUGUGUGUGUGGGAGAAAGGAGAAGAGAGAUCGAGAGAUCUGUGUAUAUGUGUGUGGGAGAAGGGAGAAGAAAGAUCGAGAGAUCUCUGUGUGUGUGGGGGGAGUGGAGAAUUGAGAGAAUAGAGAAGGAUCGAGAGAGAGAGACAGAGGUCUCUGUGUGUCUGCGUGUGUGAUGUUUGUGUGCGUGCAUUGUGUGCAUGUGUGGUUGCGUGCGUUGUGUGUGUGUGAGGUUCCUCUUGUCAGGAGGACACAUGACUCACUCAGGAUUCCUGACAACUUUUACAAUUAUUUUGACAAUUUCAGACCACUUUUACAAUUAUAACUUGUACAAUUUUAGACCAUGGAUGGUGGUUUCAUUCAAAACCGUGUGCCACUGUGAUAUUCUUUCAAGAGGUGGAGUAUCAGAGCCAUUCAAAGCAUUUUCUUUCUUCUUCUUCCCUUACCCCUUUCAAAGCUGCCACUGUGAUAUUCUUUCAAGAGGUAGAGUAUCAGAGCCAUUCAGAGCAUUUUCGUUUCUUCUUCUUCCCUUACCCCUUUCAAAGCCAUUCCAGAUCCAUUCCAGAGCUUGAACACAAGAGUUCCAUAUUUAAAGUAAGUUUACAAACUUAUAUUUAUAUUAUUGUAAUUUAUACAACAACAAAAAAAAAUUUGUGGACUCAUAUGUUAAUUUUUUUAAGUAAUUAGUACUUGCAUGUUAGUUUUUGUAAGUAAUUAAGUAAUGUUAACAAUUACAUGUUAAUUUUUUUAAGUAAUUAAGUAAUGUUGUAUAAUUAUUCCCUAGGAUAAUUUUAAUAUGUUUAAUGUUAUUUAUUAUUUUAUUAAUAUUAGGUUUUAUUAUCAAAUUGGAUUAUUAUUCAUUAAUAUUAGGUUUUUUUUAUUAUCAAAUUGGAUUAUUAUUCCUUAAAUUGGAUUAUUAUUCAUCACUAUGUUUUAUAUUAGGAUUAUUUUUUUAUCAAAUUGGAUUAUUAUUCAUUAAUAUUAUAUUUUAUUAUUCCAUAUUAUUUUUAUAAUUAUUCAAAUUUUAAAAUCAUUUCUUUACUUCGUAUUUAAUUCUUCUGUAGAAUAACUUUAUUAUUUAGGUUCUCUUAUAUAACCGUCAUCACUACUAUAUUUUUUGGCCAAAAAAUAAUUGUCUAAUUUUCAUGAAAAAUAAAUAUAGGUACGUUUAAGAUGUCCAGUGGAGUUACUAAACGUGAUCCAGCUUGGGAACAUGGAGACCCAAUAGACGGAAACAAACAUGGCACAAUUUGCAAAUAUUGUGGUCGGGUAAUGAAGAGUGCCGGAGUGACACGACUUAAGUACCAUCUUAGUGGAUUAGAUCCAGCAAAAAAUGUUCAACGAUGCGAUAAUGUCCCCCCAGAAGUGAAGGCAUUCAUCAGCACAUUAUUAAAAAAUAAAAAAACAGCAGAAGGAAAAGAUAACACGUGGAAUGAAAAAUAUUCGAGCUGAGCUACGAGGAGAAGUCUAUGGCCAAGUGGUUAACAGUGAUGAUGAUGACGAUGAGGACGAAUGUGAUGAUGACAUGGGACCUGAAGAACGAUGCAAUUUGAAACAAGCAUUACGUGCCUCCAAACAGUCAGCAUGGGAAAGAGAACACCUUUAUAAAAUUCCUAAUAGAGCACAAUGUUCCGGGACAAGUGGUGGUGCACAAAUGAGACGAGGAGGCAGUCUUAGAGAAUCACAACCAACACCACCAAUAGCCCCAAGUUUAUAUAAGUCAUCCAAAGCACGUCAAAAGAGUGUCUGGAGUUAUUUCACUGGAGGUAAUGUGAAGGAGGGAAUGGGGCGUCUAAUUAGCAAGUUCUUUAUCUAUGAAAAUGUCCCUGCUGAGAAAGCAUCAUCACAUCAUUUAAAAAAUAUGGUAGUGGGAUGUCAACAGGCUGGUGUUGGAGUACAACCUCCUACUCCCUAUGAGAUAAGAAACAAAUAUUUGGAUAUGGAGUAUAAAGACAUUGGCGAAUAUGUUAACAAGUUGAGGUCAAAGUGGGAAACUAAUGGUUGCACAAUCAUGUGUGACGGAUGGACCGGCCCGAUCAGAUUGUCUAUCAUAAACUUCAUGGUAUACUCCAAAGGAAAGACAAUUUUUUUUAAGUCUGUUAAUGCUUCAGACCAUAUAAAGAACUACAAGUAUAUUUACAAAUUAUUGAGGGAUGUAAUCAUGGAGGUGGGAGAGCAUAAUGUUGUCCAAGUCGUGAUCGACAACGGUUCUGCAUUUGUCAAAGCUGGAAAAAAGUUAAUGAAGCAUCAUAAUAUGUUUUGGACAUCAUGUGCAGUACAUUGUAUUGAUCUCAUGUUUGAGGCAAUGGGGAAGAGAGAGAAUGUUGCUACUGUGGUAAAAAGAGCUAGAACGAUCACAAAUUAUAUUUACAAUCACGGUUGGUUGUUGGCAAAGAUGCGUGAAUUUUGCAAAGGAGAAAUUAUUCGUCCAGCUACCACUCGAUUCGCCACCAACUAUAUUGCAUUAGACAACCUACUUAAGAAGAAAGCAGGGUUGAAGCAACUAUUCACUAGCGACGAUUGGGCCAACCACAAUUUCAGCCGCUCAAAUGCAGGUCGUAUGGUGGAAAGUAUAGUGCUUGAUCAUGCUUUUUGGACUCAAUCAGAACAUGUGUGCCAAGUGUUUGAACCUCUUUACAAAGUUUUACGGAUCGUUGACACAGAAGUGUAUCCUACUAUGGGGGCAAUAUAUGAGUUGAUGCGUGUAAUAAAGGAUGGAUUGGAAAGAAAAUAUGGUGCAAGGUGGGUCAUAAAGAUAAUUGAAGACCGAUGGUAUAAAACAUUAUACCACGAUUUGCAUGCAGCAGAUAUAAAUUAUGUCAUAAUUUGCAAUUCAUUUCUUUAGUUGCAUAAGUAUUAAUUCUCUUAUUAGAGUAUGUGUUUCUUUGAACAGCAUAUUAUUUGAAUCCUCGAUACCAAUAUAGACCUGGUGUUGGAGAUGAUGGUACCCUUAUACGUGCUGUACAUAAUGUAUACUCUAAAUUAGACCCUGCAUCACCAGCAGUUGGCCAAUUUGGAAAUAAGGUACACAAUUACUUAAAUUAUAAUAAUUACUUUGUGGAUUAAACUAACACGAUUUAUUGAAUUCAGCUAACAUGGUUUAAAGAUGCAAGAAGAACUUUUGGAGAACCAACAUCAGUUGCUGCUCGAACAAAAAUGUCUCCUAGUGAGUGUAAACAUAUUUCACGAUAAGUUUAUAAUAGAAUUUGUUGGAGUUAUUAGGCUUAUCAACAUUGUUUUUCAUUGUAGCUAAAUGGUGGAUAAUGUAUGGGACCGAUGCACCAACUGUGAGAAAGUUAGCAAUCAAAGUAUUAUCACAAACAACUUCCUCAUCUGCUUGUGAAAGAAAUUGGAGCACAUUUGCACUCAUACACACAAAGCAAAGAAAUAGGUUGGCUCAUAGUAGGUUGGAAAAAUUAGUUUAUUGCUACUACAACAUGAAGCUUCAAAUUCGAGAUAAGAAAGCAGAAAUAAAUCAUGUCGACCGUGGUGACCCACUAGAUGUGUUUGAUAUUGUUGCUGAAGAUGAUGAUACAGAGGGUAACCAACUUUAUCAAUGGAUUAGACCUCUUCAUUUAGAUGAUGUUGAAGGCAACCCAGCUCCCAGAGUUGCUGAAAAAGCACAUAAUGAAAGGAUAAAUGUAGAAAGAGUAUUAGCGGAGGAGGUGGGAUCUAGUAGCGCUGACUAUUUGGAAGAACUUUUGCGCCCAAGACUAAGAAACACUGGAAUUCCACCUUCUUCCAAUCCUACACAACCACAACAUCCUGCUGAUACUAAUGAUAGCUCUAGUACAAGAUCAGGAUGAGACUCACCUACCACAGGAGGUGGGAAUGAUGAAGGAUAUAGUGGAGCUGGAGGUAGUGGUGGUGGAUAUGGAAACUAUGUUGAACCACCUCCCGGAUUUAUGAGCACCUUCACUGGUAAGGCAAACUUCACGCAUGCAACACAGGAUGAGGACCAUGGCAGUAGGCGGGCAGGACCAGGAAUUGGUGCCAUAGGGAAGGACUAUACUCGUAGAGAAAGAGGCAGGGGGAUUUUGUCAGGUCAAGAAGAUGACUCGUUAUCCAUAACUUCGGACUCUGUUAGAUUGGGAAGUAGUAACUAUGGUUAUACUCAUAACCAACCAUUUCCCUACCCUUCAUAUCCGAUUCAUGUUGGGAUGGAAUCGAGUGACUCAUGGAAACAAUCCGAGACUCAAUCUUCAAAUGAUUUUGCUUAUGGACAAGGUCAACCAAUCUCGGAUCCACAUGGGUGGCAUGUUAACAAUCACAUGCAAAACUAUUUUGGGGAUUUAUCAUUUGAUAAUUACUCUUCACAAUACACUCACUCUACACAUAGAGAUGAUGAAGAUAGUGAAAAAUUUGAACCUCAUAGGAACUCUAUGUGGUACUAAGUCACUCAUAUCUUACCAUACAAUGUAUAAAGUGUAAAAUAUUGUACUAAUUCAUUAUAUAUAAAUUAUUAUGGUGUGUUUAAACUUCUUUCAUUAAUUACUUCAUAUUUUCUACACUCACAAUGUUUGCCAGCUUGCUAUAUAAUCAACUUGAUAAUGUUAAAUCCAUCAUGCAAUGCAUUUCCUUCCAAUUUUUUGUGAUAAACUAAUAGAUAAUUGACUAAAUAAACAUCCUGCAAAGUUUCAAUAAAAAUUUCCAAGUUUUUCUUACAAUUUCCGUGGUUUCCAUAUUAUUUUUAUCGAUAUCGAUAUUAUCCCGAUAUUUCCGUGUUUUCGGACUACCGAUAUUUCCGAUAUUAUCGAUAUUUAAUACCUUGAUAUUUGCUAAGCUAUCGCACAAACCCUAAGACAUAGGUCUCUAAUUCCAACUAGGAAACUAAAUAAUAAUAAAAUAGCUUAGAAAAUAAAGUCAUAAUUAAACUAAGAGAAUCUGCCGGGUAACUAUACAGCCACGUUUUAGUCUCAGAUAUCCUCCAAAUCCGGCCCAUGAUAGCUUGUUUUGAAGAUCAAGACCUUCUGAACACAUCUCCAGAAGGCCACGAAUCAAUCCGAGGUCAUCUUAGGCUCCAAAAACGUAAUUCAAGCCCCAAACGUCACUAUUUCAGCACUGUGCAUAGCUCCUUUAUUUUAUUGCCAGAAAAUAACCGCUUGAUAGAAAAAUCUAAUAUUUUGAUACAAUCAAGCCAAGUGAUUUAUAAAUGUCCUCCAACUGGAAUUACUCCAAAAUUCAUCAAUUUGACCAUGUUUUGCUCCAGAGGAAGUUGAAAGUACUAUAUUAGAAAUACAAUUCAAAGUAUCAAAAUUCUUCUUAAAUAUUAACCAAAAUAUACUAAGAAUAAGGUUUAAUAUAUAAUAUAAAAUUCACUUAUCAAGCUUCAUCUGAAAAUACUAAGACCCUAAGAGAUCUCUAGAUUUUUUAUAACUAUUUACGAAAAUCCAAACUUUGUAACUAAGUAACCAAAAACUCCAAAUUUAACAUAAAUACAAAUAAUUUCCCGAAAAUUCAAAAUACGACAAAUUGAAUAAUGAAAUCCUGUUUUGGGAUUUCACACGGUCCCACUCUUGCCACUUCAUCAGUAUGAGGGAAGACUCUUUGACUGGGGACUAAAUCACCGUUGGAUGGAGGAGACCCUUCGACACAUGAUACACCACCUUUCCCAAGUGAUCAGCUCCCUAAUAACUUACUCUCUAGUGGUUGGUGCACUACUAAGACCACCAGACUAGUGUGCCCUGCUGAGGCCACAAAACCAAGUUGCUCUAUAGACAACCACCUCCCCAAGUGCCCUACAGACGACCAGCUCACCAGGUGCUCUACAGACGACUACCUCCAGGUGUUCUACAGACGACCACCUUCAUAGUUACUCUACAGACGACCACCUCCCCAAGUGCUCUAUAGACGAUCACCUUUUCAGAGCGCUCUACAUGUCGACUACCAUUAAAUGAAGACUAUUUGAUCAAGGCUAGAUAUUUGUUGGUCUAUAUAUUUAUUGGGUGGGUUCGAAAAAACCACAUCAGAUUUUCUUUGAGACCACACACUUGACCUUUCUUAGGAAGGUAUGGUUUGCCUAUAUAUUGAAAAAGAAAGCAUGGGGAAGGGGGGAAGGAUAUGGAAGAGGUCUACGGGCCUUUGGCAUCUCCAUGCCAACCAAAGAGCUUUGAGCCAUUUUCUGUAAUAUUUAACUUCACACAAAUAUAUAUACACACAUAUACUCCAAUGGAUGUAGCCAUGUUUAUGGGUAAACCUUUCACACUAUAUAUCCUUGUGUUGAUCCUACUUUACCUCACAUUAAAUCUCUCAUGCAUCCUCUAAGUUAGCCUUACUAGUGAUGAGAGUAGCCCACGCCCAUCCAGGGUUGACCUUCCAAUUUUGUGCGUUAACAAUAUCAUACUUAAUGUCUUUUAGAAACUUUAACACAAUUGUUGUUCCCUAGGGCCUUAUGAUUUAGAGUCAUCUAUUGUAAGGACAUGGCCAUAGUACUUUGAGAGAUAAGCGCUGAUCAACUAUAAGCAUCGUAGUAAGGCUUAAAUUGUCUUGAGGAGAAAGAACCAAGUUAUUGUCUCGACCUAAUUUUCAAUUUUUUUUCUAAUUCAAUUUCAUGUGCAUUAGAUUAUGUUUUGAUUAUGAGUAUGCAUUAAGUUGUGGAUUUAAUUGCAUGAAUCAUUUAGUGUCUUUCUAUGUGAUUAAUAUAGCAAUUAAGCCUUCCAACAAUUUCAACAAUCUAACCCUCCGCCUUUUAGGUUUUUUCUUAAAGAUCAUAUUUACCAAAAAUCAUCUAAAUUUGAAAUCAUUUGAUCCAUUAGAUUAAAUGGUAGUCACAUUAGUGUUUCUUUAAAAAAUUGUACUUGUCUUCACUACAAUUGAAUAUGUUAAUAGUUUUGGAUUUUUGUCUAGUUUUUUUUUAAAUAAUGAUAUAUAAAUGAUGUACUAAGAUAUAUAUGAUUUAGAUCCUUAAAAAAUGUUAUAGAAUGAUCAUGGCAAGAUGCCCGUAAAAUGGGCUUAUUUGGCAUAUUUGUUAUUUGCAGAACCUCUCAAAGGGGACAUUAUUGCCUCUCUCCCCCCACACACAAACACAUGGGAAUAGUAAAGGAACCACAACGUUCCACUAGUAGUAAUACUUUUCUUUUCCUUACUUUCGAUCCCUAUCUUUACCGUUUUAUCUUUCUCCUUUAAUGGGUAUCCUAAAAAGGUCGAGCAUGCAAAUGUUUGAAGAACAAAGGUUAUAGUAGUACGGCUAUGAAAACCCUAAAACGCACAAUGCAGGUACCAAAAGUAAAGAGCUUAAGAGGGUGCGCACUUCACAUGAUGAGGGGCCAUUUCCCUUGAUCACCUGACGUCUCUCUGAGUUGGGGUCAUUAAAAAUUUAUCAUGUUAAAAAUAAAAUUAUGAAUAGUUAAUAUAGGAUGUUAAUUAAAGUAUUAAAAAUAGUAUCUACAUACAAAAGACAACAGAAAGAAAAAACACGAAAGAAGGAGAACAAUUCCUAACAAAAUCUUUUUUUUUUAAAUCUUGGGAUUUUUUGUUUAGGAAGAUCUCUUCGUAAUAGUGACACUUUAAGCAUUUUAAACGUUGAACCCCAAUUACCUUAAUUAACUAAAGAACAUCGCUUGUUGGUGAUGGAUGUACAUAUCAAAAGAGUGAGAAAAAAGAACAAGACUUGGAAGUGCCCAAGGACUAGAUGGUGGAAUCUAAAAGAAGAAAAACAAGCCAUUUUCAAAGAGAAAGUAAUCACCCAGUGUGUGUGGGAUAGAGAGGGGGAAGCUAACCAAAUGUGGGAUUCCAUGACUAGUUGUAUCCGAAAAGUAGCAAAAGAGGUAUUAGGAGAGUCCAAGGGCUUUGCCCCACACCAAAAGGAAUCUUGGUGGUGGAAUGAGGAGGUACAAGCAAAGGUGAAGGCUAAGAAGGAAUGUUGUAAAGCCUUAUACAAGGAUAGGACCGAUGAAAAUGGUGAAAGGUAUAGAAAAGCGAAGCAAGAGGCGAAGAAAGCUGUGAGAGAAGCUAAGUUAGCGGCUUAUGACGAUAUGUAUAAGCGACUAGAUACCAAAGAAGGAGAGUUGGAUAUCUAUAAACUAUCUAGAGCAAGGGAAAAGAAGACAAAGGACAUAAACCAAGUGAGGUGCAUCAAGGAUGAGGAUGGAAAGGUUCUUGCUACAGAGAACGCGGUUAAGACAGAUGGAAAUGUUAUUUUCAUAAUCUUUUCAAUGAAGGACAUGAAAGGAGUGUUUCUUUAGGGGAGUUGAGUAACUCAGAAGAGUGUAGAAACUACUCUUUUUAUCGUAGAAUCCGGAAGGAAGAAGUGGGUGUAGCUUUGAAGAAGAUGAAGCAUAGAAAAACAGUAGGCCCAGACGAUAUACCAAUCGAAGUGUGGAAAGUUUUGGGAGAUACAGGUAUAACAUGGCUCACUGACAUUUUCAAUAGGAUUUUGAAAACGAAGAAGAUGCCGAAUGAGUGGCGAAUGAGCACUUUGGUGCCUAUCUACAAGAAUAAGGGCGAUGUACAAAAUUGCAUGAACUAUAGGGGAAUUAAGCUAAUGAGUCAUACAAUGAAGCUCUGGGAGAGAGUCAUUGAGCAUAGAUUGAGGCAAGAGACACGGGUUUCGGACAACCAAUUCGGGUUCAUGCCAGGGCGCUCAACCAUGGAGGCAAUCUAUCUCUUACGAAGAUUGAUGGAAAGAUAUAGAGAUGGGAAAAAGGAUUUACACAUGGUCUUUAUAGAUUUGGAAAAAGCGUAUGAUAGGGUCCCAAGAGACAUUCUUUGGAGGAUUUUAGAGAAGAAAGGAGUACGAGUAGCAUAUAUCCAAGCUAUACAGGAUAUGUAUGAAGGAGCAAAGACUGCCGUAAGAACUCAUGAAGGACAAAACCGAAAGCUUUCCCAUAACUGUAGGAUUACAUCAAGGCUCAUCCUUAAGUCCUUACCUUUUUUGCGUUGGUAAUGGAUGAGUUAACAGGACAUAUUCAAGGUGAUAUUCCUUGGUGUAUGCUUUUCGCAGACGAUAUAGUGUUGAUAGAUGAAACUCAGGAAGGGGUAAAUGCAAAGCUUAACCUUUGGAGAGAAGUGUUGGAAUCUAAAGGUCUUCGCCUAAGCCGAUCAAAGACAGAAUAUAUGGAGUGCAAGUUCAGUGCAAAUGGAGGCCAAAACGAGUUAGGGGUGAGGAUCGGAGAUCAAGAAAUACCAAAGAGCGACCGUUUUCGUUACCUAGGAUCUAUCUUGCAAAAGAACGGAGAAUUAGAUGGAGAUCUCAACCAUAGAAUACAAGCUGGAUGGAUGAAGUGGAAAGAGUGCAUCCGGCGUGUUGUGUGACCGCCGUAUGCCACUGAAGCUCAAGGGAAAAUUUUAUAGGACGGCAAUAAGGCCGGCGAUGCUGUAUGGCACAAAAUGUUGGGCGGUGAAGCAUCAACACGUACACAAAAUGGGUGUAGCGGAGAUGAGGAUGCUUCGUUGGAUGUGUGGGCACACGAGAAAGGAUAAGAUUAGGAAUGAGGAUAUCCGGGGUAAAGUAAGAGUAGCCGAAAUUGAAGGAAAGAUGAGAGAAAAUCGGUUACGGUGGUUUGGACAUGUGCAAAGAAGGCCUACUGACGCUCCGAUUAGAAGAUGCGACUAUGGGACAGAGGUUCAGGGCCGAAGGGGCAGAGGAAGACCUAGGAAAACUUUGGAAGAGACCCUAAGAAAAGACUUAGAGUACUUGGAUCUAACGGAGGACAUGACACAGGACAGAACACAAUGGCGUUCUAAGAUUCAUAUAGCCGAUCCCACUCAGUGACUUGGAUUUUCCAAGUCUCCAACCGAGAAGUUUUCCUCACUCGGGAAAUUAAGGGAACACUACCUCAACCUAUAUGCUCCACUCACAAAACUUCAACAUACAAGCUUCAACAAAAGAAAAUUCAAAGAACUUAGCGAAGAAGGCUUUGGUGUAUUUAACACAAUACGUUGAAAUGAAGGAAAACUUAUUUAUUGAUAUCCCCGAUAAGUUACAAAUAUGUACAUAUACUUGAGUCAAAAUAAAAACAAACAAGAGGGAGCCUUCACAAAGGUUGCUUAGGAGAAGUCUCAGCAGUCGGUAGAGCCCCAGAAAGAGAAGGCACCGGAGGGGGAUCAUUCGGAGCCUCAGUACUGGACAAAACCCUAGAAGGAGGAGGCAUCAGAGAUUGAUCAUUUGGAACUUCAUUACGCGGUACAGCCCCAGAAGACGAAAGGCGAAGGAAUAAAUGCCUUUGGAACAAACCCACAAAUCUCUGAUGAUCAAGUAAAACCUGACCAUCAGAUUCCUUCAUCUGGUCAAGCUUCCUCUUCAUGUUUGUAGCAUAGUCAUGUGCGAGCCGGUGCAACUGUUUAUUCUCAUGCUUGAGCCCUCUAAUCUCCUGUUUGAGACUCAUCACUUCAGCCGCCAAUGAUUCAACUUGGCGGGUUCGAGCAAAUAGGCGUUGGGCCAUAUUAGACACAGAACCUGCACACUGAACACUGAGAGCCAGAGAAUCCUUAACAGACAACUCAUCAGACCGUUUGGAAAGUAGUCUGUUAUCUUUGGGAGUAAGAAGGUUCCUGGCCACUACCGCAGCGGUCAUAUCAUUCUUCAUCACGGAAUCCCCAACGGUAAGAGGACCAGUAGGGGAGACGAAGGAUGGGCGCCAUAUGUUGUCUGGAGAAGGCGGGGCUGCCUCUUCAACAAGGUUCAAGUCAAAACGACGGUCGGAGGGGCCAGACAUUUUCAAAGGUGUUGAAGAGAGAAGAGGUCGGACAAAUCAAGAUCUUAGAAGUGCAAGAAUGGAGCUUCUACUGGUGGAUAUUCAAGUGUGCUUUGGAACUUAAUGUCAGCCCCUAUAAAAAUCUGCACUCGACGAAGCUUCAGAAAUCGAAGAGGCGCCUGCUCAGAAAUCGAAGAGGCGUUUGCUUUCUCAAAAGCUGGGCUGCUCAGAGACCACGAGGGUCGAUCUCAGAAAUCGAAGAGGUGUUUGCUUUCUCAAAAGCUGGGCUGCUCAAAGACCACAAAGGCCGAUCUCAUAAAUCGAAGAGGCUUGCUUUCUCAAAAGCUGGGCUGCUCAGAGACCACGAGGGCCGAUUUCAGAAAUCGAAGAGGCACCUACUUUUCCAGCCUUGUCAGCACCUGUCACACGCACACUCAACUUUGAGGAAAUUAUGGGCAUUCUGUCGAAGAUUUCUGGCGAAGUAGAAAGCACAUGAAUCGUACUGUUCAAUCACCCACUUCCCACACGCAACAGUAGCUCAUGGGUACCACAGAUAACUUUGCCAAAGUUCUCUGACAAAGUUGAGACACGUGAAGCUUGCAGCUCCCACUACAUCGCUCUGACCAAGAAGGGUAAAAGAAUUGCAAAGAAACAACACUAACAAAGUUUAGACACAUAAAUUUUAAAGGUCUAGCUACCAUAUUAUUACCCACAAGGGUAAAGGAACAGUACCACUGCUGGAUAAUUGGAAAGUCCCGGUGUGUCAACCUCUGUGCUUCGUGGCAAGGUAGACUAGCAAACAUGCCUAACCUUUACUCACAUUCGAGAAAACACUCCUAACAAGAUUGCUUGCUCCAAAAUCGAAGAGGCACCGCCCUCCGAAUCUCGAGAGCCAGACUCCCAACAUGAUUACUUUCUCAAAAAAUUGAAGAGAGGGUAAAGGAACAGUACCACUGCUGGAUAAUUGGAAAGUCCCUGUGUGUGUCAACCUUUGUGCUUCGUGGCAAGGUAGACUAGCAAACAUGCCCAACCUUUACUCACAUUCAAGAAAACACUCCCAACAAGAUUGCUUGCUCCAAAAUCGAAGAGGCACCCGCCCUCCGAAUCUCGAGAGCCAGACUCCCAACAUGAUUACUUUCUCAAAAUCGAAGAGAGGGUAAAGGAACAGUACCACUGCUGGAUAAUUGGAAAGUCCCUGUGUGUCAACCUCUGUGCUUCGUGGCAAGGUAGACUAGCAAACAUGCCCAACCUUUACUCACAUUCGAGAAAACACUCCCAACAAGAUUGCUUACUCCAAAAUCGAAGAGGCACGGCCCUCCGAAUCUCGAGAGCCAGACUCCCAACAUGAUUGAUUACUUUCUCUCAAAAAUCGAAGAGACACCGCUCUCCGAAUCUCGAGAGCCAUACCCCCAGCAGGAUUGCUUUCUCAAAAAUCGAAGAGGCAUCGUUCUCCGAAUCUCGAGAGCCAGACCCCCGACAGGUCUGUAAUCUUCACACGCAACAUCAGCUUUCCAGAUACCACAAACCACUUUUUCAAAGUGCUCUGACAGAAUUAAAACAUGUGAAGCUGACAGCUCCCACUACCGUGCUAUAACCAAGCAGGGUAAAGGAAUAGCAUUAUUACUUGAUGUUAGGGAGACUCCUAUAUAUGUCGACUUCCAUCCCUAACGGACAGGCAGACCUGCAAAAAUGCUCAACCCUUUCUCUUAUCUGAGAGGGCACUCCCAACAAAAGCCUUUCGAAAAUAUUCAGCUUUCUUUCCCCCCGAUAAUACCUCUGUAAACAAGCUAUACUAGAGCAAGAAUAUCUCAUAUCAUCAGGGUUAAAAGCAAGAGUAUCCCAUAUCAUGCUUUUUCCCUGUCUUUUCCUUUGGCCUUGUUCUUACCUGCAAGACAAGGAGAAAGAGAGCAAUCAAUCAACACUUGGAAUCAAGCUUCCAGCCAGGAACUGACUGCCUGGAACCCCUUACCUGAUUACUUACCUGGCAUUGCUCUCGAGUACUCAUCUUCAACAUCUUAUGUUUCCAGGGAAGAUACCGCAUCUGCCUGAGGAACAGAUAGGGCAAGUGAGAAGGAUACAAGGAAGCAUGUGGAGACAAGCGUAACAGCACACGUGCCGAUACAUCCACUACUCUAUCAAAAGCAAAAGUAUCCCAUAUCAGCAGGGUGGAACGUACUCUAGAUUUGAUGGACUUGUUUUGACCCUCAAAUUCUUCAGUCGGCCUUAUACUCUGGAGGAAACCAGAAAACCCUCCAGCCCAGUUCAAGAAUAAGCCUGUGGAAAGUUACUUCUUCAAAAGCAAAAGUAUCCCAUAUCAUCUCUCCUCAUUUUUCUUCUCUUUAUCCUUCAUGCUGCCUGCAAGAUAGGGAGAAUGUGAACAAUCAGCCGGAGCUCUGAUUGCUUACCUUGUCUGUCACCUCUUUCAGCAGAUCCCCCAGCUCGGCGACUUGGGGGACUCCUACUACAUGGUUUGUAUCUCGCUUGACCAAGCAUGAAACUACAAGUAAGCUUCAAGUGAAAUUGAUACAUUACCUUGUGCAUCUCCACCAGUUACAGAUACCACCCUUGGAUGGAGGAAGAGUACUUCCAGAGAAGAUGCCACAUCUACCUAUGAGACAGAUAAGGCAAGUCAAGACGAUACCACACUCCGGUACUUAGAAGUUUCGUGGCUACGAGAUCAUUCUCCCACAAUAUUUCCUAAUGUCAUUUGUACUAAAUCAUUCACUUGUACUCACUAAAGGAGAGCUUGAACAUAUGUACUUGUGUAAACCCUUCACAAUUAAUGAGAACUCCUCUAUUCCGUGACGUAGCCAAUCUGGGUGAACCACGUACAUCUUGUGUUUGCUUUCCUAUCUCUAUCCAUUUAUGUACUUAUCCACACUAAUGACCGGAGCAAUCUAGCGAAGAUCACAAAAAGUGACCGUUUUCGCUACCUAGGAUCUAUCUUGCAAGAGAACGGAGAAUUAGAUGGAGAUCUCAACCAUAGAAUACAAGCUGGAUGGAUAUAGUGUAAGAGUGCAUCCGGCGUGUUGUGUGACCGUCGUAGGCCACUGAAGCUCAAGGGAAAAUUUUAUAGGACGGCAAUAAGGCCUGCGAUGUUGUAUGGCACAGAAUGUUGGGCGGUGAAGCAUCAACGUACACAAAAUGGGUGUAGCGGAGAUGAGGAUGCUUCGUGGGAUGUAUGGGCACACGAGAAAGGAUAAGAUUGGGAAUUAGGAUAUCCGAGGUAAAGUAGGAGUAGCCAAAAUUGAAGGAAAUAUGAGAGAAAAUCGGUUCCGGUGGUUUGGACAUGUGCAAAGAAAGCCUACUGACGCUCCAGUUCGAAAAUGUGACUACGGGACAGAGGUUCGGGGCCGAAGGAGUAGAGGAAGACCUAGGAAAACUUUGGAAGAGACCCUAAGAAAAGACUUGAGUACUUGGAUUUAACGGAGGACAUGACACAAAUGAGCGCAAUGGCGUUCUAGGAUUCAUAUAGCUGACCCCACUUAGUGGGAAAAGGCUUUGUUGUUGUUGUUGUUGGUAGUAUAAAAUAGGGGAAAUUAGAGUUCAUUAUUUAAGCACUGAAGUAAAAAUUAUGUAUACCGAUCUCAAAAAUAAAAAUAGUACCACUGGAGAAUAGAUUCUCUCCGAAUUUGAACCAUCUAGAUCCUGCAGAUCUCUUUAUUACCAUCACUCACCUCCCCCUCCCCCUUCCACACCAAUUCCCACUAUACAUAAUUCCCCGACCUUCAACCCCUCCCAUUUUCUUCUACUUCUUUCUUUCUAUACGGUUCUACUUCGUCGAUCGCCGCUGGAAAAGAAGGCAAUGAUGUUGAGGAGAAAGAGAAAGGGUGAGAAAGUUUAAGGGAAAGAGUGAUUUUAAGCGCACAAUUUUACGUGAACAGUUAAGAUUAUUUGGUCUGCAGGAUUCGGAUGGUUCUGAUCCGAAAAGGAUCUUUCCGUACGGUUGAAGCCUGGGUGACCUCGAUAAUAUCUCUAUUAAAAUAUUACUCAACACGUGUACAUAGCAAUGUGGGUAAUUAAGGUACAUUUAGGGUAUUAACCAAGUUACUAAUGAUUCCUUUCUUCUUCUUCUUCUUUUUUUGUACAUAGCAAUGUGGGCAAUUAAGGUACCCUUAAGAAGAUGUUGAUGCAAAAUCUCUUUAAGGUCAUCAAUUAGAUGCUCAUAUGAUGCCCACGAUCGACUUCACUUGUUCAGUCGGAAUUUUAUGUCUUUAACUACUGAUGAAUCCGAUUCUAAGAUUAUAAAAGUAAAGCCAACAUCCCAAUAUCAGAAGCACAACCCAUGAUGAACACGAACUGCCAUAAUCUUAUUAAGUUAGUAUGAUUGUGAUGCUGCAUAUGAAUGCAGAACAAUUAUACACUAAACUUAUUAUACUGAUCUUUCAUUACUAAUUGAGCUCAAAUGUUACAUGUGGGAUCAAAUAUAAAUGUAACAUUCUUCCUUUUCGGUGCAUCAUCGGAAAGUUAAAACCUAUAUAUAAGUAAUAAGUGUUAAGUCGAGUAGAAGUUAUAAAUAUUUAUUUGUCAAUGUAACAAAUUUAAAUCUACAGGUAGAUCCCACUCCAACAAAAAAAUAUGUCAUUCCUUAAUGCACAUACUCAAACGCUAAAACUCAAAUUUCAGUGUUAAUAUUUGAGUAAAUGAAUUAGAGGAUAAAUCAAUAAAUCUCCAACCUAGCACCAUCCUUUUAGACCAAAUUUAGGAAAGUAGGUAUAUAAAUAUAGAUUCUACAUUGGAUAUGGGCUACCUGGUACAGAUUUUACAUUGGCAAUGGGCUACCUGGUGUGGAAUUUCUUAUUGUUAUGAGUAAAUAAAUUUUGAAGUGAGCACAAACAUGAUACAAAUGAAAACUGGCACGUCAAUUGAUAUAUUACAAGUUAAUGGGUUUGAACUACUACGUUUUUAAUUCAAACUCUCUCUUCUCGUUUUAAUUUAAGCUAGAGUAGUAGUAUCGUUGUAAAAAAUAAAAGUUAGCAAAAUAAGUGAGUGUUUCUAGUACUUCGACAAAAAAAAAUGAAAAAAACAGUGAGUGUUUCUAGUACUGUCUCUACAUGGAAUUAUACUUGCUAGGUUGAUACUUGAUACAUCACCUUCAGAUAACGGAGAACCAAGCAAAUGAUUGCCUCUAAAUGCACAUACCUGGAAAAACCCUAACAUUAUUUAUGGAGAGGAUUUGCAGGGUCAGAUUGUCACAUCCCGGCCCGGGGCGGACCACUUCCCGGGCACGCUCCACCACCGUAGCACGAUAUUGUCCGCUUUGGGCCCCAACUACGCCCUCACGGUUUUGUUUCUGGGAACUCACGAGCAACUUCCCAGUGGGUCACCCAUCCUGGGAGUGCUCUGGCCUCAUUCUCGCUUAACUUCGGAGUUCCUACGGAACCCGAAGCCAGUGAGCUCCCAAAAGGCCUCGUGCUAGGUAGAGAUGAGAAUAUACAUUUAAGGAUCACUCCCUGGGCGAUGUGGGAUGUUACACAGAUUGGUAGGCUCCUACAAAUCAUGUGAACUACACAAAUAAAGCAAAAACCAUAUCAUAAAAGCACUUUAUAAUUUACUUCUUUAAUUCGAUCUUAAUAUGGCAUAAUUUUCCACUAUACCAAAUAUUUCCUCUUCAACAGUAAACUCCAUAUCAGGAAAUAAAAUAAAUAUUCGUUUUAACAUCUUUUUCAAACAAUAAAUAAUCUACACUAAAUUCAUCUAAAUUAUAGAGGAGAGAGUUUGGACUCGAAAAUACAGUGGGUUAAAGAGAAAGAUCACAAUCUACCCAGAUCAAUUUGCCAUUUGCAUCCGUUUUAACGUCACUUUUAUUGUUUAACAUGAUAUAUUGUAGCUAACUAUCAUUUAGUCUAUUGACACUUAAUCUCUACCACGCCAAAUUUAGUUUAAAUUUAUUCGAUCUAGUUAGUUUAAAUUUAUUCGAUCUAGCUAGUUUAAAUUUAAUCUCUACCAUGCACUAGAAUAUUAACAUGAUUCAGUAAUUUUAAUCAAUUUACAAUGACCAUGUUAAUAACGGUUGAGCCAACCCAAAGUCUAAUUGAAUUAGUUUAACAAUGACCCCAGUUAGUGCUGUAUGCUCUCCGUUUAAAAACAUUUGAUGUCGGCUUCAGCUCAAGAACACAGGCAGUGACACACCAGCACAACCACCUUAAUUAAAAAAAUCAUCACCUUAAUAAUCACUUAAUCACAUAGGAAUAUAAUAAUAUAGGUCUUCUAGAUUUUUUAUUUUUUUAUUACCUUUUUAAGAACGUUAGGCCAAGAAUGCAAGACAGGAAGAAGGGCAUAAAAUAUAAACAAAUAUUAAACAAAAGGUAUAUUCGUGCAGAGAUCCAUAAAUAUCUAUUAAUUAAAUUGCAAAAGCAAUCAGCAUUUGGGUUCCAAGAUGUAACCUUCCAAUUUCCAUUGUUUAGCAAACGUGCAGUCUCCCAUUGGUUCCCCAAAUUUGGUAGUUACAAUGUCAAAAAUUGACCACCCGAAAUAUGUCUAUAGUAUUAUUGAAUUGCAUGAAAUAAUGCAGUAUUUUCUGUGCGUCGGUGCUACACAGUCCAUGUUCCUUACACUUCACACUAGUGGUUUGCUUUUUUUGUAUGCAUUCCGUGCGCGCAGGGUGCCACUAUAUGCAAUCUGUAUAUUCUUGUUCCUAUUAUGCCACAUGUAACAUGCCACAUGACCUUUGGGUUGCUCUUUAUGCAUGUUCUUUUUCAUGCUUACAUAAUUCAGAUUCAAUUUUCUUAAACAUCACUAGCAAAAAGGAUCCAAGUUCAUUAAGUAUGUAGAUCUUAAAAUUUUAGCUGCGGAUUAGAGAUAUGAGAAUGAGUGUUUAAUUUAAGUUUUCGACUCUAGGGACUUGUUAAUUGCUUUGCGGAUUGGAGACAUGAGAAAAGGGUUAGAAAUAUAUGAGUUAUAUGCUAUAUAGGCAAGUUGGUGGUCUCAUUAUGUUUAAGUCUGGUUGUUAUGAAGUCGAUCUGAUAGAUUUAAUACCAGAAUAUUAGAAGCAAACUAGUUGAGUUUGUGGAUCCACUAUUAAAUGAUGAUUUGAGAUCACAAGUCAAUUUGAGUUGUGAUGUCAUUCUCCACACAGUUCAGAUAAAAGCACAUCGUUCUUCCUAGCCAUGAUUAAUUGUUUUGAGAAGUUUCAUCUCUCAUAUAUUUUGCAACAUUUGAUGCAUUGAUUUAUAUGGAUCUUCUUACUCUUCCAGCUCUAUCAGAGUCUGUUUUUGCUCGCAAGUACCAUUUUCUUGAGGUCAUAUUCUUUGAUCCGAUUAUAACUUUUGGUCUCUUUUAUGAAUGAAAUAUGUCAUUUUUUUAAUAAAAUAUAAAUAAUAAAAAGACAAAUCACUUUUGAGAAUACACUUAUUAGUUACUACUCGUUUAUACCCAAAGUUUGACUCUCACCCUAUUCAUUCUUAAAUAAAAAAAAUCUAUCAAUGCACUUUAUAAUCUUUCUUUUUACUUGAGUAUCCACUAAAUUUGGCUUUCGCUUAAAGUUGAUAUCAAUUUAUAUAAGAUUAAAAAAAUAUAUUGUUUCUUGAUUUGGGUAAAUUCUAUUCGUUUGCUUUAGGUCAAGCUAUUGAUGGAGUUGUGGUAAGAGGCCCAGUGCAAUAUUCCACAGUCGUUGUCAUUGUGUUGGUGCAUGCAUGCCUGCCUCCAUGGUUUGCAAAAAUUAAUUAAAAAAAUAUUUAGAUAUCUUUUUAAAAAAUAAUAAUAAUAAAUUAUAUAAAACAACCUCAACUAUUGGAUAAUUAACAAUUUCAUACCUCGUCUUUAAAAAGUUUCAAUGUCAUACCUUAUCAUCGAAUUUGUUGCAAUGUUAUACCUUCCGUUAGUUGUCUGUCAAUUCCUCUGUUAAAUGCUGAUGUGGCUGGAGACGGAGCCCACUUUCUAUUAAAAAUUAAUAAAUAUUAUUAAAAAUUAAAAUUAAAAUUAUUUAAUAUUGUUUAAUAUUAAAAUAUAAUUAAUUAAAAAAAGUUAUUAAAAAAAAAACCCAGUUCGUCUUCCCCCACAAGAGCCCAACCUGCAACCCCCAAAAAAAAAAAACCCAUCUUCAUCUUCCUCGACCCCCCUUUCCCUGCAACCCACCCCUUUCUUCCCCCUCAUGUCUUCCCCAAACCCACCGCGCACCCAUCCUCCACCUCUUCCUCCGCACCCACUCUCGCACCCAUUACCUGCAACCCAGAAAAAAAAUAACCCAUCUUCAUCUUCCCCGACCCCCUUUCCCUGCAACCUAGAUCUUGUCUUCCCCAAACCCACUGCGCACCCAUAACUGGGCACAGAGAAAAUAGGGGGAAUAGGUGUGGAUUUAAGAAGUGGGGUGUGUAGAGGAGGGAAAAGGGAGGGUGCGAGGGUGGGUGCAGAGUAGGAGGUGAAGGAUGGGUGCGCCGUGGGUUUGGAGAAGACGAGAGGGAGAAAAAAAGGGUGGGUUGCAGGGAAGGUGGGUCGGGGAAGAUGAAGAUGUUUUUUUUUUCAUGGGUUGCAAGUUGGGCUUGGGUGGGAGGGGGAGACGAACUGGGUUUUUUUUUUUUUAUAAUAACUUUUCUUUAAUUAAUUAUUAUUUUAAUAUUUAAAAAAUAUUGAAUGAUUUUUUUUUAGUUUUUAAUAUCUUUUAAUAGAAAGUGGACCCCAUCUCAAGCCACGUCAGCAUUUAACAGAGGAAUUGACAGACAACUGACGGAAUAUAUGACAUUGCAACAAAUUCGAAGAUAAGGUAUGACAUUAAAACUUUUUAAAGACGAGGUAUAAAACUGUUAAUGACCUAAUAAUUAAGAUAAUUUAAUGUAAUUUACCCAAAAAAAAAUUACUUUGGUAUCUUCCUAAUCGUACUGCACAUAAUAUAUAGGACAAUGGCAUGCAUGAAGCGUUUUUCUGCAACAUAUUUAAAUAAAAAAAAAAAGGAGAAUAGAAGAAAAAUAUACAGCCAUACGAUUAUAUUAUAUGGUUCUUCGUAUAAAUUUUUAUGAGAUUUUGUCUUAUAGUUAAUUGUGUAUGCAUCACCAACGUCACUAUGCCUCUUCAAUUUUCUCAAAUAGUCAAAGAUAAAACUUUCGACAAAAAAAUAGUCAAGAUAAAUUAGGGUGUUUUGCCACAUUAUUAAUAGUUUAUUGUGAGACUAAAUAUAUCAUUCUUCUUUAAUGUUGAUAAUAUUGUUUGUUAAAAAAAAUGUUUUGGGCUAUAAAUAUCCAAAAGCACUCUAAUUUCUUUAACCAAAGUAGGGUUUGAUAUCAAUAUGUAUAAUUUAGUGUGAUUGAAUGACGAAAUUCUCAUAGUUGUAUUCAGUGGCGAAGCCAGGAAUUGUCGAGAGAAGGGGCGAAAUUUAAAAGAGAAAGGUUCCAAACUAAAUGUAGACAACCAAAUUCUUUUAUAUAGUAGACAACAUUAAAUUCGCUCAUAUAUUUAUCAAGACAAAUAAGUUACAAUUGUUGCCAACAAGGCUUUAUGCCGUAAAUUUGCUACUCAUUGAUAGCUUUAAGUGAAGGGGGCAUUGCAGUGAUGCCCAUCUCUUUGAUCAUAAUACUAUAUGGCCUCAUUUGGUCUAGAGGACUGAAUUUACAUGUUUGUCCAUUCAAAUCCAAUCCUAGAAUCUAAACGAAGCCUAUAUUUGAUACAAGCAACUCUAGUGUGAUAUGCCAAAUGUGAAAACAAUGAACCUUAUUAACUUUUUCUUUCAAGAUAAAAAACUGCAACUUUAACCAAUAAUUGAUGCGUCAACCCCCUUCAAGCAUCAAAUUUUAACAAAAUUUGAACCCUUUCGAAUAAUGGCAUCUAAAAUUUGCCUAAAAAUCUACAAUUUUGAGGACCAAUCUAAAUCCCACAGUGAAAUUAGCGGCAAAAACGAAGGAUUUGGUGAAAAGCUAGUCUAAAUCAAAGAUCAAAUUGCAAUAAAAAUCAUGUAUAAAUAUGCAUCAAGAUUCAAUUCUUUAAAUUUCAAGCAGGAACAAACAUAUCCACUUAUUCAUCAAUAAUCAAUUAUUCAUAUCAAUAAUUAAUAUGUAUACUACGCUGUAAUUCAUAUAAAGAAUGUCAAUUAAGCAAAUGGUUAUGAUAAAGGGAAGUGUUAUUGGCACUCCAAAAAUCUUAUUCUACACUCCUCACAAGUGUAUUUUUUUUCCCUAAUAUAGAAAGUUUAGAGUGUAGAAUGAGAUUUUUAGAGUGCUAAUAACAAUUCCCAUGUUAAAUUAUGAAUUAAUAAUUUAAAUUAAAAUAAGGCAGAAGACACAGUAGUGGGGUGGGAAGUAGGGAAGUGAAUGUGUGAGAGUUAAUGGGGAUAAGUGGUCCCCCUUCUAUGUGUUUUUUUUGAUAUUUUUAAUGCCCAAAACAACGCUGUUAGGCGUAUAUUAUUUUUGUUUUUCCAAGGCAAAGGACGUGUCUUCUUCAUGGGAUUGCUUAUAACAAAACACAGCCACUGCAUAGAUAUGUAGCCUGCAGCAGCCAUGGCUUCACCUUGCAGGUUUUCCGACGACACCAGAGGACUGAACCAACGCUUCUAGGCUUGAUUUCUAGUGAGUGGAGAAGCUGAACUAAAGCUCUAGUCUUGUUUUCUAAUGAGGGGAGUGGCGGCAGCCACUCCUAGCCCUCACGUGGCUUCGCCACUGGUUGUAAUGAGUCUAUUAACAUAUUAUUCAAGGUUAUGAAAAGUUUCAACGGAUGUCGAUGGGACCGUAUUCUAUGCAUAAGCCACAUUGGUCAAUAUCGAAGUAUUUGACACAUGAUAGUACAAGGUUCGCGACGUGCAUUGACCCGCAAUAAAGGAACCUAGAGUUUAGGUUUUUUGUUUUUGUUUUUGUUUAUUUUUAACAAAUGAGAUUAUUUAUACUAAAGGAAAUGAUAGGUUAAAGUUACACAGUGAGCUAGAAAUAAUAUGGUUCAAAUUCAUCUUUGGCGAGAAUUGAAUUUAAGAUCUCUCAUUUACAAGUGAAAAGAAAUACUACUAAACCGUAAUACAAAAUGAUAUUAGAGUCUAGAUUUGAACCUUCCCAAAACUUCCUAUAUUUAUUCUGAUUUUAAUAUCUGAAGUAGGAUAUAAUAUAAUUAGGCACCAUUUUUAAUACAUACUAUACUAGCAUGAGUUUAUGUUGAGUGAGUUAAGUUUCACAAUAGCAUAAUCAUAAUAAUUUUGUUUGAAUUUGUUUUUAACGAAAAUUGAAUAUAUCACAUCUCUCUUACAAGUGAUGAAAAAUAUCACUAUACCAUAUUAAAUGGCAAUUAAGCAACCAUAAUAUUUAAGAAGAUUCCGUCUUUUCAGUGAGAACCUAAAUCUUGAGAUAUUCUUCGAAUAAAACUCAUGAGAACACCCAAUCUAAUUCCCUAUAUAAGAUAAACUCCACAAUCAUUCAAGAUACAAAAAAAAUUCAGACCUUAAAAACAUUUUUAUAAGAUACAAAAUAAUUUAUUUAAUACAAUACUUACAUGUAUUUUGUACAAUCAUCAUCUAUGGAUCAGAUUAAUUUAUGUGAAUAUAUAAUAAUUGUAUCAGAUACAUGUAAGUAUUGUAGUCAAAUCUAAUUUUUUUAAACACUUUUACUUUUGACUAAAUCACUAACUUAAGCUUCGAAGAAUAAUCCCGACAUAAAUUUGAUCAUUUGAGUGUUCUUGUUCAUGGUUAGACUAAGAGACCUGCCUAAUCCUAAUUAACAAAAUUUUUGAGAGAUGUCAUAUCCCUUGUAACAAAUUCAUAAAUUAAGGUAUGAUAUUGUAAUAUUUAAAAUAUAAGGUAAAAAAUUAUGGUGCGACUUAUAAUUAAAGUAGUUUGUAUAAUUUACCUUUAAAUUUAACCAAAAGAAAACAAGACCAAAGAGUUGGCACAAACACUAAAGAGUCCGAGUAAACAUAGUGAGGUGGAAAUAGAAGUAGCAAACACCUCCCUACAACACAGUCCGACUCCACGCAAGCAAUGAAAAGAAUCUUAGCUGGAUGCAGCUGCCCUCACUUGCCACUGCCACCUUCACCAACGGACUAUUUCUCCCAUUUCUAUAACCCUUUUCACUCUCAAGAUUCAAUCUUUUCACUCUUCCUCUCUCUCUCCUCACUUCCUCUCUCUAGACCGACAAAUUUCACUCACAAAAACACUGGGGACUCUGCAGCAACUCAAUCUCCAAGGUCAUCACAAUGGCCAACUUCUUCAUCUUCCUCCUGCUCUUCUUAUCCUCUCCACUCACCGCAUCUCCAAGGCCAAACCAUAGAGUCCUCCACCAGCCAUUUCUGCCGCAGGAAUCUUCUUCGCCUCCAUCUCCCUCACCUCCUUCCCCACCUCCGAACCCAACUCCCCCAGUUUCCAGUUCCAACUCUCCCCCUCCCAAUUCCCCUUUUUUCCCAUCCUUACCCUCCCCUCCGCCUACCCCUCCCUCCCCAACCACUGCCUUCGCCUCCUUCCCCGCCAACAUCUCCUCCCUCAUUGCCCCCCAGCCCACCAAAAACUCCAGCGCCCACAAGCACCUCGCCCUCACUAUCGCCGCCGUGCUCUCCGCCGUCAUGGUCGUUGCCGUCGCCGCAUUCUUCCUCUACCGUCGCAAACACCACAACAGCCGCAACUUCCCGGACAACGAGGACGAAAAGUCGUAUGUUAGAUCCGAGCACAGCAGCAGGCUAUUUCAGGUGCCCAAUCUCAGCCACUCCUUCAGUGGUACACACAAGGUCCGAACCGGCUCUGCCAACAGCUCCGAGUUCCUCUACCUGGGCACAGUGGUCAACUCGCGCAGACUCGAGGAACGAGUUGACCCGCGCGGGAGCGUUGGUCGUAGGGCCGAAAAAGAAACUCGGAAAGUCGACUCGCCGGACCUCCAGCCGCUUCCGCCGCUUGUUCGGCAAACCUCGAGGCUGAGCCGUUGGGAGAAUGCCGAACCGGUUCUGACCCAUGACCGAGAUGACGAGGAAGAGGAAGAGGAAGAAGAGUUCUACUCUCCCAGAGGGUCUUCGGGCGAUCGCGACAGCUCCAAUGGAAACGGAUCCGGGUCCAGGAGAGUAUUCGCGGCGGUUGCGGACGGCGUAUUUGAUGAAAGAGGCAGCGAAACGACGUCGUGUUCGUGCUCGUCUUCCGAGUUGGGUUCACCGUCUCGGUCACACUCAAUCAGUCUCUCGCCUCCGGUGAGUUUAAGUCCCAACAGAAGAUCAGAAGAGCCCAAACCGCCGCAACCCUCAGCCAUGCAUUACACGGCGCCGUUUGCUGAUGUCAAUGUACGGUCGCCGUCGUUGACUCCAAUGUCUUCGCCGGAGAGAGUUGUUGAUGAUUUCCCAUCUGCAUCGGACCGAAACGGAGGGUCUCCGUCGAUGUCCUCGAUAUCUUCGUCACCGGAGAGAGGAUUGGAGAAGACCCCUGAUGUACCGGCGAAAGUUUCGGUCGUUCCGGAUCAAAGUUCGCCGAUUUCUUCACCGGAGAGAGAUUUCGGAAGCAACCAACAUGCAUCAUCGAAAGUUUCGGUGGUUUCUGAUCAAAGUUCGCCGAUUUCCUCACUGGAAUUAAAUUUCAGAAACAAACCAGAUGCGUUACCGAAAAUUUCGGCCUUUUCAGAUCGGAACGAUCAAUCCCCUUCACCAUCUUUACAUUGUUCAUUGUCACCAGAGAGAGAAUCGAACGGUUCUGAUUCAAGAGCCAAGUCCUUUUCACCUUCUAUGUCACCACUGAGAGGUUUGGAGAAGAGCUCAGCUGCCUCACCAAGAAUUUCAAAUGCUUCGGAUCGAGCAUUUAUUCAUUUGGAUCCUAAAAUGCAGUCUCUUUCAUCAUCUUCAUCGUCUUCGUUGUCGAAUUCACCGGAGAGAGAGUUUAGUGGUGGUUUAAAGCAGCCUCUGACUUCAACCGAGAAAGAGUUUAGUGGUGGUUUAAAGCAGCCUCUGACUUCAACCGAGAGAGAGUUUAGUGGUGGUUUAAAGCAGCCUCUUUCGGUUCCUCAGCCGCCGCCAAUGCCUCCUUCACUGAGACUCUGGGAGAAACCAAGUCCUAGAACACCAGCUGGGCAAGUGUUCUCUAGGCCUCCAGCUCUCAUACCUCCUUCAAGACCUUUUGUGCUUCAAAACCCGGGAAAGGUCUCUGUUUCGCCGGUGAAGUUGACGCCAAGUUCAACACCAUUGGAGCCGAUUGAGGAGACUCCGAAACCAAAGUUGAAGCCAUUGCAUUGGGAUAAAGUUAGAGCAAGCUCCGAUCGCGAAAUGGUGUGGGAUCAGUUUAGAUCGAGCUCUUUCAAGUAAGAUAGUACUUGCAUUUACUUGCUUUUCUUGUUAUGGUAGACUUAUAAUUUAUGUAGUAAGUUGGUUGCUUAUACUGUGUUGCACUACUAAAUUUGUGGAAUCAUCGGACGGUGGUUACAGAUUGAAUGAAGAAAUGAUAGAGACAUUGUUUGUUGUAAAAACACCAAACCCGAAUCCAAGGGAAACGACCCCACGUGCAGUUCUUCCCUCACCAAAUCAAGAGAAUAGAGUACUUGAUCCAAAAAAGUCGCAGAAUAUUGCAAUCUCACUAAGGGCUCUCAAUGUGACCAUAGAGGAAGUUUGUGAAGCUUUAUUAGAAGGUAAAAACCAUUUUUUCUUCAAAGUUGUCUUCCCUUUUCCUGAAUGCUGAGAAAAUUAUCAUAUCAACGUUGAUGGUAAUAUUGUUUAUGCUUUUGGUUAUAUCUUGAGCACGCCGUUUAGUUAACAUUGAGAAUUUAAAAUUCGGUUGGCCUGGGAUAUAUUUGAAUUCUCGUGAUAAGUGGCAUUUCAUAAGUUCAUAAUAACUGUGAUUCUUCUUAGAUGAUUUUUUAUUGUAGCUGAAAUGGUUUGUGAUAACUUUUAUGUGAUAGUUGUGAAUUCAUGGUGUCCUUUGGUACUGGUAAUGAAUGCAGGAAACUCGGACGCUCUUGGAACUGAGUUACUUGAAAGUCUAAUGAAGAUGGCUCCCACCAAAGAAGAAGAACGGAAGCUGAAGGAAUACAAAGACAACUCACCAGUUAACCUUGGUCCUGCUGAGAGAUUUCUGAAAGAGCUGCUUGACGUUCCUUUUGCAUUUAAAAGGAUUGAUGCAAUGCUUUACAUGACUAAUUUUGAGUCUGAGAUCGAGUACCUUAAAAAGUCGUUUGAAACUUUGGAGGUAAAUCACACCAUUUCUUUCCCCUCUUAACAUGUGAUGCUAGAUUCCGUUUUGUUCUCUUAUGCUAAGAUGGUAACAUUAAGUAAACAUUUCCAUCAAGACGUGAAUAUACCGAGGCACACAAAAACAUUAAUAAGUUAAUUGAAAGUGUUCGUCAACUUAACAUGGGUAUUUCUAUCCAUGUGGAGAUGAUAGUUUUUCCAUCAGGCAUUUUCUCAUUGGAAUUUCCUUACUUAGGCUGCCUGUGAAGAAUUGAGAAACAGCAGGAUGUUCUUGAAGCUUCUGGAAGCUGUUCUGAAGACUGGAAACCGGAUGAAUGUUGGGACAAACCGUGGUGAUGCCCAAGCCUUCAAACUGGACACACUCCUCAAGCUGGUUGACGUCAAGGGGGCAGAUGGGAAAACCACACUCUUGCAUUUUGUCGUACAAGAAAUCAUAAGGACGGAAGGUGCUCGUCUCAACGGUGGCAAUCAAACUUCAAACCCAACCUUGAGUGAUGAUGUCAAGUGCAGGAGGCUUGGCCUGCAAGUUGUUUCAGCUCUCAGUUCAGACCUCAGUAACGUGAAGAAAGCUGCUGUCAUGGAUUCUGAUGUGCUGAGCAGUGAUGUUUCCAAGCUUUCUAAAGGAAUUAGCAACAUCGCGGAGGUUGUGCAAUUAAAUGAGACGACGGUGUCAGAUGACAGCAGCCGGAAAUUCUCAGAGUCGAUGAACAUGUUCAUGAAAUUGGCUGAAGAGGAGAUUAUAAGACUUCAAGCUCAAGAAAGUGUUGCAUUGUCCCUGGUGAAGGAGAUUACAGAGUACUUCCACGGGAACUCCGCUAGGGAAGAAGCUCACCCGUUUAGAAUCUUCAUGGUGGUCAGAGACUUUCUUACGGUUCUUGAUCGGGUAUGUAAGGAAGUUGGUUCAAUAAAUGAGCGAACCCAAGUUAUUACCGCCCACAAAUUUCCAGUUCCAGUAAAUCCAAUGCUACCACAAGUAGUUCCAGUAAAUCCAAUGCUGCCACAACUACUUCCUGGAAUUCAUGGGUUGAGGCGGUACAGUUCAUCCGAUGAUGAGAGCGCGUCUCCAUAGUUCUGCAGCUCAUUUCACGAUGGCGUUUUGGUUCGAUUUUGUAAAAACCAUGUUAAGUAGGCGGUUUGAACAGCUUGCAUGCCAGGUUUAUAUACAUAGCUCCAGGUUCCACCCCACCAAAAAUUUGUACUUGUAAAAAAUCAUGUAAGCGAUUUUGCGUUCUGUAGAUUAUAUAAUUACAGAGGAGGAGAUUUUAUCUGGGAAGAAUAAGUUGUAAUUCGGAUUAGAUAGUUUAUGGGAAGAUCGAUCACACAACUGCUCAAUGGAAGCAGAACUCUUGAGAGUACAUGGUUUAUGCAACUGUUCUGCAUUGUAUCAAGCCACUAAUUUGUUCUCCAUAACUCGUUUAUCCCCAAUUAUUCUUUGUAAUUUAAUCAUAGCAACGGUAGUGUUUGAUAUUUUUUGAAUUUUUUUUUUAUCUUUAUUUACUUUUUAUUUUUUGUCACAUGGCACUUUCACAAGGAGUGGAAUCCCAUGCAUUUAGGAUGUACGUACGCGAGGCUAAAUGAUACUCAAAUAUAGACGACUCGUUUCUGGCCUGACAUGUGCCAUAAAAGUUUCUCCUGGAUAUCGGUUUUGCAUUUGCCGCGUCAUCAAUUAACAACCAAAUUUUCGGAUUAUGUGACAUGGAUAUAAAAAAACACAACUUUAAAGAUACUAUUGCAACGUUUUAAAGAUAAGGUAAUUAACUGACGGGGUAAAAACUUAAAAGGAGUAAAAUGUACUUUGCCCGAAUUACUUGUUGAAACAUGAGGUCCACUCCUCUUUGGUAAAAGAAUCCAUGAAGAGAGAGGUCGUUUUCAAUUAAGGGGAACACGACAUGAUUUCGCAUGCUGCUUACUGCAAAUUUGAAAAAAUGAAGGAAAGUGACCGUUGGGGUCCUGCCUCUGCCCCUGCCCCUGCCAUUGCCUCUGCCACAGUUGAAAUAUCUAACCCUUUUCAUGUGAAGACACCAAUAUGGACCCUAGUUUUCACCUUCUUUUUUUUAUGGUAUAUCCUCAUCUUUAACUUUAACCACCCAAAGUAAAUAAAAGGACAGCAACAAGGAUAAAUUCCUUUUUUAAUUUUUUUUUUGGAAAUUCUUUUUCUAAUUUCUUUAUAAUAAAAGGGAGAAUUUUGUGGGGGUAGAAGAGACAGAAGAACAUGUCAGCCUAGUAAAAUUAGUGUGUUCGAAUAUUAACUUUAUCUUGCCAUCUAAUAUUACGAUCUAGUUGUAUUCUUCUUCAUUGGUAAGUGAGAGGUCUUAGGUUCGAUUUUCAUCAAAGACGAAUUUGAAUCACACUAUUGCUAGUUGAUUGUGAAGUUAAGCCCACCGCUCUUCUCUUAGUGUAGCUAAUAUUGAUUGUUCAAAAAAAAAAUUAACUCUUCCUUUCAGUCAAAGCAAUAUUUUUAAUAUCGAUUAUUAAAAAAAAAAUUAAGGAUGGGGUUGUAAAAAAAAAAAAAAACCAAGGAUGGGGAUUGGAACCCUAGAUGCAAGGCAACGGACAUAUUGCCCUAACGAACCGUGUCCUUAUCCCACAGGCUCUAAACGGUAAUUCUUUCACAUGCACAAUAUGGAUCUGCACCAUUGAUUUUGCUUCACAAAUCAGAGAUGAAAAGUAAAUAUGGGGUCUUGAAUAGUUGAAUGACAAUUUGACAUGACAUUUUAUCUAAGGUGAUGCAAUCCACACAUUAUUUUGUCGGAAUAUCAAAGGACAAGAAUUUACAAGGUGUAAAAAAUUAAAACGGUGUGUGAAUAACACUCCCCUUUAUUUAAGGGGCACAACAUAUAUGUAACUCUGAGAUAAAUAGCACCCCUUUCUGUUUAAAAUACAUAUCAACUGUCUCGUAACUAUUUGUGUCUAUUUGCUGACGACUCCAUUAGUUGAAAGCAAGGCUUGAGCAUCCAUUCGUUCCACUAUAUGGCGCGCUUCUUCCUCUGUUGCUGGAACCACAUUCAGUAACCUAAAUCCAUCUUUUGUGGCCUUUGCCUCAGGGCGUACGGUGAAAGUGAAAUAAAAUGUAUUUGAAACCUGUUUCAAACACGAGCAAAGCAAUGUGUAACUGGAACCGUAGCGAAUAGACCAUCAUAAAAACGAAAAUUCCUUAACCGAAAUGGGUAACUGGAACAGGAGUAACGUCAACUUUUAAUGGCAUUCAUUUAAAGCUAAAACUUAAGCUUUCUUAUUCUUUGAACGUGCAUUUAAGGGAACAUACCUCACUAGACCUGAGCUCAGGCCUGGUAACGUGGGCAACAACUUCGAUGUUAAUUAGAGGCCGAUCAGGAUUAUGAACUUCUGUGUAAAGAACACAUGAUUUGAAACGCAGGAAAUCUCCAACAUCCACCUGCUCAUUAAAACAUACAUGCUUCAAACAUAUAUCUAGCACAGAAAUGGAUGAAUAGAAAACCAGCUUACUCUUCCAUCUCCUCAAAGUCACAAUCGGGGUCCAUCCAGAUGCAAAAUAAACAGAAUAAAGAUACAACAACAACAACAACAACAAAGCCUUUUCCCACUAAGUGGGGUCGGCUAUAUGAAUCCUAGAACGCCAUUGCGCUCGGUUUUGUGUCAUGUCCUCCGUUAGAUCCAAGUACUAUAAGUCUUUUCUUAGAGUCUCUUCCAAAGUUUUCCUAGGUCUUCCUCUACCCCUUCGGCCCUGAACCUCUGUCCCGUAGUCACAUCUUUGAACCGGAGCGUCAGUCGGCCUUCUUUGCACAUGUCCAAAUCACCGGAGCCGAUUUUCUCUCAUCUUUCCUACAAUUUCGGCUACUCCUACUUUACCUCGGAUAUCCUCAUUCCCAAUCUUAUCAUUUCGUGUGCCCACACAUCCCACGAGGCAUCCUCAUCUCCUCUACACCUAUUUUGUGUACGUGUUGAUGCUUCACCGCCCAACAUUCUGUGCCAUACAACAUCGUUGGCCUUAUUGCCGUCCUAUAAAAUUUUCUCUUGAGCUUCAGUGGCCUACGACGGUCACACAACACGCCGGAUGCACUCUUACACUUCAUCCAUCCAGCUCGUAUUCUAUGGUUGAGAUCUCCAUCUAAUUCUCCGUUCUCUUGCAAGAUAGAUCCUAGGUAGCGAAAACGGUCGCUUUUUGUGAUCUUCGCUAGAUUGCUCCGGUCAUUAGUGUGGAUAAGUAUAUAAAUGGAUAGAGAUAGGAAAGCAAAACACAAGAUGUACGUGGUUCACCCAGAUUGGCUACGUCCACGGAAUAGAAGAGUUCUCAUUAAUUGUGAAGGGUUUACACAAGUACAUAGGUUCAAGCUCUCCUUUAGUGAGUACAAGUGAAUGAUUUAGUACAAAUGACAUUAGGAAAUAUUGUGGGAGAAUGAUCUCGUAAUCACGAAACUUCUAAGUAUCGGAGUGUGGUGUCGUCUUGACUUGCCUUAUCUGUCUCAUAGGUAGAUGUGGCAUCUUCUCUGGAAGUACUCUUCCUCCAUCCAGGGGUGGUAUCUUUAACUGGUGGAGAUGCACAAGGUAAUGUAUCAAUUUCACUUGAAGCUUACUUGUAGUUUCAGGCUUGGUCAAGCGCGAUACAAACCAUGUAGUAGGAGUCCCCCAAGUCGCCGAGCUAGGGGGUCUGCUGAAAGAGGUGACAGACAAGGUAAGCAAUCAGAGCUCCGACUGAUUGUUCACCUUCUCCCCAUCUUGCAGCAGCAUGAAGGAUAAAGAGAAGAAAAAUGAGAAGAGAUGAUAUGAGAUACUUUUGCUUUUGAAGAAGUAACUUUCCACAGGCUUAUUCUUGAACUGAGCUGGAGGGUUUUCUGGUUUCCUCCAGAGUAUAAGGCCGACUGAAGAAUUUGAGGGUCAAAACAAGUCCAUCAAAUCUAGAGUACGUUCCACCCUGCUGAUAUGGGAUACUUUUGCUUUUGACAGAGUAAUGGAUGUAUCGGCACGUGUGCUGUUACGCUUGUCUCCACAUGCUUCCUUGUAUCCUUCGCACUUGCCCUAUCUGUUCCUCAAGCAGAUGCGGAAUCUUCCCUGGAAACAUAAGAUGUUGAAGAUGAGUACUCGAGAGCAAUGCCAGGUAAGUAAUCAGGUAAGGGGUUCCAGGCAGUCAGUUCCUGGCUGGAAGCUUGAUUCCAAGUGCUGACUGAUUGCUCUCUUUCUCCUUGUCUUGCAGGUAAAAACAAGGCCAAAGGAAAAGACAGGGAAAAAGCAUGAUAUGGGAUACUCUUGCUUUUAACCCUGAUGAUAUGAGAUAUUCUUGCUCUAGUAUAGCUUGUUUGCAGAGGUAUUAUCGGGGGGAAAGAAAGCUGAAUAUUUCGAAAGGCUUCGUUGGGAGUGCCUCUCAGAUAUGAUGAAGGGUUGAGCAUUUUUGCAGGUCUGCCUGUCCGUUGGGGAUGGAGGUCGACAUAUAUAGGAGUCUCCCUAACAACAAGUAGUAAUGCUAUUCCUUUACCCUGCUUGGUCAUAGCACGGUAGUGGGAGCUGCCAGUUUCACAUGUUUUAACUCUGUCAGAGCACUUUGAAAAAGUGGUCUGUGGUAUCUGGCUCUCGAGAUUCGGAGAACGAUGCCUCUUCGAUUUUUGAGAAAGCAAUCAUGCUGGGGGUCUGGCUCUCGAGAUUCGGAGAGCAGUGUCUCUUCGAUUUUUUGAGGAAGUAAUCAUGUUGGGAGUCUGGCUCUCGAGAUUCGGAGGGCGGUGCCUCUUCGAUUUUGGAGCAAGCAAUCCUGUUGGGAGUGUUGUCUCGAAUGUGAGUAAAGGUUGGGCAUGUUUGCUAGUCUACCUUGCCACGAAGCACAAAGGUUGACACACAGGGACUUUCCAAUUAUCCAGCAAUGGUACUGUUCCUUUACCCUCUCUUCGCUUUUGAGAAAGUAGUCAUGUUGGGAGUCUGGCUCUCGAGAUUCGGAGAACGGUGCCUCUUCGAUUUUGGAGCAAGCAAUCUUGUUGGGAGUGUUUUCUCGAAUGUGAGUAAAGGUUGGGCAUGUUUGCUAGUCUACCUUGCCACGAAGCACAGAGGUUGACACACAGGGACUUUCCAAUUAUCCAGCAGUGGUACUGUUCCUUUACCCUUGUGGGUAAUAAUAUGGUAGCUAGACCUUCAAAAUUUAUGUGUCUAAACUUUGUUAGUGCUGUUUCUUUGCUAUUCUUUUACCUUUCUUGGUCAGAGCGAUGUAGUGGGAGCUGCAAGCUUCACGUGCUCAACUUUGGCAGAGAACUUUGGCAAAGUUAUAUGUGGUACCCAUGAGCUAUUGUUGCGUGUGGGAAGUGGGUGAUUGAACAGUAAGAUUCAUGUGCUUUCUACUUCACCAGAAGUCUUCGACAGAAUGCCCAUAAUUUCUGCAAAGCUGAGUGUGCGUGUGGCAGGUGCUGACAAGGCUAGAAAAGUAGGUGCCUCUUCGAUUUCUGAGAUCGGCCCUCGUGGUCUCUGAGCAGCCCAGCUUUUGAGAAAGCAAGCGCCUCUUCGAUUGAUUCGAAGAACGAUGCCCCAUCGAUUUUUUAGAAAGCAAUCAUGCUGGGGGUCUGGCUCUCGAAGAUUCGGGGAGCAGUGUCUCUUCGAUUUUUGAGAAAGUAAUCAUGUUGGGAGUCUGGCUCUCGAGAUUCGGAGGGCGGUGCCUCUUCGAUUUUGUAACAAGCAAUCUUGUUGGGAGUGUUUUCUCGAAUGUGAGUAAAGGUUGGGCAUGUUUGCUAGUCUACCUUGCCACGAAGCACAGAGGUUGACACACAGGGACUUUCCAAUUAUCCAGCAAUGGUACUGUUCCUUUACCCUCUCUUCGAUUUUUAAGAAAGUAGUCAUGUUGGGAGUUUGGCUCUCGAGAUUCGGAGGACGGUACCUCGUCGAUUUUGGAGCAAGCAAUCUUAUUGGGAGUGUUUUCUCGAAUGUGAGUAAAGGUUGGGCAUGUUUGCUAGUCUACCUUGCCACGAAGCACAGAGGUUGACACACAGGGACUUUCCAAUUAUCCAGCAGUGGUACUGUUCCUUUACCCUUGUGGGUAAUAAUAUGGUAGCUAGACCUUCAAAAUUUAUGGGUCUAAACUUUGUUAGUGCUGUUUCUUUGCUAUUCUUUUACCCUUCUUGGUCAGAGCGAUGUAGUGGGAGCUGCAAGCUUCACGUGCUCAACUUUGGCAGAGAACUUUGGCAAAGUUAUCUGUGGUACCCAUGAGCUAUUGUUGCGUGUGGGAAGUGGGUGAUUGAACGGUAAGAUUCAUGUGUUUUCUACUUCCCCAGAAGUCUUCGACAGAAUGCCCAUAAUUUCCGCAAAGCUGAGUGUGCGUGUGACAGGUGCUGACAAAACUGGAAAAGUAGGUGCUUCUUCGAUUUCUGAGAUCGGCCUUCGUGGUCUUUGAGCAGCCCAACUUUUGAGAAAGCAAACGCCUCUUCGAUUUCUGAGAUCAACCCUCGUGAUCUCUAAGCAGCCCAGCUUUUGAGAAAGCAAACGCCUCUUCGAUUUUUGAGCAGGCGCCUCUUCGAUUUCUGAAGCUCCGUCGAGUGCAGAUUUUUAUAGAGGCUGUCAUUAAGUUCCAAAGCACACUUGAAUCUCCACCAGUAGAAGCUUCAUUCUUGCACUUCUAAGAUCUUGAUUUGUCCGACCUCUUCUCUCUUCAACACCUUUGAAAAUGUCUGGCCCCUCCGACCGUCGUUUUGACUUGAACCUUGUUGAAGAGGCAGCCCCGCCUUCUCCAGACAACAUAUGGCGCCCAUCCUUCGUCUCCCCUACUGGUCCUCUUACCGUUGGGGAUUCCGUGAUGAAGAAUGAUAUGACCGCUGCGGUGGUGGCCAGGAACCUUCUCACUCCCAAAGAUAACAGACUACUUUCCAAACGGUCUGAUGAGUUAGCUGUUAAGGAUUCGCUGGCUCUCAGUGUUCAGUGUGCAGGUUAUGUGUCUAAUAUGGCCCAACGCCUAUUUGCUCGAACCCGCCAAGUUGAAUCAUUGGCGGCUGAAGUGAUGAGUCUCAAACAGGAGAUUAGAGGGCUCAAGCAUGAGAAUAAACAGUUGCACCGGCUCGCACAUGACUAUGCUACAAACAUGAAGAGGAAGCUUGACCAGAUGAAGGAAACUGAUGGUCAAGUUUUACUUGAUCAUCAGAGAUUUGUGGGUUUGUUCCAAAGGCAUUUAUUGCCUUCGUCUUCUGGGGCUGUACCGCGUAAUGAAGCUCCGAAUGAUCAACCUCUGAUGCCUCCUCCUUCUAGGGUUCUGUCCAGUACUGAGGCUCCAAAUGAUCCCCCUCCGGUGCCUUCUCUUUCUGGAGCUCUACCGACUGCUGAGACUUCUCCUAAGCAACCUUUGUGAAGGCUUCCUCUUGUGUGUUUAUUUUGACUCAUGUAUAUGUACAUAUUUGUAGCUUAUCGGGGAUAUCAAUAAAUAAGCUUUCCUUCAUUUCAACGUAUUGUGUUAAAUACACCAAAGCCUUCUUCGCUAAAUUCUUUGAAUUUUCUUUUGUUAAAGCUUGUAUGUUGAAGCUUUCUGAGUGGAGCAUGUAGGUUGGGGUAGUGUUCCCUUAAUUUCCCGAGUGAGGAAAACUUCUCGGUUGGAGACUUGGAAAAUCCAAGUCACUGAAUGGGAUCGGCUAUAUGAAUCUUAGAACGCCAUUGCGCUCGAUCCUGUGUCAUGUCCUUCGUUAGAUCCAAGUACUCUAAGUCUUUUCUUAGAGUCUCUUGCAAAGUUUUCCUAGGUCUUCCUCUACCCCUUCGGCCCUGAACCUCUGUCCCAUAGUCGCAUCUUCUAAUCGGAGCGUCAGUAAGCCUUCUUUGCACAUGUCCAAACCACCGUAACCGAUUUUCUCUCAUCUUUCCUUCAAUUUCGGCUACUCCUACUUUACCCCGGAUAUCCUCAUUCCUAAUCUUAUCCUUUCUCGUGUGCCCACACAUCCAACGAAGCAUCCUCAUCUCCGCUACACCCAUUUUGUGUACGUGUUGAUGUUUCACCGCCCAACAUUCUGUGCCAUACAGCAUCGCCGGCCUUAUUGCCGUCCUAUAAAAUUUUCCCUUGAGUUUCAGUGGCAUACGGCGGUCACACAACACGCCGGAUGCACUCUUCCACUUCAUCCAUCCAGCUUGUAUUCUAUGGUUGAGAUCUCCAUCUAAUUCUCCGUUCUUUUGCAAGAUAGAUCCUAGGUAACGAAAACGGUCGCUCUUUGGUAUUUCUUGAUCUCCGAUCCUCACCCCUAACUCGUUUUGGCCUCCAUUUGCACUGAACUUGCACUCCAUAUAUUUCUGUCUUUGAUCGGCUUAGGCGAAGACCUUUAGAUUCCAACACUUCUCUCCAAAGGUUAAGCUUUGCAUUUACCCCUUCCUGAGUUUCAUCUAUCAACACUAUAUCGUCUGCGAAAAGCAUACACCAAGGAAUAUCAUCUUGAAUAUGUCCUGUUAACUCAUCCAUUACCAACGCAAAAAGGUAAGGACUUAAGGAUGAGCCUUGAUGUAAUCCUACAGUUAUGGGAAAGCUUUCGGUUUGUCCUUCAUGAGUUCUUACGGCAGUCUUUGCUCCUUCAUACAUAUCCUUUAUAGCUUGGAUAUAUGCUACUCGUACUCCUUUCUUCUCUAAAAUCCUCCAAAGAAUGUCUAUUGGGACCCUAUCAUACGCUUUUUCCAAAUCUAUAAAGACCAUGUGUAAAUCCUUUUUCCCAUCUCUAUAUAUUUCCAUCAAUCUUCGUAAGAGAUAGAUUGCCUCCAUGGUUGAGCGCCCUGGCAUGAACCCGAAUUGGUUGUCCGAAACCCGUGUCUCUUGCCUCAAUCUAUGCUCAAUGACUUUCUCCCAGAGCUUCAUUGUAUGACUCAUUAGCUUAAUACCCCUAUAGUUCAUGCAAUUUUGUACGUCGCCCUUAUUCUUGUAGAUAGGCACCAAAGUGCUCGUUCGCCACUCAUUUGGCAUCUUCUUCGUUUUCAAAAUCCUAUUGAAAAGGUCAGUGAGCCAUGUUAUACCUGUCUCUCCCAAAAGUUUCCACACUUCGAUUGGUAUAUUGUAUGGGCCUAUUGCUUUUUUAUGCUUCAUCUUCUUCAAAGCUACAAUCACUUCUUCCUUCCGGAUUCGACGAUAAAAAGAGUAGUUUCUACACUCUUCUGAGUUACUCAACUCCCCUAAAGAAGCACUCAUUUCAUGUCCUUCAUUGAAAAGAUUAUGAAAAUAACCUCUCCAUCUGUCUUUAACCGCGUUCUCUGUAGCAAGAACCUUUCCAUCCUCAUCCUUGAUGCACCUCACUUGGUUUAGGUCCCUUGUCUUCUUUUCCCUUGCUCUAGAUAGUUUAUAGAUAUCCAACUCUCCUUCUUUGGUAUCUAGUCGUUUAUACAUAUCGUCGUAAGCCACUAACUUAGCUUCUCUGACAGCUUUCUUCGCCUCUUGCUUCGCUUUUCUAUACCUUUCACCAUUUUCAUCGGUCCUCUCCUUGUAUAAGGCUUUACAACAUUCCUUCUUAGCCUUCACCUUUGUUUGUACCUCCUCAUUCCACCACCAAGAUUCCUUUUGGUGUGGGGCAAAGCCCUUGGACUCUCCUAAUACCUCUUUUGCUACUUUUCGGAUACAACUAGCCAUGGAAUCCCACAUUUGGCUAGCUUCCCCCUCUCUAUCCCACACACAUUGGAUGAUUACCUUCUCUUUGAAAAUGACUUGUUUUUCUUCUUUUAGAUUCCACCAUCUAGUCCUUGGGCACUUCCAAGUCUUGUUCUUUUGUCUUACUCUUUUGAUAUGUACAUCCAUCACCAACAAGCGAUGUUGAUUAGCCACGCUCUCUCCUGGUAUAACUUUGCAAUCCUUACAAGUUAUACGAUCCCCUUUCCUCAUUAGAAGAAAAUCUAUUUGUGUUUUUGACGACCCACUCUUGUAGGUGAUUACAUGUUCUUCUCUCUUCUUAAAGAAGGUGUUGGCUAAGAAGAGAUCAUAUGCCAUUGCAAAAUCCAAGAUAGCUUCCCCAUCCUCGUUUCUCUCCCCAAAACCAUGGCCACCAUGAAAACCUCCAUAGUUGCCUGUCUCCCUGCCCACGUGUCCAUUUAAAUCUCCUCCUAUAAAUAACUUCUCCGUCUGAGCAAUUCCUUGCACCAAGUCUCCAAGAUCUUCCCAAAAUUUCUCCUUCGAACUCGUAUCCAACCCUACUUGAGGUGCGUACGCACUAAUCACAUUGAUAAGUUCUUGUCCUAUUACAAUCUUGAUUGCCAUGAUUCUAUCUCCUACCCUCUUGACAUCUACAACAUCUUGUACCAAGGUCUUGUCCACGAUGAUGCCAACACCGUUUCUCGUUCUAUUUGUGCCCGAAUACCAAAGUUUAAACCCUAAGUUUUCUAGAUCAUUUGCCUUACUACCAACCCACUUAGUUUCUUGUAGGCACAUAAUAUUUAUCCUUCUCCUCACCAUAACUUCCACUACUUCCAUAGAUUUUCCCGUUAAGGUUCCUAUAUUCCACGUUCCUAAACGCAUUUUGCUCUCUUGAACUCUACCCUUCUGUCCUAGCUUCUUCACCCUCCCCCGUCUAAUAGGAUCAAAGUACUUCUUUUGUGUGUCCCGGGUAAAGUUGAUAGGAGCAUAUGCUCCCAAACAACUUUGAGUGGAGUCGUUCGAAAAGAAGUUUCUAUGGCCCCCUUGCUCAUUUAACACUGCAUCCGGGUGCCGAUGGAGAUACAGCGACCCUUGCUCACUUAUCACUGUGCUCGGGCCACACAGCGCGCCACUUACGGGUGACGCCCUAGCUUUAGCGCGAUUUUGUUCUGGAUUCAUUUUCAUAAGGAUUCGACGUGAUCAUGGAGUGCCGGCUGUCGACUACCUGACGCCCUCCCCCUCCUCCUUUAUCCGGGCUUGGGACCGGCCAUGUAAGACAUAGGCGGAGUUAAACAGAAUAAAGAUAAUUUGGAUAAAAUAAAGAACAAAAAGAGAACCGGAAAAUGUGUUAAAAUUUCGAUCGAAAGAGAAAAUACUGAUGAUAUGGAUGAUUUGAACAAUUGAAAAGAAGGAAGCCAAUGGGGUACUCACAGGUUUCAAGAAGUCAACAUGAUCGACUUCCAGAAAGCAAGGCACCAGGCCUGCAAAGGCAUAAGCGGUAGAGAAAGCCAAUUCAAAUGCUCGGUGCAUCAAAAACCCUCCAAAGAUUCGACCAUGCAUGUUUCUCUGUUGUGGUUGGCAGAUCAAAGAGUUUUCCAAGCGGGUAUCCCUCAGAAGAAUGCUAUCUCUGUCUGCCAAGGCAGGCAUAUCACAGAAGAUCCUUCCCUCAGCCAACAGAGUUUCAAGUCUAUUUACUUCUCCAUUCUCAAGCUCCCUUCUGUCUCCUCCUCCUCUUGUUCUUUUCCUCAGAUUAUUUCUGGCGUCUGCUUCCUUGAAAAGCAAUAUUUCUCUUUCAGUUUCUGGUGAUAUCCGAUUAACUGCAGCAGCUUUCCCAGUCUUAGAAUCACGUGCCACAAACAUGAAGUUUGCUGAAAGAGCUACCGAGUCUGCAUUGUCAGAUCCAUCUGCCAAAAAAGUUUUCUUAUGAAAGUCUGAUCGGUCAGAACAUUAAGCACAUCCCUUCACAAAAAGAGCAUAAAUUUAAAAGAUCACACCAUUACUGAGCAGACAGAUGAUAUAAUAGUCAAUUUGUAGUUGACAGGAUGACAAAUUGGAUCGUUGUUCUUAUAACAGCCCAUUUGUGGGCUUGUGAGUUUUGUUUCCAGAUAUCGAGAUUACGUUAAACAGAGGCAAACUGAUUAUUGUUCAUUAAAAAAAUUAGAAGGAGACACCAGUGUCCAUAAGCAAAUUCUAUUUCUAACAUUGAAAAUGCAAUUGCAAACUUUUAAUAGAAGUUAAGCCUUCUGAGCAAAAUGCUGGAAAGGAUAUAGAAAGUUCUAGUUGAACUUUCAAAGGUUAUCAGAUUUCAAAAACAAAGUUACGUCAAAUUCACAAGUACCUUGUGUUGACUGAAUAACUUCUAGUUGAAUCUCAAUAGAUGACCGCCCCACCCAUAUGACAGCACCAACUAUUUUCAGAUCGACAUCAACACUAAUCGACUUCUUCAGGACAAUCUUGUCCACCGAUGCGGUGACCAGCAAGAGUGGCCUUGUUGUGCCAUCAUCGUCACAGCAGUGCUGAUCCAUAUAAAGGUUUAAAAUUAAACAACAUGAAGAGUACAAGCAAGAAAUUCACUUGGAACAAACGUAAUUUAACAUGAAAUAAACUAGCAACUUAUCUCGUCAAUCACAAGUAUCUUCAGAAGACAAAUUCAAUCACAUUAUUCAACUAGACUGAAACAACUGAGAAUACAUUUUGAAAUGAACAUAACUUGAAUGGCUCUUUGCAUUAUAUCAAUAUUUAGAGUCAAACAGACAUCGCUGCACAUGAUCAUCACCAGGCUUCCACAGCCCCCCCUUUGCAUCAUACAUAAUAAAACUGUACCAAAGUAAUUCAAAGCUUGCGACCGUCCAAAUUUUACGGCACUCACCUUUCUGUUUAACUAGCAAUACAAAGAAGAGAAACUGUCUCUUGGUCAAAUAAGACACCGUUCCCAUGACUUACAAAACUGUUCGCACUAGAAACUAAACCAAUCAACGCCUCAAACAAAAUGCAUUCCAGAUUAUGGCAGCUCCUUAGAAUAAUCCAAAGUUUGAAAAGAUUAUAAACACUCCAAACCAGAAAGUUGUAGCAAUGUAUAGUUCAAAAGCUGGGGAUUUACGAAUUGAAAGUGCAAUUCAGCCUAAUUCAUCACAAAAUUCUUACAUAAACAAUCAUAAACCCAGUUCAAGUGAUCAAACUUCAAGCAGAACCCACAAAUCCAGUUAUAAUAAUAAACACUAAAAAAAUUCUACCUUUACAGUAAUGGUUCCAGCUAAAGCAUCAAGGUCUUCAAGCAAUUUCCCUAUUCUGACCUCAUUCCAAGGAUCCCUGUACUGCUCCCGCAAUAUAUAAUCCGUCGAAAAAUUGUACAGAAUCUUCGUCCUGCUCUGGGACGGCGUUUUAUUCAGCAACUCGCUCUGCGGCGGCGCGUCCUUGCGCGGGUCCAGAAAAAACCUCUCGAAGAUCUUCGACCUGGCUUCCCACAGCGCAUUUGUCACCGGCGACUGGUACAUUCCUGGCCAGAGGCUAAUAGGCUUUCGGGUCGAACCGUUGGGCCCAUCUUGGGCCGGAGGCGGGUUAUCGAAAGGGGAAGAGAGAGUGGCGACGACGGGAAUGGGAGCGGGUGAAUUGGGAGUUGCAGGAGAGGAAUUCAAGUCCAUGGAAUUUGGGGGUUUUGGGAUUCUGGAAAUUUGAUUGAUUGAACUUCGAAUCAUGUAAAGCUGGGGAACGACAAGACUCUCAUGGAAUGAGUCUUUGCAUUGAGUUGGAGAAAAGUAUUUUAACACAUAUUUUAUUGGGUUGGUGAGACAUGUGAUUAGGCAUGAGUUCUUACAUUUAUAAAACAGAAAUUUUAACGAAAAGUUCAUGGUAAUGCUCAUUUUAACGAAAAAUUAUAUUUUUACAUAAAAAAUCAAACAUGUUACUAUUCAUUUUAUUUUUUAUUUUGUCCUUAUAAUUAAAACUCAAAUUUUCAAACAUUUUUCAUUAGUUUUCCUUUUAUAAAACAGGUUAGCACAUUUGAUAUCUCUUUAUACCCAUAUUUACUACCUAAACUACCCUUACAAACCCAAUUCAAUUUAUAAUUUAUCUUAAACCCAUUUAAAAAAUAAAAAUCUAAAAUCAAAGCAUUUUCUACACAUUAUCUCAUUCCAACAGUUGCUUUUUGAUGGAGUCUUCAUCAACCUCUACAGCGUUGUUUUAAAAAAAUCUCAUGAUAUUUUGCGUGACGAUGUAUGUUGCAUAUGAACUUAAGUUUUUAUGGUUUGAUGAUAUAAAAACUUAUAAGUUAUAACCUAUAAGCAUAUAUUGCUAGAUGAAUCAUGUCUUAUCGAACAAAUUGAAGGAAGUAGAGGAAAUUAAAAGAUGUACACGCACACUUAUGAAUGAGAAGGCUACUUCCCUUGCCUACAAAAUAAUACUAAACACCAGAAAGAGGACAAUCGGUUGUCUUGUAAAUGAAGCAAAGCUGACCAAAGGCCAAAAAGAACAAAAGAAUAGGGGAACUUGCAUAGGCAGCAGAGUCAUAACGUUAUAUAUGACAUCUAAAACAAUAAAUUAAUUCUUGCAUAAAUCCAUUCAUACUUAGUUGAAGGAUUCAAAACUUUAAGAUUAACGUCCACCUAUAAAAAAAAGUUUACUUUUUCUCAAUGGGAGAAUCUUAGCGUUUUUGUCAAAACAUAAUGUAUAAGAAAAAUUACGUAAUAAUUAGAGCUUGAUUAUUAGGGGUGGAUUUAUUGAUAAAUCUUAUUUUUUUUGUUAAUUUUAUUUUGUACUUGAUGAUAAUUAUGCAAUAAGGUAAUAAAGAAAUUUCACAUUUAAAAUUUAAGUUGGGUGUAGAAAGAAGUUAGAUAGGUUCAAAUAAAAAUUUUCAUCUAUUUUUAACGAAAAUCGAACCUAAAUAAUUUAGAGGAGUUAAAAAAGAGAAAGCAAACGUGAUGAUCUUACAUUCUAAUUUUUCUAUUUGCACUUAUUCUCAUUGCGUAUUUGUUACUCUUCUUUUAAUUCAAUCGAACAUAAAAGGAGCGAGAAAAUUGUUAGUCUUCUUUAAAUUCGAGGAAUAUGUUUCCAUUUCAACUACUUUUUAACUUUUGCACUGUUUUAAAAUGCUAGACAAAAACCAGCUUAUUUUAUAAGCAGAAUCUCUGUUAUACAAUAGCACUGAAUGGACAAAGAUUUGAGAUAUUAUAUAUGCUGUUGACAAAAAAAAAAAAAAAAAAAAAAAGAACAGAAGCUAUUGGAAAUUGGCAAAAGUACUAACUAUUUGCCUGCUCCACAACAAAUUUUAUGAUCUAAACAGUUCAAAUUUUAGGUUAUUAUAACUACAUUAUUCAUGCAAAAUUUCAUUCGAAUCACAAAUCAUUUUGCCAUUCAAUUAUUAUGGUAAACAUUUCAUUGUUUAUCAACAACUUUGUCACCGUCUAUUUGUCAUGUCACAAUUAGAUAACUAAAUAACUUAUGUUUUCAAUGAAUUUUUGCAAAUAUGAUCUUUUAAUAAUAAUCUAGAAAAUGAUUGGCUCAAAUUUUAAGAAAUAUUGUUUAGCGAGUCUAAAUGAGUGGUUAGUUUCGUAUUAAAAUACUAAAUAGUUAGCACUUGAGCAUUCUUGUACAUAUUGAUGCAAUGAUUUUUACAAUGAGUGAAGAAAUAAAUUGAUAUCAAAUUUUUCAUCCACGAUAUUUGAACAUAAACAUUGAGUAUAUAUGAAUAAAUACAUUUUAAGCACAUGAGCUAUAAGCUCCUUGCAAGUCAAUUUAACCUACUAAAAAUAUCUUUAACCAAUAGAUUACUAAGGUGAUCACUGGUUUUGAAUGUAUAUGUGUUUCUUUUUUUUUCUUUUUUCUUUUUUUUUGAAAUGGUACAAUAUUCAUUGAUUAAGGGAAAUAGCGUGCAUAAUUGGCCUUAUUAAAAAAUUUGUUAGAAAUUUCAACCCGAUUCAAGAAAAAAAGAGCGUCAUGCACAAACAACAUAAGUGAACCUAUCCUCAAGGAAAUAUAAUUAUAAAACAGCCACAUUAACUAGAAAUAUCCUCUAGUAAGAUGUCAAUGAUGAUGUCCGGCCGGCGGUUCCUCGAACCAUGACACUUCAUAUUGUAUUCCAAUUUCGGUCCGAGUAAGCGCAUAUGAGCUGCAUUAUUAGCCUCUAAGGCCAUCUCUAACCGGGGGUUGGCCAGAGGGCUCGUUUUAGCCCUCUGGCCCUCCAAGAUUCUCCAAGAUAUUAAUAUUUUAAUGAACAGUACAGGGCCAUAUUUGCCUCUGUUUCCAACCGAGGGCCAGAGGGCCAGAAGGCUCGUUUUAGCCCUAUCACAAAAAACCAUCUCCAACCAAGGGCCAAAGGGCCAUAGGGCCAAACCUAAUUUAUUAUUUAAAAACUACAACUAAAAUGUUGUUUAAGUUUCAUGUUGUAUAAUUUUUAUGUUGGUUAAUUUUAUUUAAUGUUGUUUCAUAUUGUUUAAUGUUGUUUCAUGUUACUUAAUUUAAUUUAGUUUCAUGUUACUUAAUUUAAUUUAAUGUUGUAUAAUGGCUUAGGAAGUUAUAGGAAAAAAAUAGAAUUUAAAAAAAAUAUGAAACAAAUUUUGUCAAAUAGAAGUUAUAGGAAAAAAAAUGGAAUUUAAAAAAAAAUAUGAAACAAAUUUUGUGAAAUAGAAGUUAUAGGAAAAAAAAUGGAAUUUAAAAAACAAUAUGAAGUAAAUUUUGUGAAAUAGAAGUUAUAGGAAAAAAUAUAUAUGAAACAAAUUUUGUGAAAUAGAAGUUGUGAAAUAGAAGUUAUAGGAAAAAAAUGGAAUUUAAAAAAAAAACCAAAUUUUGUGAAAUAGAAGUUAUAGGAAAAAAUAGAAGUUAUAUGAAAAAUUUUGUAAAUAAAAAAGAAUAAUAAUAAUGUAAAAAAAAAAAUCAAAUCAAAUGCAACGGCUAGUAGCCGUUUCAUUUGAAUUUUUUUUAAAACAAUCCUGUCGGUUAUAACGGACAGGAAUACACCAUUAUCUAUAUAUAUAAAGUGAGAGCCCCAGUUUGGUGAAACAUUCAAUAAAUCCAAUAUUGCCCUUUGCUUCCUUCACAAUUAAAAACCACAAAAGUUUUGAAAAUGAGGACAAAUUCGUAAAAACACCAUAAUUGGGUAGAAAACAAAAUCUAAAAAGUAUUGGAAAAGAAAACAGAAAAUUGAAAAAAAGAAGAAAAACAAGCAUGUAGUCUCGGAGCCUCUCAAACUGCUAAGCAGUAGUGGGCAGUUUUCUCCCCCAAAGAUUUCCACGAUCUGAGUUUGGUGGGAAGGUUCAACACUAACCACCUGCAUACCACCAAUAUUUAGAGAUGAGUAAUCGGAAGGAGGCUAAUUUUGGUUUUCAGGAGUUCGCUGUGUGGUUUCAGUUCAUUCUAAACGAAAAAGGAUCGACAAACUCAGUGACAGAAAUUAGUAAAAGAUUUGAGCUUUCGGAACAAUUAUAUGUGCAAAAAUCGAAAACUUUCAUCGGGUUAGUGAUUCAUGUUUUCAGUUUUCGUUCUCUUCAACUUUUGUAAAUUCGAUAAAAGUUAUUUGUUCAUCCAAUUGGGUUUUUAGGAAAUGUUCAAUCUCUUUGUUUUUAAAGGAUAUGAUUUCGGCUGCAGUUUAGGUUCUUGGAUUGAUUCCACAUUUCAAAUCCACUUCUGACCUACUAACCUUGAUGGAGGGGAGGGGCAGAGGAUGAAGAAAAUUUCGGGCAAAGAGCUUUGACUUCCUGAUUCACUGCGGCAACAACAUACCACCAUCCUCCUUUCGUUCCCAUGUCACCAGAAGCAACAAGAAGAUAUAAAACAAAAUUGGUGUUUUGAAAUUCUGAUUAAUUUUGCUCAAGUAAUGAAUAAUUUUGAUUACUGUUUUUAGUCAUUCACAUGUUCUUUUUUUUGUUGUCUUCCAUUUUUCGUAAAUCCGAUUACAGUUUUUAAAACAUCAAUUCAUGUUACUAACAAAAAAUUUCAUGGCUUUCUAUGGUUGUACAGACUGAUUGGUUGCUGACCCAUUAAGGUACCUUAAUAAUUCGCCCCUGUUCUUUGAACAGGUUUGUUUGUCUUGAUCUGACAUUGAACAUAUGUCAAAUUAUACAUGCCAUGCAAUUUUAAUUGAUUGCAAGCAAGCUUAUUUGCUUUCUCUGAUGUACUUUAAAUUUCUCUCUUGGCUUCGUUUGCAAUCUUUUUUGGAUUAAUUCUUCAUAUUCUCCCAAUUUUGUAUAUGUUGGACAAAGAAAUUGUUCUCUUAUUUCUAUCAUAUGUUUUAACUGUUAUUAUUUCAAAGUAUGUCAUUCCUGGCAGAUUCUAACAGAUUUUGCUAUUCUCAAGCGUCAAAAGAAAGAAAUUGAGGAGCUUUGAGCCAAAUUGAGUUUAAUUAUAAAUAUAGAUCGCCUACGUAAAAUAAAGGAAUUUAAAUAUUCUGCAUGUUUUAGGAAUCUCAUUCAGAAAAGUUGGGCAGAGGACAUCUUUAUUGGUGUUUUAUUUAAUACAUUUUGAAUCUUAUCCUGCAGCCUGUCAUUUUUCUUCAUGGGGUUCUGGAGGAGUAACUUCACCAAGUUUUCAAAGUAAUCAAAGAUUCUUCAAUCCCGAGUUGUACCGAUCAUUCUGUUUGAUCAGGUUGCAGUAUGUUCACCCUUUAUGAUAAGUUAUUAUAUAAAGCUCAAUUUGUUUAUGUUUUGGUAAUUUUGUAGUAGAAAUGCCAGAAAUCGAUAAUGUACUUAGUUCCGUUCCGUUUCCGGGAAUUAGUUUCGAUAGUUUGAAUGUGUAAGUCGAGUGAAUUAAGGUUGUUGUAAUCUAUUUGUGAGUUUAAGUGAUUCCCCUCAUUUGGUUUUCAUUUUAGUUCGGCUUUAUAGUAAAUGCAAUUCCAGUUCCUAAAGCUCAAAGAGAAGGUCGACAAAUGUACGUUUACAGCUAUAUGUCGUGUUCCUUUUGAGUAUGUGAUUGGGCUUUUGUCUUUCUUCCAUUUGAAUCAUCAGUUUUCCUUUCAAUUUUCACGGAAUUUUUUUUUUGACAUGUAAUGGAAGUUUGUAGGGUUUAUGCGAUUUAUAGUGAUGUAAAUAAAGUUGUUGCGAAGAAGACCUCCCUUACUCUCUGAAACCGUAAACGGAACGAAACGGUAAUUCUCCGCGCCUUCUCCUUUUCCAUUGAAGAGUUUCAAAUUACUUUCCUAUUUUUUUUUCUCAUUGAAUUGUCUUUCAAGUGUAAUUAUUUAAAUGGGAUUGACACAUAUACUGGAAAUAUGAAAUUGGAAAAUUUCAACAAUGGGAUUGUGUGGCACAAUAGCCAGUAGACAAAAGGGAAUAGAUUGAAUUAGUUGGACUCAUUUUUUACUGCCUUAUUGCAGAGAUUAUCACUUCCCUCCCCAACUUUUUACUGAUCUAUGUCCACUUCGUCCUACUUAUUUAAAUGCCUUAAUCUCUUGAAUGCUUCUUCUUUGCUUUUUUGUCCAUUUUCAGUUUUUAAAUUGUAUUCUUUGUUCCUUAUAUAUUGACAUUUUGUAUUUUGCUUGCUUAAGUCAUUACGAUUCUCAUACGACUGGGAUCAUGAAUAUUAUAGAUGGACCCAAUGGAUCUUCCUUCAGCGAUUAAAGAGGGGAUUGGCGUAUCAGGUAUGCAUAAGAUAUUGGCGGUGGUAGUUUCUAUCAUUUCCACCAGUGCACAGAUCUAAUACUCUACUUUGUUACAUUCAGGCUGAAGUGCCAGUUAAUUGGUGCCCGCUUUUGGUACUGUAUUGGCAAAUGAAGAAGUGAUAAGAUGGUUUCAGUGACCGUGGGGAUCAGAAAGGUAUAUAUUGGUUUGGUGCAUUUUCAUUUUACCAUCUAAGAUUAUAAAAAAAAAAAAAAAAAAAAACUUAUUGGCUUAAUUCCAAUUUUCUGAUGGUUUUAUAAUUUUACUAUGUCAAUUUGUAGUGUCAUUAUUUAUUACCAAGCAACCACUGUAGAGAUUAUAACUUCUCUCCCCAACUUUUUACUGAUCUUUGUCCACUUCAUCCAAUUAUUUAAAUGCCUUAAAUCUCUUCAAUGCUUCUUCUUUGCUUUUUCGCCCAUUUUCGGGUUUUAACACAUUUUGUGAUUGUGCAACAGGUAUUGGAUUGAUUUUGGCAAGUGUAAUUUUUUGUUAACAUUGAUUAGAUUCGGACCUUUGUGUCAAUUGAAGUCAUUGCUGCUCGGUUAGCUGAGGUAUGAUUGCUAGCUUUUUCUCUUUAGUGCAAUACAAAAUGUUUUGAGUUGUUAUAUGGACUUAAGAUUUAGUAAGUACUUGCCGAAAGUCAUGGGAUUUUGAAAUAUCGAUGUCUUGCUUGCUUAUAAGCUUACAAAUUUAUUUUUAGCUUAAACAUCUAAGAACCAAGGUAGUCCUUUUUCACUGCCUCACUGCGUACAAUGUGUUCAUGAUUUACACAAUAGAAUCCUCAACUCCAUGAUUACCUGUUUUCUUUCAUAUAUGUUUUUCUUUUACUAAUUUAUGUUUUAACAUUUUGUUCUCUUUCAAAUUUCGUAAAUCUGAGUUUUUGAAAACACAUACAAUUCAUGUUACCAACAAAACCUUUGAUGCUUUUACACACUCAUUGGUUGCAGACCCAUUUGUCGAGGCACGAACAAAAAGGAAGGGGGGAAACUGUAUUAUUGUCAUAGCUUUUAUGUUGGCAGUGAGCCUUGAAGAAAAGGAAGGGUGAUAACAGUGGAAGAGGUGGCUUUUUGCUUUUGGCCUUUUGUUUUCUUCAUUUUGCUGAAUGUUGAGACUUGAGAAAAGAACUUCUAAUGUUGAAACCUAAUUCAAUGUGAAAACGUACCUAAUCAUGUUAGCAUAUAAAUUUGAUUGUUAUUUUGUUCAAUUUACACCUUCACAUUUCUAAAUGAAUAUAAAUUUACAUUUUGCCUUCGCAGUCGAAAUCGAUGGUCAAAAAGCUACCCAUUAUUGAACUCUAUCCGAUAUUUCAUCUAUUCCCACUCCCUUAUAAUCCUAAAAAAUAUUAAAUGAAAUAUGUUCCAACCAAAUGCUUGACUUUUAAAUACUUGACAAUUAUAUCAUGUCCAUAUAUAAAUUAGAGGCAUUCACAUUAAGCUAACUCGACAAGAAACACAUCUCUGGUGCAAUAGGGAAUGUUGACAUUAAACAAUGAUAUGAUAGGGUUUAGGGUUAUUACAAAAAGUUUAAAUUCUACUCAUCCAGUUGACAUAAAAAUUAAAACGAUAUAAACUACGCUAAUUUAUAAUAUUUUUUUUUAAAAAAAAAAACCCUUAAGGCUAAAUUAUAUCCAAGGCCUAACACCAACCAACAAGUGUAUAAAGGCCCGUCAUUUUCUUGCAUUGAUACUUAUUACACUUCAAAAAUAUUUUGUGAUUAUUUUAUUUUGUUCUUUUGUAUUAUAGUGUUGUGUACAUAAAGCUUUUGUUUUCAUCUGUUCGUAGGCAUCUGUAUACACCUUUUCGUAUUUGUGGAAUGUCACAAAAUUUGUAUUCUAUUUAGGUUCAUUAUGUUUAUUAAUUUUUUAGAUAAAUUUUUCCAUGGAGUGUGCUCAAAGUCGUACAAGACAGUGGCGUCAAUCAUUGAGUCCUGAAGAACAUCAAAGAUAUCUAGCUCGACGACGUCUAAUAGCACAAGAAAAAAGACAACAAAUUCCAACUCCAAGUGAUGAUCAUACUACGACAUCUCCCAGUAACAUACAGCAAGAAAUUCCUGGUAUUUAUUUCAUAUUCUUUUUUCUUAAACUCAUAAUUAAAAAAAUUUUAAAAAUCUAAUUUCUAUUUUUUUUAAACUAUGCAACAAGUAGGUCCCAGUAAUAUACAAGAACGAGUUCAUUUGGCUAACUAUGAUGUUGAGGUCAACCCCAGUAAUAUACAACAACAAAUUCCAGGUAUUUAUUUAAAUUUCUUUAUUUGUAUUUGUUUCACACUUUAAAAAUUAGGUAAUUUUUAGAACACUAUUUUGUGCAUUGAAAUCUCAUUUUAUUCUUUUGUUCGUACUCUCAUAUUGAUCUCAAUGUUGUAGUUAUUUUUAUUGGUAGUCUUACAAAAUAUUAGACCACAACUAAAUAUAUUAAAUAUUAAACAUUAAAUUUUUACCUAAUCAUAUUAUAAUGUGGUGUAUUUAUUAGAACAAAUUGAGCAUGAAAGCGCGAGUUCAAGGGUUCUGUCAGAUAUCACAAAUCGUGAUGACCAAACUUUUGCUACAAUGCGUACUCAUAUAGGAUCAUUGACACAUUCGAAUAGGUCACAAAUAUAUGAUGGGAUGCUCUCAACUCUUCCCCAUAAUGGUGAGCUUAGUAUAUAAUUCUAUCUAUAUAUAGAAGAUAUAUUAUUAGUUACAAAGGAAAUUCUUAUACUGAGUGUUGGAUAUUCAUGUACAAAUAUCAGAAGAAGAACAUGCAACUAGAACCAAUCGUCAUGUGCGGCAAAGUAGAGGAAGAAGAAACCACAAUUGUGCUAGAAAUUAUAAUGAGAAUCGAGGUAUCCUAGGUUGCCGCUUACCUGCUCCAACCACAUGUCCGUACUGCUACGCACAAUUGUUUACUCGAGAAACUUUGAAUAUGUGUUGCUUAAAAGGAAGAGUUGCUUUACCCCCAAUACAAUCUCCACCAGAAAUGGUUGCUCUUUUCUCUGACCAAACAAAUGAGGGUAGACACUUCAGGCAAAAUAUUCGAGCUUACAAUCACGCAUUUGCAUUCACUUCAAUGGGAGUACACGUGGAUGAAAGAAUAAAUAUUAGUGGCCGUGAGAUUUACACAUUUCAUGCUCAAGGUGCAUUAUAUCAUAAGAUUGGUGGACUUUUACCACAUGAAGGAAACAGACCGCGAUUUUUACAAGCCUAUAUAUAUGACACUGAGCAUGAAGUUGAAAACCGAAUGUGUGAAAGUGAAGUUUUAGAUAGACGUGUGGUUGAAAAGAUACAACAGAUGUUGAACAACCAUAAUCCUUUUUUUCAUUCAUACAUUGCGAAGCCUCGGACAACGCCAAGAUUUGCCGAAUUGCAAGUUGAUCCUAAAAGAGCAACCAAUAGAUCGGCGUCAGUAUAGUCUACCAUCAGCAUCACAAGUUGCAGCAAUUAUAAUAGAUGGAGAUGAUGCCACCAUUGCAAAUGGAAGGGAUAUCGUGGUCGAGACAAUUAGUGGAAGACUUUCUCACGUCCGAGACUAUGUCGGAUUUUAUGAUCCGUUACAGUAUCCACUAUUGCUACCUUACGGUACAUAUGGUUGGGAUGUUAAUAGUCGUGAUGAUGGUGGAAGAGCAAUAACAUGUUGCGACUAUUAUGCUUAUAUGUUACAGGUUUUGUACCAAUAACAUAAUUUACUUCCCAAUAUAUAUAAAUGAAUGAUGAUUCCCAUAUUAAAAGCAAUAUAUGAAAUUUGCUUCUGCAGAUACGCCAUAAUGGAUCAUCACUUUUGCUUCGAGGUGGGCGUCUCUUGCAACAAUAUGCUGUAGAUAACUACAUUAAAAUUGAAUCACAAAAACUUCGAUGGCUGCGUUCUAAUCAAGCCACAGUUAGAGCAGAUCUCUAUAAAGGACUUCAAGACUAUUUAAAUGCAGGUCAACACAAUGCAGGUAUAUAUAUCAUUUCAGUUAUCGUUAUUUAAAAAUAUAACUUUGUUCAAAAUCUGUACAAUAUAUAUAGUUAGUUGAAAAUAAAAAAUUAACAGGUAGCAUUGGGCGUAGAAUUAUUUUACCAUCAUCAUUUGUUGGAAGCCCACGUGACAUGUACCAACGAUAUCAAGAUGCAAUGACUCUGGUUCAAAGAUUCGGAAAGCCAGAUCUUUUUAUUACCAUGACAUGUAACCCAAGUUGGGAAGAAAUCAAAAGUGAAUUACUCGCUGGACAAACUCCACAAGAUCGUCCUGACUUACUCACUAGAGUAUUUCGUGCAAAACUUGAGCAACUAAAAGAAGACAUCAUUGAAAAGGGGGUACUGGGCAGUGUUGUUGCGUACGCAUACGUUAUUGAGUUUCAGAAACGUGGUCUUCCACAUGUGCAUAUGCUGGUGGUGUUAGAUGAAAAUGAUAAGAUCAAUAACCCAGAUGAGUAUGACCGAAUUGUUAGAGCUGAAAUACCAAACAAAGACGUAGAGCCUCAACUUUACAAUGUAAUGUUAAAGCAUAUGAUUCAUGGCCCAUGCGGGAUUCAUAAUCCUCAAUCUCCAUGUAUGAAAAAUGGGAGCUGUAAGAGAAAGUAUCCCAAACCAUUUGCACCAGUCACUGUUCAAGGAAAUGAUUCGUAUCCAAUUUAUCAAAGGCGAGGAAAUCGAUUGCCCGUUUCUCUUGAUCGACAAGGAAACAUAAUGGUUGAUAAUAGUUGGGUCAUUCCAUAUAAUCCAUGGUUGCUGUUAAGGUAUGAUUGUCACAUCAAUGUUGAAAUUUGUGCAAGCAUAAAAAGUGUCAAGUACUUAUAUAAGUAUGUUUACAAAGGCCCAGAUAGAGUGACAGUCGAAGUGCAAUCAGACCUUGAAUACGAUGAAAUAAAGCAGUUUCAGGAUGCAAGAUGGGUUUGCGCACCAGAGGCAUUAUGGAAGAUAUUCAAGUUCAUUAUUAAUCGAAUUUACCCAUCUGUUGAGCGAUUGCAAAUACAUCUUCCUAAUAUGCACCAAGUUCAGUUUCGUGCCGACGAGAGCAUAAUAAAUAUUCUACAUGAUGAGAGUACAAGAAAGACAAUGUUAACUGAAUUUUUUACACUUAAUCAUGUGGAUGCAGAAGCGCGACGAUACUUAUACAUGGAAAUCCCAUCACAUUACAGAUGGAUUCAAGCUCAAAGAAAGUGGUCUAAAAGAAUGAAUCGUAACAAGGUUAUUGGGCGAAUAUAUGCAGUUUCACCUGCUGAAGGUGAAAAAUUUUACCUUCGAAUUCUUCUUAAUCAUGUUAGAGGACCAACAUCCUUCACAAACUUGAGAACGAUUAAUGGGGUUUUGCAUCCAACAUUUAAACAGGCAGCAGAACAACGAGGUUUAUUAGAAAGAGAUGACAGUAUUCGACAAUGUUUGCUAGAGGCCUCCACAAUUCAAAUGUCAUCGGCUUUACGAAGAUUAUUCGUCACCAUAUUGGUAUAUUGUGCACCAAUUGGUGUUCGAGGGUUAUGGGAUGAGUUCUAUCCAUUCAUGAUAGAAGAUUAUGUUACCAUGACUAACAUGACUCCCACACUUGCUACCAACAGACUCUUGCGUGAGUUGAACAUACUUUUGGUUCAAUUUAAUAAGAGUAUAAACGAGUUUGAUUUCCCCCAAAUGACAAGAGGAAAUGAAUCAAGUUCAGGAAUGACAAGAUGUAUUGAAGAUGAGAUAUCCAUAGGUAUUCCACAACAAGAUCUUGAUGCAAUUGAACGCUUAAAUGAUGACCAAAGAAAUGCGUUUAACAUAAUAAUGGGUGCAGUUCAACGAUCAGAGAAUGCAACUUUUUUUGUGGAUGGUCCCGGUGGAACUGGAAAAACUUACUUAUAUCGCGCAUUGUUAGUAAGCUUGAGAAGGUUGGGCCACAUAGUAUUAGCAACAGCAUCAUCUGGAAUAGCAGCUACGAUAUUUCCUGGUGGGAGGACAGCACAUUCUAAAUUCAAGAUACCACUUAGUCUCGAUGCAUCAUCGAUGUGUUCGAUUGGUAAGCAAUCCGAUUUAGCAAAGCUAAUACAAAAGGCAAAGGCAAUUAUCUGGGAUGAAGCAACAAUGACGCAUCGUCAUGCAUUUGAAGCACUCGAUCGAACAUUCAGAGACCUAACGGAUAUUGACUUACCAUUUGGGGGAAAAAUAAUGAUAUUUGGGGGAGAUUUUUGACAAGUUCUUCCUGUUAUCCGGAAAGGAACCAAGUCCGAACUAAUCCAAGCAAGUGUUGUUAAGGCAUCAUUUUGGUCAGAGGUAAACAUUUUAAAACUCAAACAAAACAUGAGAUCCAUAAAUGAUCGUGAAUUUUCAGAAUUUUUACUUCGUGUUGGUGAUGGGAAUGAAGAUGUUAUUAUGGAUGAUAUGGUAAAACUACCUGAAUGCAUGGUGAUACCAUGGGAGAGUGAGCAUUCCAUUAAUCAAUUAAUUGCCAAAAUCUUCCCUAACUUAGAGGAUCAUAUGAAUGAUGCAACCUACAUGGUGGAAAGGGCAGUGGUAACUCCUACAAAUGAAGACGUUGAUAUGUUAAAUGAAAAGAUAAUCAAUAUGUUUCCAGGUUUAGAAGAGACAAUGUAUUCAUUUGAUUCAGUUGAGGAUGAUGAAAGGAAUUUGUAUCAGCCAGAGUUCUUGAAUUCAAUCUCACUUGGUGGUUUGCCUCUGCACAAGUUAACUCUAAAAAGAGGUGCUCCAAUCAUGCUUUUAAGGAAUAUUGAUCCAAAAUUGGGAUUGUGUAAUGGUACAAGAUUAUUGUGUCGUGGUUCUUACCGAAAUCUUAUUGAUGCUGAAAUUCUAACUGGACAAUUUGCCGGAUCCAGAGUUUUUUUACCAAGAAUCCCUCUUAAAAGUACUGAUACUGCUGGGCUUCCAUUUGAACUUACAAGAAAGCAGUUUCCAGUGAAACUAAGUUUCUCUAUCACUAUAAACAAAUCUCAAGGUCAGACAAUACCACAUGUAGGCGUUUACCUUCCAGAUCACGUCUUCAGUCAUGGACAAUUAUAUGUGGCUUUAUCGAGGGGGGUCUCAAAGUCAACCACAACUGUGUUAGUAAAAAAUGGCUUCAUAGUCGGCCAACAAGGUGUAUUUACACGGAAUGUAGUAUACAAAGAAGUCUUGCUUCAUUCCAGCUAAUUAUGGUGAUUCCUAAUAGGUAACAACUUUAUUAACGAUAAUCUUUCAAUAUGCAUUUCUCACUUAUCUUUUAACUCUUUUUAUUUGAUUUUUAAUUUUCUCACUAUUGUUUGUAGAUUGGCAAUGAAAAUUUGAAGUGUCAAUCAGGAACAAAUGGAUGGAAAUUGCAGCAUUGAUGUCAAUUUUCUUUUCAAAAGAAACAAUGACAUAUAGACUUUAUGGGUAUUGUGAAAAAUGUACAUAUUGUGAUGUCGGUUUUAUAUUUUGACAUUUAAGUUGUUUUGUAUUUUGCUACGAGUACUUAAUGUUUUCAUCUACUUUUUUUUUAUUCACAUCUACUUACUAUUGUUUAUGAACACAAGGUAGGAACUUGCUUCCAGAUGAUGUUGUUUGACAAUUGCAUGAAUAACAUUUAAAUCAUUACUGUAGGCAAAGUGAAAACAAAAAAUAUGACAAUUUUUUAAGACGUGCAUGAUAAAGAUAAAGUUCCUCUUUGCUCAAUACAUCUAAAAUAUAUCUUGACAAUCACAAUGAAAAAGACUAACACAAUACACCUUUAGGGGCGCGUAGCGCCCGUGAUGCAAAAAUGCCUCUCGCACGCACGUUAGUGCGUGCGGAGAGGCUAGUUUAGUAUAUUAAAUAAUAGUAUGUAUUCCUGUCGGUUAUAACCGACAGGAAUAACAAAACAUUAAAAAAAAAAAUAGCCAGCUCGAGGCUGGCUGGCUGGCCAAAGCAGCCAGCCCUCCAGCCCUCUCUGAUCCCGUGGGGCCCUCCCAGAUUCCAGAGCCCUCUGGCCAAGCCCUCGGUUGGAGACGGUUUUAGGGCUAUUUUCGGCCCUCUGACUCUUUGGACCCUUCGGUUAGAGAUGGCCUAACAAGUUCGACUUUGGCUGAGUGAAAGCAAGGAGGAAAGUACACACAUCAUUAAUGAUAGGUCCCAACAAUGAACAAUCUUCCUCACACCGCUGCACAGCAGCAAGCGUGAUGCUCGAAUCUCCUUCGAAAAUAACAUCGACUUCACUUGGGUAGAGUUCCUGGACAAAAACUACUGCCUUCCUUGCCGCUAGAAGCUCAGCUUGCAGCGGCGAUGCAACGUUUUCAAGCGGUUCAGAGACUCCAGCCGCAAAAGAGUUCCCUAACUACCCAGGACAGUCUCUGACAUUUUAGGGGUCCUGUGCAAAAUUUAUAAAAUGACCAUUCCUUAAAAUAUUUUUAAAAAGUAGAACAAUAUAUUGAUGCUAAAAAACAAUCAGUUAAAUCAAAACAAACUUUACCACUCACUUAUUGCAAGUUUAUAAAUAUCAUUAAUUAUAAGUAAAAAAGAGUUACGAACAUAACAUUCACUAAAUAAGCAAAAGAAGUUCAAUCUUAAACAACCAAACAUGAAAAAAAACUUCAAAACUCUAAUUUUAAAGUUUCACUUGAAUAUAACAUAUUAUUAUAUAAUAAAAUUGAAAAAAAAAUAUCGUUUUUAGAGUGUUAUUAUUAACACUAAAAAUAUCUCAUUAUACUCCAAAUUUUUAUAUUUAGAAGGGAAAAAAAUUACUCUUAUAAAGAGUGCACAAUGAGAUUUUAAAGUGCUGACAAAAAUAAUAUUUUAAAUAUAGAACAUUAUUACAUAAUAUUAUAUGGUAAAAAUUUUGGGGGCCCUUCAAAUUUGUGGCAUGUGCUACUGCACCUCCUCCUUUCCUCGACCGCUCCUCCCAUGCCCCGUCAAAGUUACACUUGAUCCAGCCCCCAAAAAAAUUAAAUUGCGUGUGUUCCCCCAAAUCCUUAUUUUAAAGGCCAACUCUUCAAUACCAUCCCUUUGAAGCUACUAUUGAUAAGCCUACCUUGUGCACUAUAUCAUGCAUUUUUACGCAUCCUUCCUUGUCACUCUCUAACAACAAAAAACUACUCUUGAGUAUCUCAAUCAAUGUUUCUACACACUUUCCUGCUUCCCUCUUGGAAUCGAUGUCUUUAAACAGCUGAAGUCCAACCCCAAAUUUCACUAAAUCAUGAACCAGUAUAUCACUGCUUUCCGGAUAUAUGCAGCAGAACAGAAACAAUGAUUUCGCUUCCUCGCUCCCUAAACAUUCGUAGCUCAACUCUAUUUUCCGAUACGCUUCUUGUACCAUCCCUGGAAUAUUUUCGGGGCAAGGCUUUCUUAGUUGUCUCAGUGCAUCCUCCCACGUUUGCUUGCUUUUAUGCUGCAGUGCCCUUCCAACAGUUGCAAUUGCAAUUGGUAAACCGGCACAUUCACUCAGAACCUGUUGUGCUACCGGACGUAGCUCAGGAGAUUCAAUGGAAUUGCCUGCCAUCUCUCUAAGCAAACUCCAAGCUUCUUGCUCUGGCAAAAUACCAAUAGGCAAACUCUUCUUGUUGCCGGACAGAUGGAAACUACUUUGAGCUCUCAUGCUAACACUAAAUUCAUUCAGGAGUCCCAACAUAAAGAUUAUCUUACACUUUCCGUUGGGUGACCCAUAAGGGAUUCCGAUGGCCUCAAGAUCAAUCAUUUCCCGGACAUCAAGAAAUACUACAAGCAACCUCCUAGAGUCUUUGGACAUUCGAGCACGCAGCACCUUUGCCCGUUCAAACAAAUUCCCAUUUCCCAACUUCACUUGUAGAUUAUCUGCAAUCUCAUCUUGUAUUCGUCUCAAGUUGGGAUCAAGGGAUACAACAGUCAUGACAACUUCUUCAAAUAGACCUUGCUGCUUGACUCUCUCCAUGAACUCUUUCGUCGUUACUGUAUCUCCUGUUUUGAUUUCCCCACAAUUAAUGCUAAUCAAGUUGAUAUUUUCAACCUGCAGAGCCCCCAAGAUCUCCCUUGUACAUGGUAGUUUGUAUUCCAAGCGCUCCGAAAGCUUCAUGGGUGGGGGUUCAGUAAAGUUGGAUCUUCUCGAGGAGCUAGCCCCGUCACGAGCCAUAACAGAUUUGAUCAUAGAAUGACAGAAACAAUGAAUGAAAAUAAGCAGCUAAUAAAGAACAAGAGGAAUCGGAAACUGUGAAUAGAGAAAUGCAUGGUCUUGAAGCAGACUUUACUCACAAAAAUCAACUUAGCUUGUCAGCAAAAGGAAUAGGAAACUGUGAAUGGUCAAGUCUAAACAAACAUUAAUUUGAAAAGUAAUUAGCCGCAGCAAACAUUUUAGAAGCAGUCAAAAAUAGCAGCAAAAAUAAAAAAAAUUAAAAAAAAAUAUUCCAAACCCAAAGGAAAGAAUUAACUAGUAAUUAGGCUAGAAUCUCGUCUAGGGUUUGAAAUGACCUGGAGGCCAAAAAAUAAGAUGACAGAAAAAUUUGACUUAACUAAUAUAUGCGUCAUUUUUUUUGUAUUAUGAAAAUGCCCUUCAUAUGUCCCGUACUUUUCACGCCAGCCAUUAACGUUUAACAAAACGAUAGGUAUAAAUUGAAACAAUUUUAAAACCUUAAGGUUGAAGAGACGACUGACCAAACCAAAGAUAUAAAUUGAUGCAAUUCUGAAAUCUCGAUGUAAAAUAAUAAAAUUAAAAUCAUGCGACCUAUUUGAAAACCAUUAUAAAAUCAAAAGGUGCAAAAUGCCGUUAGCACAAACCUUAUCAUCUUAAUAUUUAUUUUUCUAUAGCUAGUGGUUUGUAGCUUAAUAUCCUAGAAAAUUGUCGGCUAUAUAUGUAUGGAUUUCCCAAAAUACAUAUACCAAAAGAACUUAUAAGAAUUAUAAGGUAAAAAAACUCUAAAUGUGUGACCAGAUGUACCAAAUCUCAUAAGUUCGAUAGCUUCAGAAAUCCAUAUUUGCAUGUGUGAUCAUAUCCCUUCUAAGGAUGGUAAACCUCCUUAGAAGGCAAAACUCAACAUAUAACUUCGAAGUUGUUUACUGGACAAUGGAAACGCAAAAUACUUAUGAAGAUUAAGUUUCUUUCCGACUGUCGUUCAGCUCCUUCUGAAGAUUUUCACUUGCCCCGCUGAUACUUAACUUCACUUCCCUUGGUGUGCUAAGGGAACCUAAACAUAAAUUCUCCAUUCGAGGGCAUUCUUCAACGGUUAACUCUUCCAGUGAUGGCCAAUCUAAAUUACAUUUGCCUUGAGAAAAAAUUAUGAGAUUUGGUAGAGCGCGAAGUUCCAAAUAACUUAGCUGAGGGAGCAAGCUGUUAUCCUCUGAUUCUUCAUCCGCUAGCGGUUUUGCAACUACCACUUCCAUCUUCUUGCACUCAAUUAUGGAUAGACCUUUGAGCUUCACCAUACCCCUAGCAAUGGAAGGAGAGAGUAGAAGCUCCAAACUGACACAAUCCGAAAUGUGUAAUGAUGUUAACUGAAAGCCUUGAAUUCGAUUGGAACCCCUGAUUUGCGUCAUUUGAGGUUGGGAAAUUGAAGAUAUUUCGCCCGACUGAGGAAGUGUUGCAGUGGGUUCUUCAUUGGCAUUUGACCCUGUGGACUCAAAAAUCUCUUCCAGGGAAUUGCAACCCUUCACAAUUAACUUGUCUAGUUUAUGCAAUCUAUUCUGCACCUCAACUGCUACCAGAAGAACUAAGUUGCUACAACCGGACACAUGCAGGUCUCGGAGUUCAUUGAAAGAGUAGGGUAGAAGCUCCCUGCUCCAUAACUCUCUGAUAUUUUGCAUAUCACGAAUUUCUAGCGUCUCCAGAACUGGAAAACCAACCUGAAAAUGCAUUGAACUUUGUUAGUACCAACAAUGAUGAAAAGUUAAAACUUGCCAGCAUAGAUUUAGAGUGAUGUGCAAACCUCUUCAUUAAAAAUAUGGUUUGGAACACCAUAAAUUGAUCCCAUGGCUUCAGAUGAUGGAACAAACGUCUCCAUGGUAAGGCAGCCAAUCACCAAAGUUGUCAAUGAUGGCCAGUGAAUAGCGCAUGGAGCACGGCAAAAUGUUCUGAGGGAGGGUAAAUUAUCAAGAUGGAGAGAUUUUACUUGAGGGAAAACAAUUAUCUUUGUUGCCUCUUCAUCUCCAUGGCCUCGUUCAUUUUCGGCAAGAAUGUCUCGCAUCGCAGCACAAUCACUUAUAUACAUAGAUUCUAGUUUCACGAGAUUUUCAGCAACGAACCGUGGGAACACAUAUCUCAAAUUUCCACACUGCAUAACUUGGAGCAUUCUUAAAUUUUGAAACGCCAUGAUGUUUUGAGGUGGAUUCCACAAGUAUUUCAACAAGGGUAGCUUACUCAACUCCAUUAUUUCCAAGUCAGAGAACAGUGCAGGAAAUUGCUUUGGAUUCUGUUUCAUUUCUAGAUCUUCAAAGUCGAAAACUGUUUCCAGUGACCUACAUUCCCUUACUUCAAGUUGUUCCAGACUUUGUAAGUCCUGCACCCAACUGAACGAGAAAAUACCAGUUAGCUUAGCACAUUCCUUCACCGUCACAAAUCGCAGCUGCCAAAAGGGACUAACCUGUUGAAUUAAAGAGAUUGUCAGCUGAGCUAUCCUGAUUUUUUUACAAGUUUUGACACAGAGUUUAGCAGCUGGGGUAACAUAUUACAAUCUUAAGGAAAGGGAAAAUACCUUGGUGUCAAAUAAAUGUUGUUUUGUGGCAUAAGCAAUGCUACUUUCUGGAGCCAAACUAUCUGGGGAAAGACUCAUGAUUUUUGGUAGGUAUUCCAACUUCAACGUGAUCAAUCCAGGAAAGUUGAUCUGACAUGUUGUUUUGCUGAUCCCAACGAACCCUGGUAGUCUUUCAAGAUUCAAGCGUAGCAAAUUGGGGUGAUUGAUCUCGUUGACUUCUUCCUCAUUUUCCGAUCCUUCAGAGGCAACAAUCUGUUUUGAGGUCUGAUCUUUUAAGGCAACAAUCUCUUCCAAAUAGUUGCAAUUCUGUAUGUCUAGCUCUUCGAGUUGCUUCAGAUGGCUAUCUACUGAUAAUAAGAAGAGAUAUUUUAGAAGGUAACAUCUACUCACCUUAACACAUCUCAGAUUUCCUAGACACUGACCAAAUUGACUUGGUAUCUUCCAUAAAUGUGUUAAUUUAGGUAGAGAUGAUAAAGAUAACUCUCUAAGUCCGUUAAAUGACCCCAUUGGAAGCUCGCCAUGAAAAACCGCCUUGAGCUCCUUUAGUUCAUUGAUCUUCAGAGUAUGCAGGACAGGGAAAACGCUUACGUAUCCUAUGUCAAAGACAUGUUGCAGAUCUUCAGAUUGGCAGAGCUUUAGAGAUUUCAAGUUUAAACAACAGCUUCUUCUCAGGUCAUUAAGAGUUCUGCUCAUAUACUUCAUGUCUAACUCUAGAACGUUAGUUUUCUCUAGCAAUAUAGUUAUUCUACUCUCCGCAGGAGAUUCUGCUGCAUAGCUAAGUCUCAAGUAGUUCUCACAGGGAUUCACAUCCCAACAACUAUUGUUCCACCAUCCUAUUGAGAUCUUAAAUCUUUCAAGCUGAUCAAACUGCACCCCUGUUGACUUUACAAGUGGAUUCAGAGCAAUUUCUAAAGUAGUCAAUUGGGACAAGGAACUUAGCUCUGGAGCAAAAUGACAAGUGAUGCCCCUGAUUUUUGAACCUUGAUUUCGAUCCUUAUGUCUGUUCCCUUCAUCUAGUUGUGCUUGGGUUUGUUCCUCAACCUCCCAUUGCUGGAAGCUAUUCCACAGGUACAGUUCUUCUAGAUGAGCUAAACUCGAUAUGACACCCAUUGGAAUUUUCAUAACUCUGCAUCCUGUCAAAUCUAGCAACCUUAGAUUUGACAAGUUUUUAAUUUCAUCAGGAAAUUGAUCGAAGUUGGAUCCACAAAAGCUGAGUACCAUGAGUGUCCUUAGCUCUCCAAUUACGGAUCUAGCUUCCACACUGAGAUUGCAAUUCUCUAGACGCAGCGUUUGAAGGUUUCUCAACAGUGGAAUCGAUGGUAGUAUUGGCAGUGGAAAUCUGCUUCUGAUGGCUAAAACCUUGAUGCCUUCACUUGUUCUCAGAAUAGUGGCAGGUGGUUCCAAUGGACAUUUAUCAGUGCAUGAAACUAAUAAAAGCUCGUUAUGCAUACGAGUUUUAUUGGUUAUAAUGAGUGUACUAGAAGAGUAUUUGCCAGGCCAAUCCUUCAAUUCCACCUUGUGUCUGGUCACAAAUCCUUCUUUACCAUCAGUAGCUAUUGAUAAGGCUACAUCCCGCACCACAUCAUGCAUUUUGACACACCCUUCCUUGUUACUGUCUAACAACAAAAAACAACUUUUGAGUAUGUCAACCAACGUUUCUACACGGUUUCUUCCUUGUACCAGUGAAUCAAUACCUUUAAACAACCCAAGCCCGAAACCAUAUCUAACCAAAUCUUCAACCGGUAUAUUGCUGCAUUCUGGAUACAGACAACACAGGAAAAAACAUGAUUUGGCUUCCUCGCUUUCUAGACAUUCAUAACUUAGCUCUAUUUUCCGGUAAACUUCAUGUAUCAUUCCCGGAAUGUUUUCUGGGCAAGCGUUUCUUAGUUGUGUGAGUGCAUCAUCCCACAUCUUCUUGCUUUUAUGUCUUAGCGCUCUUCCCACCGUCGAAAUUGCAAUUGGCAAACCAGCACAUUCUCUUAAAACCUGUUGCGCUACAGGACGUAGCUCAGGAGACUCAAUGGAUCUGCCUGCCAUGUCCUUAAACAAAGUCCAUGCAUCUUGUUCUGGCAACACACUGAUCGGAAAAUUCCUUUUGGUUUCUAUGUCAUUGAAUAACUCCGCCUAUGUCUUACAUGGCCGGUCCCAAGCCCGGAUAAAGGAGGAGGGGGAGGGCGUCAGGUAGUCGACAGCCGGCACUCCAUGAUCACGUCGAAUCCUUAUGAAAAUGAAUCCAGAACAAAAUCGCGCUAAAGCUAGGGCGUCACCCGUAAGUGGCGCGCUGUGUGGCCUGAGCACAGUGAUAAGUGAGCAAGGGUCGCUGUAUCUCCAUCGGCACCCGGAUGCAGUGUUAAAUGAGCAAGGGGGCCAUAGAAACUUCUUUUCGAACGACUCCACUCAAAGUUGUUUGGGAGCAUAUGCUCCUAUCAACUUUACCCGGGACACACAAAAGAAGUACUUUGAUCCUAUUAGACGGGGGAGGGUGAAGAAGCUAGGACAGAAGGGUAGAGUUCAAGAGAGCAAAAUGCGUUUAGGAACGUGGAAUAUAGGAACCUUAACGGGAAAAUCUAUGGAAGUAGUGGAAGUUAUGGUGAGGAGAAGGAUAAAUAUUAUGUGCCUACAAGAAACUAAGUGGGUUGGUAGUAAGGCAAAGGAUCUAGAAAGCUCAGGGUUUAAACUUUGGUAUUCGGGCACAAAUAGAACGAGAAACGGUGUUGGCAUCAUCGUGGACAAGACCUUGGUACAAGAUGUUGUAGAUGUCAAGAGGGUAGGAGAUAGAAUCAUGGCAAUCAAGAUUGUAAUAGGACAAGAACUUAUCAAUGUGAUUAGUGCGUACGCACCUCAAGUAGGGUUGGAUACGAGUUCGAAUGGAGAAAUUUUGGGAAGAUCUUGGAGACUUGGUGCAAGGAAUUGCUCAGACGGAGAAGUUAUUUAUAGGAGGAGAUUUAAAUGGACACGUGGGCAGGGAGACAGGCAACUAUGGAGGUUUUCAUGGUGGCCAUGGUUUUGGGGAGAGAAACGAGGAUGGGGAAGCUAUCUUGGAUUUUGCAAUGGCAUAUGAUCUCUUCUUAGCCAACACCUUCUUUAAGAAGAGAGAAGAACAUGUGAUCACCUACAAGAGUGGGUCGUCAAAAACACAAAUAGAUUUUCUUCUAAUGAGGAAAGGGGAUCGUAUAACUUGUAAGGAUUGCAAAGUUAUAUACCAGGAGAGAGCGUGGCUAAUCAACAUCGCUUGUUGGUGAUGGAUGUACAUAUCAAAAGAGUAAGACAAAAGAACAAGACUUGGAAGUGCCCAAGGACUAGAUGGUGGAAUCUAAAAGAAGAAAAACAAGCCAUUUUCAAAGAGAAGGUAAUCACCCAAUGUGUGUGGGAUAGAGAGGGGGAAGCUAGCCAAAUGUGGGAUUCCAUGGCUAGUUGUAUCAGAAAAGUAGCAAAAGAGGUAUUAGGAGAGUCCAAGGGCUUUGCCCCACACCAAAAGGAAUCUUGGUGGUGGAAUGAGGAGGUACAAACAAAGGUGAAGGCUAAGAAGGAAUGUUGUAAAGCCUUAUACAAGGAGAGGACUGAUGAAAAUGGUGAAAGGUAUAGAAAAGCGAAGCAAGAGGCGAAGAAAGCUGUCAGAGAAGCUAAGUUAGCGGCUUACGACGAUAUGUAUAAACGACUAGAUACCAAAGAAGGAGAGUUGGAUAUCUAUAAACUAUCUAGAGCAAGGGAAAAGAAGACAAGGGACCUAAACCAAGUGAGGUGCAUCAAGGAUGAGGAUGGAAAGGUUCUUGCUACAGAGAACGCGGUUAAAGACAGAUGGAGAGGUUAUUUUCAUAAUCUUUUCAAUGAAGGACAUGAAAUGAGUGCUUCUUUAGGGGAGUUGAGUAACUCAGAAGAGUGUAGAAACUACUCUUUUUAUCGUCGAAUCCGGAAGGAAGAAGUGGUUGUAGCUUUGAAGAAGAUGAAGCAUAAAAAAGCAAUAGGCCCAGACGAUAUACCAAUCGAAGUGUGGAAACUUUUGGGAGAGACAGGUAUAACAUGGCUCACUGACCUUUUCAAUAGGAUUUUUGAAAACGAAGAAGAUGCCAAAUGAGUGGCGAAUGAGCACUUUGGUGCCUAUCUACAAGAAUAAGGGCGACGUACAAAAUUGCAUGAACUAUAGGGGUAUUAAGCUAAUGAGUCAUACAAUGAAGCUCUGGGAGAGAGUCAUUGAGCAUAGAUUGAGGCAAGAGACACGGGUUUCGGACAACCAAUUCGGGUUCAUGCCAGGGCGCUCAACCAUGGAGGCAAUCUAUCUCUUACGAAGAUUGAUGGAAAGAUAUAGAGAUGGGAAAAAGGAUUUACACAUGGUCUUUAUAGAUUUGGAAAAAGCGUAUGAUAGGGUCCCAAGAGACAUUCUUUGGAGGAUUUUAGAGAAGAAAGGAGUACGAGUAGCAUAUAUCCAAGCUAUAAAGGAUAUGUAUGAAGGAGCAAAGACUGCCGUAAGAAGAACUCAUGAAGGACAAACCGAAAGCUUUCCCAUAACUGUAGGAUUACAUCAAGGCUCAUCCUUAAGUCCUUACCUUUUUGCGUUGGUAAUGGAUGAGUUAACACGGACAUAUUCAAGAUGAUAUUCCUUGGUGUAUGCUUUUCGCAGACGAUAUAGUGUUGAUAGAUGAAACUCAGGAAGGGGUAAAUGCAAAGCUUAACCUUUGGAGAGAAGUGUUGGAAUCUAAAGGUCUUCGCCUAAGCCGAUCAAAGACAGAAUAUAUGGAGUGCAAGUUCAGUGCAAAUGGAGGCCAAAACGAGUUAGGGGUGAGGAUCGGAGAUCAAGAAAUACCAAAGAGCGACCGUUUUCGUUACCUAGGAUCUAUCUUGCAAAAGAACGGAGAAUUAGAUGGAGAUCUCAACCAUAGAAUACAAGCUGGAUGGAUGAAGUGGAAGAGUGCAUCCGGCGUGUUGUGUGACCGCCGUAUGCCACUGAAGCUCAAGGGAAAAUUUUAUAGGACGGCAAUAAGGCCGGCGAUGCUGUAUGGCACAGAAUGUUGGGCGGUGAAACAUCAACACGUACACAAAAUGGGUGUAGCGGAGAUGAGGAUGCUUCGUUGGAUGUGUGGGCACACGAGAAAGGAUAAGAUUAGGAAUGAGGAUAUCCGGGGUAAAGUAGGAGUAGCCGAAAUUGAAGGAAAGAUGAGAGAAAAUCGGUUACGGUGGUUUGGACAUGUGCAAAGAAGGCCUACUGACGCUCCGAUUAGAAGAUGCGACUAUGGGACAGAGGUUCAGGGCCGAAGGGGUAGAGGAAGACCUAGGAAAACUUUGGAAGAGACUCUAAGAAAAGACUUAGAGUACUUGGAUCUAACGAAGGACAUGACACAGGAUCGAGCACAAUGGCGUUCUAAGAUUCAUAUAGCCGAUCCCACUCAGUGACUUGGAUUUUCCAAGUCUCCAACCGAGAAGUUUUCCUCACUCGGGAAAUUAAGGGAACACUACCCCAACCUACAUGCUCCACUCAGAAAGCUUCAACAUACAAGCUUCAACAAAAGAAAAUUCAAAGAACUUAGCGAAGAAGGCUUUGGUGUAUUUAACACAAUACGUUGAAAUGAAGGAAAGCUUAUUUAUUGAUUGAUAUCCCCGAUAAGCUACAAAUAUGUACAUAUACAUGAGUCAAAAUAAACACACAAGAGGGAGCCUUCACAAAGGUUGCUUAGGAGAAGUCUCAGCAGUCGGUAGAGCCCCAGAAAGAGAAGGCACCGGAGGGGGAUCAUUUGGAGCCUCAGUACUGGACAGAACCCUAGAAGGAGGAGGCAUCAGAGGUUGAUCAUUUGGAGCUUCAUUACGCGGUACAGCCCCAGAAGACGAAGGCAAUAAAUGCCUUUGGAACAAACCCACAAAUCUCUGAUGAUCAAGUAAAACCUGACCAUCAGUUUCCUUCAUCUGGUCAAGCUUCCUCUUCAUGUUUGUAGCAUAGUCAUGUGCGAGCCGGUGCAACUGUUUAUUCUCAUGCUUGAGCCCUCUAAUCUCCUGUUUGAGACUCAUCACUUCAGCCGCCAAUGAUUCAACUUGGCGGGUUCGAGCAAAUAGGCGUUGGGCCAUAUUAGACACAGAACCUGCACACUGAACACUGAGAGCCAGCGAAUCCUUAACAGCUAACUCAUCAGACCGUUUGGAAAGUAGUCUGUUAUCUUUGGGAGUGAGAAGGUUCCUGGCCACCACCGCAGCGGUCAUAUCAUUCUUCAUCACGGAAUCCCCAACGGUAAGAGGACCAGUAGGGGAGACGAAGGAUGGGCGCCAUAUGUUGUCUGGAGAAGGCGGGGCUGCCUCUUCAACAAGGUUCAAGUCAAAACGACGGUCGGAGGGGCCAGACAUUUUCAAAGGUGUUGAAGAGAGAAGAGGUCGGACAAAUCAAGAUCUUAGAAGUGCAAGAAUGAAGCUUCUACUGGUGGAGAUUCAAGUGUGCUGCUUUGGAACUUAAUGCCAGCCCCUAUAAAAAUCUGCACUCGACGAAGCUUCAGAAAUCGAAGAGGCGCCUGCUCAGAAAUCGAAGAGGCGUUUGCUUUCUCAAAAGCUGGGCUGCUUAGAGAUCACGAGGGUUGAUCUCAGAAAUCGAAGAGGCGUUUGCUUUCUCAAAAGUUGGGCUGCUCAAAGACCACGAAGGCCGAUCUCAGAAAAUCGAAGAGGCGCUCGCUUUCUCAAAAGCUGGGCUCCCCAGAGACCACGAGGGCCGAUCUCAGAAAUCGAAGAGGCACCUACUUUUCCAGCCUUUUCCAGCCUUGUCAGCACCUGUCACACGCACACUCAGCUUUGCGGAAAUUAUGGGCAUUCUGUCAAAGACUUCUGGGGAAGUAGAAAACACAUGAAUCUUACUGUUCAAUCACCCACUUCCCACACGCAACAAUAGCUCAUGGGUACCACAGAUAACUUUGCCAAAGUUCUCUGCCAAAGUUGAGCACGUGAAGCUUGCAGCUCCCACUACAUCGCUCUGACCAAGAAGGGUAAAAGAAUAGCAAAGAAACAGCACUAACAAACAAAGUUUAGACCCAUAAAUUUUGAAGGUCUAGCUACCAUAUUAUUACCCACAAGGGUAAAGGAACAGUACCACUGCUGGAUAAUUGGAAAGUCCCUGUGUGUCAACCUCUGUGCUUCGUGGCAAGGUAGACUAGCAAACAUGCCCAACCUUUACUCACAUUCGAGAAAACACUCCCAAUAAGAUUGCUUGCUCCAAAAUCGAAGAGGCACCGUCCUCCGAAUCUCGAGAGCCAGACUCCCAACAUGACUACUUUCUUAAAAAUCGAAGAGAGGGUAAAGGAACAGUACCAUUGCUGGAUAAUUGGAAAGUCCCUGUGUGUCAACCUCUGUGCUUCGUGGCAAGGUAGACUAGCAAACAUGCCCAACCUUUACUCACAUUCGAGAAAACACUCCCAACAAGAUUGCUUGCUCCAAAAUCGAAGAGGCACCGCCCUCCGAAUCUCGAGAGCCAGACUCCCAACAUGAUUACUUUCUCAAAAAUCGAAGAGACACUGCUCCCCGAAUCUCGAGAGCCAGACCCCCAGCAUGAUUGCUUUCUCAAAAAUCGAUGAGGCAUCGUUCUCCGAAUCAAUCGAAGAGGCGCUCGCUUUCUCAAAAGCUGGGCUGCUCAGAGACCACGAGGGCCGAUCUCAGAAAUCGAAGAGGCACCUACUUUUCUAGCCUUGUCAGCACCUGUCACACGCACACUCAGCUUUGCAGAAAUUAUGGGCAUUCUGUCGAAGACUUCUGGUGAAGUAGAAAGCACAUGAAUCUUACUGUUCAAUCACCCACUUCCCACACGCAACAAUAGCUCAUGGGUACCACAGAUAACUUUGCCAAAGUUCUCUGCCAAAGUUGAGCACGUGAAGCUUGCAGCUCCCACUACAUCGCUCUGACCAAGAAAGGUAAAAGAAUAGCAAAGAAACAGCACUAACAAAAGUUUAGACACAUAAAUUUUGAAGGUCUAGCUACCAUAUUAUUACCCACAACUGGGUAAAGGAACAGUACCACUGCUGGAUAAUUGGAAAGUCCCUGUGUGUCAACCUCUGUGCUUCGUGGCAAGGUAGACUAGCAAACAUGCCCAACCUUUACUCACAUUCGAGAAAACACUCCCAACAAGAUUGCUUGCUCUCCAAAAUCGAAGAGGCACCGUCCUCCGAAUCUCGAGAGCCAGACUCCCAACAUGACUACUUUCUCAAAAUCGAAGAGAGGGUAAAGGAACAGUACCAUUGCUGGAUAAUUGGAAAGUCCCUGUGUGUCAACCUUUGUGCUUCGUGGCAAGGUAGACUAGCAAACAUGCCCAACCUUUACUCACAUUCGAGACAACACUCCCAACAAGAUUGCUUGCUCCAAAAUCGAAGAGGCACCGCCCUCCGAAUCUCGAGAGCCAGACUCCCAACAUGAUUACUUCCUCAAAAAUCGAAGAGACACUGCUCUCCGAAUCUCGAGAGUCCAGACCCCCAGCAUGAUUGCUUUCUCAAAAAUCGAAGAGGCAUCGUUCUCCGAAUCUCGAGAGCCAGAUACCACAGACCACUUUUUCAAAGUGCUCUGACAGAGUUAAAAACAUGUGAAACUGGCAGCUCCCACUACCGUGCUAUGACCAAGCAGGGUAAAGGAAUAGCAUUACUACUUGUUGUUAGGGAGACUCCUAUAUAUAUGUCGACCUCCAUCCCCAACGGACGGACAGGCAGACCUGCAAAAAUGCUCAACCCUUCAUCAUAUCUGAGAGGGCACUCCCAACGAAGCCUUUCGAAAUAUUCAGCUUUCUUUCCCCCCGAUAAUACCUCUGCAAACAAGCUAUAUACUAGAGCAAGAAUAUCUCAUAUCAUCAGGGUUAAAAGCAAGAGUAUCCCAUAUCAUGCUUUUUCCCUGUCUUUUCUUUUGGCCUUGUUUUUACCUGCAAGACAAGGAGAAAGAGAGCAAUCAGUCAGCACUUGGAAUCAAGCUUCCAGCCAGGAACUGACUGCCUGGAACCCCUUACCUGAUUACUUACCUGGCAUUGCUCUCGAGUACUCAUCUCUUCAACAUCUUAUGUUUCCAGGGAAGAUUCCGCAUCUGCUUGAGGAACAGAUAGGGCAAGUGCGAAGGAUACAAGGAAGCAUGUGGAGACAAGCGUAACAGCACACGUGCCGAUACAUUCCAUUACUCUGUCAAAAGCAAAAGUAUCCCAUAUCAGCAGGGUGGAACGUACUCUAGAUUUGAUGGACUUGUUUUGACCCUCAAAUUCUUCAGUCGGCCUUAUACUCUGGAGGAAACCAGAAAACCCUCCAGCUCAGUUCAAGAAUAAGCCUGUGGAAAGUUACUUCUUCAAAAGCAAAAGUAUCUCAUAUCAUCUCUUCUCAUUUUUCUUCUCUUUAUCCUUCAUGCUGCUGCAAGAUGGGGAGAAGGUGAACAAUCAGUCGGAGCUCUGAUUGCUUACCUUGUCUGUCACCUCUUUCAGCAGACCCCCUAGCUCGGCGACUUGGGGGACUCCUACUACAUGGUUUGUAUCGCGCUUGACCAAGCCUGAAACUACAAGUAAGCUUCAAGUGAAAUUGAUACAUUACCUUGUGCAUCUCCACCAGUUAAAGAUACCACCCCUGGAUGGAGGAAGAGUACUUCCAGAGAAGAUGCCACAUCUACCUAUGAGACAGAUAAGGCAAGUCAAGACGACACCACACUCCGAUACUUAGAAGUUUCGUGAUUACGAGAUCAUUCUCCCACAAUAUUUCCUAAUGUCAUUUGUACUAAAUCAUUCACUUGUACUCACUAAAUGGAGAGCUUGAACCUAUGUACUUGUGUAAACCCUUCACAAUUAAUGAGAAACUCUUCUAUUCCGUGGACGUAGCCAAUCUGGGUGAACCACGUACAUCUUGUGUUUGCUUUCCUAUCUCUAUCCAUUUAUAUAUACUUAUCCACACUAAUGACCGGAGCAAUCUAGCGAAGAUCACAAAAAGCGAUCCGUUUUCGCUACCUAGGAUCUAUCUUGCAAGAGAACGGAGAAUUAGAUGGAGAUCUCAACCAUAGAAUACGAGCUGGAUGGAAAGAGUGCAUCCGGCGUGUGUUGUGUGACCGUCGUAGGCCACUGAAGCUCAAGGGAAAAUUUUAUAGGACGGCAAUAAGGCCAGCGAUGUUGUAUGGCACAGAAUGUUGGGUGGUGAAGCAUCAACACGUACACAAAAUGGGUGUAGCGGAGAGAUGAGGAUGCUUCGUGGGAUGUGUGGGCACACGAGAAAGGAUAAGAUUGGGAAUGAGGAUAUCCGAGGUAAAGUAGGAGUAGCCGAAAUUGUAGGAAAUAUGAGAGAAAAUCGGCUCCGGUGAUUUUGAACAUGUGCAAAGAAGGACUGACGCUCCGGUUCGAAGAUGUGACUACGGGACAGAGGUUCAGGGCCGAAGGGGUAGAGGAAGACCUAGGACAACUUUGGAAGAGACUCUAAGAAAAGACUUAGAGUACUUGGAUCUAACGGAGGACAUGACACAAAACCGAGCGCAAUGGCGUUCUAGGAUUCAUAUAGCCGACCCCACUUAGUGGGAAAAGGCUUUGUUGUUGUUGUUGUUGUUGUUUGUUUCUAUGUCAUUGAAUAUAUCUUGAUUUCGUGAUGACACCAAGAUUUUGCAGCAAGAUGGAAUUCCUACUUCCUCCAUAUCUAUCUGUGUCCAAACGUUAUCUAAUAUUACAAGGACCCUCUUAUUACCCGAUAAUCUUUCUUUUAACUUGUUUGCUCUUCCAGCUAAACUUUGCCCUGUGAGCUUCAGACCUAGAAAAUCUGCGAUUUCCUGUUGAAUAUGACUUAAGUCAGGAGUUUGGGCAAAAACUGCCAUCGCAACCUCAUCGAAUAGAUUCAAUGCUUUUGCUCUCUUCCCAACUUCUUUCACCAAAGUUGUCUUGCCAAUACCUCCCAUUCCACAUAUCACAACCGGAUUGAUUUGAUCAUCGGUUAGAGCAUUCAUUACAUCUCUAAUGGUUAAAUUUCUUGAUUUAAAAUGUAUAUUGCCCUUUACGGAUGUAGAUGCCAAUAACAAUUUGAAAUUUCUUAUAGUUCUCACCUCACUGAAGACAUUUGGGUGUUUGGCUACCAAUAUGAUCUUGCAUCUUUCCUUGCUAUCACCACCAAGGAUUCCAACUGCCACCAAAUCAAGUAAUUCCCAAACAUCAGCCAAAAUCACGAGGAGCCUCUUCGAGUCCAUGGACAUGAUUCUAGAAUUUAGCUUCUCUGCUCGCUCAAGUAAACUUUGAUCUUCCAAAGUCAGCCCCAGCACAUCUGCUAUUACACCUUGUAUCCUUUUCAGGUCAGGAUUCUGGGACACAACUGCCACCGCAACCUCUUCAUAUAAAUCUUGCUCUUUGACUCUGCGGAUGAACUCUUUCGUUGUUACAGCAUCUUCCCGUUCAAUUAUUCCAGCAAUACCAAUCAUAUCGAUAUUGUCAUCUUGCAGAGCUUUCAGGAUCUCCUCUGAAAAGGGUAAUCUAUGCUGAGGACCCGCAAAAAGUUCCAUUGCUGCUGCUGGAGGAGCAGGGUCAGAUGUUCCUGAGGAGCUGCCCCCUUCAUGUAUUGCCGAAAACCCUAUCUCCGGGGGAGGAGCAGGAUACGAAACCCUCGUGAAACUCCCAUCUCUAAGAAGGUUGUCAACCACCAAACUCAUCUUCUUAGCCUUCUCACCCAAGUAACGCCGCGACUUCAACUUCGAAAACCAACCAUUAAAACACCUUGGCUUCUCAACUCUUUCGUUUCCAAAACAAGUCUCCAUUUCUUGUAUAGUCUUGUUUACAUUGCACAGCCAGGUCUCAACUUCAGGAGCGAUUGUCUCCAAAUUCCGGGCUGCUGCCUCCACGGCGAGUUUCACCCCGUCUCUUUUGCCAACCAGCCUCUCAGUUUGAUCGGUGAGAUGCUCUACAUUACUCUUGUAAUGGAUCAAAUAACUUAACUUUCGCCAAACCGGAGUCACAGUGAACUGAGCCAGUUUGGUAACAGCUGAAAUGCAAAUAUCCAUUUUUUUGUAUUUUCUUUUUCUUCCUCUUCCGGUGACUAUGAUCAGAAAUCGCAAAACAAAGCAAUAACAAAGGCAAAGAAAGAAAGAACUUUUUCACUUACAGAUUAACGAAAACGAAGUAAUACCAAAGACAGAAAGAAAGGACCCCUUCACAUAGAGAUUCACACGAUGAAAGCAACCAUGGCAAUAUCAAAGACAAAAAAAAAAUAUUUAAAACAAGGGCGGCUAUUUAAUAGCAAGAGUAAUGUUAGGUUGACAAUCUAUUUAAAUUAUAGUCUGUAAAUCGGUUGUUGAUGAUUAACCAUUUGAUUUCUUCCUAAAAUUUUAUUAUUUUAAGGCAAAUGGUUAUAUAAUUAAAUUUAAAAAAAAAACAGUUGAUUAACAAACUUCAAUUCAUGUGUUGAUGCCUCACAUUUGCUAUGAAAAUUUAGGUUGACUUUUCAAUCUUGUCCAAGUAACGAAUGAGGCAAGUGGUUCUGUAAUUUUUAGAAAGGCUAAUUACAUUUAUACUCUUUAAAUUUGGAUUUAAAUUUGAAAUGAUUUUCACAAUGGAAGAAGUUUUAAUUUCUCAUAUUGUAUCCCGAGGUAUUGGAAUUAUAUCAAUUUGUGCCUUCGAUCAUUGAUUGUAAGAUUUCAUUAAAUUGAUGAGAUGGUGAUUUUGAGACUCUUAUAUGAGUUAAUUGUAAGCCACAUUUACACUAAAUUGACCGGAACAAAACUCGACAAUUUAAUGGAGGAUUAGACAUUCAAAGAGCCAAAAAGUGUAAACUAAUACAACAACAACUAAGCCUUAUCCCAUUAAGUAGGGUCGGCUUUAUCAAUCCUAAAUGGUCACUGUACUCAGUUUUGCGCCAAGUCUUCCAUUAGAUCCAAGUAUUCCAUCUUUUCUUAAAGACUUUUUCCAAGUAUUCAUAGGUCUUCCCGUACCCCUAUUUCCAUGAGCCUCUGUUUCAUAGUCGCAUCUUCUAACCGAAACAUAUGCAGAUCUUUUAUUCACCUGUUUAAACCAUCUUAAUCGAUUUUUUCUCAUCUUAUCUUCAAUUAUGGCCAUUCGAACUUUACCUUGGAUAUCCUCUUCUUAAUCCUAUCAUUGCUCGUGUGCCCACUUAUCUAACAAAACAUUCUCAUCUCUACUACACUCAUUUUUGCACGUGUUGCUUUUUGACCACCCCACAUUGUGUGUCAUAAAUCAUUGUUGACCUUAUCGUCGUCCUAUAAAAUUUUCCCUUGAGCUUUAGUUAUGACGAUCACACAAAAUUAUCUUAUGUUGUCGAUCGAAAACUCUGCAUGUGUAAUUUUAUCUUACGAUGCUAGUCCCAAGCUCGGAUAAAGGUGGAGAGGGAGGACGUCAGGUAGUCGACAGCUGACACUCCACUUUUCACGUCGAAUACCUAUGAAAAGGUGUAAAUUAUACAAUUUUAAAACCUCAAAAUGUAAUGUGAAAAAACUAGCUAGAACCUCAGGGCUUAUUUGGAAAGCUACUUCAAAUUUGGAUGAUAUAAAAUGUAGUUAGCCUUAAAAAAAAAAGUUGAUUUAACAAACUUCAAUUAAUAAACAAUCAAUAGAACUUAUGCUCAUGUGUUUGAUGCCUCACUUUUGCAUAUGGAAAUCCCCUAAAUUAAGGAAGACUUUCGAUUUUAACCACAUCAUUAACGAAGAAAGACUUAUUAAUUAUGGGCUAAAUCACACUUAGAUGGAUAAGGUGUUGAGUUUCUAUCCAUGCAUCUUGGAUUCGAAACUCCCUCAUUUUCUAAAUUAUUAUAAUAGCUUCAAAAUAGGGGCUUAAAAGGAAGCCACCUGUAACAUCCCGAAAUUUCUAAUUCGGAAGCUAAUUCCUAAGAUAGGCCUAAAAAUUAUUUCGGAAGAUAAUCACCAAAUUCCUUUUCAUAGACAAUUUCAAUAAAAACUUUAUCUCAGUUAUUUUAUUCUGGCUACAUCUAACCUCGUUAGACUGCCUACGUACCCCACGAAGGGAUCAAGCCAUUCAUAGUUCACAAAUUCAACCUUUAACUCAUUUUCGAAAAUCAUUCAAGUGACUAACAAUCACUAACUAGUUUCAAACAAGUGAAUCACACCAAUUUCAUAUCAAAUAUGGAUUUAAAAUAACAAAAUUAGCUUAAAAAUACAAAGGCGGACCACUGCCACAUGCCGUCGCCGCUGGCGGUUUCCUGCAAAUGGAACCCAGUUUUUCGACGAACUUCAAAGUUUACCAAAUUUUACAGGCAAGUAGAUUUCAGUGAGAGGAACAACUUUUAUACCUAGGCUGAAGUCCAAUUCGGCCGGGAAACACUUGAAAUUAGCCUUGAUCCGUGUAGAACCCUAGAAUUUGGUGGUUUCAAUUCGACACCAAAACGAACUCUAACACCUCAUCCAAUGCAUGGGCUUUGUUGAUGAGGUUGAGGGAAGUGUAUUGAUGGUGAUGGUUGCCUGAGUUAGCUUCAGAUUUGGUGAAUUUCCACCCAAACCCGUCACACCCACCGUGGGGUUCCUCGUGAAAUCAAACCUUAUUUCGUCUGUUUUGGGGUGAAAAUGGGAGAGGGAUCGAUUGAGGUUUACAUAAGGAUUAAUAUAGCACUGGCCAUGUCAUCUACGGUGGCCGAAAUCGGGAGUUACAGCCGGGUCGGGUCGGUGGGUUGAAAGGGACCCGGUUCAGCCGGUUCGGCCGGUUCCUCCUUUUCUUUCUUUUUUUUCUUUUUUUCCUUCUUCUCUCCCCUUUUCCCCCGAUUAGGCUGCAACCCUCCUUUCUCUCAUUUUCUUUCUUUCCUCUCCCAUCACAAUAUGACACGUGGCACCCAUACAACUACUCAAGCAAACCAGGAGCCUUCCAGAUUCAGGGCAAAUAACCAUUUUGCCCCUACCUUUGUUCGUUUCUAAUUUAUUUGUUUUAACUCCAUUUCAUGAAUGGUUUUCGGCUAUGUGCUCGUGGGAUCGAGCUUUAUCCAAAUAUGACAAGACAAUUUGGAUCGAGCUCUAUUCAAAACCUCAUUUCUCUCCUUUUCUUUCUUUCCUCUCCCAUCACAAUAUUUAUUGUUUUUAAAAAUUAACUCCAUUUCACUUUGUUAAAACUUAAAAGUGGGACUCUUUAGCUCAAACCUAUUUUCACAUGUACGUAAAUAGUGUUGCAUAUUGUAGGUAUUUAGACUUUUUUGCAUGUUUUAUAUAGUUUUAAAACCCACAAUAUCGUGCUCGCACCAUUGCUAGUUAAUUCUAAACUAUAGCAAAGAAAGAAUGAAGAAUAUCGACAGAAAAAAGAAGAAGAAUAUCAAUUAGACUUGAAAACAAAAGGGAAUUCCAUGAAAAGUAAUGAUAUAUGUUAACCAAUAAUCCAGGUUAGAGAGUGCAGCACCAAUGAAUCGUGUAGGAGAGUUAAUUUAGAUCAUAAUAGUGAAGACGGUAACCGUGAAAGAGAAGGGGGAAGGAAGGAGGAGUCUUUAAACCAGACGAGUCAUAAAACCUAGAGGAGUAGUGAAACCCAGUUUAACGUUGCUAGGUUUUAGGUUUUUCUUCUAAUUCUUGUUUUUUAAUUGAAUAAAAAUUAUGAUUAAUUUAAAUAAUGUGGAUGUCUAUAUUAAAUGCCACCUACAGAGGCGGUAUUCAAUUGUGGUACAAAUAUAUGGUAUUCAAAUGUGGUACAAAUACAUGAUGUGGAUGUCCACAUCAAAUGCCACAUAAGAAUAGCAUUAUCAAUCACUAGCAUGUUAUCACAAGCAUAAAUUUAAGUAUUUAUUUAUAUAUUUUUCAUUAACAAAUUAUCUAAAAAUAAAUUGUAAAUCAACCAUAAACCACCCACUAACGUGGAGGUUUUUGGUUUUUGUUAUUUUUUUUUUCUACAUAGGUUGGUUCAGUUGGUAAGGGCUCUGCCUUGUGACUCGUCAAUUGUUUUCUGUUGGUAGGCGAUCUAUAAAAACCAACAAGUGCCAAACCCACACCAAACAAAAUAAGAAUUGUCGUCAUAACAACUCCAUCCAGUACCAAGCACCCCAUCUUCCUCAGUUCUACCUAAAUGUGACCAACUACUCUAGUGUUUUGCCAACAAGGAAACCAUUUGAAACCUUGGGAUUUAAGAGAAGUGGCUAUCAUGUUAAUAGCAAACUCAAGAGUUCGAGCCAAGCAAGCAAAAAAGGCAAAGUCACCUACCCCAACAAGCAGUAUCUCUUGGGAGCUGUUAUAAUGCUCAAUCCACCUCUCCAUUUUUGCUUAGUUGCAGAUUUCUAGUCAACAAGGUCGAUGUUGGUUGAAAGAAGAAGGACUCGCAAGUGAUUGACCUAAAAACCCAUGAGAGCACACACCAUUCGAGAGAAGUGUAGAUUCUAAAUGUGCUUAAACCACAAGACAAGUGAACACAACGCGUCUUCCAAGGUCUAGAUAGAUCGAGGAUGAUAUUCUUAAAAAAUAUUUAGGUAAUGAACUUAUACAUAUCCUUGGAAAGAACUACUAGAGUACGAUAUGAUGCCUAUGAAUUGUAGCAAAAUAAUAAAGGGUGACUAUUCGUUUCUGCGUGAAGAUAGUGAUUGGUGAUGCAAUCCACUGACCACCUACAUUACAACCUUCAUCAAUCUCUUACUAAAAGACGGCUCAAGCCUCACAUCCACAUGGAACUUUUCCUGGUAAGUUUGGUAAGCUUGUGAAAAGAUUAUGCUUCUAAUGUUCCUGUCUGAAUCAAUAUGAACUAGGCGCACAUUUUCGCCGAAUCGAUCGAUCGUGAAUUCCUCACUGAUUGAGCGAGAAACCAUGUCGAGAAGGCUAAAAGAACACUCGAGAAUUUAAGGGACAAAACAAGUCCAUCAAAAUUAAAGUACAAGACCAAGGAUACUUCGCAUUUCACGACACCUUGUGAGGAUUUCCAAUUUCCAACGAUUGCAACCUUUUUGGAAAUUGAUGAGGAUAGCGUAUUCUACUGAAGAGUCUACCAAGAAAAGUAUUUAAUCUAAACGAAGUCGACGCUCGAAGAAUUUGGUGUGAAGUUGACAGUCGAUGGUUAGGGAACGUGACACCGUCUAUGGAAUAAGUGAGAAGGUUAUCGAUAGAACAAUUACCGGGAAUUGUUCUAAGGAUCCACAUGAAUUUUCUCAGCGGGAACGAGUCUGAGAUCAUUGAUUCAAUCCCACCAAUUACCAUUUACUAAACUUCUCAACGUAUAAUGCUUACUCGCCUUUUACAACACACACUUCAAAAGUUUCGAGUAAUUUCCAAAAUGAUAUAACUCUACCUGUCAUUCUUAAGGAACGCAUGUCGCAGAGUAACAUCACCACUUCAGAUCCUCGGUUGGUCUUAACCAACUCUUACCACUAAGAUUUUUUCGUUUCCCAACAUUCCGACGUAGAUCUAACUCUGUCCUUAAUUCCCAUGGAAUGCAUGUUGUAGAGUAUCGAUCUGAUGUUGAAAGUUGUUCAACAAACGUCACCGAUAAGGCACAAUCCCAACAUGAAUUUUCUUUUUUCUUCAAUACGAUGUGACUAUUCAUGCAGUAUGAAGGUUGUAUAACUGUGCCGAAAGACAACGAAUCCGAAAAUUGUGACCUCCAAAUGAUGUCAUGACCGACACACUGCUAGAGUAAGAGAAUAUCCUAAGUAUGCUCUGAACAAAACUAGGCUCUGAUACCAAUCUGACACGCCCCGAUCCUAAUGUUCGGGGGACAUCGAGAUGGCCACGUGCAAGCCGACACCUCGAAGGUGACGCAAGCCAUUUAUGAAUGCAAAUGCUAAGAACAUGUGAAACAUGCACCUAAAUUGUAGCAAGAUAAUAAGAUGUGACAAUUCAUAGUGUGAUGAGGGUACUAUCACCAUAAUAAUAUUCAACUGCCAAUAAUGAAUAUAAUGAUAAUGCAUGACAUGUUCAGAGCAUACAACUAACACAAAUUACAAGUGGAAGUUAAGGUAAAGAAGUGUUAUUACAAUAGAUGUCAAAGCAGAGAGAAUAUAGCACGAUGUCAUUGGUAGGGGAAUGGCUCGUAAGUCAGAUUGUAAUUCUCGUUCCUAUGUCCUAAAGGGGCGCAAAACAAAUAUGAGUGGACCAAGUUGAUAUACAUAAUAGUAAAAUAGUUAUUCAACAUACUAACCCCCAAAGUUUUAUGGAAAUUCAACAGUACAAUAUGUAAUAGGUUUUCUAAAAACCCUAACAUGCCAUAAAACUUUAUGAAACAUAUAACGUAUAUAGUGUGCUAACUAGUGGUAUCAAUAUCAGUAUCAUACGGUCAAAACCACCAACCUACGCCCAGCAGAAGCCACCAACCUACACCCGACUGAAGCCAAUAUAAAUAUCAUCGCCCGCAAGCAGAAUAGUGACCACUAGAUACGCACAAAACAUUGAAUAUAAUCUUUCCAAACAUAGGUACAUGUAUCUCAAAAACAUCUUCAUAGUAUAAAGUCAUCCAUCAUCUAUAAACAUGUUCUAAAUAGUAUAUCGUCAUCCAUCAGGUAUCUUACAAAGAACAUGGGUUCGAUAGAAAAUAUGGUAUUCCAAAAUAUUCUAAGUAAGCAUAAUAAUCUUAUAAGGUAAAUCCAAUUUACUCAUAAAACAUGCUCAUUAAAUCAUGUUUUUCAUGUAUGCAUUUUACUAUUAAAAUAUGCAUUUUAGAAAGGGUCCACUCACAGAUACUCUAUAAGAUCCUAUAUCGCCCAAGGGUGUGGAUCCUCUAAGCCUUAUAUGUAUAUUGCCAUCUCUAUCUAGCAUGAGGCCUUUUAGGAGCUCACUGGCUUCAGGUUCCAUAGGAAAUCUAAAGUUAAGUGAGUUCGCACGAGAGCAUUCCCAGGAUGGGUGACCUACUAGGAAGUUCUUGUGUGAGUUCCCAGAAACAAAGCCAUAAGGGCGUGGUAGGGGCCCAAAACGAAUAAUAUGUGCUACUAUGGUGGAGUUGAGCCCGGGAUGUGGUGGGCGCCAGGGCCGGGAUGUGACAAUUUGGUAUCAGAGCCAAUCCCUGGCUGGAAGUGUGCCGAUGAGGACAUCGGGCCCCUAAGGGGGAUGGAUUGUAAGAUCCCAUAUCGCCCAAAGGUGUGGAUCCUCUAAGCCUCAUAUGUAUAUUCCCAUCUCUACCUAGCACGAGGCCUUUUGGGAGCUCAUUGGCUUCGGAUUCCAUAGGAACUCCGAAGUUAAGCGAGUUCGCGCGAGAGCAUUCCCAAGAUUGGUGACCCACUGGGAAGUUCUCGUGUGAGUUCCCAGAAACAAAACCGUGAGGGCAUGGUCAGGGCCCAAAGUGGACAAUAUCAUGGUACGGUCGAGUCGAGCUCAGGAUGUGGUGGGGGCUGGGCUGGGAUGUGAUAUACUCCGCCGCCGAAGAUCUAUGCAAACUAGCGAAGACGGAAUCGCCAUAAUGUAUGCACCUAAGCACAUAAAGAGUACAAUUAAUAAAACUACACUCAAAUGAUUGAAUUUGGAAAAAUGAACGUAAAAAACGAGUCCAAGACGUCGAAAUUAGCCUAGUAGGGGUCCCAAACGAAAACCCAAAAAGUCAACAAAAGUCAAAGUUGACCGUUGACUGGUCAAAGUCAAAGUCAACGUUGACAGUUGACCGGGUCAAAUUCAAAGGCCGAUCAACGGGCCUGGGUUUGGUUCGGGUUGGGCUUAGGGUUUGUGGGCCGGAUCCAUGGCUUAAAGGCCUAGGGUUCAAAUAGGGUUAAAGGGUUAAGGGCUUUGGUCUAUUAGGCUUGGAAGCCCGGCCGAAAUGCCCAUUGGAUUUUUAGGAAUUAUAUAAAAUAAAAUAAAAUAAAUGAAAAGGUUUGGGUUUGGGUCUGACGGGCCUAAGGCCAAAGUGUUAAACGGCGCAAGGGCCUCCAAUUAAAAAGGUUUAGGGUUUGGGUCACAAAAGGGUUGGGCUCGAGGGUUUAAAGGGCCAAAGGCCCAAUGUUUGGUCACGGACCGAAGGGCCUGGGUUUGAUAUCUCGCCAAGGAAGGAAGCCGAAGCCUUCCAUGCUCCGGUCAACGACGAUCUACUUCCCUAAGGUCCGAUCUAGGUGUUAAAACAAAGGUAGAAGUGAGAGGAAUAUAACGUUACCUGAGACUCGACGUGGAACAACCGAAGGUGGUCAGGUUUUGCUCGACAAUCACUGGGCUCACCGGAGUUUGGGUUUUGGGUGCCCUCUAGGUGCUUCAAAGUUCCACAAAGACAAAAGGAGAGAAAGUAGAUGCCGAUGAUGGUGGUGGUACUGUCGUCGGUGAGUGUGGGGGUCUCAGGUGUGCAUGAGUGGUGUGGGUUCGAUCGGGGAGAAAGUGAGAGGGAGAUGAGAGUGAGUGAAAGGGGUAGAGAGCUGAGAGAGAGAUAUCGAAGGAUAGAAAAAGAAAAGAAGAGAUUGAAAAUUUAAAUAUAUGAAUAUGUGGAGAAAAUCGAAAAUAGAUCGAUUUAUGGUUAUGAAAAUUUAAUUGAGGAACUUAGAAGUUUUGUUUCUGAAUUUUUUUAUAAUUUAUGUUGUAAAAUUGAUCGAUAAGUGAAAAAAAUGGAAAUGGACUUAGUGGGUUUAACGUAAUUAUACGAGGACGUAUUUUAUACUUAUAUAUAUUAAAUUUUUUCUUGUUAAAUUUGGAUAGAGCACAGCCCUACAAGCGCAUAGGCUCCAACUGUUCGUGAAACAGAGUUAUUAGCGUCUAAAGUCGGGGACAAUUUUGUAAAUUUAACCCCCUUUAGAAAGCUCCAGAUUUUCUGGAGCACUAAGAUUAUGCCACGUGUGUGGCCGAGAUGAGAAGAAAAGAAAAGAAAGGAAGGAAAUGGAUGGCUGUGAUGGAAAGGAAAUGGCAUAAAAGGGAGGGACACAGACGAAUCAGGAGGGAAAAAAGGAGGUAAAUGAGGGAGAAAGAGGGAAGAGAACCGGAUCCAUUUUGAGGCUGGCUCAACCCGUAUCCUUGACCCGGUCCUAUCUUCCCUGUCCGAUAUUAGUUGGAGGUGAUUUUGGUGUCUAUGGAAAGCUCUUGAUGAGCCCAACAUCCCUGCGGUGUUAGAUUCUUAAAUUUCUUAUCCAAUUUUAUGAAUCGAAGCUAUAAACCCACGGUUGUACCGGUAGAUUUCCCCUUUUUUCGGUGAAUUCUGAAACGAUCUCCUUCAAUUACCACCACCUUUGGACUCCCCUUGAGGUUUGGAAUAAAGCCCAUGCAUUAGUUGGGGCGUCAAAAGGGUUUUGGAGUCAAAUCAAGAACACCCAAAUUCAAGCGUUUCUGACAGUUUAAGGGCUAUUUGAAGUGUUUCUCGGUUGAAUUGGACUUCAGCCCACGUAUGAAAGUUGUUCCUCUCAUUGAAUUUUACUUGGCUGUAAAAUUUGGUAAUUUUGGAGUUAGUCGUAAAAUUUGGUAAUUUUGGGUUUCCGUUCGCCGAAAACCGCACCUGCGGUGGCACGUGACCAGUGGAACGAUGCUACCAUUUUUUGUAAAUUUUGAUAUUUUAAAUAUGAAUUUGUUAUCCAAUUGAUGUGUUUGUUUGUUAAUUUGUUAAACCCAAUGUUUGUUAUUUCGGUUACUUAAGUAGUUUCGGAAGUGGAUUGAAAAUGAAAUGUGAACUACGAAAGGCUUGAUCCUGUAUCAAGGGUAUGUAGGUAGUCUAACAAGGGUUAGAUGCAACCUUAAAUGUUUGAGUUUAAUCAUGUGUUGAGAUUUUGUUUGAAGGAAAGAAACUUUGGUGAAUUAUUUGGAAUUUAAAUCUUAUGUUUUUGGUAAGUAAAUUAUGGGCUAUAUUUUAUGAAAGAUUUUGUGAAAGAUUAAGGAAUUGAAAUAAAGAAUUGUGAUAAAUUGAUAAUUAAUUAAGUAAGAGUUUAAUUUUGGCCUACCACCGAAAUCAUUUUCCAAAAUAAAAUUUUCAAGUCGAGGCAUUACUUUCAGUGCUUGCCACGUGGCAAGCUGUGAGAGGAUGAGAGGUUUGAGGGAAUCCAAAAAGUGGAUCCGGAUUGGGUGAUGGACAGGGGACCAAAAUGAAACUUUCAAUAAUUCUUUAGGAAAAAAGUAAAAUUACGAAAUACUUUUGGGGAGGGGUUUUACAAAGCUACCUUCUGUCCCUUGUCACUGGGCCUAGCAAACGGAUUGUGUAUGUCGUCCUUGUGUCAUUUUCGUGUAACACUUGUUAUCUUAACGGGUCGUGUUGUGUCACACCUGUUAUGAGCUGUUAAGAAAGAAAAAAAAAAUUCUUAAAUUUGCACAUACCACACAUUGCCACAUAAAUAUUACAUCAAAACAUUGAAACACAUUUGUCAUUUAAGUACUACAUCUACACUCGAAAAUAAGAGUCAAAUAAACAAACAUCCAUACACUACUAGUCUAUUACAAAAUAUUAAAUGCGCAAAGAUAUGCAAAAUGAAAGAGUUUUUGUUUUCAAGGUCGAGAAGCCUUUCUCAAAAGUUUAAACAUUGACAAUGGAACUCAAAGCUUGCAUGUUAUUCCUUUUACAAAAUCCUCAAUUUUCAUCGAUCAUCAUGACAUAAGAUUUUGUGGUAUCCACUAGUGUAAAUAUUUUAAAUUGAAGAUUGAAUUCAUUCAUUGUAUUCAUAUAGGGUCAAGGAGUGUAGCUGUAAAAAAUCAUCAAAAUCGGAGUUAAAAUAACCGUUAAAUAGUGAUUUUUUGUUGAUAACCGUCAAAAAGUUUUGUCCCGUUACUUGAUCUCUAAAUGUUUGUUUUUUGCAAUUUUUGGCGUAUGCGAUCUUGAAGCAUAUAUAAACAAGUUUGACGGUUGGAUCAUUGAAAUUAGUUUCGUAGAAUGCAUAUCCCAUCAAAAUGAUAGAUUCACUAACACUUAGAAUUUAUUUAUACUUUCAUUAAGUAUAACAUAAGAUUUUGUGGUAUCCACUAGUGUAAAUAUUUUAAAUUGAAGAUCAAAUUCAUUCAUUGUAUUCAUAUAGGGCAAUGAGUGUAGCUGUAAAAAAUCAUCCAAAUCGGAGUGAAAAUAACCGUUAAAUCGUGAUUUUUCGUUGAUAACCGUUGACAAGUUUUGUCCCGUUACUUGAUCUCUGAAUGUUUGUUUUUUACAAUUUUUGGCAUAUGCAAUCUCAAAGUAUAUACAAAGAUGUUUAACGGUUGGAUCGUUGAAACUAGUUUCGUAGAAUACGUAUCCCAUCAAAACAAUAUAUUCACUAACACUUAAGAGUUUAUUCAUACUUUCAUUAAGUAUAACAUAAGAUUUUGUGAUAUCCACUAGUUCAAACAUUGACAAUGGAACUCAAAGCUUGCAUGUUUUUCCUUUUACAAAAUCCUCAAUUUUCACCGAUCAUCAUAACAUAAGAUUUUGUGGUAUCCACUAGUGCAAAUAUUUUAAAUUGAAGAUCAAAUUAUUCAUUGAAUUUAUAUAGGGUCAAGGAGUGUAGCUGUAAAAAAUCAUCAAAAUCGGAGUUAAAAUAACCGUUAAAUCGUGAUUUUUCGUUGAUAACCGUCAAAGUUUUGUCCCGUUACUUGAUCUCUGAAUGUUUAAUUUUUGCGAUUUUUGGCGUAUCCAAUCUUGAAGCAUAUACAAACAAGUUUGACGGUUAGACGUGAUCGGAUCAUAUUUAUAUAUAUUUUUACUUCGAUUUCACUCGUCUUUUCUUAGUUAGUUCCUUAUAUUUUUGAGCUAUUUACGUUAUUUUUGUGUUUAUAAGAUUUGAUAUGUUUUGUAGAAAGAAUAAAGAAAAGAAAAGGAAAAAAAUAAAAAAAAUAAAAGAAAGAAGAAAAGAAAUGAAAAAAAAAUAAAGAAGGAUAAUGAGGGGGGAUUGGUGGACGAAAAAGGUGCUGCCUUUGGGCAGCUCGCAGAGAGCGCAGGAGGCGCAGAAAAACAGGGGAGGAUUGACGCGAAAAGGAACGCUGCCUUGGCAGCGUGGCAGAGGUCAGAUGGGAGUGAGAGAAGCAGCAAAACUGCAAGCUGCACAGAAAAAUAUAAGAGAUGGACAGCGCAGGGAGAGACUGGCGGGGAAGCACAGCAAUACAAAAGAAAAGCUCCAGAGAGCAAGGCAGCAAGAAAAUUAGAGGCUUCACUCCAUUUCUCUCGGUUAAAUCUUUCCAAACUUAUAUUUUAUUUCUGUUUUAAUAAUGUGUAACUAAUUUUAUUUUGGCUAGAGGUUAAUUCAAAACCAUGAAUAUAUUUGUAAUAUGAAUUGAUUACCUUCGGUUGUGAUUUCAUAAGUUGUGAAUUCAAUUUACUUAUCCGUUUGUAUAAAAACUGAUUUGUGUAUGUUGGUUGAGAGUGCACGCUUAAUUUACAUGCAUGAAUUUGAUGCUAGAAUAUAAGUGAAUUUCACCUAAUCGUUAUGAACUUAUAUUCACAAGUAGUAAAGGUUGCUAGUCACAAUCACGUUAAGUAAAUUCUUGGCAUAAGUUUCAUGCAAAUCAUAGUAACGAGUGUCCCGUCAAUGCUUAUGUUUUUCACAAAACUUAAUGAUUCUUGCUUGUAUCUCUAUUAUGCAACUCAUGUAGGGAACUUGUAGGGAAUGUUUUGGGUUGUCGUAUGCAAUCAUCCAACCCAAUAACUUGUGGAAAAACUGAGGGUUAAUUAGUGCAAUUCACGGUUAAUUUGGGGCGUUGAGUAUUCAUAGCUUAUCGAAAAGCAACUGGAAAUCAUUUUGUAUGCAAGUAUAACAUGUGUGGAGAAGAACCCUCUAGCUAGUCCGUCAUUUAUCAUUUUACCUUAAUUUUAUGUUUUUGUCAAUUCUGUAAUUUAAUUAAGUUUAAUUUACUUUUCAUCAAAACCAAACACCCAUCCAUUAUUAAAUUAUAUUAUUUAGUUAGUUUUCCUUAUUGUUAGUCUUUUAAUUUAAUUUCCGUCCAUUUCAGUUCCUAGUGUUUAAUUUAAUUGUUUUCAUUAUUUUGAGUCAUUUUAAGUGUGUUUCGAGUUAUUAGAGUUUUUAGCCUAGUUUUGUGUCCUUGAGUCUUAUUUAAUAUUUUUAAAUUAAUUUACAAUAGAUUAGCAAUCCCUCCUAAUCCCCGGCCUAGAACGAUACCCUACUUACAUCUAUACUACAAUUGUCAAAAAGAGGGUUUAAUUUGUGUGUCAAGUAAUUCUCGCACCAAGACGUUGAAACUAGUUUCGUAGAAUGCGUAUCCCAUCAAAACAAUAGAUUCACUAACACUUAAGAGUUUAUUCAUACUUUCAUUAAGUAUAACAUAAGAUUUUGUGAUAUCCACUAGUUUAAACAUUGACAAUGGAACUCAAAGCUUGCAUGUUAUUCCUUUUACAAAAUCCUCAAUUUUCAUCGAUCAUCAUGACAUAAGAUUUUGUGGUAUCCACUAGUGUAAAUUUUAAAUUGAAAAUCAAAUUCAUUCAUUGUAUUCAUAUAGGGUCAAGGAGUGUAGUUGUAAAAAAUCAUCAAAAUCGGAGUUAAAAUAACCGUUAAAUCGUGAUUUUUCGUUGAUAACCGUCGAAAAGUUUUGCCCCGUUACUUAAUCUCUAAAUGUUUGUUUUUUGCGAUUUUUAGAAUAUGCGAUCUUGAAGCAUAUACAAACAAGUUUGACGGUUGGAUCGUUGAAACUAGUUUCGUAGAAUGCGUAUCACAUCAAAACAAUAGAUUCACUAACACUUACGAGUUUAUUUAUACUUUCAUUCCACUAGUGUAAAUAUUUUAAAUUGAAGAUUGAGUUCAUUCAUUGUAUUCAUAAAGGGUCAAGGAGUAUAGCUGUAAAAAAUCAUCAAAAUCGGAGUUAAAGUAACUGUUAAAUCGUGAUUUUUCAUUGAUAACCGUCGAAAAGUUUUUGUUCUGUUACUUAAUAUCUGAAUGUUUGUUUUUUACAAUUUUUGGCAUAUGCAAUCUCGAAGUAUAUACAAAGAUGUUUGACAGUUGGAUCAUUGAAACUAGUUUUGUAGAAUGCGUAUCUCAUCAAAACAAUAGAUUCAUUAACACUUAAAAAUUUAUUCAUACUUUCAUUAAGUAUAACAUACCACUAGUGUAAAUAUUUUAAAUUGAAGAUCGAGUUCAUUCAUUGUAUUCAUAUAGGGUCAAGGAGUGUAGCUGUAAUUCAUUGUAUUCAUAUAGGGUCAAGGAGUGUAGCUGUAAAAAUUCAUCAAAAUCGGAGUUAAAAUAAUUGUUAAAUCAUGAUUUUUCGUUGAUAUUUUAUCCCGUUACUUGAUCCCAACUUGGUAAUUACCACCUAUACAAUCCGUCAGAUGUGAUGUUUUAUCACAAAAGAUAUCGGUGUUAAUUAGUAAGAGUUAGAAUAUUUAAACUACUACUUAUCUUUUACUGCGACCGAUGUGGGAUUCAACACUCAACACUGUCUGCAUUGACGUGUAGCCAUGUGCUUCGAGAUUAAAGAGCAUGCAUGGUAGCUCUGGUAAAGAUUGAAGGCUCUUGCAGUUGUUUAAGCACAGGCGAUACAGGUGAGUAGCUUGUUUGACGCUUGCAGGGAUGCUCUCAAUCAUUGUUCCACAUAGAUCUAAGUCUUGUAAUGAGAUUAAGCAAACAAGGCGAUCUGGGAUUUCAAGUAUACCGGAGUUACUGAUGUUUAGUUCUUGCAAAGAGUGGAACCCCACUGAGAAGGGAGGCAGUUGUUUAAGUUUCAAACAGCCAUCAAACCUGAGAGUUUCAAGAGAAUUUAAAUUGUAGAUGCUGUUAGGGACAGACUCAAGGUUAUUGCACCCAUAUAGUGCUAAUUCUUGAGCCCCAGUUAGAUUUUUAAUCCCACAUCGACAUGCAUGUGAGGGGAUAAUAUCGGUGUUGUUGGAACAGCCAUUAAUUGGGUCCCAUGUGAGGGGACGUGUUGGAUCCCACAUCGAUCAUAGUAAAAGAUAAGUAAUGGUUUAAAUAUCCUAAGUUUACUUUAACUAAUACCGAAGCCUUUUGUGACAAAACCUCACACAUGACGGAUUGUACAUGUGGUAAUUACUAAGUUGGGGACAAUAUCGGUGUUGUUGGAAGUGGGCCGUAUGAUCCGUCUCUAUGAUAAUUUUACAUCAAGUUCAAGGGCUGCAGUACUCAAAGACUGAUAACUAGGCAAACUUUCCAAAGCAUUACGAGGUACAUAUAUUUUCCAAUUGCCUAGCAUUGGGUUAACUCCGCCUAUGUACUUACAUUGCCGGUCCCAAGCCCGGAUAAAGGAGGAGGGGGAGGGCGUCAGGUAGUCGACAGCCGGCACUCCAUGAUCACGUCGAAUCCUUAUGAAAAUGAAUUCAGAACAAAAUUGCGUUAAAGCUAGGGCGUCACCCGUAAGUGGCGCGCUGUGUGGCCCGAGCACAGUGAUAAGUGAGCAAGGGUCGCUGUAUCUCCAUCGGCACCCGGAUGCAGUGUUAAAUGAGCAAGGGGGCCAUAGAAACUUCUUUUCGAACGACUCCACUCAAAGUUGUUUGGGAGCCUAUGCUCCUAUCAACUUUACACGGGACACACAAAAGAAGUACUUUGAUCCUAUUAGACGGGGGAGGGUGAAGAAGCUAGGACAGAAGGGUAGAGUUCAAGAGAGCAAAAUGCGUUUAGGAACGUGGAAUAUAGGAACCUUAACGGGAAAAUCUAUGGAAGUAGUGGAAGUUAUGGUGCGGAGAAGGAUAAAUAUUAUGUGCCUACAAGAAACUAAGUGGGUUGGUAGUAAGGCAAAGGAUCUAGAAAACUCAGGGUUUAAACUUUGGUAUUCGGGCACAAAUAGAACGAGAAACGGUGUUGGCAUCAUCGUGGACAAGACAUUGACACAAGAUGUUGUAGAUGUCAAGAGGGUAGGAGAUAGAAUCAUGGCAAUCAAGAUUGUAAUAGGACAAGAACUUAUCAAUGUGAUUAGUGCGUACGCACCUCAAGUAGGGUUGGAUACGAGUUCGAAUGAGAAAUUUUGGGAAGACCUUGGAGACUUGGUGCAAGGAAUUGCUCAGACGGAGAAGUUAUUUAUAGGAGGAGAUUUAAAUGGACACGUGGGCAGGGAGACAGGCAACUAUGGAGGUUUUCAUGGUGGCCAUGGUUUUGGGGAGAGAAACGAGGAUGGGGAAGCUAUCUUGGAUUUUGCAAUGGCAUAUGAUCUCUUCUUAGCCAACACCUUCUUUAAGAAGAGAGAAGAACAUGUGAUCACCUACAAGAGUGGGUCGUCAAAAACACAAAUAGAUUUUCUUCUAAUGAGGAAAGGGGAUCGUAUAACUUGUAAGGAUUGCAAAGUUAUACCAGGAGAGAGCGUGGCUAAUCAACAUCGCUUGUUGGUGAUGGAUGUACAUAUCAAAAGAGUGAGACAAAAGAACAAGACUUGGAAGUGUCCAAGGACUAGAUGGUGGAAUCUAAAAGAAGAAAAACAAGCCAUUUUCAAAGAGAAAGUAAUCACCCAGUGUGUGUGGGAUAGAGAUGGGGAAGCUAGCCAAAUGUGGGAUUCCAUGGCUAGUUGUAUCCGAAAGUAGCAAAAGAGGUAUUAGGAGAGUCCAAGGGCUUUGCCCCACACCAAAAGGAAUCUUGGUGGUGGAAUGAGGAGGUACAAACAAAGGUGAAGGCUAAGAAGGAAUGUUGUAAAGCCUUAUAUAAGGAUAGGAUUGAUGAAAAUGGUGAAAGGUAUAGAAAAGCGAAGCAAGAGGCGAAGAAAGCUGUGAGAGAAGCUAAGUUAGCGGCUUACGACGAUAUGUAUAAACGACUAGAUACCAAAGAAGGAGAGUUGGAUAUCUAUAAACUAGCUAGAGCAAGGGAAAAGAAGACAAGGGACCUAAACCAAGUGAGGUGCAUCAAGGAUGAGGAUGGAAAGGUUCUUGCUACAGAGAACGCGGUUAAAGAUAGAUGGAGAGGUUAUUUUCAUAAUCUUUUCAAUGAAGGACAUGAAAGAAGUGCUUCUUUAGGGGAGUUGAGUAACUCAGAAUAGUGUAGAAACUACUCUUUUUAUCGUCGAAUCCGGAAGGAAGAAGUGGUUGUAGCUUUGAAGAAGAUGAAGCAUAGAAAAGCAAUAGGCCCAGACGAUAUACCAAUCGAAGUGUGGAAAGUUUUGGGAGAGACAGGUAUAACAUGGCUCACUGACCUUUUCAAUAGGAUUUUGAAAACGAAGAAGAUGCCAAAUGAGUGGCGAACGAGCACUUUGGUGCCUAUCUACAAGAAUAAGGGCGACGUACAAAAUUGCAUGAACUAUAGGGGUAUUAAGCUAAUAAGUCAUACAAUGAAGCUCUGGGAGAGAGUCAUUGAGCAUAGAUUGAGGCAAGAGACACGGGUUUCGGACAACCAAUUCGGGUUCAUGCCAGGGCGCUCAACCAUGGAGGCAAUCUAUCUCUUACGAAGAUUGAUGGAAAGAUAUAGAUAUGGGAAAAAGGAUUUACACAUGGUCUUUAUAGAUUUGGAGAAAGCGUAUGAUAGGGUCCCAAGAGACAUUCUUUGGAGGAUUUUAGAGAAGAAAGGAGUACGAGUAGCAUAUAUCCAAGCUAUAAAGGAUAUGUAUGAAGGAGCAAAGACUGCAGUAAGAACUCAUGAAGGACAAACUGAAAGUUUUCCCAUAACUGUAGGAUUACAUCAAGGCUCAUCCUUAAGUCCUUACCUUUUUGCGUUGGUAAUGGAUGAGUUAACAGGACAUAUUCAAGAUGAUAUUCCUUGGUGUAUGCUUUUCGCAGACGAUAUAGUGUUGAUAGAUGAAACUCAGGAAUGGGUAAAUGCAAAGCUUAACCUUUGGAGAGAAGAGUUGGAAUCUAAAGGUCUUCGCCUAAGCCGAUCAAAGACAGAAUAUAUGGAGUGCAAGUUCAGUGCAAAUGGAGGUCAAAACGAGUUAGGGGUGAGGAUCGGAGAUCAAGAAAUACCAAAGAGCGACCAUUUUCGUUACCUAGGAUCUAUCUUGUAAAAGAACGGAGAAUUAGAUGGAGAUCUCAACCAUAGAAUACAAGCUGGAUGGAUGAAGUGGAAGAGUGCAUCCGGCGUGUUGUGUGACCGCCGUAUGCCAAUGAAGCUCAAGGGAAAAUUUUAUAGGACGGCAAUAAGGCCGGCGAUGCUGUAUGGCACAGAAUGUUGGGCGGUGAAGCAUCAACACGUACACAAAAUGGGUGUAGCGGAGAUGAGGAUGCUUCGUUGGAUGUGUGGGCACACGAGAAAGGAUAAGAUUAGGAAUGAGGAUAUCCGGGGUAAAGUAGGAGUAGCCGAAAUUGAAGGAAAGAUGAGAGAAAAUCGACUACGGUGGUUUGGACAUGUGCAAAGAAGGCCUACUGACGCUCCGAUUAGAAGAUGCGACUAUGGGACAGAGGUUCAGGGCCGAAGGGGUAGAGGAAGACCUAGGAAAACUUUGGAAGAGACUCUAAGAAAAGACUUAGAGUACUUGGAUCUAACGAAGGACAUGACACAGGACCGAGCACAAUGGCGUUCUAAGAUUCAUAUAGCCGAUCCCACUCAAUGACUUGGAUUUUCCAAGUCUCCAACCGAGAAGUUUUCCUCACUCAGGAAAUUAAGGGAACACUACCUCAACCUACAUGCUCCACUCACAAAGCUUCAACAAAAGAAAAAUUCAAAGAACUUAGCGAAGAAGGCUUUGGUGUAUUUAACACAAUACGUUGAAAUGAAGGAAAGCUUAUUUAUUGAUAUCCCCGAUAAGCUACAAAUAUGUACAUAUACAUAAGUCAAAAUAAACAAACAAGAGGGAUCCUUCACAAAGGUUGCUUAGGAGAAGUCUCAGCAGUCGGUAGAGCCCCAGAAAGAGAAGGCACCGGAGGGGGAUCAUUCGGAGCCUCAGUACUGGACAGAACCCUAGAAGGAGGAGGCAUCAGAGGUUGAUCAUUUGGAGCUUCAUUACGCGGUACAGCCCCAGAAGACGAAGGCAAUAAAUGCCUUUGGAAUAAACCCACAAAUCUCUGAUGAUCAAGUAAAACCUGACCAUCAGAUUCCUUCAUCUGGUCAAGCUUCCUCUUCAUGUUUGUAGCAUAGUCAUGUGCGAGCCGGUGCAACUGUUUAUUCUCAUGCUUGAGCCCUCUAAUCUCCUGUUUGAGACUCAUCACUUCAGCCGCCAAUGAUUUCAACUUGGCGGGUUCGAGCAAAUAGGCGUUGGGCCAUAUUAGACACAGAACCUGCACACUAAACACUGAGAGCCAGAGAAUCCUUAACAGCUAACUCAUCAGACCGUUUGGAAAGUAGUCUGUUAUCUUUGGGAGUGAGAAGGUUCCUGGCCACCACCGCAGCGGUCAUAUCAUUCUUCAUCACGGAAUCCCCAACGGUAAGAGGACCAGUAGGGGAGACGAAGGAUGGACGCCAUAUGUUGUCAGGAGAAGGCGGGGCUGCCUCUUCAACAAGGUUCAAGUCAAAACGACGGUCGGAGGGGCCAGACAUUUUCAAAGGUGUUGAAGAGAGAAGAGGUCGGACAAAUCAAGAUCUUAGAAGUGCAAGAAUGGAGCUUCUACUGGUGGAGAUUCAAGUGUGCUUUGGAACUUAAUGCCAGCCCCUAUAAAAAUCUCUGCACUCGACGGAGCUUCAGAAAUCGAAGAGGCGCCUGCUCAGAAAUCGAAGAGGCGUUUUCUUUCUCAAAAGCAAGGCUGCUCAAAUACCACGAGGGUCGAUUUCAGAAAUCAAAGAGGCGUUUGCUUUCUCAAAAGCUGGGCUGCGCAAAGACCACGAAGGCCGAUCUCAGAAAUCGAAGAGGCUUGCUUGCUUCUCAAAAGCUGGGCUGCUCAGAGACCACGAGGGCCGAUCUCAGAAAUCGAAGAGGCACCUACUUUUCCAGCCUUGUCAGCACCUGUCACACGCACACUCAGCUUUGCGGAAAUUAUGGGCAUUCGGUCGAAGACUUCUGGUGAAGUAGAAAGCACAUGAGUCUUACUGUUCAAUCACCCACUUCCCACACGCAACAGUAGCUCAUGGGUACCACAUAUAACUUUGCCAAAGUUCUCUGCCAAAGUUGAACACGUGAAGCUUGCAGCUCCUACUACAUCGCUCUGACCAAGAAGGGUAAAAGAAUAGCAAAGAAACAACACUAACAAAGUUUAGACACAUAAAUUUUGAAGGUCUAGCUACCAUAUUAUUACCCACAAGGGUAAAGGAACAGUACCACUGCUGGAUAAUUGGAAAGUCUCUGUGUGUCAACCUCUGUGCUUCGUGGCAAGGUAGACUAGCAAACAUGCCCAACCUUUAAUCACAUUCGAGAAAACACUCCCAACAAGAUUGCUUGCUCCAAAAUCGAAGAGGCACCGUCCUCCGAAUCUCGAGAGCCAGACUCCCAACAUGACUACUUUCUCAAAAAUCGAAGAGGGUAAAGGAACAGUACCAUUGCUGGAUAAUUGGAAAGUCCCUAUGUGUCAACCUCUGUGCUUCGUGGCAAGGUAGACUAGCAAACAUGCCCAACCUUUACUCACAUUCGAGAAAACACUCCCAACAAGAUUGCUUGCUCCAAAAUCGAAGAGGCACCGCCCUCUGAAUCUCGAGAGCCAGACUCCCAACAUGAUUACUUUCUCAAAAAUCGAAGAGAUACCGCUCUCCGAAUCUCGAGAGCCAGACCCCCAGCAUGAUUGCUUUCUCAAAAAUCGAAGAGGCAUCGUUCUCCGAAUCUCGAGAGCCAGAUCCCCGAUAGGAUUGCUUGUUCGAAAACCGAAGAGGCAACACUUUCCCAACUUCAAGAGCCGGAUCUCCUUGGAUAAAGCUGUCUGUAAUCUUCACACGCAACAUCAGCUUUCCAGAUACCACAAACCACUUUUUCAAAGUGCUCUGACAGCGUUAAAACAUGUGAAGCUGACAGCUCCCACUACCGUGCUAUGACCAAGUAGGGUAAAGGAAUAACAUUACUACUUGUUGUUAAGGAGACUUCUAUAUAUGUCGACCUCCAUCCCCAACGGACAGGCAGACCUGCAAAAAUGCUCAACCCUUCCUCAUAUCUGAGAGGGCACUCCCAACGAAGCCUUUCGAAAUAUUCAGCUUUCUUUCCCCCCGAUAAUACCUCUGCAAACAAGCUAUACUAGAGCAAGAAUAUCUCAUAUCAUCAGGGUUAAAAGCAAGAGUAUCCCAUAUCAUGCUUUUUCCCUGUCUUUUCCUUUGACGUUGUUCUUACCUGCAAGACAAGGAGAAAGAGAGCAAUCAGUCAGUACUUGGAAUCAAGCUUCCAGCCAGGAACUGACUGCCUGGAACCCCUUACCUGAUUACUUACCUGACAUUGCUCUCGAGUACUCAUCUUCAACAUCUUAUGCUUCCAGGGAAGAUACCGCAUCUGCCUGAGGAACAGAUAGGGCAAGGGAGAAGGAUACAAGGAAGCAUGUGGAGACAAGCGUAACAGCACACGUGCCGAUACAUCCAUUACUCUGUCAAAGCAAAAGUAUCCCAUAUCAGCAGGGUCGAACGUACUCUAGAUUUGAUGGACUUGUUUUGACCCUCAAAUUCUUCAGUCGGCCUUAUACUCUGGAGGAAACCAGAAAACCCUCCAGCUCAGUUCAAGAAUAAGCCUGUGGAAAGUUACUUCUUCAAAAGCAAAAGUAUCCCAUAUCAUCUCUUCUCAUUUUCUUCUCUUUAUCCUUCAUGCUGCCUGCAAGAUAGGGAGACUGUGAACAAUCAGCCGGAGCUAUGAUUGCUUACCUUGUCUGUCACCUCUUUCAGCAGAUCCCCUAUCUCGGCGACUUGGGGGACUCCUACUACAUGGUUUGUAUCGCGCUUGACCAAGCCUGAAACUACAAGUAAGCUUCAAGUGAAAUUGAUACAUUACCUUGUGCAUCUCCACCAGUUAAAGAUACCACCCCUGGAUGGAGGAAGAGUACUUCCAGAGAAGAUGCCCCAUCUACCUAUGAGACAGAUAAGGCACGUUAAGACGAUACCACACUCCGAUACUUAGAAGUUUCAUGAUUACGAGAUCAUUCUCCCACAAUAUUUCCUAAUGUCAUUUGUACUAAAUCAUUCACUUGUACUCACUAAAGGAGAGCUUGAACCUAUGUACUUGUGUAAACCCUUCACAAUUAAUGAGAACUCCUCUAUUCCGUGGACGUAGCCAAUCUGGGUGAACCACGUACAUCUUGUGUUCGCUUUCCUAUCUAUAUCCAUUUAUAUACUUAUCCAUACUAAUGACCGGAGCAAUCUAGCGAAGAUCACAAAAAGCGACCGUUUUCGCUACCUAAGAUCUAUCGUGCAAGAGAACGGAGAAUUAGAUGGAGAUCUCAACCAUAGAAUACAAGCUGGAUGGAUGAAGUGUAAGAGUGCAUCCGGCGUGUUGUGUGACCGUCAUAGGUCACUAAAGCUCAAGGGAAAAUUUUAUAGGACGGCAAUAAGGCCAGCGAUGUUGUAUGGCACAGAAUGUUGGGCGGUGAAGCAUCAACACGUACAAAAAAUGGGUGUGGCGGAGAUGAGGAUGCUUCGUGGGAUGUGUGGGCACACGAGAAAGGAUAAGAUUGGGAAUGAGGAUAUCCGAGGUAAAGUAGGAGUAGCCGAAAUUGAAGGAAAGAUGAGAGAAAAUCGGUUCCGGUGAUUUGGACAUGUGCAAAGAAGGCCUACUGACGCUCCGGUUCGAAGAUGUCACUACUGGAGAGGUUCAGGGCCGAAGGGGUAGAGGAAGACCUAGGAAAACUUUGGAAGAGACUCUAAGAAAAGACUUAGAGUACUUGGAUCUAACGGAGGACAUGACACAAAACCGAGCGCAAUGGCGUUCUAGGAUUCAUAUAGCCGACCCCACUUAGUGGGAAAAGGCUUUGUUGUUGUUGUUGUUGUUGCCUAGCAUUGGGUUACACUGCAAGAAGCACCAUCAUGGCCGACGCACUGCUUAAAAUUAUGCAAAUGGCAAUUGCGUCACCAAAAUUUGGAGGAGAAAUGACAGAAGCAGCAGAAGCAGAACCUGAAAAUGAAGACGGAUAAUUGUUACCUGCAUCCAUGGUACAGGAAAGUCUGGAAGAAGGAUCUUCAUUUCUCAAUGUAUGUCCGGGAAAUGAAAUUCCAACUGGUUCAGCUAUCAAUAUGAGGGAUCUUGGAUGGAUAUCAAGCUUCCUCCAAACUGGUUUGAUGCAGAUUUCUUGGGCUUUGCUCUAUCUUUUGUUCUUGCAUUUGACAACUACACAGUUAAAGAGGCUUUGGAGUUUGGAUGGACACACAAUUUCAAAACCAGCAACGGUGAAAGCCUUGAAUUCCAUGAUAAUUUGCAUGGUCCAUUUUUUAGUAGUCGAACCAACUAUGGAGAAGGUAAUUUCAAUUCAGAUCAUGUGUUUGUGUGGUAUAAUCGAUUCAACCUUUUACAGGGAUCAAAAUGCUCAUCCACUGCUUUUUGUCAUACUGUCACUGAGGCAUCUGUUAAGUUCUACCAAAUAGAUCCUUCCAACAAACCUGUUAGCUCCUCCGAAAUGAAGGUGACAAAGUGUGGGGUAUGCCUGUUAUAUGCCAAAGAUGCUGAGAAACUUGAUGUGAAGUUUAGGGAACUGAUUAAGUUGGUAAAAGAUAAACAAUGUCAAGGAUGUUGUGGCGAGUCUGAAACAAGUGGAAGCGAAACUUUGACCACGUACAGGAACAAGAAGAUGAAAAAAGAUCAAAUAUGUAUGUAGUAUUUGACUCUUUGUAGACAACAAGAUAUGCAGUGGAUACUCUUGCUUGCUGGUUUUGUAUAUGAACUCUCCCCUUGUUGGAAGCUGUUUAAUGAUUUCAACGUCUUUCGAGUGAAAACAUAAAAACAUGCAGAAACUGAAUCAGCAGAUAAGGCAUAUAGUAAUCGUAUAAUAUGGUCUCUUUAAGGUUUAACAUCGGAUCAACCGCCUCAUAAAGUGAUCGAAUAUUAUGAUCGCUCUUACACUGCUCAUGUGCAUAUAGUACAUAGUUGUUCGUCAUAAAACUCAAUGUACUUGCAACUUUGAAUUGUGUCGUCUAAGUGUGGUUGUGAGUGCACUGAACACUUUGGCAAUGCUUUUGCUCUGUCUUUUCAAGUUUUAUGCACUUCUGAUCAAGUUAGGCUUAGGCCAAAAUAGAUAAAAAGCAGAGAGUUUUCUCCCUGAAAAUGGUGGAGAGGGCAUAUAUAGCAGAACAAGAACCUUAAACCAAUGCAAUUAUAAAAGUACCUCACGAAUUUAAAAUUGUAACAUGACGAUUUUACAUUUGUAUGUCGAAGAAAAGCAGGUCCAAAAGUUAACUAAAGCAUAACUCAUAUAUGUAAUAAUAAUGUUCAUUACAGUACACAAAAACAGAUAAUUACAGAAGGGUACUGGCCAUAUAUUGAUACACUCUCACCUUUUUUUCAGGUCAUCUCAAUCAUCUCUCGAGCAACAAUAAGUUCGCCUUUACAGUACGAUCACCAUUGUCUGUAGGCAUCAUCAUCCCAUCUUCGAUUGUGAAGUUAAAUUUCUCUCCAAUGGCCCUUAGAAGCUGGUAUACGUCCAACAUAGUAGGCCUCUCCCUUGGUCUUCAGGGGCUUUAGAAAUGUGGAUAACUCUCUUACCGGUCACCAACUCAAGAAUUAACAGCUCCGAAGCUGUGAACAUCUCCCUUUGUUGGGCCUUCUGUUUUUUCUCGAGCUCUGAUCAUUGUUGAAUUUAUUAAUAUACUUCGAUUGUGAAAAUUUUCUCUUAUAAUUUACAAAUUUUAGGGACAAAUGAGACCUGGGUAGGGAGGCGAAACUAGUUAUCAGGUCAGAGAGACGCCUGGCCCAAUUGAUCAUGUGCGUAUCUUCAAGGGGCACAGUUUUGCUAUCAUACUGGAAAGAAAUAUUUUAGCGUGACAGCCACACUUAACGCAGUAUUAUUAAUCCUCAUGUUAUAAUAUGAAAAGAAAAUAAGUUAACAACAUUUCAUGAAAUUAGAAUACAGUGUUGCUGGCUACCUCAGCUUAAAUCCUUGAUAAAAGACCCACAAACUGCGCACACUGGGAGCUCUUGGAAGGAAAAAACAGAAAGACAAAGGAAAAGCAAAUCCAAAACCAGCUGCUGCUGUUAUCACAACACUGUGCGACUUCAAAACCUUAACUAGACCAAUGGACGUCUUCACUUGAGAAGACCGGCAAGGCGUCAGCAUGCCCCCGCAGAGUCCAGUAUUGUUCGUUGUGAUAAAAACAGUAGCAUUACCAAAGUCUGGGACUUGACCAGACAGAAGAUUGUUGGCCACGGUAAAUCUUGUAAGCCUAGAGAGCUGGCUAAGCUGUGGAGGAAUUUUACCCGUAAACUUAUUGUUAUCAAGCAUGAGCACAUUCAUAUAGGUACAAUUGGAAAGAUUUGCUGGGAUUGACCCGGAGAAGCUGUUGGAUGAGAGAUCAAGAUAAGUAAGGAACGGAAGGAAUCUACCAAUAUCAGUAGGAAGAGGUCCGUUAAGCAUGUUGCUUGAAAGAUCUAGGCCUGUUAAGCUUGUGCAGUUUGCUACACCCCGAGGAAACUGGCCCUUGAGUCCCAAAUCCGAAAGCUUGAUAUUUAAAACUUUGCUCUCGUGAGGGUGCCAGCACUCGAUUCCCAGAAAGUUACAGAUGAAACCUUCGGUCUUGUUUUUGAAAUCCCAUGAAGAGUUUAAGUAGCCUAAAGGGUCGUUAAGCGAGUCUUUAAUACCUUUUAAGCAAUUGAUAUCGCUCUCGACAGCAAAGCAGAAGCUACAACUAAGCAAUAACCAGAACACAACACAAACAAAAAUUCCAAGAUGUUGUACAUGACUGAAGAGCGUAUGAAUUAAGAAAGCCAUGCAUGCAUCAAAAUAUAGCCUAAAGAUUUUGUUAUGUGAUCAACGAAGCUGAUGAUCAGAGCAAAACGAAAGAUAGUACUGAAGCUUCUGAAAUUAUCUAUCUUUUUAUAACACUUACUAGAUAAAAGAACCCAGAGAAGGGGUUGUUGAAAUUUCAAUCGAAGAGAAAAUGCACAUUGAAAAAAGAAAAAGUUGAACACGCUUUAGUCCUAGUCUUUGUACUGAGAGAUAUACAAAAGACUCUAAUGGCCAACACGUAAAUUAAAUGCAAGAGUGCUUUAUACGUUCGUUUGGUGUCAUUGUUUUCUUCUGGUAAAAAAAUCCGACUGGUUUCCUGGCAAGUGAGGAAAGGAGAAGAAAUCUAACACAAACCAUGGAGCUAGUGGUUUCGAAAAUAUGGGUGUGUUUGUAUGGAAUAAGUUUGAUAGGGUGAUGGAGGCAGGAGAAGAUCAUCAGGUCAUUUUAAAGGCCAUUCAUCUUGUCACGCUGAGAGGAGAUUCUUACAUGUCACUAGAAGUAUAUCCCCAUCACCUACCUAAGUUAUCAUGCCCGUCAUGUAAUGAGUGAGAAAAUUUAAUCAGGAAUAUGUGUUCGGUUACAACCAAGUUUUUCUCCAAGAUUAAGGACGACUUGGACUGCAUAGUUAUAGACUCUUCAAAGUGCUUGACUGCCCUCGAUCUAGUCUUUCCUUUAUUUUAUAGCAAAAUCAAAGGAAAUUCAAGAAAUAGAAACAAACGAGUGAGCAUUUGAGGAAAAAGGGUAUACAUAAAUCAAUUUUAUUUGAUUUAACAAAACUAGUCACUGGCAAGCGCUAAAAAAUCUGAUAACUUGUAAUCUCAUGUAUUCAAAAGUACGACUGGACAAAGACUUUAUAGUUGGUGUACUUAUCAGUAUGUUGAGUCAAAAGAAUUAAUAGUCUCAUUAGCAUUACUCUUAUCAUACAAUAGUCAUCAUACGACUCAAUGCCCUCGACCCAAUUUGAGUUGUGUCAAGUGUUGUUGUGUGCACAGUGAACAAUUUGGCUAUGCUUUUGCGCGUUCUCUCUCUCUCUCUCUCUCUCUCUCUCUCUCUCUCUCUCCAACUUUCAUUUAAUUGGGUCAAAACAGCCCAAAAGCAAAGUUUUUUCUCUGAAAAUGGUGCUUAGAGGACUUGGCAGAAGAAGAGCUUGAGCAAAGAUUGGCGACGGUUAACAGAUUUUAACCGUUUCUGUUUAUGCACAUUUCCGAACUUAAUUAGUUAAUGAUGUGUACAUGCACAAACUCUCAUGUAAUUAGGAGCCAUGCACUUCCGUGAAUCGUCGAUGCCUUAUUCGAUCACGCCAAGUACAUCACUUGAUAAGGAAUGAAUGGAGUACAUGACCAUAUAAGGAAUGCACGGAGCUGUGAUAGGUCAUACUGAAAGGAAAAAGGAAAAGGAAAAGGAAAGAACAAAACCCACGAGAUCGAGCUCGCAGAUCUUAGCGGGUAGUUUUGAGUCUGACUCGACGUCAUGUACUCAACAACAUACACUUACAAAACCAUCCAAUUGGCCUAAAAUUCGGUAGAUAAUUUUUUUAUCAAAGCGGGUAGGGGAGUUUAACUUGGGACCUCUUCCAACACUGAAAAGAGAGUACCACGAGACCAAUAGCUAGUCGGUAAAAUUUCGCAUCUGUAUAUCAGAGCUCAAGAUCAUAUUACCUAACUGAAACCGCAUUACCACAAAACUCUAGCAUUAACUAGUUAAGUAGACCAAAUUUAAAGAAGAAAAGGGGACAAAUUCAAACGCUAGAAACAGAAAAUGAACCCAAUACCAUGACCGAUUAUGUGACCUCUCUAACAUUAGUCGCGGGUAUAUAGUAGUAAUUUGUCAUACUACACAAAGCACUCAACAGCUCUGGCAAUACACGACGCAGUAAACACUUCAGCAAUGCGUCUGAGUUCUCAUUUCAACUUCUAUUUACUUUCGUUCCAAGUUUCCCAUCAACUUAGGUUUUGGUAAAAAACAGUCGAGAAACAAAAUUAUCUGAAAAUGGUGCUGAAAAGCAGAUAAUUAGAUGUGGCAGGGACGAAAAAGAGAUUAAAACACAAAAGAGAAUGAAGAACAGAAUCUUGGUGUCGUCUUCCUUCUAUAGGAAAGAAUACAUUCAAUACAAAUGCAACUACACACCUCACAAAUUUACUGAAAGGUUGUUCUAAUGAAGAAUAUUAAACAAGUUGCGUUAUAAGGGACUCGCAUUACACAUUAAAAGCUUCUAACAUGACGAUUAUACAUUUGUAUGUCGAAGAAAGCAGGUCCAAACGUUAACUAAAGCAUAACCAUAUAUGUAAAUAAUGCUUAUUGCAGUACACAAAAACAGAUAAUUACAUAAGGGUACUGGCCAUAUACUAAUAUACUCUUACCUUUUUCAGGUCAUCUCAAUCAUCUCUCGAGCAACAAUAAGUUCGCCAUUACCAUCACCAUCACCAUUGUCUGUUGGCAUCAGCAUGUCGUCUUCGAUUGUGAAGUUAUAUUUCUCCCCUAUGGCCCUUAGAAGCUGGUACACUUCAAACAUAGUAGGCCUCUCCUUAGCAAUAGGCCCCACACAGUUGCACGCAACUUUAAGAAACUGGAAAAGCUCCUCAUUCACACCCUUCCCAACCAAAGAUUUGUCGAGCGCAUCCUGGAGUUGAGAUUUGCCUGACAGCUGUGUAAUCCAUUCCACCAAAUUUCCCUUGAAGUCUUCAGGGGCUUUAGAAAUGUGGGUAGCUCUCUCACCGGUCACCAACUCAAGAAGUACAGUUCCGAAACUGUAAACAUCUCCCUUUGGAGUGGCCACUAGAGUUCGUGUAUACUCAGGAGCAACAUAUCCGAGAUCCCCAAACUCCCCAUUCACAAACGUACUCAAAUGUGUAUCAAUUGGAUUCAUGAGCCUAGCUAGUCCAAAUUCAGAUAUUCUGGGCUCAAAAUCUGCAUCCAGUAAGAUGCAUUUGGAGCUUAUGUUCCGGUGGAUAAUUCGAGGAUUGCAGUUAUGGUGGAGCCAUGCUAAUCCUCUGGCUGCCCCUAUCCCAAUUUUUAGCCUAGUUGGCCAGUCCAUAAUCUUUGCACCUUCAGCAUCUGCAGGAUGUAGCUGAUCGUGGAGGGUACCAUUAGGCAUGUACCUAUAGACCAAAAGUCUUUCCCUCUUUGCUGUGCAAAACCCUAAAAGAGGAACCAAAUUACGGUGCCCUAUAUUUCCCAAAGUAGCCAUCUCAGACAGAAAUUCUUUCUCAGAAUGUUGAGAUUCCUGCAACCUCUUGACCAUAAGUGGAGUGCCAUCAUCGAGCACUGCUUUGUACAUCGUUCCAGUUCUUCCUGUCCCAAUGAUAUUAUCUUUGCAGAAACUGUUGCUGGCCCUCAUGAGAUCACUCAGCUUCAUUUUAGAAAUCGACUUCUCAAACAUGGAAACCUGGAGGAAACUAGCUUCAUUAGAAUGCAAUACGAUACAAAAUUUCAAACUACCAAAAAAAGGAAACAUAAAUUUGAGUAUUUAAAAUCAAUAAAACAUAGAGAGAAAGAAAGAGAAACAGAACCAAUAAAAUUAUCAUUAUAUGUACAUAUUAAUUUGUUUCUAAAAAAAUUAUGCUCUGUAAUAGCUUACCUUGAUGGCUUUCGUUUUCUUCAAACUCUUAGCCCACUUGUUCCCUUCAGGGUCCUCUUCCUUCUUCCUUGCAGACACUCUACGCACAAAGAACAACAAGGAAAUAACCACAAUUAGUGCUGCAAACGUUGCACCACCAACACCAGCUGCCACAAUAAUUACACUGUUAGACUUCUUUUUAACUCCCCGGCACAGAUCAAGAGGCUUCCCACAAAGUCCAGCAUUGUUUGCGUAACUUUCUAGUGUAACUGCACUAUUGUUACCAAAGUUUGGGACUUGGCCAGACAGCUGAUUGUUUGCCACGCUAAAUGAUUUAAUCCUACCGAGCUGACCAAGCUGUAGAGGGAUGCUACCGUUCAACUGGUUGCUGUCAAGCUUAAGCACAUUCAAAUAGCUACAAUUGGAAAGAUUCGUUGGGAUAUGCCCUGAGAAGCUGUUAGAUGAAAGAUCAAGAGUUGUAAUGAACGAAAUAAUUCUACCAAUAUCUUCAGGAAGAGGUCCACUGAGCUUGUUGCUCGAAAGAUCUAAUCCUGUUAAGCUUGUGCAAUUUGCUACACUCCGAGGAAACGGGCCCUUGAGUCCCAAAUCCGAAAGCUUGAUAUUUAAAACUUUGCUUUCAUGAGGGUGCCAACACUCGAUUCCCAGAAAGUUACAGAUGAAACCUUCGGUCUUAUUGUUGAAAUCCCAUGAUGAGUUUAAGUAGCCUAAAGGAUCCUGAAGCGAUGCUUUUAGACUUUUCAAGCAGUUUAUAUCACUCUCAACAGCAAAGCUGAAACUACAACUAAGCAAUAACCAGACCACACCACCAAAGAAAAUACCAGGAUCUCGUCCAUUCAACAACAUAUACAUCGAAAAAGCCAUCAAAAAUCGCCUAAAUUCGCUAUUUAUUGUUACCAGAGCUCAAUAUACUGAAUCCACACCACAGCAUUAGUAACACCAAGCCCUGAAAAAAAUUCAAAAGCAACAAGAAAUGAACCCAAAUCAAACCAACAAACACUCAAGUUUUACAAAAUUUCGCAUAACUAACACCAAAUUUGGAAAUAAAUUAUGAAAAUAGCACAGGAAACAAAACCCAAUUCAUCAUCUCUCUACCAAAAGGUGCAAAUACAGUUGUAAAAAGAAACAAUUUAAUUGAUGAAAAUGCAAAUUCAAAUUUCACAAAAUACAAACUAGAACAAACACACAGAAAGUUCAAAGGUCUUACUUGAUCCAAUUGAGUUGACCCAAGUCUCCAGAAACACAAACGCAUACAGAUAUAUAUAUACAUACAAAAAUCCAGCUAAAAGUUUAAAGCUUUGGGAAAAUUUCAAAAAACCCACCUGAGAUUAUUCACUUGCAGAAAACACAGAUGAAUAGAAGAGCCCAGAGAGGGGUUCUUGAAUCCACAAAGCUUCCUUCUUUUUCCACAAAGACGAAGACUUCCAGAGUCAACAAAAAAGCUAGUGCACCAUACGAUUUAUAUAAAUAAAUACUCAAUAAUUUUUUGGGGAAAUUGGAAAAGGGUGUGUGAAUGGGGGGUGGAUUUAGCAGGAAAAAGGAAAACAAGGUUUGGAUGGGACGGGAUUUGAGAAGAAAAGAGAGGAAAUGAGAGAGGGUCGACGGGUUAAAGAAGGCACGGCCAUCUUUGUCAAACUUAGCGACGACUUGGGGACUGCUGCAGUGCUUUUGGCUCAGUGGAUUCUUGACCUUGAGAGAGCGUUUCACUGCUAUUUACUGUUUAAAAGUGUGUUGCUAUUGGUUUAUAGACCGUUAACAGUAUGAAAAGCUUCGGCCUUUUCUGUGAGUUUGCGUUCAACCACUCCUUUUUCUCCAUGGAUAAAACUAUGGAACAACGCGUCUUCAUCGAUUUACGCUCAACGUUAUUGAGUUAGAAGUUAAAAACCAAAUUUAAUUAAGCUUUUUCGUAUUUAGAGAAUGAGUUUCUGAGGAAGCUCAAACGCAAUUGCGAUUCGCUAGACCUUAUCAUUCAGAGGGUCACUAUCAUAAGGAUGCGAACUUUGUAACUUAAAAGACAAACGUCAUUCAACCAAAAAUAUCGCAGUGGAGCAUUUCAUGAAACUAAUAUAAGUAUUAAUGAACAGACAUAUGUAUUAUAAGAUGGGAUGUGAUAUCCAUAUACCUCUUUUUACUUCUCUUACACCCCUUAUUAAUUUGGGAACUUUAACGAAAAGCACCCGGUACUGUUCACUUUAACGAAAAAUCAUAUUUUUACACUAAAAAGUCAAUCCUGGUACUAUUCACUUUACCCUUUAUUUUGUCUUUAUCAAUAAAACUCAAAGUUUUCAAGCCAUUUUCAUUAGUUUUCCUUAUUAAUUUCUGUUCUUCGAUCUUCUUCAAUUCAUCCGAUCCAACGGCCAAAAAUUAAAAAAAUGUGAGAGAAGUAAAAAAAGAUGUAUGAAUAUCACAUCAUUAUAAAAUAAGUAACAACACAUGUCGAAGUGACGAUGACAGCAAAAAAAGGUUAUUCAUUAGAUUUAUUACAAAUAGGUUCAUCUGAUUCAAAAGUAAUUUCCUUUUUACUGCACUAAGAUUCACAAAGUAAAGUUCGCUAGUUUUUUGUUUUUUAAGGAGUAAUGUUUGAAACCUUGAACUUGAAUGAGUUGCUACUUGUUAGAAGUGAAUGCAAUUUAUGGUUGAGUGAGGGCAGUUCCACAUUUCCUACGGCAACCAUUUCCACAGCUAACAUUUUUGUACUUUUUAUGAAAGAUAUCUGUUUCCUUCAUCUCUUUGUAUUCAUGAAGUGGAACAAACGCAUGUUAUGAAAUUAAUUUCAGCUUGGACAUAAUUUCUUUUGUGUUUUAUUUAUUAACAAUUAUCGUCCAAGAAAUUCUAACUUAGAAAUUUCCGUCAACAUUGCGAAUAUUAGGUUGCUGGACCAAAUAAUUAUAUGUAGGACAUAUUACCUUUUGUUAGCUAAUCUUGAACAAUUAAUACUUUUAAUAUAAGGAAAACUAAUAAAAAUAGCUUGAAAAUUUUGAGUUUUAAUGAUAAGGACAAAAUAAAGGGUAAAGUGAAUAGCACCAAGAUUGAUUUUUUAGUGUAAAAAUAUGAUUUUUCGUUAAAGUGAACAGUACCACGAGCUUUUCGUUAAAACUCUCUUUAAUAUAACUUUUUUGUUUUGGGACAAAACUCUAAUUAGAUCAAGUUUUAAGGACCAGUAUUCCAAUUUCUCUUAAAACAAAUAUUUAAUUUGGUUACACAUAUUUAUAGGUUUAACAUUUGCGAUAAGCUUGUAGCUUUAAUGGUUCAGAACAUUUAUUGUGCACUCCAAGUCUAGGUUUUAUUUCCCAUAUUGCUUAUAUGUAAAAAAAAAAAAAGAUCAACUUUAUUUCAUUAAGAAUUUGGUGUGAUAGAAAGCCAACGUGACUUGCAUGCCAUACUUAAUGAAAAAGAAAAGGCCAUUCCUCAUGUUUUAUUUAUUUAUUUUUUGCCAAUGCUUCCCUCUUGUUUAAAGGUAGAGUUUUCUCAAAAGUAAGAUUAUUCGUGGAUUCUAUGUUAUCUUUAUUUUUUACAUAAUGUUUUAUAAUGUUAGCAUGGAAUAUGAUGUUAAAUUGUGAGAUGACAAAGAAUUCAUAAAAUGUCUCAUUUUGAGGGAAUUUCUUUGGCAUUUCUCGUAAAGGUGUCAACCUCAUGCUCAUUGAUGGUUAACUACAUUUCUACAAUUAGUUGCUCUUGCCAUUAAUCCUCAACAGAUAUUAAUAGCGUUUACCCACACAAAUGACCCAUUGAAGCAUGAGAAAUUCGGAAUUUAUUGGAUGAGUUUUUUCAAACAACAACAUUUAUUAUGUUCAUGUCUCUCCUUAUAGGGAAUGCGCAAUAAAAUUCAAUGCGAUGAACCGUUGAGGAAAUGAAAUAAAACAAUUUUGUUCUCCUAGACUCUGUAGGAGGUUAUUUGACUUUUGGGAUAGUUUAGUUGCAAUCUUUGGUCCUUAUCUGGUAUAGGCUUAAACAUUAGAGGAUCUCCAAAUGAGAUGUCAAAUAUAAUAUUUCAAAAUUUUAUUUGAUGGCUAAUGUGUCAAAUUGAAUACAAGUGCUAAAUUUUCUUCUUUUCCAAUGAAUGUGUCAAAUAUUUAUUUUAUUAUUUUGUUGGGCCUAGAGUUACAUUAACUAUUAAAAAUUAAUCAAAAUUAGUUUAAUUUUUAUUCUAUUGGUUGUUAAUGGGACUCAUGCAUUAAAAAUUAAAUAAAAUAUAUUUGACUCCUUUUUGUUUGCCAUAAAAACAAAGCACCUAGAAAGCAAAAAGUCAAAUGACUCACAUGUCAUAUCAUAUAUGGCAUAUCCAUUGGAGAACACUUAAAUGUCUUUUAAUCCUAUUUAGCAUAUUUGACAUCUCUUUUGGAGAUGGUCUUAUACAUUUUAAGUUCUUUUUUUUUUCUGAAAACUCUAACAUGCCAAAAAGAAUUAUUCGUAGCAAUAAAACCAUCUCUUAAAAGUCAUAUUGAAAUGCCCGAAGGCAAAUCUAAAGAAUCUCAUAAAUCAACUUUGUGAUAUACUCAACUAGGGGUAUCAUAGUAGCCCUAAGGCAUAACCAUAUCGAAACGCCCGAAGGCAAAUCUAAAUAAUCUCAUAAACCAACUUUGUGAUAUACUCAUCUAGGGGUAUCAUAGUAGCCCUAAGGCAUAACCAUCACCUGGAGGUGAAGCUGUACGACACUGGGUUAAGCCAGUGAAGAAACAUGGUAGGCCCCAUCAUCAGAAGGUGAAGUUGUACGACUCUAGGUAGAGAAGAAAAUAUAACUAUAAACAUAACACACCGACACUAGCCGUGGCUAAUGAAGCUGUCUGACACUGGUUUCGCUAGUGAAGCUGGGAGUAUGUCAUAAAUAUCCUCAACUGUGUCCUAUAGCCAUGGACGAAUACAUAUUUAGGUUGUGUGUAUGUGAUGUAUGAUGACCCACUAGAUAAAGAUAGAAAACAUAUCUCAAAAUAUCGUAUCAAACUUAGGAUCCAAAUCUCAUAAAUCCAAAAUAAAUCAUUUUGGUAAAUCCGUAGUAUUUCAUACACGAAAAUCCAAUAAUUCAUGACAUAAAAUGUAAAAUCAUGGAAUCAUGCUUUUCGUGAAUGCAAGCCUAGCAUUUAGUAAAAACCAUGCAAUUAAAGAAGGGGUCUACUCACUGAUAUUUGCUAGGCUACAGUGGUCCGGACUAGAAAAACUGGAGUCUCCGAUAGUAAUCGUACAUAAGUAUAAUAGAAGCCCAUUAGUAAAAACUCAAUUAAAACGUUUAAAUUUGGAGAAACGAACGAUGGACCCAAAAAAUCAACCGAGACACCGAGCCGGUUAACUACACUAAAACUUCAAAAUCUCACUCAACGGAUGUCAAAAAUGAACUCGGGGCGUCGAAAUUAGCCUAGGAACGUUUUCGGGAAAAUUUCAUAAAAUUCAACACAAGGAAUAUUCCAAAGAAUAUUUCAAGGAAUAUACCAAGAAUAUUCCAGAUCCAUUUGGGAAUUGAGCCAGGCUAGAUCCUAGGUUGGAUCUAGCCCAUGAAUCUGGGCUUGGGCCAGUUUCACUAGUUGGGCUGGAACAAUGGCCUAAAGGUUUGGGCCGAAAUGGAUUUGUUUUUUAGUGCAAGUCGGGUCGACCCGGUUGGGCUCGCCGGUCGCCAGACGCAACGAAAAAGAAGGCCUGAUUUUGGCCGGAGAAUUCCCAAGCUCUGAUUAGUUUCAAAACUUAACCAUUUUCUACGAUUCAAAAGGCAAAAAUGAAAUUAAGAACGCCAAGAACAAGAAUAUACCAAUAUGGUCCCCCGCCGUGGCCAAAGUAGGUCGGAAAUGGCCUACAAACAUCUCAGCUUCACCGGAAUAUGGGAAAUAACUUCCACGAGUUAUAUCUAUACCAUUUCAUCGUUAAAACACAUAAGGAACUCAAAACUCACACCAAAAAGUUAAUAAAAAAGGGUUUUGAGCGUUAUUGAUCCUUACCCAAAUCGGAAUAAAGUCGUGAAUUCGUCGAGCAUCCCAUUCGAUGUCGGAGUUAAUCAAUCCGAGGAUUUUCCACAAUUUAGUCAUUAGUUAUAGAUUCGAGGAUAGAGAUAGGACGAGGUGGAGGGUUGGGUUGUGGUAGCAGUGCUCGCCGGAGUGGUGAGGCACGGUCUCUGGGUCUCGACAUCGGUGUUACAGAGAAGGGAGCUGAGAGAGAUGGAAGAAGAGUCACGAGAGAGGGAGAAGGAAUGCCCACAAUGGUGGUGGUGUGUGGUGCUUGCCAGAGAAAAUGGCGAGCAGGUGUCUAGUGUGCGUGCUCGGGGAUGAGAGUGACAAAGAGAUGAGGGAAAAAGUUCGAGAAAGUCCGAGAGUAUUAGGGAAGAGAUAAGGGAAAAAAAGAGGUGGGUGUGGGUCCCACAUGGAACAAAACAAAUUAAUAAUAUAAUAAUAUCAAAUAAUAUAAAACAAUAACUUCAAAAAUUAAACAAAUCUUUCGGAUUGGUAAACCCGUAAUAUUCGGGGACGAGUCGUUACAACAAUUCACCAAUAUCAUCAAGCACUCAGAUUCUUUCAAAACAACCGUUUUUAUCUUGAUAUUUUUGCAGCCCUGAUAGCAUGAACAUUCACCAUAAUACAUGACCCAACUUUACGUUUUUUGAAUUUUAGAUUAUACAUAAAUUGUGUAUGCAUUAUAUCCAUAAUUGUUGAAUUAUGUGAAUUUAAUAUUGCCAUGAAUUGCAUCAAAUAUAUGUCCAUGCAUUAAAAAAUUUUGGGUUUCUUCGAACCCAAACCCGCAAGCCGAGACCAUGGAGCCCCCAUAGUUCACAAACCCAGAACCCAACGCCAUCACCAACGUCACCACUGAUUUUCUGACAAAAGCAUGGCCUGCAGCCAUUCCCAAUGACCUGAAGUCGUCUUCGUCAAAAUCGUGGCCGAGUGAAACACCAAAGCCAAAAGAGCUGGUGUUUUGGACUAGAAGAACAUCAUAGUCGUGUGCUGGGUGUGCUCGCCUGGAAGAACAACGAACUUGUUGCUUCUGGCGGCGGUUUGGGGUUAUGGUGUCUGCAGAACCUCUUCUUAAGUGAUAGAGAGUGAAAUCUUGACGUCGACGAACCAAGAAUAUUCCAAGAACAUUCCAGAGAAUAUUUCAUUCGGGUCGGGUUAACAGGUCACUGGUUGGUAAAUGGGUCAGAUUUGGUUGGGUUGGGCCGAGUCACUAGAUUGGGCUGGGUUAGGCCAAGUCACUAGAUUGGGCUGGGUUGGGCCAAGUCACUAGAUUGGGUUGGGUUAGACUGAGUUAAACUGGGUUGGGUUGAGUUGGAUCCGGUUUUGAUCUGGAUUUUCAGUUGUGGGUCGGGUCAACCCUAUUGGGCUUGCGGGUCAUCAGACCCAACAAAAGGGAAGGUCGAAUUUUUGGCCGGGAAACUUUCCUGCCUCCAAUUUAGUUCAACCUUAACUAAACCUAGCCUAUAAUAUAUGGAAUUGAAGCUUAAGAAUAGAGGAAAUGAAAUAUACCAGCACGAGGUCCUGUCGUGGCCGAAGUUGGCUGGAAAAUGGCUCAAAAGCCGUCGGGUUUCUCGCUGAAAACUAGGGAAUUCCCCCCGCGUUGAUUCUCACGUCAAAAUGUCACCAAAACAACUCAAAAUUGCCCUAAUCGUACUCUAAAACGUGAUCCAAUAAGGUUUAAAGAGUUUUCAAAGCUUACCCUCAACGAAAACGGCAAGAAAUCGUUGGAGAAUUUCUUAAAUAGUGGCAGUGCCACUAUGCAUAGAGAGAGGAAUCGUCCUGGGCUUGGAGUUAGUGGGUCUAACUUUAAUCGGUGGGGAAAGGUUAGUGAAGGUGGUGGUGCGGUGGUCGCCAAAGUGAGAAGGCCAAAGGCACCUCGGUGGUUCUCGGUGAAUAGAGAAUGAGGAAGAAAGUUGAAGGUGAGGGGUGAGAGAAAGUGUGAAUGAGAGAUGCAUGAGAGAUAUAAUGAAGAGAGAGAGGGGGUUGAGAGAGUUUUGGGAGACACGGUGAAAGAGUUUGAGGGUAUGAGAGAGAUGAGCUCUAAAGAGAGCUCGAGAAAGAUUCCAAAGAGCUCAGGAAUGGGACACAUGGCGUAGAAAGAGAGGAUAUUUUGGGUGAGGUGUGGGCCCAACAUGCCAGAAAUAUUAAUAUAAUAUUUUAAAUAUUUGAUUAAACAUUUAAAAUAAUAUUAAAUAAUAAUAUAAAACAAUAAUAAUAGUAAUUUCAAAAAAACAAAUCUUUUAGAUUCGUAAACCCGUAAUAUUUGGGGACAGGUCGUUAUAGUACAAUAAUAAUAGUAAUUUCAAAAAAAACAAAUCUUUCAAAUAAACCCGUAAUAUUUGGGGAUGGAUCGUUACAGUAGGAACAUAUAAACCUGAAGUUCACAAUUAUUUCGAAACCUAAAGUUUCUAGAAACAUGGCCUUGUUUGAAAACUUGAAGUUUUCCUUAAAAACAUCACACAUAAAGACCCGAAGCUUUUUCAUGUAAAUUUAAACCAAUACAUUUCUUUUAGAACCUGAAUGUUUUACUCUUAUGUGAAUGGAUUGAUUUUUCUCCAUUACAUUAACCACAUCUUGUCCAUUUAUUUUAUGAUAGGAAUAUGUCAAAUUUGAACAAACUCGAUUUUACCGCUUUGGAGGUUCUUAGACGGAACUACCUCAAGUGGGUCCAAGAUGUGAAGCUCCACCUCACCGAAAAGAAUUUGUGUCCCGCCAUUGAAGAUGAAACGAACAACUCAGUUGGGGAAGCUGAUAAAGCCACUGCCAUGAUCUUUAUCCGAAGACACAUUCAUGAUGCACUGCAAACCGAGCACCUUGCUGAAGAGGAUCCACAAGCACUUUGGGUCGCUUUGGUUAAUUGUUUUUAUCACCAAAAGGACAUCUUCUUGCCUAAAGCAAGAUAUGACUGGCAGCAUUUGCGCUUCCAAGACUUUAAGUCUGUGAAUGAAUAUAAUUAUGAAGUUUGUCGAAUCCGAUCAUUUCUCAAGUUUUGUAACGAGACCUUGAUCGAAGAGGAUCUCCUGGAGAAGACCCAUUCGACAUUCUCUGCUACCAAUAUUGUCCUGCAAGAACAAUAUAGGGCUCAGAAGUUCAUUAAGUUUUCAGAUUUGAUAUAUGUUCUACUUUUUGCCGAAAAGCAAAAUCAGCUAUUGAUGAAAAAUCAUCAAGCUCACCUUAUUAGGGCAACUGUUGUGCCUGAAGCACACUAUAGCAUGAAUUAACGCCUAAAAUGCCAACAUAGGUGUGGUAGGGCGGCAAGAAGCUACCCCGUCAAGGUCAACAGAGCCAAGGCCCAUCUAAAGGAGGAAACCGAGCCCAAAAGCACCCUAACCUAGCUCUCAAAGCCCCAAACUUCAAGAAUAAGGGCAAAGCACCUGAAACUAUGGAUGUGGACAUGUGUUAUCAUUGUGGUUCAAAAGAUCAUUUGUCCCAUGUUUGCCAUGCUCCCCAGAAGGUUGUAGCUGAAUAUCAUUCUCAUCGUAAGAAGUUUGAGUCAAACUUUAUGGAAAUGGAUGAACCAGAGAGUACCAAGAUGGAGGUUUCGGACUUUCAGGAGGCUACCACCCCUAUAGAAGAUUAAAAUCUUAGACAUAAACUAAUUCUUCAUUGAAAUUAGACAUUGGGACCGAAUUCCACCUAUGGUGGCCGAACCCCCCUUGUGUUUUUGGUUAAAUUUUUGCACAAUUUUCCUUUAUGUUUGGAUUAUUUGUUGGUGAUUUGUUUUUUGGAUAUUACGUUUUUAUAAUUACCAUCCUUGAAUACUUAAAUUAUUUUGAAUGGAUAUUUGUUUUUAGAACUUUUAUGCAUGUGACCGAUUCAAAUUAAUUUUUAUUCUAGGUAUGACUAGUGGGAAAGUUAGUUGUUUGGCAGAUAGUGCAACCAUGCACACCAUUUUACGUGAAUACAUCUAUUUCAAAAAUGCACCUCUGACAACCCUCUCAGCACCAUCCAACCUGAUUGAAGGAUACGGUAAGACACAUAUAAUGUUGUCCAAUGAUACAAUCUUGACCAUUGAUAAGGCACUCUAUUAUCCACAUUCCAGAAGAAUGUUGUUAAGUUUCAAGGACAUUAGAGAUAAUAAUUACCAUGCUGAAACCUCUGUAGAAAAUGGAGUUGAAUUUUUGUGCAUAACUUCCUACGAAUAUAGCUAGAAGUGUAUUCUAGAGAUGAUGGAGCGUAUUCUAGAGAUGAUGGAGCGUAUCACGAGUGGUCUGUAUACUACGAUCAUAUGCCCCAUAGAAAGCCACUAUGUGGCCGGCCCUACCUCUGGGACUGCACACAAAAUUACAUUUUAGCAUGAUCGUUUGGGACACCCUAAGAACAACGAUGCACCGCAUCCUUAAAUCAUCACUCGGGCAUCCACUAGCCCGAAGUUUAGGUUCUGAUGAGUAGAUUUUAUAUUAUAUAUUUUACCUUAUUCUUAGUAUAUUUUGGUUAAUAUUUUGGAAGAAUUUUGAUACUUUGAACUGUAUUUUCAAUAUAGGACUUUCGACUUCCUCUGAAGAAAAACAGGAGCAAAUGGACGAAUUUUGAAGUAAUUCUAGUUGACGGAUUUUCUUGAGUCACUUAACUUGAUUUGGUCAAAAUAUCAUAUUUUUCCACCAAGUGGUUAUUUUCUGGCAAUAAAAUAAAGGAGCGAUGCGAGAUGCUGGUAUAGUGACAUUUUGGGCUUAAAUUGUGUUUUUGGAGCCCAAGAUGACCUCGGAUGGGUUCGUAGCCUUCUGGAGAUGUGUUCUUAACGUCUUGAUCUUCAAAACAAGCUAUUAUGGGCCGGAAUUGGAGUAUAUCUGAGGCUAAAACGUGGCUGGAAAAGUACUUGGCAGAUUCUCCUAAUUUAAUUAGGAUUUUAUUUUCUAAGAUAUUUUAUUAUUUUUCUUAGUUUCCUAAUUGGAAUAAGAGACCUAUAUUUUAGGGGUUUUGCGGGGGCAUCGCAGAUAUAUUGCUUUGCCAUUCUCACUUUUUGGCGACGCUUCCUUUAUGCAACUUUGGAGACAGAGAGAAUUGCGAGGGUUCUUGGAGAUUUUCUACUUUAAGGUGUUUUCAUUCAUUUUAUUCUUAAUAAUAUUUUCUAUGAUUUUAAUUAUGAAUAUGCGUAACUAAUUAUGAAUAUGCGUAAUUAAUUAUGAUUUUAAUUAUGAUAAUGCUGGAGAAUUCAUAUCUAAAACUUUUGAUAACUAUUACAUGUUGGUUGGGGUUGACGUUGAACAUCCAGUACCCCAUGUUCACAUCCAGAACGGCCUGAUAGAGGCAUUCAUUAAGCGCUUUCAAAUGAUUGCUCGAUCGUUGGUCAUACGUACCAAGCUCCUGAUCGCUGGUUAGGGCCAUGCAAUAUUGCACGCAGCCAUGUUGGUCUGCCUGUUGCGACAUAACCAUAUAGCGCUCUUUAGUUGGUUACUAUAUACAAACCCAACAUAUCGCAUCUGCGCAUUUUUUGUUAUGUGGUCUAUGUGCCAAUUUCGUGACCCUUACGUACAAAAAUAGGGCCUCAGUGAAGGAUGAGAAUUUAUGUCGGACAUGAUUCUUCUUUAAUUAUUCAUUACUUAGAACCUUUGACAGGCGAAUUGUUUUCGCGGAUUGUCACUUCUAUGAGACAAUCUUCCCAUUGUUAAGAUGAGAUAAGAGUGUCAACAUUCUUAAUGAACGACGUAAAUUAUCAUAGACGACUCCCACUUUGUCUCAUUUAAAUUCCCACACCGCUCAAUCUGAAAAUGAAGUGCAGAGCAUAUUAGAUCUUCAGAGCAUGCCAGAUGCUUUCACCAAUCUAGCAUGAGUGACAAGAUCACAUAUUCUAGUUGCAAAUGUGCUUGCAAAGAUGGAUGUACCAAAUGUACAAUAGACUUCCCUCCUGGAGGCCCGGGACGCCAACCUUGGUGAUCCACGUAUAUUAGCGGCUAGACAAUCAUUUCUCCCUACAUACAGGCGUGGUAGACCAAUUGGUUCAAAGGAUUCACACCCUCGAUAGAGGAAACCCAUGACACAUGCACCUGAAGAGCCUAAUGUGAAUCUGAUUGUCACCUACUCAUUUUAUCCAACUCAUGAGGAAAUUCUAGAUUACGGAAACGUCCUUGAAUAGACGAAUCCAACUCUUGAGAAUUGAGAGAUUUCAAUCCAUUAUGCUAGCUUGGAUGAUGUUUGGUAUAGAAAUGAGAUGAUCAUCGAUUAUGCAUUAGCAUAUGCAGUAGUUACUGAGAUCAUGUUGAGCAAUGACAUUAAACCAUGUUCCGUUGAUGAAUGUUGACGCAGAAUCGAUUGGUCAAACUGGAAACAAGCAAUCCAAGUCGAACUCGAUUCACUUACAAAACGUGAGGUGUUUAGACCUGUAACUUAUACUCCUCCACAUGUGAAGUUCGUUGGCUACAAGUGGGUUUUCGUUUGGAAAUCUAAUGAGAAGAACGAAAUUGUGCAUUACAAAGCUCGUCUUAUUAUGCAAGGCUUCUCAUAACAUCCCGGGAUUGACUAUGACGAAAUUUAUUCACCCGUUAGGGACUUUUCGAUACCUUAUCAGUUUGGUAGUUUUCGAAAAACUGAGUAUGCAGCUGAUGGACGUAGUAACUGCGUAUCUCUAUGAAGAUCUUGAUACGAAAAUCUAUAUGAAAGUUCCCGAAAAACUUACAUUUACUGGAUCAAAUAUUUCCAAACCCCAGAACACGCCCUCAAUUCAGCUAAGACGUUCACUCUAUGGUUUGAAACAAUUCGGGAGAAUAUGGUAUAACCAUUUGAGUAAGUAUUUGACUAGUCAGGAUAUGUGAACAAUGAACUAUACCAUUAUGUGUUUAUUAAUAAGUCGCAUUCCGAUUUUGCAUUGUUGAAGUAUAUGUCAAUGACAUGAACCUCAUCGAAAUUCCUAAAGAGCUCGCGAGAACUGCCACACACCUUAAGUCAAAAUUUGAGAUGAAAGAUCGAGGAAAGACUCGAUAUUGUCUCAGUCUCGAGAUAGAGCACCGUUCAGAUGGAAUCUUAGUACAUCAAUCGAACUACACCCAGAAGGUGUUGCGUUGCUUUAUUAGGAUAAAGCGAAACCUUCAAGCACUCCUAUGGUUGUUCGAUCGCUAGAUGCAAAACGAGAUUCCUUUGGUCUGAAGAAUGAUGAUGAAGAGAUUUUGGAGCCUGAAGUUCCUUAUCCAAGUGCGAUAAACGCUUUAUUGUACUUAGCUCAAUGCACUAGAUCGGACAUCUCAUUCCCUGUUAAUUUUUUAGCAAGAUACAGUAAUGUACCAACGCGCAGACACUAUACUGAUGUUAAAGACAUCUUCCGUUACCUUAAAGGUACUACGGAUUUGGGCUUGUUUUAUCCUUAUGGAUUCUUGAGUGAUGCCGCACCCUCUAUCUCGAGUCGAUUAUCGUCUUGUUGGUUAUGCCGACGUAGGAUACUUAUUUGAUCCGCACAAGGUGCGCUUUCAAACGGGUUAUGUCUUUACCAUUGGAGGCACCGCAAGUUCUUGGACGUUAACUAAAUAGACUUGAGUUGCCACUUCGUCUAACCAUGCUAAAAUUCUCGCCCUUCAUGAAGCAACUCGGGAAUGCUUUUGGUUGAGAGCAGUUGUGGGCCAUAUUUGAAGCUCCUGCAAUCUUUACCCCAUCGUUGACAAUCUAUGAAGAUAACGCAGCAUGCAUCGAACAGCUCAAGAAGGGUUACAUCAAAGGAGACAACACAAAGCACAUUGCGUCGAAGUUCUUUUUUUCACAUUAACAACAAGAGCAUCAGAAGAUUGAAGUCACUCAAAUCCAUUCACAAGACAAUCUAGCCAACCUAUUCACCAAAUCACUACCGAAGGCGACAUUUCAAAAGCUUGUUCAAGGAAUAGGUAAGCGUAAACUUUAUGAGUUGUAACAUUGCUAGUUCUCUUUGGAAUUUUGUCAAACUCAUGGGAGUAUCCUGCAGUAUACUUACUUGAUCUUAAUGUACUCUUUUUCCAUACGAUUAGGAGCAUUUUCCCCACUGGGUUUUUGCUUCCUAAUGAGGUUUUGACGAAGCACCCACCUUGGGUUGAUCAUAUCUCUGAUGACGUCUUGUAGACGUUUCAUUUGACUUUGCAUUACUCACGCAUUUUUCCUUAGCCUAUGGAUUUUGUUUCUACUUUGGUUUUACCAUAGUUAUUAGGUUUUUGUGAGACUUACUUCCUUAUGCAAGUUCCUACCUUAUUUGAGAAUAGUAUGUUCCCAAAAUCAGUGUUGACGAGUCGACUUCCUCAACCUCUACAUGAUACCGAAUCUACUGGAGUAUUUACACACUCAAUGUGGAGUGUUAUAAACUUCUUAUUUAAGUGUGAUUGUGUAAAUCCUAGAUUAGAUUUGAUUAUAUUUAGUCUUCCUAUUAGGACUUGUAUUUCUUGGAGAAGAAGGAUUAUUCUCUCUCUCUCUCUCUUUCUUUACUAUAAAUAAAGGCACUACGUAUGGGGAAUAAUAUAUCUUCUACACAACCCUACAAACACAUCUCUCUCUAUUCUCUCUAUGCCGCCAGCCCCCUUCCCCUGUCAGUUAAAUAUAGGCCACAAAAGUGGUACAUUUGCAAAGGAAAAAUGGGUACAUUAUAAAUAAUUUAUGGGAACAAAUAAAAGAUUAAAAUAACUAGGAGUGCAAAUAUAAGUUUAAAAAAUAAGGGACAUACAGAAAUUAAUAUAUGGGUACAAAUUAAAAUUUAAAAGAAAAUUUGUACAAUUUAAAAAAAAAAGAUUGCAAAUUAAAAAUGGGUACAAACUAGAAAUAGAAACAUAUGAUAAAAAGUUUAGCCAUAAAUAUAAAUAUACCAAAUGUAACGUUUCUAACCCUAAAUGAAUAUAUUUAGAAAUAAAAUUUAAAUAUCUUGACAUGUAAAUAUUCUAUUUUUAAAAUAAUUAAUGACGUUAUUAAAACCAAAUGACCUUGAUCAAAAAUUGAAAAAUAAUAAGAUUUUAAUCAAUUGAGUAGAAAAAAUAGAGACUAUAACCUAAUUUCUCCUUAACUGUUUGUGUACUACUUUCUCCUUCAACAUUGAAUUAAAAUCGAACAAUGAGUGAUCAUAAUUUUCUUAAGAACAAUGCUUGGUUACUCAAGAAUGAGUAGGAGCUCCUAUUCAGAAUUCUUCUUGUUCAAAUUACAGAGCAUUGUGCUUAUGAUAGAACCAUUCAUAUUAUGAAUCACUUUGUAAAGAUCUCUCUACAAAAAAUGAAUGAAAACUUAGGUCAUUUAGUCAAUCUAUUUAGCAAAUACAUAGACUGUCCGUAAUACUUUUACCAAUUAUGUUUAUCUAUUUUUAUACAAUUCGAUGAUUAAACGACCUUAAUUUUAAUUAUUUUUUGUAGAGGCGAUCUUUAUAGCAUAUCAAUAAUAUGAACGGUUCCAAUUAUAAACACAAAGUUUUAUAAGUCGGCAACAAACAAUUUUAAGUAGAAAUCCUAUUCAUUUUUUUAGUGACCAAAUAUUGUUCUUUUCUUAAAACACGAGGUUUGAAAAAACGAGACUCUAAAAUAGGACAAGAAAGAGAAUGAGAAUCGAAUGAGUUGGUGCUCAAGGUUCAUGCUCGAACUCAGACCACGAGUCCGACUCACAAGGUCUAUAGCUUGUAGUUUCAAAUUUUAAGCUUCAAGUUUUUAUACACAACUAAAUUGAAUAAACAUAUACGCAAACUAAGUAAUAGGAAUUUCCUUCUACAUCUAUUAAUUUCAUUUUCAUUCUACCAAAAGCAAAUAUCAGUAUAUCACCCAAUAGAUCACAUUUUUCUUGGUAACAAAUUAUUGUUGGAUUAUAAUCAACAAUCAAUUAUAUAUAUAUAUAUAUAUAUAUAUAUAAUAGAUAAAUUAAAGAUUGAGGCUUGAGUACCGCAAUGUCCUUGAAAUAGAAAUUUGCCCCUAUUUUGUGCUUGUAGUUCUGUAGGUGUUUGCUUCACCAAGAGUUAAUGAUCUAAACUAGGAUUCCAGCAUCGAAAAACUUCAAUAUGUUUUGUGUUAGAAGGAAUAAUGAUUUUCGGUGAUUUGAAUAAUAUGCAGAUGCACCCUAAUUUUUUUUAUAUUUUGAGUUGAGCAAUAACGUUAGUAAGUUAGAUGUUAUAUUAGUCACCGAUGAAGUUCGAAACCAUGCCGUCAUGCAAAGACACAACACAUUUUAGUGCCACUUGCAAAUGCACCCUAAUUAAAUAAUAAAUAUAUAUAAUCACACUCCAAAGCCCAAAUCCAAGGUUCAAACACAAUUUUGCUUUCUAUGAUCUAUCUUUCCAAUCACCUUAUAAGAGAAACAAAAUGUUAUAAAAUAUGAGAAACUUGUAAUGGUGAGUAAUAUGGGAUAAUAAGUUAGCAUCGGAUUUCUACUAAAAAACUUCAACAAGUAUUAGUGGGUGUAUUCAAUUGAGAAUUUAAGAGAGUUUUAUGGAAUGAAUUUUUAUGGAGUUUAAUUGAUUUGUAGAUAUUUCAUAUAAAAUUUUGAUUCAAUUUUCUUAAAAUCUCUUGGGGAGAGGUGCGAUUUGUUUAUGCUUAAAAUAUAUUACGAAAUCUCUCUAAUUCCUCAACUUUCUCAAAUUCUUUAAAAUCAAAUUCUAAUUGAAUACACCUGAAAUGUUAUAAACUUCUUUAAAAUCCUAAUUGAAUACUCCCGAAUUUCUAAGAAUUUUAAUAAACUAUCUUAAAAUUCUAAUUAAAUACAUCUUGAAUAAUCACGUAACGUUGUAAUUAAAUCGAAGCAGUGGUAGAAGACCCGGUUAAUCAAAUGGAAGCAGCAGCCCACAAACUCGUUCCAUAUAUUUCCUUGUCGGCCAUUCACAAUCUAUUUAUAAAAUUCUAUUUAAUCUAUUUAGUUUACUAAUUACUGCAGUUCAAGAACAAUAAUUAAUUCCAUAAACCUUUUGGACGAUUGUUAUAAAAUUGGAAAGAAAUCUAGUCUCCUUUGGGUCACUAAAAAUUCCAUUCAAACAAGACAUAAUUUUUCUUGUUACUUUUUUAAUGUACAAAAAUAUUCUCUUUUAAAAUAAAGAGUGGAUAUAAAGUUAAUCCACAUAAUAGGACAAUUAUUAUUAUUUUUUGGUCAUAGGGAAAAACUUGUUUAGAGACUAAGCCCAAAGAGAAAAUAAACAAAAUAUAAGGAAAACGGGAAGAAACAAAUACACAUAACAGAGCACCCAGAUGGAAAAAGAAAACGGGGGCAACCAUAAGAUAUCUCGCCCGGAAGCUAUAAGACGGGGGAGAAGAGCAGAGCACGACACGAAGUGGGCUAUAUGGUCUAUUUUGCAAGAGAGAUUAUAUUCACACAUUCUAAAUUACUUCUUCCGUAUUUUUUUAAUUUUUUAAUAUUUUUCUAUCAAGUGUUAGUGGUGUGUAGAAAAUAUUAAAAAGGUUAAAAAGUGUGAGAGAAAUAAUUUAGAAUGUACGAAUAUAAUCUCUCAUUUUGCAAUCCUCACCCAUUUCAUCCACCCAAAAGCUUAAGGAGGGUGGGAGAGACUAUUUUUGGAUAGAAUGUGAAUGACAAAGGAUGUGGGUCUUAUGACCCAAGCAGCUGAACACAUUACUCUUUUAUAAUGCGAAGCAGCCUAAUUGGCUGCAAAUCUCUUGAUGCGGAUGCGGAAUCCACUAACAGUUAAUCAAAUGAAAGCGAUAAGUGAGAUUCAAACCGACUAAACAUUUUACUUAUAAAAGAAAUAUCGUCGAACCGUAAUGAUAAAAAUUUAAUUAAAUUGAAACAAUUGAUGACAAAACUACAAAUCAAAACAUGUGAAAUUAAACGACCAAAAUUUGAACUUCGUCCAAACGCUAUCUACAUUCAUAAGCAAGAUUUUAGAUUAUUGCUUUCUGACCAGCAUUACUUAAACAAAAGAAAACAAUAAUCUAAAAUCUUGCUCGAAUGUAGACAGCAUUUAGUUUCAAAAAAAAAAAAAAGAGAACACACAAAAACCUUUGUACGACAAAGAUAAUUUUCGAACACACAAAAACCUUGUACGACAAAGAUAAUUUUCAUACUCCUAUCCAUAGACGGCACGUGGCACAACCCAAACACCACUCCCCAUUUCACUAACAACACUCCCGCGGCCCAGGCCCAUUAAUCUCGUUACACCCUCUCUCCCCAUUCCCGAACGUGGAAAUAUCCAAAACGAGAGUGUCCCUUAAAAAGCAAAAGAAAGAGGGCAGGCUGCGACAUAUAACACUCUCGCUUGCUUGUCUGAACUUUCCUCUUUCUCUCUCCUCUCGCUUUCUCUCUCAUCGACUCUGUAUGUAGGGAUUGCCGAGAGCAGCAGCCACACACUCGCACAUCGACCGCCAGUCUCAGCAGCCAUGGAUUGAUCGCCCCUCGUCGCAAUUUCCACAAUUGCAUCGGGGCUUUUUGGUAAAGUUCCCUCCUUUACUUGCUGAUGAACUCAUUCGUCUUAAUCUCGUACUGUAAUCUUCAGAUCGGCGCCGUUUCCUUUCCGCGGAAAUUUCUCUGUUUUCCCGCGAAAAUUGCUCGAUUUUCCGGGAAAGUCGGGGAAAUGUUUCCCGCGGGAACCGAGGGGAUGUUCUGUCUGAAAUUAGAGAGUUUCGGUUGCUAAUUUUGUUGUUUAAUUUCGAUUUUUUAACUUUUUGUUUUGACCUUUUUAGGUUUUAGGGUUUUGGAGUGUCGUUUGCGAAUCGGGCAUUUGGAGAUCUUUACUUGGACAUCUUCACUGGGGUAAUUUAAGCUUGCUGUAAUUACUGGUGAGCUAUUUUGUCUUAAUUUGCUGUAGAAAUUAGGGUUUUUGUGAGUUCGAUUGACCGAGGUUAAUGCUCCUCAAGGUUGCUGCUUUUGCUGUAAAUUUGUAAUCUUGUCGAUUUGAGGAUAAUGUUAUUAAUAUAAUGAUUAAGGAGGUAAAUUUGUAGUGGAUUAGUUGAGCUAACCUUCCCUUUUGAUGAUUCAUGGGACCACGCAUUGUUUUUACUUUAUUUCCAUGAUGAAUUGUUUUGAAGCUAUGACGUUGGGAUCAUUUUAUGCUUUGAGCGAAGCAAAUCCGUCCCAAUUUGAGGGUUUUCUUUGUAUUGGGCGGUUAUGCGAUCUUUCGUCUGGUUUAACUUCAUCCUUGAAGCUCCCCAUUUCUGUUUGUCAAAUUUAGUUACAUAGGAAAAGUAAUGACUGUCAAUUUUUUUGUAUCUUUAAAUUUAUUGUGCUGUUUGCGUAUGGAUGAUUACUCAACCUAUAUAUAUUUGGUGUGGCUUGAGAAUGCCAUGACAACCAGUUUAUCCUUCAGUUGAAGCAAACAAUAUUUUUGGAUGCCUUUGCGGUUGGCAGACUAUAAUCUUCUUCUACAUCUAAUUAUGCACGUAUUGACAUGUGUUUUGUUUAGGGGUACGAUUUGUUUAAACAAGAUGCUUUAUCAGAUCGAAGUUAGCAUGUAGAUUUUCUGCUUCUUUGACUGUCGAUGGUUCAAUAUGUGUUGACAUUUCUCUCUAUUGUUGUCUCCAGAUCCUUUGCCAUGGAUAAUACCCAUUCAGUUUCCACGUUGAUAGAUUGUACAACUUCUAAGAUACAACAGCUUCAGAAAGCAUUUGCUGAACUUGAGAGUCACAGAGCUGUAACCCUGAACCUGAAGUGGAAAGAACUUGAAGCGCAUUUCCGUGGUCUUGAAAAGUCCUUAAAGAGGCGUUUCGAUGAGCUGGAAAACCAAGAAAAGGAGUUUGAAACCCGAACAGUUGAAGCUCAAAAAAUGUUAGCAAAGCGGCAAGCUGCCGUUGUGGCCAAGGAACAAGCUUCACUGGACACUCUUCAAGCAAAGAGAGAUGCUGCUACAUAUGCUAUUACUAAUGCUCGAGAGAAGCAAAGGAAGGUAUCAACUGAGGAGCCUUCUGUUGUCACUGAUGAUGGCCAAGGUGAGCAGCCAAGUGUGGAAGAGAAACCACCAGAUGUGAUGGUUUCUGAAAUUAACUUCGAAGAAGUGAAAAGUCCUGAAAUGGGGAGUAGUAUAGAGGUGAUAUCCUAUCCCCAGUUAGUGAAACUGUGUGAACAGAUGGACUCAGAAGGGCUCCACAAAUUUAUAUCAGAUAACCGGAAGAACCUUGCUUCCAUAAGGGAGGAGAUUCCACUUGCAUUAAGAGCUGCAUCCAACCCUGCCCUAUUUGUUUUGGAAUCUUUGGAAGACUUUUAUCGCCUCGAAGGGCCCAAUACGGACGGGAAGAAGGAUGCAAACCUGUUGGGUGUCCGUCGAACUUGUAUCAUGUUGAUGGAGUGUCUGAGCACACUGCUAGCAAACCCAGAAUUAGCCUCUGCAUCUGAUAUAAUUACAGAGGAGGUUAAGGAUCUGGCAGAGGCAAUUGCUGAAGAAUGGAAGCCGAAGUUGGAUGCUCUUGACAUGGAUGCCAGCAAUGGGAACUCACUUGAGGCUCACGCCUUUUUGCAACUUCUUGGAACUUUUGGUAUUACCUCUGGUUUUGAUGAGGAAGAACUAUUCAGGCUAAUACCGAUGGUUUCACGUCGUCGCCAAGCAGCUGACCUUUGCCGUUCUCUUGGAUUGACUGAGAGAAUGCCAGGUUCGUGUUUUUCUUUAUGAAAAUCUACAUUUAGGUGACAUUUUUUGAACUUUUGUAGUUUGAUAAAUAAAUACGUGGUCCUUAAAAAUUGUCUAUGUUAACUAUCCCAAACUGAGGAAAUGUUUUUCUUCUUUACAUUUGUUUUUCCCCUUAUCUUUGACUAGUUUGCAUGUAUCUUUGGCUUGUUUUUGUUUACAAUUCUAUAACUUCGUAAUGUUCUGUUCCCCACUAGAUCAUUUUCAUUAUAACCACUGAGAUAAGGUAAGAAUUGCAACUGCGGUCAAACCUCCUUUCUGUUCAUAUGGGAUGAGUUACUCGGAAGCCUAUAUAAGCUGGUCUUGCAUUGCAUUAGUGUCAUUGUGUAAAAGUGCAGCAACAUCAUUCUCCUGGCAUUUGCAGGAUAAUUCUAGCAAAAUUCAUUUAACUUCAACCUGAAUAUGACGCAGGCUUGGAUUAAUGGACCAAUAUUGAGAACAUAGAACUUAAAAAAAAAAAAUUGAUUUCUUCCUUGAAUGAACUUCAACUUUUGUGUUUUCUUGCAGUUGAUUAUGUUAAUGUUGGCACUUGGCAGGUGUUAUUGACGUGUUAGUGAAUAGUGGACGGCAAAUUGAUGCAGUUAACUUGGCUUUUGCAUUUGAACUGACGGAGAAGUUCCCUCCUGUGCCUUUACUGAAGUCCUACUUGAAAGAGGCAAGAAAAACUUCACCAGUCAAAUCUGGAAAUGCAUCUCCCACAGCACAGGUACAUUCAUCUUUAUUGGAUGUUGUAAUAGUUUUGAUUGCAGUUAUCGAUUAUCUGUGUAAUAUGAAGUUUAGUUUGAUUUACUAAUGGAAACCGAUACAAUUAACCUGAGAUAGCAUAACGCUGAUAUUUGAUUGGAUUUUGCCGGAGAAAAUAUGGCCAUGUAGUUGCAAAUUGGAUGCCCCUAACAAAUAUUUCAUUGUUUCAGAAUGAAGUGAACGACCGUGAGUUGGCUGCCCUUAAGGCGGUGCUCAAGUCCAUUGAAGAGCAUAAGCUUGAGGAGCAGUAUCCAGUGGAUCCUCUUCAGAAACGGGUUCUUCAGCUGGAAAAGGCCAAGGCAGACAAGAAGAGGGUGGCUGAAGCAUCAAAGCCUCAGCCCAAGAGACCUCGUGCUAACGGUGUUGGAUAUGCUCCCCGCGUCACUAAUGCUGUUGCUGACAAGACUUUCUAUCCCAGAGUUGCUGAAAACAGGUACCCGCAGUAUGUGUACGACAGACAGUUUGUUUACCCGGGACCUGCUGACAACCAUUACAACAUGUCUCCUGCUCAUGGAAACUACUUUGCAACCGGCUACCAGUAUCAGCCUGCGGCGUAUCUUCACUAAUUUGAUGGCCAAAAAAGUGACUGUGAUCCUUCUCUGUUUAACGGUUAGUCUUUAACCUCUGAGUUCGUCGAUGUUCAAUGUAAGAAUGAUAUUAGUAUCCGAAAAAAGACCCCAAAAAAAGAAAAAAAAAAUGUCUUGUUAAUUUUGUUAGUUGGAUGUACAAGGAGAUAUUUGAUCCUCUAAUAUGUACUUUGUUUUACUUUUGUAUAUGUUUUUGUCUGCCUUAUGUUUGAGUUUGACUGCCUGCAAAAUGCAAAUACCCAACAGGUUGAUCAUUCAUGGAGUUUUCGGACAUACUGAAAACUUUGAAGGGAUCAUAUGCCAGUUUUAAGUAAGAAAACCUCUCAAGUAUAACAUAACCUACCGGAAACGGUAUUAAUGCCCCGAGCCUCCGGUGAUCGAAUAACUGAAAUUUUUUCACGGAAAAUUUUCAUCGGUAACUCGUGAGGAACCAAUCGUCCAAAUACGAAGGUGUUUUGCAAACAUUUUUCUUUCAGAGCAAUUGGUCAAGUACUUGGUAGGUGCAGAGGUUGUUAUGAGUGAGACGAUGAAUACACACACAUGAAGCAUGAAUCUCUCUCUCCGAGUAUUGACAAUGUAUUGACCGGGUUGUGUUGUUCUAAGUCUGUUAAUACCUACGUCAUGUCCGAACAUCAUUUUAGAAAUGAAGGAUGCUAGAUAGGAAAAUAGCUCUUCAAAAUGAAGAAUCGCGAUAAAUUAUUUGGUUUAAUGACAAUCUGUCUUCGUUUAGUUUGAAAAAAUGCUCAAUUCACAUCUAAUGAAGUUGAAUUAGAAAUGUUCAUCCCGUGCACAUGUUAAUGUCAGUUCUCAAAAUUGUUUUCUAUUUAACAAGGGAGAAAACUAGUGGCGAACCACAGAAAUUCCCCACACUAAAAUAGCAUUACUUCCAACUUUUUUUUUUUUUGGUCGUAAUUAUUUAUCUUCUGAUUAAACAGGAUAAAUUUGGUUUGUAGAAAACAAAGAGGGGUUUAAAAAGCCCAAUAUUUUGCGUCUCUUGUACGACCCUUUCCUUAGAGUCGUUUGAUCGCACCGUAAUUUUUCACCUUCCCCAAAAUUUCAAAACAAAAUCAAGAGGUUACUUUCCCUCCUUCACAUUUACAGUUAUUCAUUCAAAUUCCCGCCAAACACAAAUGAGGAUCGCCGAGCUCUCAACGCCGGAGCUCCGGCAAGGCCACGCCGAUUCCCAACCUCAACACCAACCUCCAUCGCAAUCUCAUCAACUUCUCAUCUCCCAAAUCGAGUCCUCAAUCAAACAAAUCGAGAAUCUGUCUCCGGAAAAGCUCUCCCCGGACACAGUCUCCGCCGAUCUCCGCCGAUUCUCGACUAAACUGAGCCAACUCGCUCCCUUCCCCAACUCACUGAAGCUCCUCAUCUGGAAGCUCAGUUACCGUCUCUGGAACGCCUGCGUCGACCUUUCAAACGCGGCCUCCCUCCGCUCCCUCAGCGCAUCCAGAGCUGAAGAUCACGCCAAGCUCCGCCACGUCGCCGCUGACCUCCUCUUCAUAUCCGGCGACGUCUCUGGUGUCCCUUCCCCGGUGAUCAAGUCCGCCUCCUUCUACCUCAAGACCGGCCUCAUAUGGCACGACCUCCGGAGCUUCGAUCUCGCUUCCUCAUGCUUCGAGCGAGCUACAGAUAUAGUCUCGAAGAUCGACAUCGACAAAGUCUCCGAUUGCGGAGAGAGAAAGCUUCUCCUGGACCUGAGCAUCGCGAGGUCGAAAACCGCAUGGGACGUCUCCGACCGGAAUGUCGCGAUCGCGCUGCUGAACAGGGCCAAGAGCUUGCUAUUCGGGUCGCCGGACCACCACAAGGCGCUCGCGAACCAGUUCUUGGCGUUCAGCAAGACGGCGCUUGCCAAGAGCGAGAUUCAGGACCUAAACGACGCGUUGAAGCUGAUGAACGAGGCUCUGGAUCUGUACGAGAAGGGAUUGCGUGUGGCGAGAACACGCGAAGAGAUCAUGGAACUCAAGGAUCUGAGGUCAAAGACGCUGCGAUUCAUUUCGGCCGUCCAUCUGCAGAUGAACGAGUUUGAGAGCGUGAUCAAGUGCGUGAGGGUGCUGAGAGAGGGGUGCGAGAGUGGGGACCACCAUCCGAGCCUAUCGGUUCUGGCGAUGAAGGGCUGGUUGGGGUUGGGGAAGUACGCCGAGGCCGAGAAGGAGCUCAGGAGCAUGGUGGUAAAUAAGGGGAUUCCGGAGGGCGUUUUUGUGUCGGCUGUGGAGGCUUAUUUUCAGGCGGCUGGGACUGCCGGAGCAGAAACGGCGAAGGGAGUGUUUCUGGGACUGUUGGGAAGGUGCCACGUCAGCGCCAGCUCGGCUGUUAGGGUGGCCCACCGGGUGAUUGGUGACGCCGGUGAGGGAUCAAGAAUUCGGGCCAAGGUGGUGGCGGAGCUCGUAUCAGACGAGAGAGUGGUGGCCCUCUUCAAUGGUGACGCCGCUGCCCAACAGAGAACUGCAAUGCAUUCAGUGCUUUGGAAUUGGUAUGGUCAUAAUUUCAUACAUUCCUAAUUGAAUUGCUUAUUUGUUAGUUAUUUGAAAUUUUCAUAUCAAUUGUUUUGUUGUAUGAAUUUUGUGAUUUGACAAUUGACAGUGGAGCUGAGCAUUUUCUAUCGAAAGAUUACGAAACUAGUGCAGAAAUGUUUGAGAAAGCAAUGCUUUAUAUCCCAUUUGACAUUGAGAGUAGAAUUCUCAGGGCCAAGGGAUUUAGAGUUUUGUGUCUCUGCCAUUUGGGUCUCUCCCAGCUUGAUCAAGCACAUGAAUACAUCAACGAGGCCGAAAAGGUUUGCAUUCGCUAAAUUAUAGCUACAAGAUUGGAGUUUUGGUUCUAUGGAACUUAAUUUAUCCACUAAUUGAACUAAUGGCUUCUCUGUUCUCUGUUUCUGCAGCUCGAACCGAACAUCGCUUCAACUUUCCUGAAGGUAAUUAACCCUUAAUAGCUUUGGCUUGAUCCAAAAUGUUACCGUUUUUACUCAGCUUGAACAUUAACACUUCCUGUGUGGGUUUAUGUAGUUCAAGAUUUAUCUGCAGAAGAAAGACCAGAAUGGAGCUACUAAUCAGAUUCAGGCAAUGACAACCUGCUUUGAUUUUACACCAGAUUUUCUCUCCCUUGCAGCCCAUGAAGCUGUUGCUUGCCGUGUUCUUGCUGUUGCGGUUGCUUCUCUUUCAAGUCUGUUGAACUUCUAUACCCCGGGAAAAUCCAUGCCGGCAACUGAAGUUGUGGUUCUACGGACCUUGGUCACAAUUCUAACCCAAGAACCAGGGAAUGAGGAUGAAGCCCUCAAGUUUCUUAAGCGCGUCCAUAAUCGUGCGUCUGAGCUUGGUCCUGAUUCCUUUUUCGGGACAGGGGAGGUCGGAAGACGGGAGAGGAAGUGGUUUGCUGUGACUUCAUGGAACUUGGGGACCAAAACCGGGAAGGAGAAGAACUAUGAAUUGUGCGGCGAAUUCUUGAGACUGGCAUCGGAGUUUUAUGGUCUUCUGGUUGAUGGGCAAGUAGAAGAAAACAUGGUCUGCAAGUCGUUAAUUCUGAGUGUAUCAGCAAUUAUAGCUUCAGAGAAUCAGAGGAAGACUACAUUGAAUGAAAGUGAAGUCAAACAAGCUCAAGAACUUCUAGAUAGAGCUGGGAAGGUAUGAAUUAGCAAAUUGUAUGCCUUAUUCGCAUUCGAUUUGCUGCCUCUCUAAAUCCUAAUUCGGUUUUUGUGUAGAUGCAGAUAUUGAAAACAACCUCAACCGGGAAUCAACUUAUCGGUGAUCAAUUUUCAACAACUGAGCCUGAUUUGUUCUUCAUCUACACCUUUUGUGCCUAUGAGAUACAUGGAAGGCUCAAUGACUCAUCAUCACAGCUAAAACUAGUGAAGAAUUUUGCCACUUCAAAGGCUUGCAAUCACAAAAACCUCCUUCAGAUCGGCAUCAACGCUUCACAAUCUCCCCGAACCAAUCCUGAAGUCGCAGUCUAUGCUCUAAACGAGUGCCUAUCGUCCUUCCUCUCUUCCUCCACGGCAGACUACCAAAGCGUGGCUCUCAUUGUUCGGAAGCUCAUUGGAGUGACCAGCAUUCACAAGGGGGAUGCAGACGACGAUGCUGUUUAUGGCAUGUACAAGCAGGCUUACAGAGUAAUGGUGGGACUGAAGGACGGAGAGUAUCCGACGGAAGAAGGGAAAUGGCUUGCCAUGACGGCAUGGAACAGGGCAUCGCUGCCCGUGCGGCUGGGGCAGAUUGAUAUGGCGAGGAAAUGGAUGGAUGUGGGUUUGCAGCUUGCUAAGCAUGUUCAUGGAAUGGAGACUUACAGAGCGUGCAUGGAGGAUUUUAUCAAAGGUUUUGAGAAGAGAUUUUGUGCACCAAGUUAAUGGUGAAAAAAUUGGACCUCAGUUAGUAGUGUGAAUGUUCGUAGCUUUGUAAUUUGAAUGGAGUUGGGCAUUAUUGUAGAGAAAAUUAUGGAUGAAUGUGAUGGUUAAUUUCGUGCUAGACUUGUAUUGCAUCUAAAUGUUUUGGGUCCAUGAACAUUUGAUUUAACGGCAUCUCAAUUAAGCGUUAAUCAGUUAAUAACUUACUAUGUGUUUGUUAAUAACUUACUAUGUGUUUGACUCCUCAACUCCUCAUGUCUACUAGAAGUGGCAAUAAGUUCCGUUCUUGUUUAGCUACUUAAAAUUGUGUUGUGUUUGUGUUAAUUCACUGUUGAUCAACACAUAAGACAAUAUAAAAUAAGAUAAUUAUUAUGGGCAUUUUAAAAAUAUAAUUGUACACUUUUUAUAAAAGUACUUAUUUUUUCAAAUAUAAAAAGUUUAGAAUGUGUAAUUAGACUUAUAGAGACCCAACAACAAUUUUCUAAAAUAAAAAUAUAACAACUUAUACUAUUCAUGCGAAAAAGGAGAAAUAUUUAUGUACUAAUUGUGCACAUAACAUAUUGUAUAUUCGUGUAGCAAGGAAUUAGGUUUUAAGUCGUAUUACGUGUACUAGGAAUGAUAUUAUUGGACGUGACAUGCUACACCCUAAUUCCUUGCCCCCCAAAAAUGUGGACAUAAUUGGGCUGGACUCUUGGGUCAUGGGCUGCUUUUGUUCCAAAAUCCACCAUCCAAUUCCGAUGACCAUCCUUUACCUUCUUGGUCUUGUCUUCUCUCUCACCAUCUCUCUCACUCCUCUCCGAUGGAGUCUCUCUCUAUGAUCCUCUCCUUUUCUCCACCACCCCAAAACCACGUCCAAACCCAGAAAACCACUCCCCUCACCACCCAUCUCUCUUCCCCAAACCACCACCACUCCCGCCAUUUCCACUUCCCAGCCACCCAAUACUUCCCACACGCAAUUUCCCUCCACCAAAAACAUUCCUCAUGCCCCAAUUUUCCUUCCCAAACCCACUCAUUUCCCCCACAAAUUACCAAAACCCAACUCACAUUCCUCCUCGCCGAGCUCAUUGCAACCAUUUGCAUUCACUCUCCCUUCAUCGGCUUCCGAAUCCGCAGCCUCCGCACCGGAGCAAGUUUCCGACAAAAUAAACCUUGAAUCAAUCUUGGUCUCGAUCGAUGACUUUUUCAAUCGAAACGUUCGUCUGGCUGGUUGUGAUUCCUCUGGUCCGGGCGUAUUUGAGAAAGUACAAGUUUGUCCUUGUCAUUGACGCGUUUCGGAAGCUCCGGGACCACCCGAACGCUCAGCUGCUGGAUAUUCGGGACGAGAAGAGCUUGGGGUAUCUGAAGUCUCCGAAUUUGAAGAUUUUGAAUAAGUGCACGGUGCAGGUUCCGUUUUCGGAGGAAGAUGAAGCUGGGUUUGUGAAAAGGGUUUUGGAGAAGUUAGGGAACCCAGCAGAGACUGUCGUUUGCGUUCUGGGCAAGUAAGUGUAAAGAUUGUGCUAUAGCUUCGUUUCUGGUGGUUUGGUACUACUUUUUUAGAAAGCAUUCUUCUUCUCCUAAGCGCUUAUGCUAGAAGUGGUUUUCUUAUAAACAUGUAGAAAUUUAUAUUAAAAAUCCAAAUGCUUCCUGAAAAAGCACUUCCACAACCAAGAAGCGCUUUUUAAUGUGGUCCAUAGUGAUUCUGGUUGUUAUUAAGCACUGAAAGUGUAUUCAGAAGCAAACCCAAGCAUCCUUAGCUAUGACUAUGAGACUAUGGAUUGAUUGUUUAUGCCUAUGAUGAAUAUCUAAUGCUAGGAGAGAAACCUGCACCGGAAUGCUAUUGUGAUGGUAUCCCAAGCCAAUUGCGCGUGUUCAUGUGUCACUUGAUUGGCUUUAAUACCGCCAUAAUGACAUGCCGUGGAAGGAAGAUAAGUUUAUUUCAUUUUUUGGAUUUAAAGGUAUGUAUAAUCUCAGUAUCAGAUUCUCUUGUUGGAAGGUAGUUUUGAUGGAAUUUCCAUCAAAGUGGCUGAGUUAUUGUUCAAGAAUGGCUUCAAAGAGGCUUAUGCAAUCAAGGGUGGGGUUGGAGGUACAAAAGGGUGGCUGGUAAGCAUCUUUUCUUUUCUUCUACUUGCUGCCUUUUUCGUGUUAUCUGUGAUUAAUUUGAACUCUAGCUCCAUUGAGAUCAGCCUUUGUGUUGAUGCUUUUCAUCAGGAGAAUGUAGUUGGAUUUUUUUUUUAUUGAUUAAAUCUUGGUAAAAUAUUUCUUGGAUGUGUAAGAAUUAGAUUGAGCCAUCCGAAUUCCGAAUAUAGUUGAGAACUCUAUAACCCUAGAAUGAGGAACAGUAUCCAUUUUCUGGAUGUGUACCAGCACCAUAUAAAGGCAAGCAUUAUGCAUAUGUGCAUAAUUUGAAUGCUGCUUAGUUCUUACGAACUCUGUGUUUUUCUGUUCUAGCGAUAACGGCCUAACUAAAGCAAAAUUUCCAAGCUGCCUAGUGAAAUGAUUUUCUGCAUAGGUUUCAAAAUUGCUUCUAGGGCGUUUUAAAGACCGUUUGACAAGUGCAUUUAAGAAUUCUGAAGCUGCAGUUCAAGUUUUAACACGAGGAAUUGCUAAAGUGUUUUGGCUAGUUUUGUUAUAUUAGAAUUUAGAUGAUGUGUUUACUCUACCUUUUUCCUCCUCAGGAGUCACAAGAAACUCUUUUGCCACCUUCUAUGCAUAUCUACCCCAAGAAGAAGGUUAAAACUUCACAAGAAACUGUGACAAACGGAGGAGUUGUUCGGGGAAAGGUCUGCCACUUCUACAAAUUUGUCCGCGGGAGAAAGUCAAACAACGGACAAUGGACGCACAACCAAGGCUACAGACUCUGUGUCAAUUGUGAAAAAUGGCUCUAGAUCAUCCUCUCCCUACCCAAGUGUAUGUCCAGCUUCAUUCUCAUGAAUCAUUACUAGUUACAAAAGAUUACCGAUCUUACUUAUGCGUUACCUUAAAAGAUGGUUUAAUCUCAUUCGUUCUAGUUAUGGCUCCCAUUAACCAAUGUUAGUGGGUGAUUUGCACAAUCCAUAGGCAGUUUCAAGUUACUUUUCCAAUAGGAUCAUGUCUGUUUGUUCAUCUACUUUUUUCAUUUUGGUUGUUUCCGAUGCAGUACCAAGAUUUGAAACCGCCAUCUUCCCCAACUCCAUCGAAGCCCUGAAAUCGAUGCUGUGACUCGUCUUGCUUCAGAAGUGGUGCCUCCGGUUGGGGGAAGCAUAUUUUUUUCAAAAGUUUUGCCGAUCAUUAGUUGUAUAUUCGUGAUAUCGAGGAGAGGUUAUUGAUAAAUGACACGCAUUGAAUCUCUUGGUAGCAAACUUUUAGUUCCGGUUUUCAUAUCAGCUGUACAUUUUGUAAUAUGUGUAUUUGAAGCUAACAUUUGUCCCAUGGUAAUAAAACGGUGAUCAUUGCAAAUGAAUCGUCUUCUGAAACCAUUUGAAAAUGCACAAAUUCUUCGUAAAUUUGUAUUUGUGACCAUAUGACCAUUAUAUGCAGAAUUUGGAUCAAAAUAUCGAUACAAAUUAAAGAUUGGUAAUUAAAUGAUAUGUGCGGAGCAAAUUACAAUUGUUGUUAAAUUAAUAAAAAACUAUUAAUUAAUCAACAUUUAUGACCCGUUUUGUGGGCCGACUAGAAUGGGCCAUUGUAUUUUGAAUUUAUUAGGCUUGGAAUAAAUGGAUUGGGAUAUUUUAAUUUUUGGUGCAACCAAAUCAAUUGGGAUUGGUGGAUUGAAAGGAAAGCGAUCCUUUCCGGUAUCCUUUUCACCUAACUCACUUUGUUCGGGUUUCAAAUUGUUAAAAUUUGAUUUAAUUUUUACAAAUAAGAAAACCCUUUAAAAGUAAUAAUAACUAUAAUAAUUAAAUUAAAUUUUAAUAAUUCGGAUCCUAAUCCAGAUGAAUUACUAAACUAGACUAGGUGAAUUAGGCGGAAAAAGAUCGGAUUGAAAAGCUAAUCUGCAGUUACAUCCCGACGACCCGACAUCCCACGACGACCCACCCACCCACCUGUGACUCUGCAAUUGCAAUAUCCCGACGACCCACCCACCUAGCCGCUGCUGGCGACUCGCAACGACUCGCGAAUCACCCACGACGACACACCGCUCGCAAUCCGUUGCAACAGGUCAGAACUGAAGUAUCAUAACAUCAAAAGCGACCGUCGUAUUUCGCCGCGACCAUCAAAUAAGCAUAUUCAAAAUUUGAAGGACGGACGCGAACGAAUUCCAGACCCGAUCGAAUUCUCAAUUGCAAGGAAAGGAAAUCAAGCGGAUAUCAUGGAGGUUUUGGGAUGGGAUGGAGCCCUCUCGUCACGUGACUUCCACGUCGCGGCACGUGCUUUUGCCAACAACUGGAAAGAAUUUAACUCGGCCUUUCCUCCAUGGACGUGGGUUCCCUCUCCCAAACAGCCUCCUCAUCUCUCCCGCCUGCAGCAGCAGCAGCAUGGCUACUUAUCGUUGGAGAAGAUUUGCCUUCUUAGGUCAAUCAAGGUAAGACACGUGGCUUAUUGGUUUAACUCGCUUGUCAUGGAUGUAAUUGAUAUUUGGAGCUCUACUAAUCACACUUUGUGGAUUAAUGAUCUGUCUUAGGAAGAUGCUAAUGAAGAGAAUCACGCUUGGGACGAAGAGGAGCCCGAGUCUGUUGAUAAGGCCACGCUGGUGAGUACAUAGCUACCCUUAUUGUAAAGAUUUUGUUAGGGACAGCCGUUCACGCUCCAGCAGGCAUCAAUCAGACAUCGUGGGAGCGUGAGCGCCUAACCCAAUCACUCAUUCAUCAUUUUUGCUAUUUCCUAUUUGCAAGGUUGACACCAGCAAUCUUCAAGUAUGCUACUACGAUUUUCAUAUAGUAUACAGUGAUUCAUAUCGAGUUCCCGUGCUGUAUUUUCGUUGUUACUACAUCGGUAUGUUAAUCUUUUUUUUUUUGCUACAUGAACGAAAUUUAACGAAUCACUUAAGGUCAGUUCUGGUUAAGAAAAUGAAAGUGUUAAUCUUCGUAACUCUUCCUUUGUGAAUGAUACAUAGAUGGACAGCCUUUGGCAUUGGAAGAAAUAGAAAAGGACCUACCUGCUCGCUCAUCAAAGGUUUUACUGGAAUCAAAAUGGACAUUUAUAACUCAGGAGGUACAUUUUCCUCAUCUUUGGAUCCAUGCUUCAUAUUCUUGCUGAACUUGUUUGUGCAGUUACAUUUACAUUUAUAAGAUCCAUAUAAACGAUGUAUAUACAUGUUAGGUCAAUUGGCCAUUGCAGUGUGCCCGCCCUUCAAAUCCACCUCCCGUAGAUUAGAAUAUUUUGGAACAUAUAAAGGGGACACAUUCUUUCUAGUUGCUAAUAUUGCAUCAAGCAUCUGAACAUAUAUGGUGUUUGUAGGAGCAUCCUUACUUGAACAGACCGUGGUACAAGCUGCAUCCAUGUGGAACCAGCGAGUGGAUGAAGCUGCUUUUCCUUGGUGAUAAUUCUCAGGCUAAAAAUGGAGUGGCAGUUGAACAAUAUUUGGUGUCUUGGCUCUCAGUUGUAGGUCAAGUGGUUGGUAUUAGAGUCCCUUUUGAAAUGUUGAAUCAUCAUAAAACUAGUAAUUGAAAGAAGAAAUUCUAAUCUAUGAAUCAUGCAGAACUCUAUCUUCCUCACAAUUAUCGGGUCAUCCGGAAAGAAACCCGAAAUAUCCGAUCACAUUAUGUAGUUUGCUCAUCCUUGCAAUUGUAGAAAAGCCUUUUCCUAUAAGCUAAUUGAUGAUAUCAAGUAUCACAAUUGGUGAUACAGCCAGAUACGCAACUUACACAGAAAACAAACCCAAAAUAUAUGUAAAUUACGUGACAUUGUUCCAUGCAUUGAGCACAAUAAAGAGCAAGGAAAACUUAUAAAUGUGGACUUAUCAAAGUCUGUCUGAUCUUUAUGCAGGGAUUAGUAUUUAGUGGUGCAUACAAAUGCAAAGGAAAUACUCAUUAUUCUGGAAACUUCCAAAGGUAAAUGCAUAAUGUUUCUCAUGUUUCUCAUGUCUUCCCAGUUCGCAAGGUUUUCUUUAAAUAUCAAAUAGCAGUUGAAUUGGCAUUAAUGUUGUAGCCCAGAAAAGGAAGGUAACUCCUUCCCUAUAUUGCCAUAUCUGCUAUACCUUCUAAUUUCUAGUAAAAUAAACCCGAAAUAGCUUCCAAAGGUAAGUACUGGUUGAUGUAAGACUCUUACUUGUGAUCUGCGAGCUUCGGUUUGAUGUUUAACCAGGGUGACCAAUGUCGCCUCUUCCUUCAUCACACUGACCAUAGCAGCAUGACCUACUUCCAAAUUAAAAGAAGCCGUGACCAAGUGUAAAACCCAAAGGCGUAAUAGUGAAACAAAGCUACCUAGCUUUCAACUUUUCUUAGAACAGAUGUUUUUUUCCAUGGGGGAAUAGCACAUAGAGAACAUAUAGAAUUAGACAAGCAACGAAUCCUCGGAAUUUCCCCUAACAGAAAAUAGAAAAGAGAGAUUGAAACAGCUAAAGAACCAGAUAACGAUGAAAAAUUUACAAAACUUGAAUUACUAACAAAUAAUUGUAUUACCUGCCCAUAACCUACAUCAACUCCAUAAACAAUGACGCACCGUACUGAAGUAAACAGUCAGUAAAUCCACCGGUUGAUAACCCUGAAUCAAGAGCUACUUUGCCAGAAACAUCGAUACCUAGCUGUUCAAUGGCUGCUUCUAACUUGUGUCCUGCUCUGGAUAGGCAAUAUAAGAACAAAUUAGCACUAGAGAUCCCGCUGAAGUUACUGCACGACUCGAUAGUUAAUAUAAAUGAAGUGAAAGUUGGUUUGUCAAAGUGAAGUAAUCACCUACAUACAUAGAUAUUGGGACUUCAGCAAUUAUCUGUACAAGAGCUUUGUCUGAGACUGGAGUCCCUGCUUUGUUGACCACCUUUCCGUCUACACACACUUUCCCUACACUACACCACCAAACAUGAACAGCCAAAGUUAACUACGUCGUCCCUACUGACAUCAGUUUGAAUACAGGAUGAAGCAUUGUCCAUCACAGAUCUUUGCAAGCAUACAUUGAAGUUAAGAGUGUAGCAAUAAUCCCGAAUUUUAUGGCUGAAUUUGACUGCAACCCAAUUUUGAACCCUUCCCGCCUCUGUUUCUAUGGCUAGGUUUUUGUAACUCAACUGUAAAGCUCACCUUGUAAAAUCCAUGACCGGAUGAAGGUUCGACUAUAUUGCUGAAACCUAUAAAGGCAUAGCUCAUCAUCAGCCUCUUCCUCCUGUAAUUUCCAUUAAUCAAACACAAUGGUGAAUAUCAAUGUCAUACAGAAAGGGGUUUCUAGAGAGCAACUUAUACGACAUGGUACACCGCCACCUGGUGUCCCAUGCCGAAAAUAUAAGGGACACUUUGCAUGCAGUACUAGCUAUCAAUAUUCUUUGACUGAAAUCUUAUUAAUUUUUAAUUUUUGAUCGAAGUCCCUAACAUUAAUGUAAUAAUGUAAGUUACUAUAUCUUUUAAACUAAAAAUUAAAAAUUGUGUGUGUACAUAUAUAUGGGUACAUUCACCAAAAUUAACAAAAAAAGUUAUUAUACCAAAACAUGGGUACAUUCUUCAAAACCAAAGAAAAAAAAUGAUAUCAGGUUUAAUAACAUUAGUAAAUUUCUUCAAUCAAAUUUGAUAUGGAUACAUUCUCAAAUCAACAAAAAAGAAUGUACCCAUAUAAGUGUAAAAAUAGAUUAAAAAUUUUGAAUGGAUUUUAUAUUAAAAAAGGGUACAUUUUACAUAUAACAAAUUGAUAUAUUUAAGAAUGAGUACAUUUAAGAUUAAAAAAAUAAAAAAUUAUAUAAAUGGGUAGAUUUAAGAUUAUAAAAUUGAGAAUCUUUUUAUUUUAAAAAAAACUAAUAGGUACAAACUUAAUCUAAUUUUAUUUUUUAUUAUUUUGGAAUGUUUGAAUUGAAAAUUAAUUAGGAGUUUAAUAGAAGUGUGAGUAUUAAACCUUAAAUUAAUUAAUAAUUUUUAUAUUAAAAAAAUAUGUAAUAAACAUGUAAAUUCAUUAUCACAUGAAUGCUAGAUUAAUCAAAAUCUAAAAACUAAUAAAAUCUCAAUCAAUGAAUAUUAGAAACAUACUAAUUUUUCCAAAAUAUAAUGACAUGAGACUGAGAGGCGUGUACCGUGACAUGUAAGUCCAUCUCAGGGUUUCUGGGGACUCGACACGGAUAUAAAAAUUUACAAACUGGGUUGGAGUGAAAAAACAAGAUUAACUCCGUCUCUUUGGAGGCUGAACCUUUGCAAACUUCACAGCAGCAAAGGUUCCAUGCAUUGGCACUCCGACCCAUCUUGCUGAACACCAAAUCCAAUUUAGAAUUAGAGAUACUCAACUGUUAGAGCUCAAAAACGGAAGCUUUUGUAAGUUGGGUUGCGAGAAGAGAAGAGAGAAGCUUCAAGUUGCUCUACCAAAACGGCGGGAGAUUAUGGUGUGAUUUGGGAGCUUGAGAAGCUGAAGCGCCAUCUCUGAUCCCCAAUCUGCCCGUCCGCUUGUGGAGGCUGAACCCGUUUCGAGUAGUUUGCUCUUGGCGGUUCAAGUGGGUCGGGUCUGGAUUGGUUCAACCCAACAAAUUUUAGUUCAAGGUUUGGAUUGGGCUUUAGUUUUUCAUGGUUGGCCCAAGAUUGGCUUUUGCAUAGCAAAGCAUGAAUAUGCUUUUUAGCUUUAAAACCUUGAAAAAGAUUCUAAAUCUUACUAAAUUUCCAUCCAUAAUUUGUACACAUAUAUACAUCUAUAUGGUUUAAGUUGCAGACAUAAGCGUAGCCACAUUAGUUACAUACUUAUAGCAGAUGUCUUGCAUAUGCGUUUGAGGUUAAAUCUCACGCUCUACAGUUUUAUGGAUAUUUUGAGUUAUAUAUAUCGCUUGCAUGUAAAAAUAUGGUUUAAAGUGAAUUUAUUUAGCUAGUAAUAUGUUUGUUGUUUGCAUUGUUACAUGACUAUAGAUAAACCAUCCACAAUUGUUAAUACCAAGAGCAAUAAAUUUAGAGAAUUCUGUUAAUCUCGAGUGCAAUAAUAGUCGACUGCAUUCAGAGUAGGGUAAAAUUUUUCUUUCCCUAAAGAAUCCCAACCAAAUUCAUAACAUAAAAACCUGGACGUUGGGAAUAUGUGUAUGGUGUUACACAGCAGAUGAGGACCAGAAAAUGUCUAUCCUCAAAAAACCCUGUCCCAACCCAUUUUUCAGUUUAUGUCAAAACCAACAGUUAGUUAAACCAACCACCCUCUCCCGCCAUUGCUACCGUUAUUACAGUUUACACAGUUAAUUAAGCACAAACUACCACACCAAGCAGCAGCAAUGGCAGCAACGCAAGCCAAAACCCCUUCUCUUUGUUAUUAUUCUCAUCAACUUCACAACCAUAUUCCUGCAUCAUCCCUAUCACUUGUUGGUAAUAAUCUUAAACGCCACAAGAAGACCCUCAAAUUCACCUGUAGAUCCAACGGCCAGGAUGUAAUGACUCGUUCUUUGAUCUUUCAUUUCAGUUUUUUGUAAAGUUAAUUUCUGUACUUUUUUUUUUCAUUGAUUUGUCAAUAUAUUUUCUUUGCCAGGAUUAUUACAUUGAUGCUCCUGUUGAAGUGGGUGAUGGGUUUUCCUUCAGUGGAGGUGCUUACUUAAUUCUGGCAUUUUUUGAGGGAGUUGUUAUUUGCGCUCCAACUAAGUCAUCGUGCAGGAUAACCGUUUUAGAGUGCUAAUACAAUUCCGUUUUGUUAAUAGUGAAAUUUUCCGUGUGUGUGUUUGUUUACAAAGUUAAGUGGAAAUGUGGGUGUUUUGGCAGGAAAGUAUUCUGAUGGACCGAGCCCUUUGGAUGAAUGGUUUAAGCAAAGGGAAGAUAGUGAGUCUUUUUCUAUUUUUUAUUUCUUAUGAUUUUUGUUAUUUAACCAUUUGAAGCUUAUUAAAAAACCACCAUAACUUUGAUUUUCCUCUAGGUGAAAGCUUAUGCUGCUUUUGGUUCCGGCGAGAAGGCAAAAGACCCAAUUUUUGGACUCGCAAUGGGUGCUGAUUCUCAGGCCUCCACUGAUGUUUUCAGGUGAACUUGCAAAUUAUCUUUAGACAUUUGAUAGUUCAAUGUUUUUGUUUAAAUGUUUCUGUGGAAUGCAGACAUUGAGAUUGGAUUAUUUGCAGGGUUUACCAAUUGAACCAUGCUCUCUAUAUAUAUGAUUUUGUUCCAUAGAUGGUUUUGCGUUGAAUCCGGAAGUGCUGAUAAUCCUUCAGUUAUAUUGAUUCACGGUUUCCCUUCUCAGGUGAGUCGGUCUUAAUUUGUCAAUGUAAUAGGAAAGUCUUCUACCAUCUUUGUGUUGUUGCAUCUGUAUGAUAGAUCGAUGCAUGUUAAAACGCAUGUUUUAAUUGUGAAAUCCAUUUUCAAUUUCCCAUCUGUCUUAAUAUUCUUCUGUUUAUUCAUACAUGUGUUCAAAUCAUCAGGCAUACUCUUACAGCAAAGUUCUUCCCAUACUUUCGAAGGACUAUCAUGCGAUUGCUUUUGAUUGGCUUGGUAAGAAUCAAGAUCACAAGUUUAGCUGAUAUCCAUUCCUGAAUGCAGUUGAAAUUAUCAAUGUAAACUACUCACGUGCGAUUUUAGUUUUGCUUUGCUUGAAAAGCAUUAUCAGUUGAUUAUUGCAUCUGCCUUCAAUUGCAGGUUUGGAUUUUCAGAUAAGCCUCAACCUAAAUAUGGAUUUGACUACACUACGAAUGGUGAUCGUUUUUGGUCUUAUCUCAUAUGAAGGCAGGCAGAUAAAAGCAAGAAUUACUCUUGUUUAUGUCGUCGAGUUUUUUUCACGGUUUUGCAGAGUUUUUAGCAUCCUUGGAGUCAUUUAUAAACGAAGUUAGCGUUAACAAGGUCACGCUCGUUGUCCAGGUAUAUUACUUCGCCAGUGAAUGUAUAACCAUGUAAUUCGAAGCCUGCAAUUGAAAAGAACCUCUGAUCUUUGAUGUGCGUCUCAGGGAUACUUUGCGCCUGUUGUGGUUAAAUAUGCUAGCAGUCAUCAGGAAAAGAUUGACAACAUAAUACUCUUAAAUCCUCCGGUAUGUGCUCUCCCGAAAUCCACCAUUGGUUUCUUUGUUUUUUCACUGAUAUAUAUGCUUUAUCAUUUUGAACAAACUGUGGAGUUUUCGCAAAGGUUUUCAUAUUUUAGAAUUGCUGUCUUAUUUCUCAAGAAGAUUAGAAACAGAAUUAUAAAGAUUUUAGGCUUUAGAAGACAUAGAAGUAAGAGAUAACACAAGAAGCGAUGAUAAAUUUCAUUCAUCAUCAAGUCUGACUUUACUAAAUAUAAAAAACAACUUAAAAAACUAAAUUAAAAUAACUCUAAUUUAAUAUUCUGCAUCACUGCGGUGACAAGAACUUGACUCUGGUGAGUGAAUUGAGGGCUUAAACAUCACUGAAUAUAACAAACAAAAUAGUAAACUAAACUAGAAUACUGCCUACUCCAGCACCAUAGUUCUGACUGUCUCCACGCCUCAAAGGCAAGUCUAGUCCACCAUCGCCUAUCUUCAACUGCGCUGCCCUUUCUUUACUUUCUGCAAGGAUUGACAACUUCUCAGUUAAUUGGAAUGCUGGGGCUUGCAGCCUUGUGUGCUCAAAGUCAUGGAAGACACUGCAGUUUGUCGACUGAUCCCAACUAGCACGCAGCUCAUUGUUGACCAUCAUUUUGCUAACAAUGCAAUGAGUCCGUGCUUCUGAGAGCUCAAACAUCUUGGCGAUUUGUUCCAAGCUUAAAGUCUUGUAUGACGGUGAGUAGGUCAGAGGGUAGGUUCUCAAAGCCGCCUCCUUGAUCUUGGCCUUGAUCAUCUCAAGAACACACUCACGAUUCCUGAGGAGCAUCGGGAAUUUAUGACAUUAAGGGCCUUUUGGAAGUUGCCUUCGCUGAGGGCUCUGGUAGCUGCCACUAUAUGAUCCCUGACAUUUUCAGCGGGUCCUUCGAACAGUCGCUUAUCAUUUGAUUCAAGCAACCGCCUGAAUGUUUUACUAAUCACUCUGCGCUUUGUGUCGUGGACCUAGCUGCCAUAUUAGGCACUUCCAGCAGCAUGGCAAAUAUCAAAUGAACCGCCUCCAGGAGCUCAAGGUUUAUGUGCAUAUAGGAGGGCAUCUGCCGGCUUCUCUCCAGCCUUUCCUUUUCUGGAGUUUUCUCGUGAAAUCUACUUCCCAAGACACCUUGUGCAAGCAACUCCCUUACUCUUCCACCCAAAUUUAAGUCAGAAAGGCAGCUAUUUCCUUCAAGGAUUAGUCCAUUCCGAAAUGCACAUAGACCGAGUUGUGCCACGGCCCUAUUAAACAAUAUUUGGGUUGAAAUGUCCAUAUGCUGAAUACAAUCUGGCAGGUGACUCAUCAGCAACAAGUUGUGCACAGUAGAAAACUCGUCCAAGAGAGCACGGUGGUAAAUGUCACAAAGCAUUGCUCGUGCUUUAGUCUGAUCAUCUCCAUGCUUGUAUAUCAAUCAAACCAGAAUAUCCAUGAAGGCCCUACUGCUCUCAGUAAAAGUGGGUUUCCGAGGAACAAGUUGAGGAGUUACAAUAAAUGCCAUAGGCUCCUUGCCUGCACCAUCUUGUGUCUGCUGAUCAGCAAGACUUCUUAUGGAAUCAUAAACUUCCUGUGGUUUAUAAUAUACUUGUUCAACCCGCCUUAGGGCUACCUUUGCAGCAUCUUUGAAAUUCCCAACUUUCUCUAAAUACUCUUGAACAUUUUGAGCAAGAGUAAAAAACAUUGGUUCAUCUCUGAGUCUUUUGAUGUACUCAUUGGUGUGAGGGUCCGCGCACUGCAAGCUGUUGAAGAAGUCAGUGUCUAUCCUUUCCACAAAGGCUGCCAAGUUUCCCCAAAGCCUGAUUGUCCCAUUGUAGUCCAGUCCCAUCUGGGAUUCAUUCUCAUCUGGCUCCGCCAUAUCAUUCACCACAAUGUUUGGAUAUUGCACCAGAAUAUCAAGUACAACAAGCAUGUUCCGCACACACUUUUUCCCACACAUUUAUAGGCAUGUGCCUGCUGAGACCCGGGUUGACAUCAAAUUGAGCAGAAACAGGACGGAAAAGAAUCUCAAGCUUUUGUGCGGGUGUUUUAGCAACUGUUGUCAAGAAGGUAAGCUGCUUAAACCUUCCAGUUCCCUUCCUUCCUGAGCUGCCACUACCUCUUUCAACUUCUUAUUUAUCACAUCCCAUGACAUCUCGUGACCAUCAUCUUCCUCAUCCGUCAUUGAUUCAACAUCUGUCUGAUAUGAAGUUUCAGAAUCCGUUUAAGAAGACUCAUCAGAAUCCUCCUCGCUCUUCACGGGAUUCUCCCUAAACAAACUAAUCAAGUCCUCAUACUGCCUAUUGUUCUUCUUCAGUUUCUGUUUCAUCACGGUCAAGGCCUUGGCAUUGCUGCUAGUCAUCUUCUUCUUAGCAGCCUUUUUUUCCAGCGCUUCAGCCAAAAUGCCCUCCAGCAAAACAAGCGCUUUGAUGUAGAGAGACGGUACUUUUUCCUUCUUGGUCAUGCGCAUCACCUUCUCAAGCUGCUUAUUAAGUUUCUCAAAGCAAUCCUCCAUGCUGAUCCAAUCAUUGACAUUCUUAGCAGCAUUCUUUAAUUUGUCAAACGUAGCAUUCAUCUCAUCAAAGUGCUUGACUUUUGCUGAUUUAAGAACACGCUUCGGAUCAUCCUCCUUGUCAUCAGAGGCAUCACUGACAUCUAUUCUGUAGCAGCUUCCUUCGGUGGAAAUCUCAGUAACAACUGCAGUUUCAGAUUCUCUAUCAGUAUCAAUAUCCGAAUCGCUGCUUGAAGUACUCCGCUGGCUCCAGAACUUGGACUUGAAGGAAUACCUAAUGAAUAAUGUACUCAGAAUCAACAAUUCCGAUAUGUAAAGGAUUGCUUUGGACGUAUGAAAGUUGUACAAGAGAACAGGUGAAAAACAGUAAGAAAAAUGUAAUUUACAAGAUGGAGAAAUUGCCUGUGCACAAUAACCCGGCUGGAAACCCAAAACCCAAGCAUGAACUAAGUCAUUCUGCUUAUCAACGAAAAAAAAGUCACAAAUGAGAUAAUUGACUGUUAUAACUCUUAUCCAUUAACCAAAACCAGAUCAUAUUAAGGUUUAGUUUCUUAUUUAUCUCAUCCUUUUUUUAUAAUACAAGUUAAAACCCGAAGCUAAUCUUAUCAUUAAGCAAUGAUGAAGACUUAAACCUCGCCGUACCUGAAUAAGAUGCCAUAUGCAGCGCCAGGAUGCUCUUGAAUAAACAGGAGCCAUCAUUUCUACAAACCUGCCAUACGUGUAAUUAAGACGUGCAGGAUACACGGACCUAUAUCUGUAACACGCAUGCACGCAUCCAUGGAUUGAUGCACGCGUGAGUAAACCAUACGUGUCUGUAUUUGUUUAUGAAAAUUUUGUACCCUGUGCAUGAAGGAUCUGUGCUGUUUUCAUCACACUUCCUUCCACCACGAAGUGUCUUGUUUAUGUUCCUGUUAAUGCACCACCAACCAAAAGAGUGGUGAAGAACACGUAAGAUCGGAGCAAGUAGUGAAGAAUUUACUGAGAAAGAAUCAUUAGAGUCUGCUACCAAAUUUCAAAUUAGGUUCUAUAUUAGUCUCCUUAGUUUAGACAGAAUACCUGUGUACUUCUGUUCUGUUGUCUCUCGCCAUAAGAAGAUGCACCUCGGAGUUGGCAGGAUCAAGUGCUGGCUGUGAUAUCUCAAGCCCCUCUUUUCUGAUAAUCAACAAGUGUCUGCAUAUGCAAGAAAUCAAGAUGAAUACAUACUGAAACAAUAUCAGGAUGCAAUGGUUUUACAUAAAUGCACGAAAAAUGUAUGAAUUGAGGGGAGUAACUUCCAGCAUUGAAAUUUUCGAUUCCCAGGUCCUCGUCCCAGAGGUAGAUGUUAAAAAGGAAACCAAACCAGGUUACUAGAAUUACUAGGAAAAUUUACAUGUGCGAAUCUCAAUUACAAUUAUGGCUAGGGGCAGUUACCACUAGUUUGAUUCAUAGCAGACACAUGUAUAGCCCUACUACUCCAUUCCUAAUCCCUCCACUCGUUUACAUGACCGCGUAAUGAAAAAAGCACGACAACAAAAUGACUUGAUGGGAACUGAGAAAUCGAAGAACAAUGAGAAACCAAAUCCAUGAAUUUGAAGAUACAAAGAAACUAAACAACGGGAUGAGAAACAAUUGUGUUCUCCUUUGGUUACCUUCUUUACAAUCUUGUUCACACUUUUCUUUUGCUUUAAUUCAACUGCAAUGGCCAGUAAGUCUGUUGAUGACUUUGAGUUCUAAAACAAAAGGAGUACAUAACAUAUAUCAGCAUUAAAACCCGAUUUCUUACAACCCUAAUUACCAUAUCCUUCGAGCUGCCUAAUCAAAAUUUAAGAUUAUCACUACAAUCAACACAGAAACAACGGCUUACCUUUUUGUUUUAGGGACCCCAUAAAGGGUUGCAUUAGCAAGUCAAAGGUCUUGGAAACCAUUCCUUUAGGUAGUGCCUCAGUUCCUUCAGGCCUGCAUUGAGCCUAAACAUGUAGGAGAACAUCAAUCACAACUACAAAUUUUAACCAUUGUACAUAUAAAUUAUAAAGAAGACUGAUGCACCAUUCAAGAAAACCUGCAACUUUUCGAAAUUGUAUGUUGCAUAGCAUUAACUGAUCCUUAUGCUAAAAACUUCUGUGAAUGAAAUGUCUAAGGAGUACUAAAUAUGCCAAGGAAAACAUAUACAUAUAGUCUUUAUGGCGUACGUUUAACAGCACUUUUUGCAAAAUGUAGUCAAUUAAGUUUGUCGAUGAUAUCUUGACUAUAUCAAAAUGUAGUCAACUAUAUUAGCAACUGUAGGUUGAAGUAUCAACAAUAUCAAUAAUAUGAACAACAUAUCCACGUUUUUAAAAGUUCAGUUAAUAUAUAUGUAUGGUGAAUAGUACCUCUUAAUCAGUGACAACAAACUGGCUCCGAAAGAAGAGAACUGCACAAAGCAUGGCAAUGGUAGAAAGGAAACUGCAACUAAAGAACCUCCUUCUUGUUGGGUCCUUGUGAGAAAUCUGAAUGCAAGAGGAAAUAACAAAAACAAAUAUAAACCAAAAUAAUUACAAAUCAAAAGGGUAGGCAUUCAUAAUUCUCUGCUAUUAAGAUUGGACAUUAAAAAGCCUCAUAAACUUUGUGUAAAAAAAAAGCCACAUAAACCAAUUCAAAAACCAAAUUCUGCUGCAUCAUACAAAGAAUGUGAAAAACUGGACUUGAGUAAACCAAAGGAAAAUCACUGCAAAAGGAGAAAACAACAGUGCGAAAAUCACUGCAGGAAGAAGGUGAAUAUCAUGCUAUGAAAUCGAAAGUCGAUAAACUUUAAGAGAGCUAUUGCAAAGAGGGGCUUACAGAAGUUGGGGUCUUCAUCAUCAUCAUCAUCAUCUCCAAGUUGAAUAAAACUAGAACAAUUUCUGAAUGUUGAGAGAUUGAGAAAUGAGAUUAUGGUGAUUGCAAGGAAGGAAGCAAAAACUACGAAUUAUGAUGUGAGAUAUAUUUAUGAGAAUUAAAUUUAAUUAAAAAGUUUUGUCAACGGACCUUCAAAAGCAGUGCAUCAAGUGAAGCGGCCUACGAUACUUGAAGCUGCAAAAGCCAAUUUUCUAAUAAACAGAGCUACUGAUCCCACAUGUCCUUCAAAAUCCACCAAGACGCGGGAAGACUGCCUAAUGCGUUGGGCUCAAACCCACUUCGAUGUCUCGGUACAAUGCCUUUGAGUAAUGAUUGUAGUAUGUAUCUCAAACUUUAGACGGUGAGAGUUGUUAUCAGCACUUUAAGAGCUGAUAUAUGACGUGUGAUAAUCGUCUUUUAUCUAAAGUUGAAUUAAAGACCUAUAUAAUGUAAUAGUUAAAUUUAAUGAAAAUAACAAUUGAUUUAUGUGAUGUGACAUGUAGCUAGAAUUAUCUUAUGUACAGACUAAGAAUUUGAUGGUAACUUUCUUGUUCUCGUUCUCUCACACACAACUUUUAUGUUCUUACUAUGUGUAUGAGUUUUGAUUAGAAAAGAUAAGCUAUUUUAGAGUUUCCUGAAUGUGAAUAGACACUUUCAUGUGAGGAUAGUAAAGAUAGGGUUUAGAUUUAAUUAAGUGGUACAUUGAAAGAUUCUUUGUUGACGACGUCGUCACCAACCAUCUUGUUACUCUAGAAUUAACAUAAAUUAAUUAGCUGGAAAAAUAGAGGUUAAAGAAUCUGUUGAUGAGUCUUACUUAUUCCGAGGUAUUUUCUUACUAUAAUAUCUUGUUAUAUUUUAUAAUAAAACAAAAAAUGGUAAACUCUUCAUUCUACGCUCAAAAUCUUAGUCUUUAACAACCCAAAGUCCUGCGUAAGAAAAACCUUUGUUUGACAUUACACUAUAGACAAUUGUGUGGGUGACUGUUUCUACGUUGUAAAAUCCAUAUUCAUCAACAAACAACCACUAACCAAAAUAAAGAUAGGCCUACAACUUUAUCCACAGAUGACCCUAAGUCAUUAUUAUAUUAUAAAAUCCACAUACAUCAAUCAACAGGUAACCACUAACUAAAGGGAAAAAGAUUCUGGUCGGAUUUUUUUUUUUUUUGAAUUCUAUGAAAUUCGUGAUUCGAAUCGUUUAUCGUAUAUCGCGUUGUUAAAAAUUAUUUUAAAAUUUAAAAUUAAAUAUAAAUAAUACCUAAUAAAAAUUAAUGUAUGUCAAGAAAAUGAUCCAACGAGGAUCCUUUUCCUUCAAGUAGACAGGGCUUGUAACCUUAUCGACAAUUGACGCUCGACACAAAAAUCAACAUACAUCAAAAGGUGCGAGGCAUCAAUUGUCCUCACCUGCAACCUUAUCCAAUAGUUGAUGAAUUGGGUAGGAAGUUAUACAGCACGUAUGAUGUAACGUGCAACACUAUUAUUGCUGGUCAAGGCCUUUGUCAAGUCUCAGGGGAGGCCCGGAGAAGGGUGCUCCAAGGACAAAGGACACUUUUAGGCGUUAGCAGAUUGCAGUGAUUCUCGAGCUACAUGGAGAAGGAGCAGAAAAUUUUCAUUAUGAUCGGAAUACGAGAGAUAUAUUAUAUGUUUUUAUAGAAAUUGAGAAAAUUUUUAAUUUUUAAAUUAUUAAAUUUUUAACACACAUAUCAUAUCAUUUGUAUAGUAAUAUGUUAUGUAUCAUCUUAUGUACCGAUCAUAUUAAAAAAUGUAUUGAGAAAAAGACACGGCAUCCGACACAAGGACGAACCAAUCCAACCAAUCAAUUUGAUCAAAAUACCACACACGCACCGUAACAUGUGCCCUCAUCACCCAAUUAGCCCCACCACCACACCCACUUUCCCUUCAUUCUUGAGUCGUUUGUUUCACGCGCUUCCAGCAUGCCUGACUGCAGGUAACCUAACAGUGGAAAAUGGAAAAUGGAAAAUGGAAAAUGGAAAAUGGAAAAUGACAUACAUCCUACAAUGCUAAACCUGGUUGCAGCGGAGUCGCUGAUACAUCCUACAGUGCAUAAGGGUUUUCAUGGAAAAUGACAUACAUCGAAAGAGUUUAUUGUUAUGUUGGAUUUUGAUUUAAUACUAUAUUGUUACGGUAGGUUUCUUUUUACAUGAUAAUAUAAUUUGGAAUGCGUUGCCGCGAUGACACGAAUUUAUAUAAGUUGUUUUCAUUUUUGUAGUUUGCUAACAUUGUCAAAUGUGUCUUCUAGCAUCAAUGAUCCAAGAAUUUAUACAUAAAAUUUUACCAUUGAUUGAAAACGCAUAUUUAUAUCAUGUAAAUUGUUCAUCUACAAAAAACACCCUAUAUUUAAAGAAAACAUCAAUUCACCACAUAGUAAAUUUUUAUUGAAGUCGAGUAUUCUCGUCUACAAUGACUGAGUUGCAAGAAAAGAUUUAUCCUUAAUUUUGUUUUUUGGUAGAAGAUUUCUCCUAAAUUUGGUUGCCCUAGCUUGAACCUUUUAUCGUCUGCAGAGUUUAAUGUUGAUCACAAAUGGAAAAGGAUCUAGUUUGGAGAUCCUAGGGAUUAUGUGAUUGUGACAUUUCAUCGUACAUUGUGAGAUCAAUUUUCGUUAGUACUAUUCAUAUUUAAUAUAAAAUUUUAAAAUUUGAAAUUAUUUCUGACCGCACGAUGUACGAUGAACGAUCACAAUCAUAGGAUUCCUAGGAUUCCUAGAAAAAGGAUCCGGCAAGGAUCCUUUUCCAUCAUAGAUUCAUUGGGACAGAUGUACAUGUGUUCAGUUUUUAACCGUGCCGUAGGACUAGUGAUGGACUCCUCAAACUUGUAAGUGAAAGGUUUUAGGUUCGAUUCUUGCCAAAGGCAAAUUUAAACCACGUUAUUGCUAGUUCAUUAUGAGGCUAAACUUUCAUCUUAUCUUUAAUGUAGAUAAUAUCGUUUGUUAAAAAAAAUAGUACAUUUUCUUAUCAAUCAAACAAAAGGAGACAUUUUUUCUUACUUUUUACUUAAAUUAUGGUACCCUCUCUAAAUCCAUAACCAUAAUCAUGAUAUGUAGUGCUUAAUACUAUAAAAUAAGUGGUAAUUAUUUCGUUUAAUAUAAUUUAUUUGUUUUUAGUUGUCCAAUGUCUCUGUGUGUCCAUCGACAUUCUUUCUGGUUCUCUUCUAAAUUUUGUAUAAACGGUAAUACUAAUAACACCACCAAUUUAAAUUAUUCUUUAACAAAUAAUAUUAUCUAUACGAAAUAGGCAGGGAGCUAGCUUUACGAUAGAUUAGUAAUAAUAUGGUUCAAAUUUGCUUUUUGUGAGAAUUGAACUUAAGACCUCUCACGUACAAAUGAAAAGAAAUAUCACUAUAUCGUAAUACUAAGUAACACUAUUGGUUUAAAUUAUAUUUUGUAAAUUAUAUAAUGUAGUUGUUAAUAUUAAAUUAUUACUAAAAAUAUUAAUUAACGUAUUUAUUUAUUCUCGAUGACACAUUAUAUGAAUAUAAAUCUUUACUAAUUAAUAACACACUCAUUGUCAACCAAAAUCAUAUGAAAUUACCAGUUUAAUAUUCUAAUUAAAAUAGAACAUGAAUAAGAAAUAUGAGGCAGAAAUAUAAUUUCACACAACCAAAUUUUAGUUUUUUUUUUUCAAAGCCUCAUCUACAUAUAAUCUUAACAUAUCUCUAAUUAAAAAAAUUAAAAAAAAUAAAAAAAAAACUUUCCACUCGUACAUUCUCUAUCACUCUCCUCCUCUCUCAUUUUAUUUAAAAAACAAAAAUAAAAAAUGUUCUCACACACUUUAUAUAUAUUUAUAUGCUAGUAUGAUCUAAAAAUUGAUCCACCUAGCAUGUGGACUUUGUGUGGUGGAAUCUGUUUAUGAUUGAUAAUAAGUUAUUAACUCUUGGUCUUCUCGAGAAAUUCAAUUUUUUUACACUAUUUCGUCCUUUUAUUUUUGGAUGCAGUGUCUUUGCUUUUAAGUGGCUCUCUAGUUCUUCUCUCUCGGGAACUCUCUCUCUCUCUCGCUGGUUUUUGCAGCUUCUUUAUCUGAAAGUGGGUUUUCUUUCCUUUGCAUGUUACUAUUUUAUUUAUUUAUGUUCUUAUUUUUUUGGCUUGGUGUUUGUUUAGUUUGUAGGGUUUCGCUUUGGCAAUUGAUGCCUAGGGUUUUUUAAUUGCAUGCUUGAAUUCCUUUUGUGUUUUCAUGUGCUUAAGUUUGAGUUUUUAUACGGUUGUUUUCUUCUGGGUUUUUGUGGUUGUUCUUGUGUUUCUGACUUCAGAAUUAAGAACUUAUUCAUGCACCAAAACAUAGUUAAGAAACAAUUGGAAAAAAAAAAAAUUGAAUUAUUAAAUAUUAGAUUCAGCUCAGCUUACAUGUUCCAGGAACAUCUGCGUGAAAGAUUUAUCCUUUUCUGUACAUCAGUCCCAAUUUGUAAGAAUUAAGGUUAAAAGUUUGUAUUUUGACUAUUUUCUUAACCCUUUUUAUGCAAAAAAUUUGGCCUGAAGUGUAAGCUUGACUUUCAAAGCAUUUGGAAUUUACUUUGUUUUCAAGAUGGAGAUGUUCCAUGCUCACAAGAACUAGUUUUAGAUUUUUCCAUUAAUUUCUCAAAGCUUUUGUACAUUUUAUUCGGUGUUGUAUAAUUUAUGACGAAUAUUUUCUACCUCUUGGGUAGCAGUUUAAUUUCCAUUGAAAAUUAGAUAGUUUCUGGUUGUAGAUAGUUUUCUUAGAAAUCUCUAGAUGAGGUUUCUGAUAGUAUUUUGCAUGUUAUGUUGUGUUCUUACUUCUUAAUUUCAUGUUCUAUGUGUCCCUGAAAGAUCAUUCUUGAUCUGUAAUUAUAGGGUAGGUCCUAGAUAUUCUCUAGUCAUACUUUAUAAUUUUUCAACCCAGCACCAUAGUUCCGGUAUAUGUCAGACUUCUUUGGAGUCGAUCAUGAUACUACUGUACUAGGUCUGUAUUUUCUGUGCUAACAAUCUAGGUCAGUUGGUGUUAUUGGGGAUAUCAGAUAUUUGGUUAGUAUUUUAUAUAGAUGUGUAUGUAUGUAUGUAUAUGUGUAUAAAGUUCAUUUUAAUUUCUCACCUUUUAUUUCCCCCCCCCCCCCCCAAUUUAUGUGUGGAAAUUUGAUCGCAUGUGGAAGAUCCCUUGUUGUGAUUGUUAGAACAUUAUAAGCUGCUCUUUUCCGUAGCUACUGAUGUCUAAUUUGAGCUAUGGUUUGAUGUUGUGUGACAACGAGAGAGAGCACGCUUGUCAUCACGCAUGAAAGGAUCAUGGUUGUUUACGGGCGUGCCCUCUCUUGUUGUCAUUCGGUCCACCUGCUCUAUCUUUGGCAUAUGAUAUUAAUUUGCAGGUGAUUUUGAUCUCUAACUAUACAUGCCAGAAUUCGCAUAUGAUAUAUAUAUAUAUUACUUGUUUUUACUUCAAUUUGUUGUAAAUUUUUUUGUGGAAUCAUUUUUUGUGAACUUAUUGAGUCUCAUGUUUGAGAUCCAAAAUAAUGUGCUCAUUCAACAAUUGUUAAAACAUUUUGACAAAACAAAAAGCUAUUGGUAAAACAUAAUAUACGGAACUUCAAUAUUCAUCCGUAGCACAUCAAUUAAUCAUUUACCUCAACCAAUUAAGUUUGUUUAGCGGCAAUCCACUUUGUGUUACCGUUUAGUGGUAUUCUUUUUACUUGUAAGUGAAAGGUCCUAGGUUUGAUUGUUGCUAAAGGAGAGUUCGAACCAAAUUAUUAUGGCUAAUCCAUUGUGAGGUUUAGCCCACUCCCCCACCCCUUUAGUUUAACAUCAAAUGUAUUAAAAAAAGUUUGCUUAGUGGGGACUUAGGAUGGGGUUGAAAAGAUUUGUGCUGAUCAUGAUGAGUGCUUGUUGUGUUGUGCAUAUUGCAGAUGUUGAAAAUUUUUGUGAAAUUUACUAAUUAUUGAUCUUGGCAAUCUUGGCUGAUUUGCCUCCUUGUUUUAAUGAUAAUUCCGCCCAAAAACCAUAAUAUGUUCUUUACACAUAUUAGAACCGAAAAAGAUAAUCAAGUUAGAUUUUAAGGAAAACUAAUGAAAAUGGCUUGAAAACUUUGAGUUUUAAUUAUAAGGACAAAAUAAAGGGUAAAGUGAAUAGUACCAGGAUUGACUUUUUAGUGUAAAAAUGUGGUUUUUCGUUAAAGUGAACAGUACCGGGAGCUUUUCGUUAAAGUUCCCUAGAUUCUAAUGAGAAUCUAUAAGUUGAAGGUUUGUUUUAUUUAAAAAGAAGGGUGGUUUUCACAUAUGAGAAAGUAGAAGUUGAAGAUUUGUUCAAUUUGCAUCCAUUACUAUGUUUCUAACACUUCCUAAAAUAAUUUUUAAAUUUUCCUUUUGAUUUUAUUAGAUAUUUUAUUUUCUAAUUUAAAAACAUAAAUUUAUUAAACAUAAAAGCAAAGAAAAGGGUCUGUUUUGCAUAUGGGAUAGGGAAAAUUUGGAUACUUUUUUUCUUUGCACUCAUUGUUGUGCUUUUCAAACUUUUCAUAGUAUAUAAACAUUCUCAGCAUUUAGUUUUAUUCAAUUUUCUCUUUUGUAUAUGGCCAUUGUGCCAUGGGAUUGUGGAGGAACCAAAAGGCCACAGUGGCAUGAUCAAGAUCGUCAUUGUGGUUGCAUGGCCAAAUACUCUCUUAUUGUUCUUUGUUCCUGCAUUUAUAUAUUACUCCCAACAUAUUUUGCUUAACUAUUUAUUAGCUUGUGUAUUUCUUCGUUUAUGUGCCAUAUAUAGGCAUUUUGUUGUUAUAUUAAUGAAAACUGUGAAAUAACGUUAAUCUGUAAUUUGUAUCCAAGAAAUCAAAAUUUGAAGUGAUUAGAUUAAUCAAAAAACACUUUUAGAUACCAUUGUUUCAUUUUAAGAGUUUUGGAUUUUGGACUCAUGUUAUAUUGUUAUUUCACUAUCUGCGAUGGAGAUGUAGUUUCAUUUAAGGGAAGAUAAUUCAACGACGGCACUGUAUUUGUAUAUGUGUGAGAUAUCCAUUUUCUUGUCAAAUUUUCAGAGAAGAAAUGUGAUUAGUGGAUUGAAAUGUUAAGGAGGGACAAAUAAAUGGGUGAUCUAAGCAUGAAAUUGCAGGGUUGCUGAUGCUAUAUAUACCAGUGGUGAUGGUGAACUCAAUGAACAGAUCGUAUUUUGGCAAUGCUAACUUGGUAUUUGUGGGGUUGACGGUGAUGGUGAGAUGUGGUUUGCCAGCUAGUAGAUUGUGUUUUACUGGUAAGUGGAUUGACAGCGGUUUCAUAUUGCAUUGAGAUUGUAUCUUAAGUCUAACUUGUUCUUGCAGUUUCUUUCUCACAAAGGAUGAAAUAGAUCCUCUAUAUUUUGUUUUAUACUGAACUUUCAACUAGCACAUGAUGCUGAUCUCUAAUAGCAGAUUGAAUUCAUAUAUUUAUGACUUGUUUUUACUUGGAAGUAUGUGUUGUUUCCCAUUAAAAUUAUUCAGCAUUCGGAAAAUCUAAUGUAAUUGCAAUGCAGUAGUUAUGCGUAAAUCAUUUUUGUCAGUCAUGUUUGGUAUGUGGUCGUAAUGUAACUUGGUUAAUGGGUAUAUAAAUUGUUGCACUUUAAUAGAAUAGGCUAAAAAUUGUUAGAUGCUCUUGAUGUACAUGAGAUAAAUAAAUGAAAUUUUCUGAUUGAGCAAUACUUUCAGUUCUGUUUGCUAUUUGGAAUUCAGAAUUUGAUUUUAGUGGUGCUUAUUUUACUCUUUUUACUUUUACUUCUUGUGUAAUGUAGGAAAGGAUGAAUAUGGCUGGAGUUGGGUUGAUGAGGAUUCCAUUCCCCUUAUUUGUUCCUGCUCAUACCAGUAUUUUUACCAUUUUCUCACCCUUUUAUCGUUAAAUUGAAUGGUAAACUGUAACGCUAUCAAGUAAACCAAAAAAACAUGUGCUAAGGGACUGGGCAUGAUUUUGUUGUUAAUAUGAUUGAAUGAGUCCAUUACUGGAUACAGAAGCAAAAUAUAUGAGCACUCCUUUUAUCUACUAAUAAUAAGUGGAAGACUUAAGAAUGAAGAGAAACAUUGCUAAUGCAAUAGCCGUGACAAUGGCAAAUUGGCUAUGCAUACAAAGCUAAUUUUGGUAUGGGUGGUGUGAGAGUGAAGGUUGGGGAUGCAAUUUUGCGGCUGUUGGUGUUACCUUGGUUGUGAGUUGGUUGUAGUUUUUUGCCUAUUUUUGAUGUCAUUUUUGUACUCUUUCCCAUUAUGAAGGAUGAAAAAACUCUUAUUUCUCAAACUUCAGGCGUAGCAAGACUUAUGUAAGAUGAGGUGCUUAAGUCUUUUCCGUUGUUUGAACCCACGAGUCUUCUCACCAAAAAAAAAAACAGGUAUAUAUUUGGAUUGCUUGUUAUAACACUGUGAACAUUUUUUUUUCUUGAAAUUUUCCAUUAUCUAAGUUUCAUUUUAUGGACUCGUGUUUUUGAUAUUGUUAAUUUUGUGUCCUUGUUAAAGUGUGGAUGAUGGGGACCCUAAAGUAUCAUGAAACUCUAGAUUCAAUUGUUAAAAAUGCAUUACAGGAACACUACGACUCCAUCUGCUUAAGCACUACAAAACUACUACUUAAACAUUACAAAUGCACUACGUAAACACUUUUCCUAUCGAAUGUAUUGCAUAGGUCAUUUUUAAGUACCUCUAUCUAUAUUUUGUAGUGCAUUCCUACCAAAUUAAGCUUAAAAUCCAUGCAACUUUAAGUCCUCAUCCAAAUGUCUUUCACCGGUAUAUCUAAUAUUUCUACAACAACUCUAGUAGUUGCAAGGGAGAGGUAAAGUUGUUAGAGUGUUAUGUUUUAGGUGAGCACCACUCAUGUGGGGGGAAUAUUACCGUUACACAUAGGAGAGAGCAUCUCUCUUACAUCAUCAACUCAUCUUAACCAUUCACGUAAUCUACACUAUGAGAUAGUUACAAGUAUCAUACUCUAUCACUUAAUGAAAUUACAUCUCCACAACACACUUGGAGCAUAUUUCUGUAAAUUCACUUAUAAUUCAACACUCCCUUCUAGGUGUUUUGCAGAAAUCACUCUCAAAGCCUUCCUCAAAUACUUAAAUCGAUCCUUUCCCAUGCUUUUGUGUUUGCAUUACACCAAAUCAAUUUCCCCUUCUUGCAGUGCAUCUUUGAUGAAGUGAAAUCUUCUAUUGAUAUGUAUGGUUUUAUUCUUAGAUAUAGCAAUGGUAGAGGUAUUAUCACACAAAAUUUGAGUUGGUUCAACUUGUUCUUCCCCAAAAUCUGAGAGAACAAACCUUAACUCGAUUGCUUGCACAGUAGCUUCAGCUGCACUCACAUAUUCAGCCUCUACAAUUGAUAAUGCUAGUCGGUUUUGCUUGAUUAAUGCCCAAGAAAACACUCCAAAUCCUAGACUAAAGUCAUAUCCAGAAGUGCUCAUGUCAUCCUCACUUCCAACCCAGUCACUGCCACAAUACCCAAUUAGCACAACAUUCUUCCCCUUUUCAUAUGCAAUUCCAUACUCCAAGGUGCCUUGGAUAUAUCGUAUUACCCUCUUUAGCAGUUCCCAUGUGCUUCUUGGUAGGAUAGUGUAUGAACCUAACAAGUAGGUUUGCUGCAAACAUAAUGUUUGGUCUUGUAGCAGUCAGAUACAAGAAACUCCCAACAAUCUUCCUUUACAAACUUUCAUCAGCCAUUUUACUUCCAUCCACUUUAGACAAUUUUUCAUUCACAGCAAGUGGAGUUGCAACUAGUUUGCAAUACUUCCAAAUUUAUCCAAUAGAGCCUUUGCAUAUUUCUUCAGAUGUAAGAAAAUGCAACUCUUAGUUUGAACUACCCCCAAACCAAAGAAGUGAUGUAAUAAUCUCUAGUCUGUCAUCUCAUAUUGCUUCAUCGUUUCACUUUUAAAUUUUGAAAUCAACUCAUUUGAACUCCUAGUGUAAAUGAUAUCAUCCAGCCACAUACAAAGAGACAAUGAGAAUACCUGCCUCAGUUGUCUUGGUAUACAAUGUGGCUUCACUAGGACUUCUGUGAAACCCAGCUUUUGAGAAAAAUAUGAAUCAGUUUCUUCAUACCAAGCUCUACGGGCUUGCUUCAGACAAUAUAGUGCUUUCUUGAGUUUGCGAAAUCUUGUCUUCCUUGCCUUCAUUCACAAAUCCAAGAAUUUGAUCAACAUAUACCUCUUCAUGGAACACUCCAUUGAGAUAUGCAGACUUCACAUCCAAUUGCCUUUGAACCUCUUUGUGCAGCUAGAGCUUCAGUGUUCUUAUGGUGUCUGGUUUUGCAAUUGGAGCAAAUGUCUCAUUAAAAUCCAAUCCAGGCUUCUAGAAAUACCCCUUUGCUACUAACCUUGCCUUAUUCUUCUGUACAGAGCCAUCUAAACUCAACUUUGUUUUGUAAACCCAUUUAACACCAAUAAUGGUUUGUCAAAUGGUUUGUCAACCAGUUCCCAAGUGCAAUUCUUCACUCGGGAACUUCUUUUUUAUUGUUUGCGUUGUCGAAGGGAACCUUCUAGGAAACUCAUUUACAAACGUGUCUAAGCAUAAAUUUCAAACAUCUAUGGUGACUCUUAGCCUUAAUUUUAUGCUAUCGUCAACAUGUUUAGAUUUAUGAAAACUUGUGUUCCUGUUUUCGUGGAAUCUGGAUGUGAAAACGUUUUCCUUCCCCAACCCUCACUUUCUAUUAUGUCACUCUGAUGAUAUCUUCGCUAUUCUUUUUGGUACUUGGCUCAUGUGUUUGCAGUGGAGGACACGUGCAUCUAUUUUCACCUAUUCGCUUCCGUUUGUCUCUAAAGUGACUAAUAGAUUUCUUGUUGAUGGAGUUUCAGUUAUAGGUUUUUUAUUCGUUAAGAUGUAAAGGCCUAUUAAUGAUUUUUCUUGUAAAUUGGAAGCACUAUAUCCAUGCUGAGCUUUUAAAGCUGAACUUCUCUGGUAGAAAAAUUUGUUCUGCGUCUGCUUACCAUACGAAUGGUGUACGUUAUAGAAGAUAAGUUUGCUACUGUUUAGGUUGUUACUGCUUUACCUAUUCUGUUUAUGUGCUUGCCUUGCUACCGUUUAGGUGGUUACUGCUCUACCUAUUCUGUUUUAAUGUGCUUGCCUUUAUUGUUAACAAGAGUCAAAGUCUGACACCAGGAAUUGAUUCACACUUAAUAGUUAAAUAUUGUUCAGAGUAAUUCCGAAGUGCUUGAAUGAUCACCAGGAGUUGAAUCUGAAGACCGAGUAAGUGUUUCCUAGAUACGUCUGCUUCAACCAGCUUUUAACUAUUAAAGAGAAUUUGAUUUUACAUUUGUGCUUCAUCACAUAUACUGUUAACAUUCAACACUUUUGGAUCAGCCUUUCUAGUUUAGCAUCUCCUUCAAGCUCAUAUCAAAACUGGGAUCCGCCGUUAUGAAGGCCGGCUUUUAUUGUUGAAACAGAACACUCUCCCAGCUUGGAUAUUAUAUGCGAAACCUGAUGGUUUGGGAGGUGGGGUGUCAAACAUCCUUUUCGAGUUUAAACCGAAAUUUAGUAUAUCAAUAUGCAUUAUUUUUACUUGGAUUUUAUGUAUAUUCUGACAAUUGGUCCCUCGAUAUUUGUUCUUUUAUCAUAUGCUUUUUCAGCAUUUCAUUUCCUCUGGAUUGUGUGUUCUUUUUCAAAACAAGUGGGAUUUGGAAGUCAUGUCAUCACCCAUCCCCUCCCCUCAAAGAGAAUUUUUAGCUGAGUGAAUGAAAUGAUUCCAACGUUAUUCACCGCUCUGGUCAAUUUUGGACUUAAGCGACUCUUCAUGCUCAUCUCAGCCUCUUGGCCCGCCUUUUCCUGAAUCUAGGAUCGAGCUUCUUCCCCCAUCUGGGGUUGAUGCCCGCGGUGGAUGACAUAGCAGUGGUUUAGCAUGCCCUUAUUUCAGCCAGCACUGGCAUGGCCUGGCGGGAAAGUACCAUCCCUUUCAACAGUAAGACCACCUCCAAUGGUUGGGGAAAAUCUAGUCAAGAUAAAUAGUGCAAUUGAAAUCCGAACUUUAGACUAUAGUAAUGUCCUUCAAAUCAAAUGAUGUAUUCUCUUCCCUAUAUCCCAGCUGUUGCUCAUUGUAAGAAGGCACUGAAGAGCUCUUUUAAGAUCACUGCUCAGCAUGGCCAAAUCAAACUCCAACCUACAAAAAGGGAUGACAAUGAUAUACGGUUCAAUUUGAGAUGAAACGGCUGGUGCUUGCAUUUGAAGAUAAAAAGAAACUAAAGAACGGCAUGAGAAACAAUUGUGUUUUCCUUUACCUUCUUUACAAUCUUGUUCACUUUCCUUUUGCUUUCAUCCAACUACAAUGGCCAAUAAGUUUGUUGAUGAUCACUUUGAGUUCUAAAACAAAAGUAGUGAAACUUGGAAUCCGAUUUCUUUGAAUUCAACUAGAAGCCUCAAAUAUUUCCGAUUCAGCUAAUAUUUUGUAAGGAUAAUCUAUGGGAUGAAACUUGAAAAACAGACGGUUCAGAUCGUUAAACUUUGAUGUGGUGUGGGCCUACAACUUAUUCCCAUUUUUAUAUGAAAAAAAAAAUAGGGAUCCCUUAACUUAAAGCCCUCCAUGAACAACAUAUCCACGUUUUUUAAAUGUUUAGUUAAAACAAAUUGGCUCUUUAUAACCUGUGACAACAAAUUGGCUCCCAAAGAAGAGAACCGCAGAAAGCAUAGCAAUGGUAGAAAGGAAACUGCAACUAAAGAAGCUCCUUCUCGUUGGGUCCUUGUGAGAUAUCUGAAUGCAUGAGGCCAUCUCCAACCGAAGGGUCCAGAGGGCCGAAAAUAGCCCUAAAACCGUCUCCAACCGAGGGCUAGGCCAGAGGGCUUUGGAAUCUGGGAGGGCCCCACGGGAUCGGAGAGGGCUGGAGGGUUGGCUGCUUUCGGCCAGCCAGCCAGCCCCGGGCUGGCUAUUUUUUUUUUUAAUGAUUUCCUAUUGCUGUCGGUUAUAGCCGACAACAUUAAAGAUAUAUUUUUUUUAAUAGUUCUACUAUUAGUGUAGGUUAUAACCGACACUAAUAGUUUGAAAUGUUUUUUAAUAUAACGGCUAGUAGCCGUUGUAUUAUUAGGCCUCUUUUUUUUUUCUUUUUUUUUUAAUGAAUUUAAACUUCUUUUUUUUCUUUUUUUUUUAAUGAAUGUAAACUUCUUUUUUUCCCCUUUUUUUUUCCUUUUCAUAUGAAUCAAAUUUUGUUUCAUAUUUUUUUUCCUAUAACUUUUAUUUCACAAAAUUUGUUUCAUAUUUUUUUUCAAUUCUAUUUUUUUCGUAUAACUUCCUAGGCCAUUUAUACAACAUUAAAUUGUAGUUUUUAAAUAAUAAAUUAUGUUUGGCCCUCGGUUGGAGACGGUUUUUUGUGACAGGGCUAAAACGAGCCCUUUGGCCCUCUGGCCCUCGGUUGGAGACGGAGGCAAAUAUGGCCAUGUACUGUUCAUUAAAAUAUUAAUAUCUUGGGGAAUCUUGAAGGGCUAGAGGGCUCAAACGAGCCCUCUGGCCAGCCUUCGGUUGGAGAUGGCCUGAGGAAAUAACAAGAACAAUACAAACCAAAAUAAAUAAAAUUCAAAAGGGUAGGAAUUCAUCAUUCUCUGCUCUUAAGAUGAGACAUUAAAAAGCCACAUAAUCUUUGUGUAAAAGAAGGCACAUAAACCAAUUUAAAAACCAAAUUCUGCUGCAUCAGUACAAAGAUUAUGAAAAAAAAAAAUGGACUUGAGUAAACCAAAGGAAGAUCAAGAAAAUAAAAAGUGCAGAAGGAGAAAACGAGGGUCCGAAAUUUACUGCAGGAAGAAAGUGAUUAUCAUACUACGGAACCGGAACUCCAUAAACUUUAAGAGAGCUAUUGCAAAGAGGGACUUACAGAAGUUGCGGUCUUCAUCAUCAUCUCCAAGUUGAAUAAAACUAGAACAAUUUCUGAAUGUUGAGAGGUUGAGAAAUGAGAUUAUGGUGAUUUGAAGUAAGGAAGCAAAAACUAUGAAUUAUAAUGUGGGAUAUAUUUGUGAGAAUUAAAUUUAAUUAAAAGUUUUGUCAACGGAGCUUCUAAAGACAAAAGCAGUAAAACAAGUGAAGCGGCCAACGUUAUAUGAAAGCUGCAAAAGCCAAUUUUCAGGUAAAUAAAGCUACUGAUGCCACGUGUUCUUCAAUGGCCACCAAGACGAGGGAAGACUGCCAAAGCGUUGGGCACAAACCCACUUCGAUGUCUCGGUACAAUUUCUUUUAAUUAAUGUUUUUCGCUUCAAAGAUAGUGAGAGUUGUUAACGUAGUUGAUAUUUGACAUGUUAUAAUCAUUUUUCGUUUAAAGUUGAAUAACAAAUUUAUAUCAUGUAAUAAUUAAAUAAAAAUGAAAAUAACAAGUGAUUUUAUGUGAAAUAUAGCUAGAAUUACUUAUGUACAGACUAAAAACUUGAUGGUGGCUUUCAUGUUCUCACUCUCUCACAUACAAAACUUUUACAUUCUUAUUAUGUUGUUGAGUUUUGAUUGAAAAACCUGAACUAUUUUAGAAUUUUCUGAAUGUGAUAGACACUCCUAUAUGAGGAUGGUAGAAAUAGGAUCGAAAUUUAAUUAAUUAGUACGUUAGAAGAUUCCUGUUGACGACAUCGCCACGAACACUAAAAAUCUUAGAGUUUUAACAACCCAAAGUCCAAUGAAAGAAAAACAUUUUGAGACAUUACCCUAGGGCCAAUUUGUGCAAGUGGCUUUUAAGUCAUUUCAACAUUGUGGAAGUAGAACCCACGUUACAUCAAUAUGCAACCACUAACUCACGGAAAAGGAUCUUGGUCGGAUCUUUUUUUCUAGGAAUCCUAGGAUCACGCAAUUGUAUUCGUUCAUCGUAUAUCGUGCGGUAAUUUUUUUUUUAAAAAUUAAAAAUUAAAAAUAAAAUAUAAAUAGUACUUAACGAAAAUUGACCUCACGAUGUACGAUGAACCGACAUGAUUACAGGAUCCUUAGGAUUCCUAAGAAACGGAUCCGGCUUGGAUUGUUUUUCCUAACUAAAAUAAAGAUGGCCUACAACCUUAUCAACACGUGACCCUAAGUCAUUCAUAUGUAGUAAAAUCCACAUACAUCAACAGGUAGCCAGUAAUUAGUGUAUAAAUGCCUGCAACGGAAAUAGAUCCUCUCUGGAUCUUUGAAAUUUGAUCAAACGGCUACAAACAGUGGACCCUUUUAAAGUUAUAAUAACUUUAAACAUUGGAUUACAUUUUAAAGGUUCGAAUGAAUUGAUUUUGUGAAUUUAGUAAAAGGAAUCCGGAAAUGAUCCCUUUCCGCCUACAACCUUAUUGACAAAUAGUCAUUAACACCUUGUAAAAUCCACGUACAUCAAAAGGUGGGAGGCAUCAACUUUCCUCACCUACAACCUUAUCCAAUGGUUGAUGAAUUGGGCAGUAAAGUUAUACAGAACAUAAAAUAGGAUAUAGUAAUACGCAAUAGAGUAUGAUUCACUCAUCUUCUAUUCUUAUCUCAUUCUCUUCUCUCCUCUCAUACUUUAUUUUUUGGUUUUUUUUGUCCCUAUAAUAAAAAUCAAUAUAAAAUAUUAACGUAGUUUAAUCAUAACUGUUCAAGUAAGAAAGAAGGAAUGUCACUUAGUACUAUGGUUUAGUGGUAUUCCUCUUUAUUUGUAGGUGAGAGGUCUUAAGUUCGAUUCUUGCCAAAGGCGAAUUUGAACCAUAUUAUUACUAGUCCAUUGUGAGGCUAAGCCCGUCGCCUUCUAUGUAGUGUAGAUAAUAUAUUUUGUUAAAAAAAAAAGUAGAAAAGAAGGAAAGGAAAAAGAGAUUAGGAGGAAGAGAAUCAUCCUCUGUAUGCAACACUACUAUUGCCAGUCAAGGUUACACCAAGGUCAAAGAACAAUUUUAGGCGUUUGAAGUGGAAUGAGCAUCCUCUUCAGAUCCUAUUUGUGAAGAUCCCAGAGAUCCUCCAAUCACAUUCGUUCAUCGUACAUUGUACGGUCAGUUUUUAUUAGAUAAUGUUUAUAUUUAAUUUUAAAUAAAAAGAUUUACAAUGAUUUUUAACCACACGAUAUACGAUGAACGGAUGUGAUUGAAGGAUUUGGAGAUGAUCCCCAUUCUUUGAAUUGAUCAUUGAGAACCAUAGAGAAAGAGACACAACAUCCAACACAAGGACGAACCAAAUUCAACCAUUAAGUUUGAUCACAAACAUGGAAAAGGAUCCCUCGUCCAAUCAUUUUCUUGGGGAUCCUAGGAAUAUCGUGAUCGUAUUUGUUCAUUGUACAUCAUGCGGUCAUAAAUCAUUUUAAAAUUUAAAAUUAAAUAUAAAUAGUACUUAACGAAAAUUGAUCGCACGAUGUAUGAUAAACGGAUACGAUCGCAGGAUCUCUAGGAUCCCCAACAAAAGAAUCUGGCGCACUACCAACGCACUAUAACAUGUACCCUCAUCACCCGACCAUUUAAGUUUCUUUCGUUUUCGUACUUUACUAAAAUUGUGAACGUGUUUCCUUGUAUCAAUGAUUCAAAAAACUUAUACAUAAAAUUGUAUCAUUAACUUGUAUCACGUAAAAUGUUUGUCUACAAUAAAAACUCUAUUUUUUUUUUUUUUUAAAAGCUCUCCUAUCAUCAAUUCACAAUAUAAUAAAUAUUUAUUGAACGCGAGGGAUUCUCGUCUACAAUAAUUGAGUUGCAAUAAAAGAUUUCUCCUAAAUUUAGUUGCCCUAGCUUGAACCAUUUUCGUCUGCAGAGUUUAAUGUUGAUCAUAGAUAUAUUGGGACAGAUGUACACGUGUUCAGUUUUUGACCGUGUCAUAAGACUAGUGAUGGACUUUUUAGGCCAUUUCCACCAAAUCCAUCUAGUCCGGGAUCUGGACCGUUAGAUUUUGAUUUAAUGGUUACAAACAGAGGGUCCCUUUAAAAAUUAUAAUAACUGUAGUCUUUGAAUCAAAAUCCAAUGGUCCGAUUAGGAAAUCAAGGGAGAUACAAUGUCAUUAUCUAAGGUGGAGUGAUUUCAUUAUCAUGACUCUUUUAUACUUUAUUAAUAAGAGGCAUCACGGAGGUGGAUUGUCUGUCCUCCCAUUUCCAUACUCUUCCCAUCCCUUCAUGUUUGUGUAGUCAAGGUUAAGUCACGUUAACAUUUUAUAUUGAUUUGUUUAUAAAAAUAAUAAAACAAAAAGUAAUAGGAAUAUAAAAUGUUAAAGUAACUUAAUCGUGACCACACAAAAUAAAAGGGAAUGAAAAGAGUAUGGAAAUUGAAGGAUAGACAAUCCAUCUCCAUAUGUAUAAGGUAAUGACAUUGAUGGUUCGUAUAUCAAAUAAUCAUAUAGCAUCAUGGCAGUUACAUCGAAAAAAUUGGUUUUAGGUAAAAGAAGUAUGUAACGGAUCCCUUUUUGACUUUUCAAACAAAAAUGGUACUUUUCUUAGUUACCAAACAAAUGAUGGUACUUUUCUUAGUUACCAAACAAAUGAUGGUACAUUUUUCUUACUUUUUACUUAAUAAUCGUACCCUGUCUAAAUCCAUAACUACAAUCAUGAUAUAUAGUACUUAAUACUAAAAAAAUACGUGGUAAUUCUUUUGUUUAAUAUAUAAUUAAUAAUUAAUUUGUUUUUGGUUGAUCCAAUAUCUCUGCGUGUCCAAUGACAUUCUUUCUGAAUUUAUCUUUUUCAUAUUUGUAUAUACGAAAAUAUUAAGGGGUUUAUUAAUUUAAAUUAUAUUACGUGUUUGUUGAUAAUAAAUGAUUAAGUGUUAAUUUUUACUAGUAACACAUCACAUGAUUUAUAAGUUUAAUUUUUAUGUGAAAUACUAAGGUGACUCACUCUCUAUAAAUUCUAUGUCAUCUCAUAUUUCUAGAACAAUUUCCAUACCAACAUUAUAAAACAAAGAAAUGCUAAAGAGACUCUUCCAAAAAUGGUUUCAUAGACUCCUAACCACGUCAUGUUUUUAACACAAUUCUGGUUCUAAUAUUAUAAAAUAUUAUGUAUAAAAUAUGAGAUAAUGGGAAAUCUAUAAAAAUUCUUACUUUGAAUGAACUUUUUAAUAUUUUUUUACAUAAAAUAUUAUAUUAAAAAUAUGAUGUGCGGAUAGACCCACUUUUUUAGUCUCAUUUCUCGUUAUCUUAUCGACCGUCAAAACUGUUUAUGACUGAUAAUAAAUUAUUAACUCUUGGUCUUCUCGAGAAAUCCAAUUUUUUACACUAUUUAGUCCUUUUUAUUUUUGGGUGCAGUGUCUUUGCUUUUAAGUGGCUCUCUAGUUCUCCAUUUUUUCUCUGGAACUCUCGCUCUCACUGGUUUUUGCAGCUUCUUUCCCUGAAAGUGGGGGUUUUCUUUCCUUUGCAUGUUACUAUUUUAUUUGUUCAUUUUAAUUUUUUGGCUUGGUGUUCGUCUCGUUUGUAGGGUUUGCAUUUGGCAAGCCUAGGGUUUUUUAAUUACAUGCUUGAAUUCUAUGUGUUUUCAUGUGCUUAAGUUUGACUUUUUAUACACCUGUUUUCUUCUGGGUUUUUUGUUGUUGUUGUUGCUUUUCUGACUUCAGAAUUAAUAACUUCUUCACGCACCGAUACAUAGUUAAGAAACAAUUGGAAAAAAAAAUGUUAAAUAUUAGAUUCAGCUCAGCUUACAUGUUCCAGGAACAUCUGCGUGGAAGAUUUAUCCUUUACUGUACGUCAGUCCCAAUCUGUAAGAAUUAAGGUUAAAAGUUUGUAUUUGACUAUUUUCGCAAAAAAAUAAUGGCUUGAAAUGUAAGAUUGACUUUCAAAGCAUUUAAAAAAAUUAAUUUAGCAUAAGACUUAAGCUUAUACUUUUGGUACUAGAUUUGAUGAAAUUUACUUUGUUUUCAAGAUGGAGAAGAUCCAUGCUCACAAGAAAUAUAUUUAGAUUUUUCCAUUAAUUCUUCAAAGCCUUUGUACAUUUUAUUGGGUGUUGUAUAAUUUAUGAUGAAUAUUUUCUACAUCUAGGGUAGCAGUUUAAUUUCUAUUGAAAAUUAGAUGGUUUGGGGUUGUAGAUAGUUUUCUUAGCAAUCUCUAGAUGAUGUUUCUGAUGGUAUUUUGCAUAUUAUGUUGUGUUCUUACUUUUUAAUUUCAUGUUCUGUGUGUCACUGAAAGAUAAUUCUUGAUCUGUAAUUAUAGGGUAGGUCCUAAAUAUUCUCUAGUCAUACUUGAUAAUUUUUCAACCAAGCACCAUAGUUCUGGUAUAUGUAAGACUUCUCUGGAGUCGAUCAUGAUACUACUGUUCUAGGUCUACAAUUUUCUGUGCUAACAAUCUAGGUCAGUUGUGUUAUUGGGGUAUCAGAUCUAUGGUUGGUAUUUUAUAUACAUGUAAAUGUAUGUGUAUAUAGUUCAUAUGUAUAAAGUUCAUUUUAAUUUCUUGCCUUUUAUAUUCCCCCCAAUUUAUGUGUGGAAAUUCGAUCGCAUGUGGAGGAUUCCUUGACAAUUGUUGUGAUUGUUAGAACAUUAUAAACUGCUCCUUUCUGUAGCUACUGAUGUCUAAUUUGAGCUAUGGUUUGAUGUUGUGUGACAAGGAGAGAGAGCACGCUUGUCAUCACCCAUGAACGGAUCAUGGUUGUUUACGGGCGUGCUCUCUCUUCUUGUCAUACGGUCCACCUGCUCUAUCUUUGGCAUAUGAUAUUAACUUGCAGAUGAUUUUGAUCUCUAACUAUGCAAAUUCGCAUAUGAUAUGAAUAUUAUUUGUUUUUACCUCAUUUUGUUGUAAAUUUUUCGUGGAAUCAUUUUUGUGAGUUUAUUGAGUCUCAUGGUGUGAGAUCCAGAAUUAAUGUGCUCAUCAUUCCACUAUUGAUAAUACAUUUUGUCAAAAAAAAAUUGCUAUUGGUAAAACAUAAUAUAUGGAACUUCAGUAUUAAUCUGUAGCACAUGAAUUAAUCAUGUACCUCAACCAAUUAAGUUUGUUUAGUAGGGAGCUGCUUAGUAUUACUGUCUAGUGGUAUUCCUCUUCACUUGUGAGUGAGAGACCUUAUGUUUGAUUCUUUCCAAAGGAAAAUUCAAACCCGAUUAGUAUGGCUAAUCCAUUCUAAGGUUUAGCCCACUCCCCCCACCCCCUUAGUUUGGAUAAUAUCGAAUGUAUUAAGAGAAGUUUGUUUAGUGGAGUCUGACUUAGGCUGGGGUUGAAAAGAUUUGUGCUGACCAUGGUCAGUGCUAGUUGUGUUGUGCCUAUUGCAGAUGUUGAAAAUUUUAGUGAAAUUUACUAAUUAGUCUUUGAUUCAACUGUAAUUAUUGAUCUUGGCUGAUUUGCCUCCUUGUUUUAUGAUAAUUUUGCCCAAAGCCAUGACUUGUUCUUUACACAUAUUAGAAGCGAAAAACAAGUUUGAUUCUUAUAAGAAUCUAAAGAUGAAGGCUUUUAUUUGAAAAGAAGGGUGGUUUUUGCAUAUGGGAAAGUAGAAGUUGAAGAUUUGUUUAUUUGCAUCCAUUACUAUGUUUCCGACACUUCCCUAAAAUAAUUUUUAAAUUUUCCUUUUUUAUUAGAUGUUUUAUUUUCAAAUAGCAGAAGUUUAUUGAACAUAAAAGCAACGAAAAGGGUCUAUUUUGCAUAUGGGAUAGGGCAAAUUUAGAUACUUUUUUAUAUUUGCACUCAUUGUUGUGCUUUUCAAACUUUCAUAGUAUAUAAACAUUCUGUACAUUUAGUUUUGUUCAAUUUAUCUUUUGUAUAUAAAUUCAUAAAAAUAGAGAAAUAUAUAUUAACGAAUCAGAAGCUAUGGUCAUUGUGAAGGAACCAGAAGGCCAAGGUGGCAUGAUCAAGAUUGUCAUUGUGGUUGCAUGAGCAGAUAAUCUCUCUUUUGUUCUUAGUUCCCGCAUUUAUAUGUUAUUGCAUCAUAUUUUGCUUCACUAUUUAGCAUGUGAGUUUCUUCGUUUAUGUACCAUAUAUUGGCAUUGAGUUAUUUUGUUUUUUGUGGUUAUAUUAGUGAAAACUAUGAAAUAACCUUAAUCUUAUCUGUAUCCAAUAAUUCAAAAUUUUGAAAGUGAUUAUGGUUUCCUUUCAAGAGUUUUGAAUUUUUGGACUUGGGUUUAUUGUUAUUUCAGUAUCUGUGAUGGAGAUGUGAUUUCAUGUAAGGGAAGUAAUUCGAUAACAGCACAAUAUUUGUAUAUAUGUGAGAAAUCCAUUUUCUUGUCAUUUUUUCAGAGAAGAAAUGUGAUUAUUGGAGUGAAAUAUUGGAGGGACAAUUAAAUGGGUGAUCUAAGCAUGAGGGCUGCUGAUGCUAUAUAUAUCAGUGGUGAUGGUGAACUCAAUGAACAGAUCGUAUUUUGGCAAUGCUAACUUGGUAUUUGUAGGGUUGAUGUUGAUGGUGAGAUGUGUUUUACCAGCUAGUAGAUGGUGUUUUAGUGGUAAGUGAAUUGACAGCGGUUUCUUAUUUCAUUGAGAUUCUACCUUAAGUCUAACUUGCUCUUGCUUUCUCUUUCUCACAAAGGAUGAAAUAGAUCCUCUAUAUUUUGUUCUAUAUACCGAACUAUUUGCUGAUCUCUGAUAGCAGAUUGAACUCAUAUAUUUAUCAUUUGUUUUACUAACAAUAUUUGUUUUUUCCUUAAUUCUGAAUUACCUUAUUCAACAUCCGGAAAAUCUAAUGCAAUUGCAAUGCCUUAGUUGUGCGUAAAUCAUUUUUGCCAGUCAUGUUUGGUAUUUGGUCUUAAUGCAAAAAUACAUUGUUGCACUUUAUUAGAAUUAGACUAAAAAUUGUUAGGUUUGCUUGAUGUAGAUGAUGAAAAAUAAAUGAAAUUUCCGAUCUGGCAAUAUUUUCAGUUCUAUUUGCUAUUUUUGAUUCAGAAUUUGAUUUUGGUGGUGCUUAUUUUACUCUUUUACUUUUACUUGUUGCUUAAUGUAGGAAAGGAUGAAUAUGGUUGGAGUUGGGUUGAUGAGUAUUCCAUUUCCCUUAUUUGUCCCUACUCGUACCAGUAUCUUUACCAUCUUCUCACCCCUUUAUCGCUAAAUUGAAUGGUAAACUGUAAUGCUAUCAAGUAAACCCAAAAAACAUGUGCUCAAUUGCACAUUGACUGGACAUGAUUUUGUUGCUAAUAUGAUUGAACAAGUCCAUUACUGGAAAUUAACGGAAGCAAAAGAUAUGAACACUGCUUUUAUCUACUAAUAAGUGGAAGACUUAAGAAUGAAAAGCAACAUUGCUAAUGCAAUAGCCGUGACAAUGGCAAAUUGGCAAUGCAUACAAUGCUAAUUUGGUAGUGGUAGUGUGAGAGUGAAGGAUGGAGACGUGAUUUUGCAGCUGUUGGUGUUACCUUGGUUGUAAAUGAGUUGGUUGUAGUUUUUUGCCUAUUUUUGAUGACGUUUUUGUACACUUUUUCUUUAUGAAGGAUGAAAAUACUCUUAUUUCUCAAACUUCAGGCGUAGCAGACUAUGUAAGAUGAAGCACCCACAAGUUUGCUCACCAAAAAGAAACAGGUAUAUAUUUGGAGCGCUUGUUUAUAAACACAUUGAACAUUUUUUUUCCCUGAAAUUUUCCAUUAUCUAUCAUUUUAUGUACUCGUGCUUUUACUAUUGUUAAUUUUGUGUCCUUGUUAUAGUGUGGAUGAGGGACCCUAAAUUAUCAUGAAGAGUAAAUUGUACAAAUGGUCCCUCAACUUUAAUCAAAUUGGAGCAAUGGUCCCUCAACUAAAAAUCCAUUACCAUUGGUCCCUCAACUUAUCAAAAUGUGUAGCUAUAGUCCUUUUCAUCAAUUUUGUCAAACUUUUGUCAAAAUAAGCUAUGUUGGAAUAACCAUUUAUAUAAUUAAGGUACCUCAACUCAUCAAAGUGUAUAAUUAUGGUUCUUUUCGUCAACUAUGUCAAAAAAUUUGUCAAAACGAGUUAUAUUGUAAGGACCAUUGCUACAAUUAGAUUAAAGUUAAAGGACCAUUUCUCCACUUGAAUUAAAGUUCAGGGACCAAUGGUAAUGGAUUUUUAGUUGAGGGACCAUAGCUGCACGUUUUGAUAAGUUGAGGGACCAAAGGUAAUGGAUUUUUAGUUGAGGGAUCAUUACUCCAAUUAAGUUAAAGUUAAGGGACCAUAGCUACAAUUUACUCUAUCAUGAAACUCUAGACUCAAUUGUUAAAAAUGCAUUACAGGGACACUACGACUCCAAACUACUCAAGCACUACAAAACUACUACUGGAACAUUAUAAAUGCACUACGUAAACACUUUUCCUACCGAAUGUAUUGCAUCUAGUCAUUUUUAAGUUCAUGUAUCUAUAUUUUGUAGUGCAUUCCUACCAAAUUAAGCUUAAAUUCCAUGCAACUUUAAGUCCCUCGUCCAAACGCCUUUAACUGGUAUAUCGAACAUUUCCACUGCAGCUCUAGUAGUUGCAAGGGAGUGGUAAAGUAUCGAAUUAUGCACCAAGUAAAAACUCUCUCCUUUUCCAUCAUCAAAAUUUUAUUUCCCUCCAAACGAACAGUCGAAAUAGGAAUACUGGUGAAUGCAUUCAAUCCUCCUUAUCUGAUAAUGGAGGAUCAACGUCACUUGGGAACUCCUUUGUUAUUUUUUGUGUUGUCGAAGGGAACUUUCUAGGGAACUCAUUUACAGACAUGUCUUCAAGCAUAAAUUUCAAACAUCUCUGGUGGCUCUUAGCAUUAAUUAUAUGCUAUCAUCAACAUUUUGUUUAGAUUUAUUAAAACUUGUGUUCCUGUUUUCGUGAAAUCUGGAUGUGAAAACAUUUGCCUUCCCCAACCCUCGCUUUCUAUUCCAUCACUCUGAUGAAAUCUUCGAUUUUCUUUAUGGUACUUGGCUCGUGUAUUUGCAGUGUGGAGGACACAUGUUUCUAUUUUCACCUUUCUCUUCCGUUUGUCUCUAAAGUGACUAAUAGAUUUCUUGUGGAUGGAAUUUCAGUCAUACGGUUUAUCUCUGUUAAGAUGUAAAGGCUUAUUAAUGAUUCUUCUUGUAAAUUGCAAGCACUAUCCAUGCUAAGCUUUUAAAGCUGAAUUUCUGUGGUAGAAAUAUUUGUUCUGCGUCGCUUACUGUGUGAAUGGCGUAUGUUAUAGAAGAUAAUUUGCUACCGUCUAGGCUGUGGUUACUGCUUUACCUAUUCUGUUUAUGUGCUUCCUUUUACUGUGUGUUAACAAGAGUCAUAGUCUGUCACCGGGAAUUGAUUCACACUUAACUGUAAAUAUUGUACAGUAAUUCCGAAGUGCUUGAAUGAUCACCAUGAGUUGAAUCUGAAGAUCGAAUAAGUGUUUCCUAGGUAUAUGUCGGCUUCAACCAGCUUGUAAAUCUUGAAGAGAAUUUGAUUUAACAUUUGUGCUUCAUCACAUAUGCUGUCAACAUUCGAAGGAUCCCUGGCAUAUUCUAUACUUUUAAAUCAGCCUUUCCACAUAUAGCAUCUCGUUCAAGCUCAGUUCAAAACUGCGAUCUGCCCCUAUGCAAAGCCGGCUUUUAAUAUUGAAUCGGAGCACUCUCCCAGCUUUUAAAUCACCUUUUGGGGUUGAUGCCCGUGGUGGAUGACAUAGCAGUGGUAUUGUUUAAGUAUGCUCUUGUUGCAGACAAUGCACUUGCAUGGCCUGGCGGGAAAAUACCAUCCUUUUCAACACUAAGACCCGUCCUGCCAAUAUAGUAGAAAGAGUAUAUUAAUAGGAUUUCACUAACUCUUGUUUCAUGCGUUUCAUGUAUAGAAAGGGUUUUCCAUGUUGUUCCAUGGUUUUCACGUUUCAUAGAGUCAAUUUAGUGAUUUUUCGUUGUUUAUCGGAUUAUAAAUAUUUUUAAAAAUAAUUAGAAUAAUCUACAUAAUUUUAUUUUUAAAAAGUUACCAAAAAAAAAAAAAGCUUAAAAAGAGUUUCGGACUAUUUCGGCCGAUCACUGGGCAAUGUUUAAGAGCAUGGAACUGAAAAACACAAGUUACCGUAGCUAAUAGUUUGCUUGAAAAAUGGAGCACAGUAAAAGAACGGUUAAAACUUCAAGGCAUAUAUACCGGUCUAACUACAGUAGCACGUACCGCUCAUUAAUAAUUUAUUGCGAAAUCUAACCGUUGCAGAGAUUUAUUAGACUUGUAUAUACGAUCUAACGAUUUUUAGACCACUUGGUGGUAUGUACCAUAAAAAAAUUGCAAAUAAACUAGGAAAUUUUAACUUCAUAAAAAACAAAAGAUCAAUAACGCCAGUGGGAGUACAGAAUUUGAAUAAAGCCGGCAAAUGCAAUGUCAUUCUAUUAGUAAGGCUCCCUCACCAAAUCAAAUCAGCUGAAUCAACAAAACAGAACGAACAAGAAAACGCACUAAAUGAUGCAGACCAUACACAGAAGAAUAACAUGUUAAAAAGAACACAGGUUACAUGAAAUAUAAACAUGACUACAACUAUUUGAUAACAUUAUCACUUCGCCCGAAGAUGAACAGAAUGUUGAGACGACCAUGGUUCCUUUGUAUGAAAUGCGGGUGGAGCUUCUAUUGGACGAAUCACUAAAAUUUUGACGGUGGUAUGAACCACAAAGGGUUUCAGAGCAAUAUUGUCGGGGAUCACAUUCGGAAAAAAUCCUCAUCUAGUGGCAAUCUUUUUGGAGCAUUGGUUUGCUGAAUGGGUGGCACCUGGGUUUGUAAUGGUGCCGUCUGGGUUGGGACGGCAGGUUGUGGAGCUUCCGGUUGUGGAGCUUGGGGUAAGGUCUCUGACUGUGGCGUUUCAGGCAGGGCCUCUGACUGGGGAGCUUGGGGCAGGGCCUCUGAUUGAGGCUCUUGGGAUGGGGCCUCUGGUUGGGGUGCUUGGGAUGGGGCCUCUGAUUGGGGUGCUUGGGAUGCAGCCUCUGAUUGGGGUGCUUGGGAGGCAGCCUCUGAUUGGGGAGCUUGCGAUGCAGCCUCUGAUUGCGGCCCUUCCGAUGGGGCCUCUGAUUGGGGCACUUGGGAUUGGACUUCUGGUUGAGGCGCUUGAGGUGGGGCAUCUGAUGGUGCCCCAUUACCCGUAGAAGUUCCUGGGACACUUUCUCCUGAAGCAGCUGGAGCUGGAUUAGCUGGAUCACUCUCUGAUGACGAAGCAGGAGGCUUAACAUCUGAUCCUGAAUCUGGUUGUUGUGGCGUACCUGAAGGUGCGGGUGUGGUGGUAGGGGCAGCUUCUAACAUCAACGGCUUGCCUGGUUGCUGCAGUGUAUUCUGAGCCCCCGGAGCUGGUUUCUUUGGCAUAGAAAUAGGAGGAGCUGAAAGAGACGGCAUCCCGGGAGGAAGAAUUUCAAUCGGUGGUUUCUUGGCAGCAUCUGCUAAACUUGUAAGCUUGGGUUCCUCCAGAGAAGCCAAAAAUGCAGCAGCAGCAUCUGUUUUCGUCGUUGGCGUGUGGUCAACCUCCUUUUGUAGCAUUUUAUUCCAAGUCUGAACCAAGUUCUUCAAUGUUGGUCGCCCAUGAGCCUGCAGAGAAAAUCCCCAUGAGGCAGUCAGGUCAAAGUAAUAAACUGAGGUAGAUGAACAAGCAUAAAUCACGUCAUACAUGGGCAUGAAGCACAGCCUCAGCGAGCAUUCCAGUAUCCUGCCACGCCUUCUCCAUGAGGGCAUUGUCUCCCAAAACUGCAGCUGCAAAUGCUGCUUCACGUCCAGAGCCAACUGAUAUUAAAUUGUUUACCAAAUUCUGCAGCGCAAAGCAACUGUCUUUAGAAAGGACAAUCAGAAUUCUCUAGAAAGGACUAUCAAAAUCAUGUGAACUAGCACGCAAGAAAAGCAUGUCCAGAUAUGGAUAACAUACGUUUAGCCGUGUCAACUCUCCAUGAUUGGCCAGGCGUAGAGCUUGUCCUCUUAAUUCAUGACCCUGUAAAGCUCCCUUUACAGAAGCUGCAGCACCCAACCUCUUAAGAGCUUCCCGAGCAAUUUCAGCCUGUCCAGUAGCAUCCGCCGCAUCAAUAAGAUCCAAAAACUCCUUUACGAAUUUCACUAUUCCUUGGACAGCUUCCAGCACAUUUUCUUUCUUAGUCGUUACAGUUAGAAUGUCUUUCAAAUCAAAUGAUGUAUUCUCUUGUCCUACGUCCCUGCUGUUGCUCAUUGUAAGAAGGCACUGAAGAGCUCUUUUCAAAUCACUGCUCUGCAUGGCCAAAUCAAACUCCAACCUACAAAAAAAGGGAUAACAAGAGAUACGGUUCAAAUUGAGAUGAAACGGCUACCAUUUGCAUGCCAUAAUUUCCAACACAUUAACUUUAAGAGUUGAAAAGCUUUUUGCUAUCACUACAAAAACAUAAGGAUCCAACACAUACAAAGCGCCUGUAUGCCAGACACAUCAACCGAAAAUUGAACCAUGUAAGCCAUGUCAGUCUAUGGCCAGAGUGAUACAUAGUUGUAUACUUGACAAAAAUAAAAGUUGAUCCUUGAAAUGGAAAUAUUAAUCAUAAAAAAUAAAAGAUAAAGAAAGCAACAGUAGGCAAUAUGACAUCGAACACACAAGGGGUGAGUUUAUUUGUGGCAUACCUCUUAGAUAUUCCAGGCAAGUGAAGUGCUUCGGUAGCAUAACCCAUGCCUAGCAAAAAUUGUGCUAAAUCAUCAUGAUGUUCUCUGCCAAGCCUACUUGCCCUGCAUAAAACAAAAACAAUAGGAAUUACAAGGAAAAAAAUCAUAUAGUUAGACAUGUAUGAAUGAAACUGUAAAAAGAAAGAUUGAUACCACUUGACAGCACUAAUUGCAUCUCCAUAAGCGGCAAGACACCGACAACGGAUCCCAGGGUGGCUAAGGGAUAAGGCAUGAGCACUCAUAUAUCUGCAGGGAAAUACAAAAAAAAAUCAUUCAUGUUUGCAAUCAUAUACUAAUCACAUAGAAGUCAUGCACAUAUGUUUUAUACAUGGAAAUAAUUUAGCAUACAUUCUUAACAACUUAAUUGUGAAAAAUGGGGCUCAUUAGUCUUUACCUAUCAAUUAGCCAAAGAACACCAUCUCUGACACCCACCACAACUAGAGGCCCAACAGGCCGCUUCUGUUCUGUUGGAAAACGAGUAACUGCCACUGAGACCCCUCCACCACCAACAGCUAUCUCAUUAACCCUUCUUUCUUCAAACUCUUUUAAUAUCCCUGAAUCGUCCCCGUCACUUCUAGACUGUUUCGAUAAUGUUAAGAAAGGAGGCACAGAAGGGGCAUGCUGAAAUGAGGCUAAUCGCACCACCUAAAACAGAAGAAAAAUAAGAAAAGACAAAUGACUACAUUUAACCAAAAUAGUAUUAGGAUUUGAUUUACAGCAAUUGCAUUUUGACUCUAACUUCUUUAAACUCUCCAGCUAUUACAAUUCUAUGCCAAACCGCUUAUAUAAAGUCAGUAGAAUGAAAUGGAACCAUGCUUCUAAAGCCGCAAAUAUAAUAAAAAAUGAAGAAUUCAACUUGGAUUAGCUAAUCCAUUAAAUCUUACACAAUCAAAUAUAAAGAGAUUAUUUAGUUACCAAUAAAGAAAAUUCUUUGCAGAAUUUUCUUAUCAAUUAAACAUACAAUUCGAUUAAUACCUUAGAACCAAGAAUCAGAAUUUUCCCAUUUUCCCAUUUUAACCAACUUUUAGUGUAUUAGAACAUAUCAAAACAUAUCCGAUUUGGUUAAAACAAUCUAAGCACAUUGACGUAUAGAAGUUUCCAGUAAGACACUUAAAAUCUUUACAGAUCUUAUACGAUUUCUCAUUGAAAAUACGGCACGAAUGCCAAAUAAAAUGUGAGAAAAGCAUCAUUUGUAUCUUUCUAUCUUAGCCAACGAACGGUCAGCAGAGUUAUACUUUUGGGAACUCUUUACCUGUAGCAUCGGGGGCCUCAGUGCUAUCCUUUCUUGAGUAACAGAUUGCGGACCUUCAACUGCAAUUAGUGCUAAUUCACCAUGCUCAGCAAGGGCUCUUGCUUGUGCCUCCUUUUGUUUCAUUUCCUCUUUCCUCUUUUUAGUUUCAAUAUCAACAGGUGCAACUCCAGCAUCCGCAAAAACACAUCUGCAAAAUGCAGCUUAAUAAGGCACAGUUCAUAUGCUGCGACAUUUUUUAUUGCCUUAGUAUCAAUUCAAUUUACAAUUCUAUUCUGCAUUCUUAUUUGUUGAAGUAAAAUAAUCCAAAGAAAUCACAACAAAGCAAAAUAGAGUUGAAAGAUAGCAACAACUUUCUUGACACCAGUAUUACAAAAGCAAUGCAAACUCAGGUCGUAAUGUCUUGAGUUCAUAUGCAGUUAUACCUCAACACUCAAAAACCUGAGUUUUUCUCCAGCCGAGGCUAUGGUGCAUCAACUGAAUCAAAAUUUUUUUUAGCAUAGCUUUCAGCUUUGACAACUUUGAGUUUUUGUGUGGCCCACAUGUAAUAUCAUAGCCAGACGAGGUUUAGAGGCUUUCCAAGAUCAAGUUACUAGAAGUCAAGAUCUUCUAUUAUGCCGUGUCACAAAUUAACAAUAGUUUUUGUCUGAUUGUAAAUCAAAUAACAUUUUUUCCUGAAAAAACCAUUCUCAUCUAUUCCAAGAAACUGUUACAGAUGCAAAGACAGAAUUUUUGGGACAAUCAGUAUAUCUUACUCAAUUGUGGUAGGCGUAACCACAAACAACUGUCGCCUAUGCCAAACAGCACCAGUAGCGUAAGGAAUUGCGACAUCUCCCAAAUAUCUAUAUUGCGGGCGCAAAGAAGAUAUGACAAUGUAUUUCUGAUAUGCAAAAGCACAAUACUCAACCGUUUGAUCCCACGCUGUCCAUUCUGGCUGAGGAAGUAGACCACCAACAGGUUGAAAAGUUUCCCAACUGCAUAGUCAGGUAUCACUUGGGAUUAAAAGGAAAACUAUUCUUGAUCUUAUAUCCAUAGAUACCCAUUGAAAAAGCCUUUACACAUCAUAACGCACUAAGCUACCUUUAGAAAUCAACAUUUAAAAUUUAUUCCAGCAUGGAGCAGGUAGGUGAAAGUGAGACAAGUUUGUGUGCAAGUAAUCUAACUUACAAUAUCUGCAAGGACUAAUUGAAAAGAAAAGUUCAAACAUCCUCAAUGAAGGACUUGUGAGAAAUUUGAAGCACUGAAGAAAUGGAGAGAGAGAACGGGCUAAGGUAAGGUUGUGAAACGCUUGAUUCACAUUUCUAAAACACAAAAACUGAUGAGCUAUAUCAAAUAAAAAUCCAUUUUUUAAUAAACUAUGAAGGAAUGAAGAAACUCCAUAGGACUACUGCAUUUCCUAGUACCUUGAAAUAAAAUACUUAGCAUGCAAAUAAAACAAAAGAAAAAAAAUUUCUUGCCUGUAUAGCUGAAAGUUUUGUGGUGCAGCCUCAGCAGAGGAAGAUCUAUUAGAAGAAAAUCCAUCAUCAAAAGUGGAAAAAGAAGAAUGCCCAGCACCUCCAAAUCCAGACAGGGGCAUGGAUUGAAUUGUUGAAAUAGCUGUUGCAGCCAUAGGGCUAAUUCUCCGUGAUGUUCGAUAUGCAACACCAAGAAGUGCUCCUCCAUGCAAGCCAAUGACCUAGAAUAUAAUUUUGAAUUAGAAAGGAAUCUUAACUGUCAAACUUGCUACACAAUCUACACCAAAAUAUUAAUGGAAGAGUCCAUCAUUGCAUUUCUAUUUGAAGUGCUUCCUAUAAGUUUCUGGCCAAUGCGUAAAACAUUUGAAACUUUUAUAAGAGAUAUUUAAUGUCAGAACAAUUUCAGAAAAACCUUUCUAGUUUGUUUUAUGAAAAUUGUUCUAACUUUCGAAAGCUCAUGUGGCUGCAUGCUUUGUUUGUGAGCUUACUUACAGAAAAUUGUUAUUCGUAAAGGAACCAAAGAAGCCCUUAUCACUCAGGAUCUAAACAAAUUCAAACGCGUAGACCACAUAAGGAUUUUGUUUAAUUGUUUUCAAUGCAAGAACAAUGCCAUGAGGAACAAACUUAUAAUUUGAAACACUAGGCAAUUUAUUUCUUGGUCGAUAAAAAACCCUACGCAUUUUAAAACUCACAACUAAAAUCACUAUAACCAUAGACCAGGCAGAACAGAAUAAAUACCGGGUCACUGCGAGCACCUAUAGAUCUCAUUAAAAUAUUUGAUGUGCCAUCAUCCAGUAAGAUGCGAACUUGUACGUUAGCUGCAGAAGCAGCAGAGGCAGCUGCCGCAGCAGCUUGUGCUGCAGCUGCAGCAGCUUCUUUUGCUUUUCUCGAUGAUCCUCCCUUAUGAAUUACAGGAAUUCGAGGUGGUAAUGUAGACUCUAGUAUAGCAAAUCUGUCCCGACAUGUAUCCCAAGCCAGAAGCCUUGCACUGCCUGAAUCAACGAUUGACCAAUCACUAACUUUGUAGAUAGAGAAGUACGGGAUAUCAGGCCACACAACUGCAAGAUACCUGAAAUAUGUAGAAGUAAUCAUUACCAUGUGAGUACUGAAGCUCCAAAUAAAAAGAUGAAAAAUCAUGACACGUUGGAAUAAAGAUCAUAGGUAAUUUCAGAUGACAUGUAUCACAGAGAAUACAACAUACCUAGAGACAUGGUCAAGACAACAUUGUAAACAAUAUGCAUUAAUUGGACUCUUCCAUGAAUGUUUAAUACAAAGGCUGAUAUUGAUGCAUUAUACUGUAUCAACCUAAUACUAAUGCUAUCGAUCUAACCAUUUCACCUAUACAAAGAAUGAAAUUACUGUAGUUAAAGACUGGCAUUUCCAGUGCCAGAUGCAACUUACUUUCCCGAACCGCUUACUGAGAGAACUGAAUAGGAAUCAUGUGGAACAGGUGUACUAAUGUGCUUCUUUAUCUGUUUGACAUAUAAUGUUUCUGGUGACUCCCCCCUAAGCCUUCCUGCUUCCGACAAAGAAGCAUUAUUUCCAAGAGAUGGAUUUGCUGUCUGGGAUAACUGAAAGUUUAGUAGCCUAAGUUCCCUUUCAAUCACAUAUACCGCAUUAUGCUCUCGACUCCCUGAUGGUGUUGGCAAGGGAGCUACAGCUGGAAGCGAUCUUGGGUCAAACUCGCUGAUAAUGACCCCAACAUUGGUUCCAGUAGCAACAAGGUGGGGCUGUAAAGGAUGUGCGACCAUACAGUAUACCUGUGAUACAGUUGGGUGUAAGUGUCUGUUAUGAAGUUAUAUAAAAAAAACCUAAUAAGCAUAAAAGUGACUUACCCUAAUUUUCUUGUUCGGUGCAAUUACUUGUGGGGGGAUUAGUGAUGAGAGCUCACACAACGGCCUUGUGAGUGCAGAAUAAGUCUGGUGUUCAAUAGCCCUGAGAAAUUUUUCAAACAUUUUUUGGGGAAUUCAUAAGGAACGAAGAAAAGGAAAUGAUACCAAACACAGAUCUCAUAAGCAAGUUAUGUCCAACAUUUUUACGGCUAAAAAAAGAAGAGAUUCUGUUCAUAAAUCCACUGUUUUGAACCAAAAACAUUAACUGAUGGAAAUUUGUAAUGGAAACCACUAGAAUGAAAACUUUGUGCAUACCAUAUAUUGGAAUCUUUAACACAAGUCAAUAUAUCAAGGUUUGGAGCACGAGGGUGGCACCAGGAUGCUACACUGUGGCAAGCAAGUUUUGGAACAGGCUUAAUACGCCGCAACUCCUGAAAGAGAAAAGCAGACGAAAUAUAUAAUUAAAUAGAAGGUAAACAUCUUCACCAAAAAUAAAUAAAUAAGAAGGUAAACACCAACAUUCAACAGAAACCAGUUGCACUGCACAAAGCCCUUCCUUAGACAUUGGAAUACCUUAAACGAAACUGUGUCCCAUAUAGCUAACGUCUUAUCUGCACCAAUAGAGAUAAGCUGGGGAGCACCUCCAAUCACUCUAGAAAGUUCAACAGCCACAACCCCACCAUCAUGUGCCUGUCAUAGAAGAAAUGCCUAUAAUCAAAUCUCAAAUAGUUCAACUACGUCAUCCAGAAAAAAUGUAAACACAUAAAGCUCCUACAUUCAUGCACGCAGAAAGAAUGAACUGAAAGAAGGUCAAUACAUGGAGUUCAAUGUAACAGAGAUUUUAAUUAUUUACAAGAAACACAUUCUAUUCAUAAAAAAAUGGAUGAAAAACAAUGAUAUACCACCAAAGGAAAGUCCAUCAAAUCCAGACUAACAUCUUUACCCAUAAACACAUACUACAAUCCAUUCAUCUCUACCCCUCUCCCUCCCCAUAAAAAACGAAAAAGAAGAAGAAGAAUGCACCAAAAGGAAUAUCUUUAAAAUUCCUCAACAAAGAUGCCCAAUUAAAAUCUACAGUUUGAUUAAAUAAACAAAGAUAUAAUUGGAGUCCAAUUUCACCAAGCCAACACUAGGCACCGGUGAGGUUUACAUUGUCUCAAAAUCACAACAUUGGACAUCUUAGACCCGUUUAAGCAAACAGGGUGUCACAUGUCCCUAUUAAAUUUUAAAUAAUAUGACAACAUUGAUCAGCCUAGGUUUCAAAUUUGCAUAUAACUUUCAUACCACAACCAUAAUGUGGAAUAAAUAAUGAAUCAGUAACCUAACCUUAUAGUGGUCAAAGAAAAAUAAGAGAGAUGUGAUAAGAAAAGAAGAGAUAAUUGCCUUUAAACUUAGUUUCGGCACGAGUUCUCGUGAAUCUUGACCAUGAUCUGCACUCCAAACUACAAGCAACCCAUCACUACCCCCCGAAACCAGAAGUGCCUGCAAUAAUGUUUACAUGUAGAAACAAGAAGCAUUUAAACACAUGUAUCCAGUACUUUGAUGUAUAACUGAUGAACACUCAUAACAGCUCGGCAUCUCUAUAUCGUAAUUCCUUGAUUUUUUUUACAUCAUGCUGCUGAGUGAAUAGAGAAAUUACUUCCACCAAAGUGCUAUCUGAAUGAACUUGAAGAAUAAGGAGAUAAUAACAUUUUAGGAAGCUCCAGAGGCACAAUCAAGUGAUACAUCAAGCCACCUAUGCUAUGGUAUUUGAACACUCAGAUACAAACUAAAAUAGUAAAUAAAUAAUUUUAAAAAAAUAGUUCACAAAGAAAGAUAGCAUAAACACAUGCCAUAAAGUAAUUUGAUUUCAUCUUUUGGAAGUAAAAAAUCUACCUCGCCAGAAGAAGCCACGAAUGUCAUCAAACAAGCUAUGGAUCCUUUAUGACCUCCUGUGUAUCUCCUUACAAGCUGCAGGAAGCAAGUAUAUCACAUAAAGCAAGGGAUAUUCAUAGCCGGCAUGUUAGAAAAUUUGGGAAAACACAAACCUUCCAUGUCAUCAUUGAAAGUACUCUAAUAACACCAUCUGAUCCACCAAAAGCAACAAGAGGAACAUCUGCAACAGCAGAUCUAGAAAGGAAUUCCAUACUGCAAGAUUCAUUGAGGGAAACAAGAAAUAGAGCACAAAAAUGUCAAAAACAAAAGCAAAACUCAAGAGAUUUGUUAAUCUCAUUCAAUAUAUAUUUGUAUGUACCAGUACUGUAUAAUAAAUGCCACUGCUUCAAGUGAAUGAAACAUAUGUAUAAACAUACUGAAAAUUAGUGAAAACUUACCAGAGAAGCGAUUUAUUGUCAAGCUCUGAUUUUGGUACAUCACGGCCUCGCAUUGUUACCAAGUCCAAAAAUAUGGCUUUGUUUUCACAACAAAUGACAAGAAAAUGUCUUCCUUUAGUUGAUGGAGCAGGAGAACUAAAAGCUGAUGAAACAUUACUGACGGAUGUGGGAGCCUCAGCAGCUGUGGAGCGGUUACGCCAAAGUUGCCAAUAGCGCACGUCAUCAUCAAAGAAGUUUACCUGCUUAACACUGUUAAGGAAGCAUAUGCCCUCAGUGUGUGUGUAGGUUUUAAUAAAAAGAAAUGGACAAUAACGCAAUUGCAGUGAUCUAUUACCUCCCUCCACGAAUGGCUUCUGUGGGCUUCCCUUUAGAAUCUAUCAACCACAAGCAGACACAACAAUUAGAAAGAUAUAUAUAAAUAUAAUUCUCUGGUUUAAGAGUGGAAAUUUAGAAAUCUUAAACAAUUACUGAGCCAAACUAGCUCUCUUGUUGUCCAAAUAUCAUAUUUUGCCAGUGUUCAAGCUAAAGAUAAGAAACAAAACCAUUGAGAGACGACAACUUUUGAACUCGCGUAAAAAUCUGUGCAUUGAUCUUAAGUUUAAUUGUGCCAGUAUUGAUCUAAGAGCAGCUAAUUGUAACGCCACUUAGAUUCCAGACCAGAACCUAUUGAAUCCCGACUGGACAAACUGAGUUCGACGCUGAUGCUUAAGCUGAACAGUACACUACCUUCUUUUUAUACUAUAAGGCAAUUAGUAAUGGUUAUGGUUUUGCCUGAGUAAAUGCAAGAACAGUUAAUAGAGUUAACUCUAUCCAAAAUUGCGUAUUUAGCUGCACAAAUGAAUUGUUAGUGAAAUUCGCAAUCAUCGGUUAAUCAAUAUGCUUCUGCAAAAGCAUUCAGCUACUCCUAAGCUAAAUUUGUCCAAUCAGAUCUCGGAAAUUCAGAAGCAGCACUAAUUUAAACACAGUUCGAAUCGAAUUUCACGAGCAUCGUAGCAACUAAAAUCAUAUUUCAGGAUUCAGUACCUGAUUCGCCCUCGGCGAGCUUCUCCAACUUGGCGCCAACCAAACGCCUCUGAUCAACGCCCCCAGCUUUGAGCUCGUAAAUCACCUAAUUCGAAUCCAGCACAGUCGAAUCACGAACACGAAGUGUGGAAUUGGAGAGAGAGAGAGAGAGAGAGAGAGAGAGAGAGAGGAGAGAGGAGAGAGAGAGGUACCUGACGGUGUUCCCAAUUCCAAACGGAAACGUGAUCGGAGGCGUCGGCGGUGACCAGCCAUGGAUGCGUGGGAUGCAACUGAAUCUUGACGAUCUUGUCAUUGGUCGGCCGGAAUGCUCGUAACCGCAACAUUUAUCCGAUUUCGAUUGAAACGCGAAAUCGAUCGAAAAGCAGCUUACUUGCUCAAGUUUCAGAUCCAACAGCACAUUUUCUUAUGCCCUAGAUUUUGAGAGGGGAAGGAGAAGAAGAAGAGAGAUGGUCGGUGGAUUUCGAACUCCAAAUGCCAAAUGCCAAAUGCGAGUAUUCAACGCCUCCCUCUCUGCUUCUGAAUCUCUAAUGAGAUCGGACUUCCUUUUCUUUUUCUAAUGUUUGCAGCGAGUUCUCGGCCAAUUUUUCAUUUACCGCGCCGUUACUCUGUCUAUUUUGACCAGCGUCUGCAAACGGACCUUUUCCUGCUGUAUACAAAUUUCCAUAUUUUCAUUGUUCUUUUUCUUGAGUAAAUUACAUAGUAGCCCCUCAGGUUUGAGGUCAAUUACAACCUCAUACAACAACUUUAAAACAUUUCACUUUCAUACAUCCAGUACCAUUUUAUUUCAAAAUAACACCUCCGUUAGAUUUUCCAUCCAUUAGUCUGUUAAAUGCUGACGUGGCUGCCACAUUUGUGCUGAUGAGGCUGUCAUGUGGCAAAAAAAAUAAUUUUUUAAUUUUUUUUAAAAAAUACCUAAAUCUUCUAAAUUUAAAAAAAAAUAAAAACCCAGAAUCUGAACAAAACCCCACCCCCGUGAACCCCCCUUAGCCUUCUUCUUCCCUGCUCCCAUCUUCCCCCACCCCAUACCUGCACCUUUGAAGGAAAAAAAAAAAAAAACCAGAGAACAACCCAGAUCCCAUAUCCCCAUGAAACCCAUACCCCAUACGACCACCCCCCAACCCAGAUCCCAUUACCACGCCCCCCCCGACGCGAAACCUAACCCAGAUCCCAUUACCACCCCUCCGGCGCGAAACCUAUAUCCCUCCCAAACUGCAAGGACGUCAUCCUCACCCGCAUCAUCUUCGUCGUCGAAGACGACAAUGAGCAGGAGCAGCAAGGCGACGAUGAGAAAUCCCGGUCGACGGCGAGAUCGGGUGGUGACAAAGGACCUCCGUGAGGAGUAGAGGGAUCAGAGAGAGAGCUCUGUGGUACAGGCCGCGAUGCAGCGCAGGACCCAAAUUCACCGCCACGGAGACGACCAGAACGUUGAGCCCAUUCCGACCCAACCCCCGACCCCCGACCCUCAUCCCACUCUCCUCACUCUCCUCAAUCUCUCUCUCAAACCCCAAACCACCCAGAUCCAAAACCCACACAACUCCGCCAGGUCACCACCGCCAACACCUUCCUCCUCAGCGGUUUGACCCUCCUCCCACUCUCCUCACUCUCUCUCUCAAACCCUAAACUCCCCAGAUCCAAAAUCCUCACCUUCUUCUCGCUUUCUAUUCGCCCCAACGCCAAUCCUAUAUCCAUCACUCUCUCUCCUCCUUCUGCUUUCUCACUCCUUUCUCUCCCUCUCUGACUCUCUCUCCGGCAACCCCCCCCCCCCCCGGCGAACCCCCCAUAUCCCAUUAACCCCUUCCCCCACCCCCCCUCGCGAACCUAGAUCCCAUAUUUGUGCAUUUUUUUUUUUUUUUUUGCUUUUCUUUUCUGGGUUGAGAUCCCAUUAACCCCUUCCCCCACCCCCCGCGAACUCAGAUCCACACAGUUCGGUGGUGUUAGGAUUGGGAGUAGGGAUGAAGAUGGUGAAGGGAAUGAUUUUUGGGAGGUGGAAUUUGUGGGAUUGGGUUGCAGGGAAAAGGCGAGGCUCGGGUUGGGGGGAAUGAGGAUUUAACGGGAGUGGGUCGUCGAGGGGGGGGAGGUGGGAUUUGAAGGGAGUGGGUCGUCGGGGGAAGGGGGAUUUAACGGAGUGGGUCGUCGGGGAGGGGGGUGGGAUUUGACGGGAGUGGGUCGUCGGGGGAAGGGGGAUUUGAUGGGAAUGGUUCGUUGGGGGGUAGGGGGAGGAGGAGGUUGCUGAGCUAGGUUUCUGGGGGGAUUAAUGGGGAGGUGGGUUUGGGAUUAAUUGGUUUCUGGUUUUAGGGGUUGCGGGUAAAGCUUUCAGGUUUUUUUUUUUUUUUUUUAAUAUUUAGAAGAUUAGAUUAAAAAAAUUAAAAAAUUAUUAUUUUUUGCCACGUGGCAGCCUCAUCAGCACAAAUGUGGCAGCCAUGUCAGCAUUUAACAGACUAAUGGAUGGAAAAUCUAACGGAGGUGUUAUUUUGAAAUAAAAUGGUACUAGAUGUAUGAAAGUGAAAUGUUUUAAAGUUGUUGUAUGGGGUUGUAAUUGACCUCAAACCUGAGGGGCUACUAUGUAAUUUACUCCUUUUUCUUUUUUUAUUAAAAGUAUAAUAUAAAAUACUUUUUAAACAUGGUCUGAAUUUUAUCUUCAAAAUUUCUCUAGUUUGGACGAGGAAAAUAAACUUAAAAUUUGCGUAAAAUUCAAAAUUUAUAAAUUGACAUGCACUAAUUCUCUUAUUUGAAUUCAUAAACAUAGAAAUUUAGAAUUUCCGCGUGGAAAAAAACUUGGAAUUUUGGACCUCCAAUUCAUAAGUUUAAAUUCCAUGUAAAUAGGUGUCAUUUCUCAAUUUCUAUGAAUGAGAGUUUAAAAAUAACAAAUUAUGUAUUCAAUUCCAUUGUUUUUUUAGGUUUUCCAAACAAGAAAAUUCGUAAAUUCUAGAAAAUAAAAUCUCGUCGUUUCGAUUUCCAUCAUUUUAAAAUUUCUUACAAUAUGUUUGGACGAGGGAAAUAAUCUUGAAAUUUGGGUAAAAAUCAAAAUUUAUAAAUUGACAUGUACUAAUUCCCUUGUUUGGAUUCAUAAACAUAGAAAUUUAGAAUUUUUGCGUGGAAAAAAAACUUGGAAUUUUGGACCUCUAAUUCCCAAGUUUAAAUUUCAUGUAAAUAGGUGUCAUUUCCCAAUUUCUAUGAAUGAGAGUUUAAAAAUAACAAAUUUCGUAUUCAAUUUCAUUGUUCAUUUAGGUUUACCAAACAAGAAAAUUCGCAAAUUCUAGAAAAUAAAAUCUCGUCGUUUCGACUUCCAUCAUUUUAAAAUUUCCUACACUAUGUUUGGAUGAGGGAAAUAAUCUUGGAAUUUGGGUAAAAAUCAAAAUUUAUAAAUUGACAUGCAUUAAUUUCCUUGUUUGGAUUCAUAAACAUAGAAAUUUAGAAUUUCCGCGUGGAAAAAAUGUUGGAAUUUUGGACCUCUAAUUCCCAAGUUUAAAUUCCAUGUAAAUAUAUGUCAUUUCCCAAUUUCUAUGAAUGAGAGUUUAAAAAUAACAAAUUUCGUAUUCAAUUCCAUUGGUUCUUUAGGUUUAUCAGACAAUUAGUAAUCUUAAAUUUCUUCAUCUAAAUUGAUAAUUAAAUAUAAAAAAAAUCAUGAAUCAGAUCAAUUAGAAGGAGGCUGGUUGAUUCGAUUGAUUUUCCCACUUUGAUAUAUGUAAAACGUUCCAAUUUUUUUUUAAUGUAAAAUGACUUAGCUAGCAUUUAAGUGACUCAAACUUUCUUAUUUGCCAAUAGUAGAAAAUAUAAGGGCUAGAAAAACUAAAACCCACCAACCCAUGCUUUGAUGUUUUUCACGGAUUGAUCUCCGGUAAUUGUAGACAUCAAAAUUUCGGUGAAAUGAAUAUUCACUAACACUUUAAGUUUUUUUUCGUGUUUACAAUAACUAUUAGUAUUGGCAAUCCAAAGUCAUCAUGUGUGGCCAUCCACAUUUACAACACCUUAGAUGGCCACAAGUCAUGAAUUAAUUGCCUCAUCAUAAUUUUUCCAAUAAUAACACAUGAGAUAAAUUGAUGGUCAAAAGGAAACAAAAUUACAGUGCUCAUAUGACCAAUGUAGCAUACUCUUAGAUGCUAUUAGAUGAUCCCCAUGAGCGAUGUUUCCCCCUGAUUACAAUAAACUUGGGUUAAAUGGCUUGUCAUCAAGUCGAUGUGUGUCGAUGCAAUAUGUCAACUUCUGAAAUGAAAACUUGGCAGAGAGUUGAUGAAGUUGUGUGCCAUGUUAGCAUUGAAAUCGUUUCUCUAACUUCCAUUACUUAAUCCCUCUCAUGCUUGUGUACAAAGAUUUUGGUGAUAUGUAUUUUGUCAUACCACCCUCAAUAUAUUUUCCAUUCGAACAACUUCGAGCAGCAUUGAUUGUUGGAGCAUUUGUUUCUGAAAAUAGAUCACAUGUGUGUAUAUAUAUAAAUAAUUGGUAUGUUUAUGUUCUUUAUUAUUGAAAAUUGCACCAUCAUCUUCUUUCCCUUCUUUAUGUUGUGCUUUUUGCUACCACCAAUAAUAAUAUACAGUCUAAUAAAAAUUAGUCGUAUUGAGAUAUACUUGGUUUAAGAAAAUUAGUCGUACUGAGAUAUGAGGAUUAAAUAAGAAGAUUUUCUUAUCUGUUAGAUUCUUGAAAGAGGUGAGAGGCAAAUAGUGCUUCACUAGACCCUUGGCGUUGUGCUUACCCAUAAUACAAGAGUUUGUCGUGCUGAUUCAUAAUAGUGCACGAUCAAGCUUCAUAGAGUUGUAGAAAUUAUGAGAAAAGCUGAAGAACUUCAGAAAUGUAAAGAGUCGAAGAGAAAGAGAAGAGAGAGAGAGAUAAUGAAAAGUAUAGCUUUGAACAGAUUCACAUUAAUGAGAAAUGAGAUGCUACAUCAGUACAUAUAGUGUUUUAUACUCUAACUAACUAGUUUACAAUAUAAGGCAGCCAGCUAACUAACUCACAACAACCUAAUUUUAUUAUAAUUCAAUUACAGUGUGACACAUGGACCAAUAGACUAAAGCCACAUCAGCAUUCUGUUAUUACUCCCCCUCAAUCUCAACUGGGAUAUCCAAGCCUAAGAUUGCUGCAAUGUCUGAUGAAAAUUGGGUUGUGUAAUCCUUUAGUCAAAGUGUCUGCAACUUGUGACUCAGUUGAAACAUAAUGAAUUGUAAUGUCUCUUUUCUGCACUUUCUCUCUGACAAAUAAUAAUCAAUGUUAAGUGUUUUAUUCGAGAAUGAAAGACUGGAUUUGAACUAAAUGCCAAAGCAAAGAUGUUGUCACAAUGCAUAACAGGUGGAGAAGUUACAAACUUAUUCAAAUCUUUGACCACAUAUCUUAUACCAGCAGUGCAAUGUGCUAGUUCUUUGUAUUAAGCUUCAGUUAAGCUUCUUAAGAUAGAGGCUUGCUUCUUUGAUUGCCAUGAUUUAGGAUUUCCACCCAAUUACACAAUAUAACAUGUUAUUGACCUUCUUGUAUUUAUGUCUGCAGCCCAAUCAGCAUUAGAAAAACUUGAUAUAUGAAGAUUAGUUGAAGGAGUGUAAGUAAGGCCACAUUCCAAGGUUCCUUGUACAUAUCUCAGAAUUCUUUUCACAAGAAAGAAGUACAUGUCAAUAGGCUUAGUCAUGUAUUUGAUAGAACCCUAACUCUGCAUCUUGACUUCUAUGUAGCAGUAACAAGUAACUUUCUAUUACAAUUAACAACAAUUACAACAACGACCCUUCCGUUUACAAUCCUUUCUAAUAUAGUAGCUAGUUAGCUUCCUCCGUAAGCUUACUACUAACAACCUUAUCCUUUUAACCACACAUAUCUGUCCUAGUCAGCACUAAUACAAUGCUUACUUAUCAACCAAUUCAGUUAUCACACAGGAUCCUAUCAAUACCCCCCCUCAAAACCAGGCUUGUAUACAAGACUUUAAAAAAAACAGAAAAAUCGCCAAAGACAAUGUAUUAAAGCUGAGCAACUCCUGGAAAACGCAGCUUUAAGUCUGAAUAAGUCUCCCAUGUAGCUUCCUCUGGAGUAUGAUUUUGCCAAUGUACCAACACUUCGGUAACUGCAGUGGUACCCUUCUGCACCAUCCUUCUGUCCAAGAUUGCCACAGGAACAUCUUGUAAAAUACCAUCAUCAGUUAACACAGGUAGUUGAAGCGUAGGUUGAAUAGUAGCCCCCAAAUGUUUCUUAAGACAAGAGACAUGGAACACUGGAUGAAGCUUAGAGUUGGCGGGGAGUUUCAACCGAUAAGCAACAGAACCCACGCGUGCUAACACUGCAAAAGGACCAUAAAACCGAGGCUGCAACUUGUGAAAUGGGUGAGAGGCCAAUGACAGAUGCUGAUAAGGUACCAACCUCAGAUAGACUAAGUCACCGACCUCAAAGACCCGUUCAGUUCGAUGCUUAUUAGCCUGUACUGUCAUUCGAUUUUGUGCAGCUGCUAAAUUGGCCUUCAAGAGAGAUAAAAUGCGGUUUCUUUCCAACAAACCUCGAUCCACCAUUUCUAACUUAGUAGUACCAACUUCAUACACUGGAAUCUUAGGCGGAGGCUGACCAUACACCACUUCAUAAGGGCAGAGUUUAGUAGCAGAGUGAUAGGCUGUAUUAAAGCUCCACUCUGCCCACGGUAGCCAAAAGGUCCAUUUUUUGGGCUGAAGACUACAAAAACACCGCAAGUAAGUUUCCAAACACCGGUUUACCACCUCCGUUUGGCCAUCAGUUUGAGGGUGAUAACCGGAGCUGAAACACAGGGAGGAUCCUUGUAAUGAAAAAAAUGCUUUCCAAAACUUGCUCAUAAAAACCGGAUCUCUAUCACAGAUAAUAGAUGCAGGCAUGCCGUGAAGCUUAAAAAUAUGCUCCACAAAUAAAGAGGCAACCGAAGGUGCAGUAUAAGGAUGAGAUAGAGGUAAAAAAUGGGCAUACUUGGAUAAGCGAUCCACAACUACCCAAAUGACAGUUUUCCCUCGACAUGGAGGUAGACCAAUGAUAAAAUCCAUGGAUAUGUCAGUCCAGACCUGUGAAGGAACAGGUAAGGGUUGUAGUAAACCUGCAGGAGCUAAGGUUUCGUACUUGUUUUGUUGGCAUAUCUGACAGUUGGCAACCCGAUCUUUAAUGUCGUUUUUCAUGUCAACCCAAUAAAAAGACCGAGAAAGCCUCUUAUAUGUCUUCAAAAAACCAGCAUGACCAGCAACAGGACUGCUGUGAUGUUCUUCGAAGACUUGCUGGCGCCAGGAACUCGUAGGACUCAAAACAAUUCGCCAUUUGUAUCGUAGAAACCCGUUCUCAACAGAAAACUUCAAGGAAUGCAGUGGUGCAGAGUUUGAAGGAUGUAGGAUUCCCUGCAUCUUGUCCAAUAUCCAAGCAUCUUGUUCAGUGUGCCGUCUCAAAUCAUCUAACCAACUGAGAUACGGAUAUGAAAUCGCAGCCAAUUCCAUACUAGAAUGUGGAGAAACAUCAUCAAUAGAAAUUCUGGAAAGUGCAUCUGCUACCUGAUUAUCACAGCCUUUCUUAUAUUGAAUCUCGUAAUCAAAAUCAAGCAAUUUAGACACCCAUUUUUGCUGAAAUGGAGUAUUGGCCCUAUUCUGCAAAAAGUAUUUCAGACUAUGAUGAUCUGUUUUGAUGAUGAAGUGUCUCCCUACCAAGUAUGACUGCCAUUUUUUAAUGGCAUGUAUGAUAGCCAUCAUUUCCCUUUCAUAAGCAGACAAGUGUUGGUUCCGUACACUGAGUGCCUUACUAGUAAAGGCAAUAGGUUUGCCACCUUGCUGGAGGACAGCUCCAAUUCCAAAGCCGGAUGCAUCACUUUCGAUAACGAAAGGUUGGGAAAAAUCAGGGAGGGCUAAGACUUGUGGAGACAACAUAGCCUGCUUCAAUUCAUUGAAUGCUGCCGUGGCGGAAUCCGACCACUUGAAAUUGUCUUUCUUGGUGAGUACUGUGAGAGGACUAAUAAUUUUGCUGAACCCAGGAAUAAAUUUCCUGUAAUAGCCCGUCAAUCCCAGAAAUCCUCUCAAUGCUUUAACGAAGGUGGGAAGAGGCCACUGAGCAAUAGCCUCCAACUUAGAAGGAUCAGCUGCAACCCCGUCCUGAGACACUAUAUGGCCCAGAUACUCCACUUGGGUUUGACCAAAGGCACACUUCGUUUUCUUGACAAACAAGGUAUGGCUGUGCAAAAGUUGAAAGACCACUCGCAGAUGCUCCAAAUGAGACUCCCAAGACUUGCUAUACACCAAUAUGUCAUCAAAAAAUACGAGUAUGAAUUUCCGCAAAUAAGGUCUGAAAAUUUCAUUUAUAAGACAUUGGAAUGUGGCCGGGGCAUUGGUUAAUCCGAAGGGCAUAACCAAAAACUCAUAAUUCCCAUCAUGAGUUCGGAAUGCAGUCUUCUCAAUAUCACCUGGAUGCAUUCGAAUUUGAUGGUAGCCAGAGCGCAGGUCUAGCUUAGAGAAAAACUGGGCUCCAAACAACUCAUCCAGCAACUCAUCAAUUAACGGAAUGGGAAAUUUGUCCUUAAUAGUGAUGAGAUUAAGGCCUCUAUAAUCCAUACACAUUCUCCAAGUGUCAUCCUUUUUCCGCACUAAAAUAACUGGAGAAGAAUAAGGACUAUUACUGACCCUGAUAAAACCAGCAUCUAAUAAUUCUCGGACACACUUUUCAAUCUCUGUUUUCUGUAAAGGACCAUAUCUGUAAGGUCUCAUACUAGGUGGUUUACUACCUUCCAGCAAAGGAAUUCUGUGGUCAUGUGAUCUGUGAGGAGGCAAACAAGUAGGAGCACGGAAAACUACCUCAUGAGCUUGCAGAAGUUGGUUCAACUGAUGAGAUUGAACAGCGGACAGUACAGUCUUGCGUUCCACCAUGUCCUCAUGUUGAAUUUGAAAGAGAAUUGCACCCACCGUAGAUUCUUGGUGGAGCAACUUUUCCAUGUGAAAGAUAGACACAUCCUGAAUAUGUUCACUCGGCGCUUCUGGACUUGAAAGACAGAAAGUGGUAUUGCCCUUCCUGAACUUCAUGUACAGUUUAUCAAAAUCCCAAAGGACUGGACCCAAUGUCUUAAGCCAUUGAACUCCUAAUACCACAUCACAACCUCCCAAGGCCAUGGCAUACAAAUCAGUAGUACACUGAUAGUCUUGAAUCUUGAGUGAAACAGCCCCUAAAGAACCUAUAGUCUUGACUUGGCCCCCAUCCGCAAUCUUGACACUAAAAGAAUGAGCUGUAUUCAAUUGUCCAUUGAUUUUCUUGACCAACACAGAAUCCACGAAGUUAUGGGAACUACCAGAAUCGAUAAGUAUUACCACCGGACAAUUCCUAAUACUACCAAGAACCUUCAUGGUUUUAAUUGACUUAGGAGCUGGGGUACCAAAAAGGGCACAUGCUGUAAUCUCAGGUUCCAAAUUUUCAAUGUCAGAGGCUUCAUUAUCACUACCAUACUGAACAUCAAUCAAUAAAAGUUGUUUCUUCUCACAAGUGUGGCCGCGAACAAAUUUUUCCUUACAAUGGAAGCAAAGACCAUGUUUCCGACAGUAUUCGACCUCUUCGGGUGUCAAUCGCCUCACAUUUUCAUGUUUGAAUUUGUUAUUUCCCACAACAGUAUCAGCAACAUUAUGUAAUGGAGGACGAAACGAAGAAUUAACAGAUGAACGAGGAAAAGACUUGACCUUUAAUUCAGACAACUUGGUAUCGAUCUGUUGAGCAUAUGCAGUGGCCUCCAGAACGUCUCUGGGCUUCAGGAUUUUGACAUCAUGACGCAGCUCCGAUUUAAGACCACCAAUGAAACAAGAUCGCAAGAGAGAUGGGGUAACUUCCCUUGUACGAUUCGCCAAUCUUCGAAACUCCAAGAUGUAAUCACGCAGAGAUCCCGUUUGGCGAAGUUUAACCAAGCUUUCUGCCGAAUCGUCGAACUCCGACGGACCAAAUUCUUGACAAAGAGCUUGAGUGAAAUCUUCCCACCUAGGGUAUGUCCGGAUACAAUUAGCCCAUUGGAACCAUUGUAGAGGUUCGCCAUCCAGAUGGAAUGAUGCCAUCUUUACUUUCUUGAAAUCCUCGACACCGAAGAAAUCAAAAUAGUGCUCUGCUUUGUAGAUCCACCCCAAGGGGUCAUCGCCGUCACCAAAUCUGGGAAAAUCGAUCUUGAUAAAUGGUUGUCGAGGCGACGGAAUCGAUUCUUGACGGACAAACUGAGGAUUCACUCCCGGCGGUAAAUUGUGAUCAGAAUGUGUCCCUUCCGACGAUUUGCCCAUCAACCCACUACCUCUCGUCGAUAACACCUGCAAUUACUGCAAAAUCAGCUCAUGGGCAUUUCGAAAUUCAGUUCUUGAUUCUUGAAAUUCAUGCCUGGAAUCUUUGAACUCCUUUUGGAAAUCAGCAAAUAGGGACUCAAGCUGAGAUACUCUCGUUUCCAUGGUGCGUCUGGAACCGAGCCGAGUCAUACACGAAGAAGGAUCAAGCCGGAUCGAAUGCACUGGCUCUGAUACCAAUGAUAGAACCCUAACUCUGCAUCUUGACUUCUAUGUAUCAGUAACAAGUAACUUUCUAUUACAAUUAACAACAAUUACAACAACGACCCUUCCGUUUACAAUCCUUUCUAAUAUAGUAGCUAGUUAGCUUCCUCCGUAAGUUUACUACUAACAACCUUAUCCUUUUAACCACACAUAUAUGUCCUAGUCAACACUAAUACAAUGCUUACUUAUCAACCAAUUCAGUUAUCACACAGGAUCCUAUCAGUAUUGACAAACAACAUUGACAAAAUGUGCAAUGUCAGGUUUAGAGAAUGUUAAGUAUUGUAAUGCUCUCAACCAAACUUCUAUAAAUGGUAAGAUCAAACAUAGACUUGCCUUCAGAUACAAAUAACUGAGUGUGUGGUUUGGAUGGAGUUAGUGCAGGUUUACAACUUUCCAUUCUUGCAUUUUUUAGUAAUUCUCUGGCAUAUUUUGUUUGAUUGACAAAAAGACUUCUAUAUGCCUUAUAUUGAAUAUGAAGACCAAGAAAGUAUGUUAGCGACCUCAUAUCCUUCAAAUCAAACAACUCUUCAAGCUGAGUGAUAAUCCAUUGAACUUUGGACUUGUUAGAACAUGUCAAGAUGAUAUCAUCUACAUACAACAGUAGAAUGACUAUAUUUUCUUCAUCAUUCUUGACAAAUAAACUUGUAUCAGAUUGAGAUACACUGAAUCUCAUAGAUGGUAACACACCUGUGAACUUUGAAUUCCAAGCCCUAGGUACUUGUUUGAGUCCAUAUAAAGAUUUAAUCAACUUACACACAUGUUGAUGACAUUUUGGAUCUAUAAAUCCUUGUGGUUGCUUCAUAUAUAUGUCUUCUUGAAGAUCUCCAUGCAAGAAAGCAUUUUUACUGUCAAGUUGUCUAAGUUCCCAUUUAUGACAAGUGGCAAGAGCAAAAAUCAACCUUACAGUAGUGUGACUCAUAAUUGGACUAAGGUUUCAACAUAAUCAAGCCCUUGCUCCUAUGGAUAACCUUGUGCAACCAAUCUUGCUUUGUAUCUUGCAAUGCUGCCAUCUAGAAUCUUCUUUAUUUUAUAAAUAUCUUUACUCCCCAUAAUAGACCUAUUAGCUGGAGUUGGAACCAAUAUCCAUGUACGUUGAGUUGUUAGUGCAUCAUACUCAUCCUGCAUUGCUUGCUGCCAAUGAGGAUUUGAUGAAGCAGCUUUGAAUGUUUUUGGUUUAUUAGUAUCAUUGAUUUCUGCUAAAAAAGAAUAUCCAGCAUAGUAUGUAUCUUCAUUAUCUAUUUGUAGUGUUUUUAGCUCAUGUAACACAGACAAAUAAGCUGUAUAGUUUUUCAUCAUAAUUGCACUAGAUUGCAAUCUAGUUGUUAUAUUGUGUGUUUUGCCAGAACUAGACAAAUGAUUAGAUUCAAACAUGGAUUCAUGUGUAUAUGAGAUAGGCAAUGUGAAAUAUCGUCCCCAGAUUUCACUGUUUAAAAUUACGUAUUCCAUAUUUCGUAUUCUUAGUUUCGACACUUUUAUAUUUACGGCAUAUUUGAUUCCUACGUAUUUAUUUUCACUUAUAUUUAUAUAUUUGGAUAGUACUCAUCGAUACGAACACGUUGGUGCAAAUAGAAUGUGAUUCAGAAUUAUAACGAAGAUUUUAUGAGGUUUUGAACGUCAAUGGUACUUUUGGUAAAUUGACAAUUCAACACAUGAUGUAUUUGGAUGAGUGCCACGUAGGCCACCCCCAUUUUUUUGGAACCCUUUUUCUCCUUCCUCUUUUAUCCUGUUUCUCUUCACUCUCUCUAACUCCCUAACUCUCUCUCUCGGCUCUCCCUUUUCUCCCCAUGAAACAAACCAUCAUCACCACCAAAAUUUUGGCUUGUUGAACACCAAAAUCACCAUUAUCUGCAUGUCUUCACCACCAUAAACCCAGUUUUGAGUUUUGAUUCAUUGAAAACAAAUCUUAACCUCGAGUUCGAAGAACAAGGUUUUGGACUGAGACUUCUAGUUGUGAUUCAGACAAUUUCCAGCCAUCUUUUGAGCUCAAAGUAGGUAUAAAUCGAUUCCUCUCGUCGAUUAGAUAAAUUUUCAUGUUUGGAUCGUGUGAUUUGGUUUAAAAAUGAGAAAGAUGUAACGAUUUAAAGUUUGCCCAGUUUUCGGCGAACCGUGACCUUCCAGACCAUUUUCCGGCCAAACCACGGUGAUUUAUCCAUCGGGAAAGGUACCAAUCUGUUAGUCUCGUUCCAAUCUAUGAUUUUCAUUUUUGAAUCACUCGAUUUCGUUGAGUAUUGACAAAGUUAUGGACGUUUAAAGUUUGCCCAGAAAUUCCGGCGAGUUACUUGUUUUCCCGCGGACAGCCAUAUUUCAGGCCAUUUUCCGAUCAACUCCGGCCACCAUUUGGGCUUCAAGCAGGUAUAAUCUUGUUCUACACUUCUCUAGCUUCGUUUUGGUAUAUUAUGGGUCAAAUUUGGGUGUGAAACGAGUGAGAUAUGAAGAUCUAAAGAUUGCCCAUAAAAUCUGCAAAAUCUGCAGAAUCCAGUGAAAUUUCAUUAAGGUCCGUCACUUGAACAUUAUAGCAAUCGACAAUCCGAACGUUGGAUCACCACCAAACUUUGACACAUUAUUGUACGUAAUAUUUAGGGAACUUAGGAACUUACGAAUUGAAAAUCUAGUGGUUGGAUCUUACGAAGCAAGUGACGUAGGAUCAUGGACCCUACCUUUGAACGAUGAUUUGAUUCUCAUUAAAUGUUGUUGUGGGAGACAUAUGGGAGUUUUUGAGUAUGUGAAUUAUCGAAUGAAAUCUAAAUGUGGACUUGUACUUUGUUUUAGGCGGUGAGAGUGCAUGACGUCUCUAUUCUUGUGCCAGGGUGCGUUAACGCGGACUCCAGGUGAGUGACUUUAAUAUAUGUGAUAUUGGUGAUUACCUUGUUUUCGUAUUGUUAUCCUGUGUGGAUAUGACUGGGUUUUAUAAAUAUGUUUUCUAUUGAAUUGUUAUUUUCAAUACUUAGUCAUUGAUUUAUGUUUAUGAAAUGAGAUUUGACGUAUAUAUUUGAAAUAUGAUUUGAUUUGUAUGAUUGGCAUGUUGUGAUGACAUGUGAGGGCUAGUGGUGGAUCGUUAACCUAUUGCCAUGGGGUUGUUGCUUCGAAGUUUGUUUCAUAUCCUGUUUUAUUGAUUCAUUUCCCGCUUCGUUGAUUCGUUCUAAAUUUAGUAUUUGUGCCUUGUUACACUUUGUUGAGCUUUUGUAAAUUGAGUAAUUUGUGUCUUGUCUCGUUUCUUUGAGCCGUUGUACAUUAUGGUUGUUAGCAUUCCACUCGGUUCCGUUGAGUGAUCCGAAACUGGGUUUCCGCUGGGGUUCCAUUGAGUGGUCCAGUUCCCUGCUCCGUCUGGAUUCCGUUGAGUGGUCCAGAAUUGUAUCCAGCUUGGAUUUCAUUUAGUGGUUCGAUAUGCAUUGUACACUACAAUUUCGUUGAGUGGUCCGGAAUCGUAUCCAUUUGGAUUCUGUUGAGAGGUCCGGAAUCCCUUCUACUCCACGAUUUUGUUGAGUGGUCCGGAAUCGUAUCUUGAUUGGAUUCUGUUGAGUGGUUCAGAAUCCCGUUUGGUAUUAUGGUUCUAUUGAGUGGUCCAGUACCCGAUUAAUUGCUUUGUUGAUUCUUCGGAUUGAGUUUGGAUUGAGAUAGCUUCAGAGAUGUAGGCUUCGGACGAACUGUGUCACGCUAACCUUACUUUUCAUUGUGUUGUAUGAAUUUAUGGUUGUGAGCUUUUGUGACUUGUUUCAGACGAGCCGUUGGAUGUCUGGGUGACUCAUUCAGGGUUUUCAGUGACUUGGUUAUGAUUUCAUAAAAUAUGAUUUUAUAUUUGACGUUUAUAAACUGUGAUCGAUAGAUGGUUUUUAUUAGUAUCACAUAUGUUGAAUUGUUGUCACUUACACGAGCUUCGCGGCUUAUCCGGGUUGUUGUUUGCCCAAUGCACCAUUCCCAUGGUGUAGGGCGAUUGUGCAGGUAUUAUUAGAUACAAGGAGAUUUGGGGUAGCUGACAAAGUUCAGAUAGCUUGGAGUGUUAGGUUAUCCCUAUACUUUCCUUAAAAAGAUGUGAUUAUUGUUAUUUUCAAUUCAGUAUUUCAGUUUGUAUUUCCUGGCAUCCCCCUACAGUCUUCUGUCACGUGUCGAUCCUGGGCGUAUGUCAGGAUCAGAGCGUGACAGGCAAUAUUACCUGAAGCUAUAAAAUCAAGGAUAGGUAACAAAGGGAGAAAUUGAUCUUGUGUUUGAGGAAAACCUUGUGAAUGGUGUGUUUCAGAUUCCUGAGAUGACCUUACAACAUUUGAUGAUUGAGUGUGACUAGAAUCAUUUCGAAAUUCACCCCAAACAUUGAUGGAGAGCCUAAAGUAUACCCAGUAUCAAAUUCAUGUACUUGAUUUGAUGAAGUUGUAGCUUGAUUCAGUGCCUGAGAUGUACUAUUUUGAUUUUCAGAAGUUACAACAUUCACAAUCAUUGGAAAUGAAGAACUAAGAACUCUUAUGCUUUUAUUCUCAAAGAUUUCAACUUUAUUGACCUUUGCUAGAAAUUAGGUUUCAUCAUGAAGGACAUGUUUGGAUAGAAUCAUGGUCUAAAAUAUCCAUAAUAUCCCGAUAUUUCCAUCGAAAUUUCCAUGUUUUUGGACUACCGAUAUUUCCGAUAUCAUCGAUAUUUUAGACCUUGCUAAGUCACUCAUGUAUCUUACCAUGCAAUGUAUAAAGUGUAAAAUAUUGUACUAAUUCAUUAUAUAUAAAUGAUUAUGGUGUGUUUAAACUUCUUUAAUUAAUUACUACAUAUUUUCUACACUCACAAUGUUUGCUAGCUCGCUAUAUAAUCAACUUAAAUCAGUUAUAUCUAUCAUGCAAUGCAUUUCCUUCCAAUUUUUUGUGAUAAACUAAUAGACAAUUGACUAAAUAAACAUCCUGCAAAGUUUCAAUAAAAAUUUCCAAGUUUUUCUUACAAUUUCCGUGGUUUUUAUUCAAUUUUUAUCGAUAUCGAUAAUAUCCCAAUAUUUCCAUCGAAAUUUCCAUGUUUUUGGACUACCGAUAUUUCCGAUAUCAUCGAUAUUUUAUACCUUGGAUAGAAUUAAUCUUUUGACUUGCAGAUGAUAGCAAAUAACCCCUUUAUAUCCUGAUGCAUACCCUAAGAACAAAUAUACUUGAUGCGAAUAAUAUAAGCACACAAAUUAAACCCUCUUUUGACAAUUGUAGUAUAGAUGUAAGUAGGGUAUCGUUCUAGGCCGGGGAUUAGGAGGGCUUGCUAAAACCUCUAAACUGACUAAAAAAACAAAAAGAAACAAAGUUAAAAAUGUAAACAAAAGAUUUUAAAACAAGAAAGUAAAAGGGGGAUUUGAGUUUGGUGAAGUUGAAAGUAAAAACGAAUAAACUAAAAACUUAAAUAGAUUUUAAACAAUUUUGGGUUGAAUGGAUAAUGGAAGGCUAGCUAAGGGUUUCAUCUCCACACAUGUUAUACUUGCAUACAAAACGAUUUCCAAUUGCAUUUCAAUAAACCAUGAAUUCUCAACGCCCCAAGUUAAUUAGGUCCGCUUAAAUUAACCUUCAGAUUUUCCUAACGUUAUUGAAUUGGAUGAUUGCAUACGACAACCCAAAACAUUCCCCACAUGUCCCCUACAUGAUUGCAUAAUAGAGAUACAAGCAAGAAUCAUUAAAUUCUAUGAAAACCAUAAGCAUUAACGAAGCACUUGUUACUAUGAUUGCAUGAAACUUAUGCCAAGAAUUUACUUAACGCGAUUGAGAUCAUCAACCUUUACUACUUGUGAAUAUAAUUCCAUAACGAUUAGGUGAAAUUUCCUUAUAUUCUAGCAUUCAAUUUAUGCAUGAUAAUUAAGCGUGCACUCUCAACCAACACACACAAAUCAAUGUAAUUCACAUAGAUAAGUAAAUUGAAUUCACAACUUAUGAAACGCAAUUAGAAGUAAUCAAAUCAUAACGCAAGCAUAAACACGUAUUUCGAAUCCCCCCCUAGCCAAGGGGGGUUUAGUUCCUCAUUAUUACAAAACAAAGAUAAACAAAUUUAAACAUUGAAAAACAAAGGGAAGAAAGCACCUAAACGUUCCAACGAUCCAUGUUGGAUAGCAAGUGCGUCCAAGGACUUUUCUCCUACUCCUUGCCGCAACAACAAGGUUGGAAUGAUGUUGAAGGGUUGGUUAUUUGGAGGAAUGGAUGGGAAGGGGUUUAGAUAUGUAGGAGAGGCAAGGAAAGGCUUGGAGAAUGGUUAAUUUCUGGAUGAUUUGAAUGAGGUUGCUGCCAUGGUAUUUAUAGGAAGAGGAUGGACAUGUUUAAUGCAAAAAUCUGGUGGAAUGAAGUAGGUAAGGCAUGGCAAGGUGGAGAAUUGUUGGUGAGGGUAGGUUUUGAGUCAUCCACUCACAUGUCAUGGUGAGUUAAGCAUUGCAUCAUCCACUCAAAUGUCAUGGUGAGUUAAGCAUUACAUCAUCCACUCAAAUGUCAUAGUGAGAUAGGCAUUGCAUCAUCACUAAAAAAUCUGGUGGAAGUAAAACAAAGGGAAGGCCACGGCAUUGAUGAAUUUUAUGGGGUAUGCAUGGUUUUAAGUGAAGUUUUGGCCAAUCCUUCUAGAAAUUUAUCCCUUCUUGCAACUUGUAUUUGUUUCACCAGAUUUUUAGCAUGUUCCUAGCCUCUUUUUUUUCUUCAAAUUCGUCCAUCCAUCUUGCUCAUAUCAUAAGUAAUCCAUUCCAAGCUCAAAACUGCUCCAAAAUGCACCAAAAUGCACUUUCUUGCUACCUUAACCCUUUGGACCUACAAACACACGAAAAUGGCUUAAAGUACUAAAAUAACUAAGAACUAAUAACGUAAAUGCAAGAAAACUAGUUAACUAAGUCGCAUAAAUAUGCGUCUAUCAAUACUCAAGACCUAGGUUGCAGUUUGUUGUCAUUAUAAUGUUUGAGAUAUGGAUACACAGAUGUGCCAAAGACUUUCAACUCUUGUAGAUUAGAAUGCUUGUCAAACAAUGCAAAGUAAGGAGAGUUCAUGUGUAGUGUCUUAAAAGGCAUCAUAUUUAUUAAGAACAAUGCAUGAGCACAUGCAUGAUACCAAAAUUCUUGAGUUAUACCAGCAACAUCCAUUAGAGUAAUUGCAGUUUCAAUAAUAAAAUGAUGUUUUCUCUCAGCCAAACUAUUUUGUUAUGGUGUAUAAGGACAUGACACUCUGUGAGUCAUACCAUUUGAUGUUAUGAAAUCCUUAAAUGCAUUACUUAGGAAUUCACUACCUCCAUCUGAUUGUAAACUUUUAAUUUUAAAACCAAACUGCAUUUCAACAAACUUGUACAAUUUCACAAAUGUAAAAAAACUUUUGAUUUAUUGAAUAGCGGAAAAAUCCACACAAAUCGUGUACAAUCAUCUACAAACACUACAUGGUAUCUAUAUCUUUCAGUUGGUCUUGUAGGAGAUGGACCCCAUGCAUCUGUGUGCACUCUAUUGAAUGGUAAAAUGCACCUAUUUGACUCAUCAGAAAAAGGAGUUCUAGUUAUCUUACCAUGAAUACAUGUGGUACACAUCUUAUGAACAUCAUCUAUAGAAUGAGAAACUUGAGAUUUAGCUAACAUCACUGACACAACGUCAUUAGUUGGAUGCUCUAACCUUUGAUGCCACACUGAAAACUUCACGAACUAACCCAGCCAAGUAGUUGCAGAAAAGAAACUUGAUACAGGAAUCUGAAACAGUUCACCAGGUUUAAUCAUUCCUUUGUACAAGAUCUCCCCUAUUACCUUGUCCUGCACAAAAAACAAUGUAUCAUCACAUAUAAACCAACAUGUAUUGUCUUUACAUAGUUGUGUUACAAACAUGAGAUUGACUGCAAUGGAAGACACAUGUAAAACUUGUUUUUAACACAAGUGAGUGAGAUGGAGUUUUAAUCACUAUAGAACCAGUGAAAUGAAUAGGUAAGCCUUGACCAUUGCCAAUUUUAAUAGUUUCUAAACCUUCAAAUACAUAAAUGUUGUUCAAGCUGGUAAAAUUUGAUGUCAUGUGAUGAAAAGCUCCAAUAUCCAAUAUCUAAUAUCCAUAUAGAUUGAUUUGCUGUUGUUGUAGUAUUGAUGUCUGAUCAAUUUCAGGAUGAUUUUAAGAUGGAACAAAAUUUGGAGCAGUUUGAUAUGAAAAAUGAGCAGCAUAUGAGCCUUAAAAGUUAUAUGGACCAGGUUGGUGAGAAAAUGAAACAUGUGGGAUUGGAGGAACUUGUUGAUUUGCAUUAAAAGUUGGCUGCAAAGAUUGUGGAGAUCCAGCAGCUUGCUAUGAAUAGUUGCUCUUAUGGUAACACUCAAGACCAAUGUGCCAUCUUUUUCCACAUAUCUGACAUUUAGUAGUAAAUGUAGUUAGUGGUAUAUGAGAAUUCUUGUAAAAACAAUUUGGAGCAGUACGGCCCAUUCUUUGACAAAUUUGAAACUCAGGAUAUUGAGUUGUCCUUGAAUCAGUGUUUCCAAACCAAUCAUUACCUGAUCUAUAGUUAUUAAAUGUUAUGCCUCUAUAGUUAGACUCAAAACCAUUUCCUAUUUGAUAAUUUCCAUUAUAUGGUCUCUGUUGAUUCACAUUAUAAUGUGUAGGAGGUGAGAUUUGUUGACCAUUAUUGAAAGAUGGAUCCAUGUUACCAACAAACCAACUGCCAUAAUCAAAAUUAUUUGGCACAGGAAAAUAAGCAGGUUACGCUUAAUGAAACUAAGGUUGUGGCUGAAACUGUGCUUGAGAGAACAAUUGAGUGAAUCCAGGUGGUUGGGAUCUAUAAGGUAUCAUUGGAAUAACAGUGAUUCGACCACCAGUGCUAAAAGAUUCUUCAUCAGCAGAAUUAGAACAAGAUGCACCAUUAUUUUAUUGAGAUGAUCCUGCAGAACUAGAACCACCAUGCAUAUAUAAAGCCGACAUGUUAUGAGACAAAUAGUUAAUAGUUAUGUCAUUCUCCCUUUCAGCACCAAGUAACAAAGCUCGAAACUCUUUCAUGGAAACAGUAGUAUCUCUAGCAAGAAUCACAGUUCUAAUCGUAGCAUAAUCCUUUGGCAAACCAGCUAAUGCAACAAUCAUAACAUCAUUAUCUGAGAUAAACUCCCCUGCAAAUGUUAACUAAUCCCUAAUAGAUUUCAACUUCAACAAAUAUGUAUCCAUGGUAUCUCCCCAUUUUUUAAUGGUAUGUAAUUUUGUUUUCAAGUGAUUAACUCCAGUUUUAGACACUAAAGCAUAUCUCUCCUCAAGAUUAGACCAAGCCUCUCUUGCAAUUCUACACCCAAUUACAUAUUCUAUAGCAUCAUCAAAAAGAGAAGCAAUCAACAAACUUAACAAUGCCAAAUCAAUAGAGUCUCAUUCUUUAAAUGCACUUGUAAUUACUUUGGUAACCCCAUAUUAGCACUGAGCACAAAUUUAGCAGGACAUUCAAGACAGACUUAAACUGGAAUGCCCAUUUAGUGUAAUUAUGUUCACUAAGCUUAAUAAUAAGUAUACCCAACAACCCUUCUACUUUCACAGGUGGAGAUGCGAUAGCUAUAUUUCAAAUCAACAAUUAAACAACUUUUCUUCAAGACAAGAAAUAAACCACUAAGCUUCAAGAUUCAAGCAUUUCAAGAAACAAUUAGAAUCACUGGCUUCGGCCUUUUUAAUUUAGCAAUUACAAACAACACUAUUUCAAAAAGAUUCAAGAAAACCCAAUACUUGGAAUCACUGUCAUUGGCCUUUGGAUUCACUCAACAUACUUAAUUGAUGGCAUUGGCCUUUGUACAAUUUAGAUAUCUAUAUCAUUAAGACAGACAAAAAUGGCAUUGGCCUUAACCUUGGCAAGAAAGUAAAGAUUCUAACUACUAUCACAAAACUGAAAAAAUUCACAGAAAUUGAUCUUUAAGAACUUUAAGAAAAGCAAGAUUCAACGAUCAAUCUUCCAGACAAGAUGAUUUGUUGAAGAAUUUCGAACAUAGAACCUAAGAUGUCACCGGAUUCAAACAUUUUCUCCACUGUAAACUACCAUAAUAAUCACAGUUACAGAAAUUGAAGACACUGCAAGAUAAAUCGUAGGAAACAUGAUGACCUAAAUCUGCCAGAAAAAUUCCCAAACAGAUCUUCUCAGCAAUCCACAGCAGAUUGUUGGCUCGAUACCAUCAUAACAGUGCACGAUCAAGCUUCAAAGAGUUGCAGAAAUUAUGAGAAAAGCUGAAGGACUUCAAAAAUGUAAAGAGUCGAAGAGAAAGAGAAGAGAGAGAAAGAGGGAAAAACAUAGCUUUGAACAUAUUCACAUUAAUAAGAAAUGAAAGGCUACAUCAGUAUAUAGUGUUUUAGAUUGUAAUGAACUAGCUUACAAUAUAAGGCAACCAGCUAACUAACUCACAACAACCUAAUCUUAUCACAAUCCAAUUACACUAUGGCAUAUGGACCGAUAGACUAAAGCCACAUCAUCAUUAUGUUAUUACUGAUAACAUAUUGUAAAAUAGACUAUACAUGUGUAGUGUCAUUUAAAGUGAAUAAGGCACAAUAUUAACGAGGUUCGCUAAGUGUGCAUAGGUUCUCAGGGCAACAACAAUAGUUUCUUUCAAUAAAAAAAAAGUACAAAUGUAAUGAUCCAUCCCUAAAUUUUUCAGGAUUAGGAACAUUGACGACAUUUUAGUAAUUUCACAUUGGUUGGGAUAUUUAUUUUAUGUUUUGUCUUUGGUGGUAUUGUUUUGUGAGCCAUUAGGGCCCACAUGUUUCAUUGUCUCGGAUCCCUCUCUAUGACUCUCUUCCAUCUCCCUGUUACUCUCUCUUCCUUCACUCUCUCUCCCUCAUCUCUCCCUGUAACCCUCUAUCUCUGAGCUCAACAUACACAACAACAAUGGCGACACCACUCACCACCAUCACCAUUCCCUCCCUGUUAGUUCCACGAAACCAGAAAUGAAGGAAUAACACCCCAACUCCCUCUCUGUCUCACUGCGUAACGGCUCCCAUGGCCAAUGUUCAUCAUCUCUAGCGAACUUUCAUUGAUUCUUACAUAGGUAAGCUUUGGAAACAUUCUGAACCUUCUUUUUUUAUCCUCGUCUUUUGUCUUUGAUCGUGUUUGUGUGUUUUGGACAUCGAAACAUCGUAGAAACAGCUCGGGGGAGACUUCCCCAAGUUCCGGCGAAAACUCACAACUUUCCAAGCCAUUUUUCGGCCAACUCCAGCCACGGGAUAUGUAUAAUAUUCUUUCUUGUCCUUUGGGCUUCAAUUUUGUAUAUUGAAUGACUAGUUUUAGUUAAGAUUUAGGGAUGAACGACGUUUUCCAAGCUUCGACUUUCUUUUUCGUGGAAGUCAGUCGACCCAUGGCCUGAAACUAGGUUUACCCGACUCGACCACCAAGAACCGAAUCCAAACCAAAUCCGACCCUGACCCGUUUACCCCAGGACCCUACCCGUUUUCUAAUUGGAUUCGGAAUAUUCCUAAAAUAUUUUGUGAAAUAUUCUUGGAAUAAUAUUCUCUAGAAUACUUUCUGUAAUAUUGUUUUGUUUUGACUUUUACGAGAUUUUCUUGGAAACCUUCCUAGACUAAUUUCGACGUCUUUAGUCUAUUUUUGACAUUUGUUUAGUGAAAUUCUGAAGUUUUAAUGUAGUUGCCCAGCUCGGCGUCUCGGUUGACUUUUUACGAAAUUUUCCUGAGGUAAUUUAACGCCCUGGUUCUAAAUCCUUGCUCCAUUUUCCCAAAUUCAAUCAUUUUAGUAGGAUUUUACUAAUUGAUCCCUUUAUGUGGAUAUGUGCGUUUGUUAGUGGUGAUGCCAUACUCCCUAGUUCGAACGGCUCUUCGACGACGGAGUAUCUGUGAAUGGACCCUUUCCAAAAUGCAUGAUUUUAUUACUAGAAAUGCAUACUUGAAAAGCAUGAUUUUAUAACUAUGUUUUAUGAAACAUUUAUUGAGUUAUCGGAUUUACGUUUUAUGAAAUAUCAUACUUUAUCGAAUUUACAUUUAUUGAGAUAUUUAUGAAUAUGGAUUUAUGAUAUGAUGUUUGAACUGUUGAGCUCUGAUGAUAUAUAUUUUGGAAAGAUUAUGUUCAUGAUUUUAUGUGCUUACUUGCAGAUAUUCAUACAGUGUGCCUUCGGGCGGGCGAUAUAGUGCCUUUUGACGGAUGAUAUAUGUACCUUUGGGCGGACGAUGUAUGUGCCUUCGGGUGGGCGAUGGAUGUACCUUCGGGCAAUUAUGAUAUCACUACUAAGGUUUUAUGGCAUGCUAGGGUUUUCGGAAAACCUAUUACUUAUUAUGCUAUAUGAGUUUUCUAAAAUUGGGGGUUAGUACGUUUGAAGAGUAGUUGAUAUUGUUAUUAUUAUUCCUACUAAAUUGGUCUACUCAUGCUUUGUUUUGCACCCCCUUUAGCAUUUAGAAUCGAUGCGUACGAACCCGGCAUCAAUGCACUCCCGCAUUGGUAUCUUCGAGUCCUCUCGGUAUAGGAUGCAUUCCUUUGUUCACACCUUUUUAUAAUAUUCUAUCUACAAUAUUCUUGAUUAGUUGUAUGUUCUGAACACGUUCCCACAAUUGCAUAUUCAUUAAAGUUAAAUUUACUUGUUUUAUUUACGUUCGUUCUUUCUUCAUAACUUACAUGCAUGUUAAUAUGGCUUUGUCACCUUUGGGUGUAAGCCAACACGUGCCCAUUCCAGUGUUCGGAGGAUAUUGGAAUCGGGCAUGUCAACAAAAAUAACUCACUUUAGUCUAAAAACUCUAUUAUUCUCUUUGGUCUUUGUACGUAGCUCACUGGCAUUUCUUCGCUCUACCGGAACACUUGCUGAUCAUAGUUUUAUAGGGAAAUGAAUUUAAGUGACUCAACCCCAUUCUUAUUAUUUGCCAAUAGUAGAAAAUACAAACGCUAGAAGACUAAAACCCACCAACUCAUGCUUUGAUGUUUUUCACGGAUUGAUCUCAUGUACGUAAUUUAGCAAUCCAAAGUAAUCAUGUGGUAGCCAUCCACAUGAACAACAAUAGCUUCUUUCUUUAGCAAAUGUUCAACAAAUGGGAUUCUUCAUAUUACAUAGGGUGAAGUGCUGAUUUAGUUUUUUAAUUAUCAUCUGAGUGAAAAUUAGGUCUCUAAAUUAUUUUUCAAUAAAAUAAGUCCUUAAACUCAUUAAAAAUUGCUAAUUUCAUUCCUACUAUUAUAUUAAAAGCUAUAUUAUUCAAUUAUUCGUCAACUUAGGUAUCGUUUGUAUGCAGACGGGACGGGACGGAAUGGAAUGAGACGGGACGGGACGGGACGGAACAGAAAGGGAUCAAAGAUGCCCUCGGAUGGAAAUAAGGAGAAACAAGAAGGAGACAUAGAGGUUAUAAUUUUGUGUUCCACGGAUAUGGAAUGAGUCAUUCCAAGGGGGUUAGGCGGAACGAAAAUUCACCCAAAAUUCGUUCCGUGGAACAGCGCGUUCCACCCAUUUUAGGCGCACCAAACGUGGGACGGAACGCCUCGUCCCACGUACUAAACGGUACCUUAAGUCACUUGACACACUUUAAAAUGUAAUACCUGUAUUUUCUUGCUUAUAAGAUCGUAACAUUUCAUACAAGUUGUGAAUGUAACGUUUAAUUUACCCUCAAAAUUUAACUCCAUAUACUAUUUCUUUGUAAUAAAAUUACCAACCUACCCUCCAAAAUGUAUCACAUGCAAGUAAUGUUACUUAAAUUGAAGAAAAUUUGAAUAUAGUAGCUUCGAAACUAAUAUUAGCCAUUAAUGAUGUAAUUGACAGAUUUUUAUAUUCGAUGACUGAUUUUUCUGAAAAAAAUAAUUUAAAACCUAAUUUGCACUCAGAUAAUAAUUCAAGAAUUAAAUUGAUAAUUCACCCUAUUACAUAUCUUGCAGUGCAGUCUGUGCAGAAAUUUGACUUUCUUUAGGAUUUUGGUUGUCUUUCUUUAGCAAUUGGUCCACUGUUACCCAACCAUGCAUAUUACUAACAAUCAUAUUUUAUUUUAUAUUUGCUUUCUGCAGAUAUCGACUCUCUCAAUAAUUCCAUUUUCCCGGGAGUAAGUAACUAUUUGUUCAUUUACACACACACACACACAACAUUAAUAUUAGUGUAAAUGCUCAUAUUCACGUAAGCUACAAGCCUUCUAUAAGACUAACUAAAUUAACUAUGUGCCAUUGAUAAUGUAAACGUCUGAGAAGGAGUUCCUAUAUUGAAUAUAUGAGUAAGCUAUCAAGGCCAGGGCAACAAUAUAACAUUCACAGAGGCUGUUGGCUACAAUUUUCCCACUGAAGUGGAGCAAUUUGUUAAGGAUUCGAAGGCCGAUGUAGUAGGGAUUGAAAAUGCAAUCAUAUCCAUGCAUAUGUCAUAACGAUCUUGGCCUCGCCAAUGCCAAUACAAUAAUUGUAAAGUAAAUUGCAUUUUACUUUCUCAGGUUUGGAUGCAAUUGCAAUCUUAUAUAAAAUUUUUAAAACAUUUCACUCUCAUACAUUUACUCUCAUUUCAUUGCAAUUUCAUACAUCCGUUAGUCAAACCAUUAAUUUGACCAUUAAAGUGACGAUGUGGCAAACAUAAGGCCACAUGUUUUUUAUGACAUGGCAAAUAAAAGUAAUUAAAUAUUAAAAAUCAAUUUAAAAAUAAAACAAAAUUAAAAUUUCCCCAUUGGUUGAGAUAUCACUUUCUUCAGUUUUCCCCUUCCACCCUUCCUUUUGAAUCGUCGACCCACCCCUUCCCCUUGGAAUCCCGUCAAAUCGGUGGUCUCGCAACCAAGGAAGAAAAUGCCGAUAAUAUUGGCGAUAUUUCGUCGAUAUUAUCGGUUUUUCACGGUAACGAUAUUUUAAUAGGUAUCCAAUUGAUUUUCGUCUAAAUAUCACGAUAUUAUCAAUAAUAUCGCGAUAUUUCCAAAACUACCACGAUAUUUUCGAUAAUAUCGCGAGAUCAAAACCCAAAAAUAUUUAAAAAAUGUUGAGAAGUCUCAACAGAUAACUACACUUGAUCUUAGCAAAAAAGGCCGAGCAAGGCAUGCUUUUCUCAGCUUGGAAAUGUGGCUUUUAUAGGCAUGUGUGCUUGCUCACUGCCCUUGCGUGGGCGAUGUGGGAUUACAGAAACCAAGCUUAGGAAUGUGGCUUUUAUAGGCCUUUUUGCUUGCUCACUGCCCUUGCGUGGGCGAUGUGGGAUUACAGAAACCAAAACGUUUUGUUGCGACUUGCGAGGGCUGGUACAUGUGAACUUGUGACUCCAACUAGGUAAGACUUAAGAGCCAGAUCUAAUUUGGGGCCUUCUAUCCUAUAUUUGUGGACAACGAUCAAAUGCUAAAGACUAAACAAACAUAAUAUGUUCUACUGCUUAGCAAAAAAAGCUACAAACCCUUUGCUUAUCAACAAAAAAAGACAAAUCCUUGCACUAGAUAUACUUUCAAAUUACGUUGAGUAGCAACCUGAUAUAUGUAUUCGGACGAAUUAUAAAACAAUUGACACACUCCUGGUUUCCAAAAUUCAAUUCUUUUACUUUAUAUAAACUUGAAAAAACAUAAUCGGCAUCCAAAUUAAAGUUUAGUCUUAUUCAACGUAUUGAUUUUCAAUCGUUAAUUGAUAUACUAUAAUUUGGAACUUCAACGCCUAGACGCAUGCUUAUGUGUAAGAAAUUUAAAGUGUCAAAUUCGGCACAUUAUUCUUCAUCAUUUUAUUCACUUCCUUUUUUUUUUUAAUAUCCUAAAUAAAACCUCCCAAUAUUGUACUAAUUAAUUAUAUAUAAAUGAUUAUGGUGUGUUUAAACUUCUUUCAUUAAUUACUACAUAUUUUCUACACUCACAAUGUUUGCCAGCUCGCUAUAUAAUCAACUUAAAUCAGUUAAAUCCAUCAUGCAAUACAUUUCCUUCCAAUUUUUUGUGAUAAACUAAUAGAUAAUUGACCAAAUAAACAUCCUGCAAAGUUUCAUUAAAAAUUUCCAAGUUUUUCUUACAAUUUCCAUGGUUUCCAUGUAAUUUUUAUCGAUAUCGAUAUUAUCCCGAUAUUUCCAUCGAUAUUUCCGUGUUUUCGGACUACCAAUAUUUCCGAUAUUACCGAUAUUUUCUUCCUUGCUCGCAACUACUACAACUGGUAGCUCCGCCUCCUGCGAAUCAAUCUCAAACCGAAAUGAACCCAACCCAAUGCCAGAAGGUUCGCUUUGCCUAGCACCAGCUUCCUUCCCCUUCCUUCUCCAGUUCUCCUCGCUUCGCCCAACACUAACUACAAUUUCAUAUUUGUUCCUAUGCAUACAAUUUGCGAUGGCCGUCAUAUCUCGGUAAGAACAUACUUGGAAGACUUCACACAGAAAUAAAUACAAAGCAUAUUAUAGUCACCAGCAAGAUAGUAAUUCUUUGGGUUCUUUAGAGAAAGGCCCUUGAAACUCUUAUUUUCCAAACAAAAAUCCACCUAAUAUUAAACAUACAAAUAAAACCUAAAUUUCAAAUAGACUACCAUGUAGACAAAUAUAUAACCAAUUAUUACAACAUAUUUACAACUUAUGCCACAAACCCCUAAUCUAAAUUACAUUAAUAAAACCCUCUUUAUCAGUCAAAAAGGGUAAAAAAAUAAUUUUAUCUUCUACCACAAAACAAAAUCAUGGGCAGUAAAGUACACACAAACUAAAUUUUACAAUUUUUUUUUCAAAGCCUCACCCAAAGUGAUCCUAGCAUCCUCUAAUUUUGAAAAAUAAAAACUAAAAACUAAAAACUUCUCUCUUCCACAUUCCUUUUUUUUUCUCCCUUUCUCCAUCUCAUUUUAAAAUAAAAAUAAAAAUUAUUUUCACACACAAAGUGUGAGGCAUAUGCUAGUUAUGUUAAUAAAUACUAGCAAUUGGCAUACACGCAAAGCGUGUGCAACAACUUUCAUGUGUCACUUGCACUAUAGAACCAAAUUCAAAUCUCUUAACUUUUUUUUUUCUUGAGAAAAGCCAUGAAGAUGCAUCUACACAUGCGAACAAACACAAAUUACAAACUAGGAGUGGAAAAAGAUAUAAUUGAUGACAAACAUACUCCCAAUUCUUACCUUUGAAUUAAUCACUAAAAUAUGAGAGUUUCCCUACUCUCAUCCACAAAUUGUCUCAUACUGAUUUUAAGAACAGUAAAUGAAUAACAAUUUGUUACAUCCCACAUUGUCCAGGAGAGUGGAUCCUGUAAGCCUUAUAUGUAUAUUCACAUCUCUACCUAGCACGAGGCCUUUUGGGAACUCACUGACUUCGGAUUCCAUCGGAACUCCGAAGUUAGAUAGUUCGGACGAGAGCAUUCCUAGGAUGAGUGACCCACUGGGAAGUUCUCGUGUGAGUUCCCAGAAACAAAACUGUGAGGGCGUGGUCGGGGUCUAAAGCGAACAAUAUCGUGCUACGGCGGAGUCGAGCCCGGGAUGUGGUGGGGGCCUGGGCGGGGAUGUCACACAAUUAAUUGAAAUAAAAACAUCAUAAAAUAACUAAUUGCAAUAUAAAUUAUUAUAUAAAUAGAGAGAGAGAGAGAGAGUGAAGUUGAGGGUUGAGGGUUGAGGGUUGAGGGUUGAGGGGGAAGUGUGGAAGUUACCGUAAAGAGUAGAACUGCUUUGGAGGUGGAAGUGGGGAAGUUAUCAUUAGUUUUAGACUUUUACUUCUUUUUUAUAUUUUUUAAUGAUUAUCCACAAUUAUUAUUUUGAUUGUAUCCACAAUUACUAAACCUUGUUUAUAAACUCAACUUAUGAAAGUAAGGGUAGAGUUGUCUUUUCCUGCGUUUUUUGGUCGAUAAAGACUCUUCUCUUAUUAAUAGUAUAGAUAUUGCCACUUAGUACUACGGUCUAGUGGUAUUCCUCUUCAUUUGUAAGUGAGAGGUCUUUCCCACCAAAAACGAGUUUAAACCACAUUAUUGCUAGCUCAUUGUGAGGCUAAAUACACUCCCUCCCCUUUAGUUUAGAAAAUAUCGUUUGUUCAAAAUAAUAAUAGUAUAGAUAUUACUCACCCUAAAUAUGAUUAGCAAUUAACUCCAUAUGGAAUUUUUACCUUUUUUCAUAAAUAUUAGUAACAAUAUAUAUAUAUAUAUAUAUAUAUAUAUAUAUAUUUAUUUAUGGGCACAUUUUUUGUAUGAAUAAAAAUAAGGGUGAUUUUGUGAAAAAUCAAUAAAAAGUUACUAUAUUAAAUCAACAAUAUUUAUGUUAAUUAUAAAUAGGUCAAUUAUGUAUUGUGAUACUUAAAUGUAUUUAAAAUAAACAAAAUUUACAAAAUAUGCCACUACAACUGACACCCACUUCAACUAACACUACAUUUCUCAUAGUUUUAUAUUUGGAAUAAGUCAAUACAAAUCAGACACUGCAAUGUAGUGUCUGUUUCCUGAUUUUGUUUUUUACAUUUGGAUUCAGACACUGCAUUGCAAUGUUCAUUUAUUGGUUUCGUUUCGUUUCCUGGUUCCUUUUUUUUUUUUGAGUUGAGCAGACUCUUCCAUGUAAAGGAAUGGUGAGAGAGUGAGAUAGAAUAUACAUAUUCUAUCCAUUUAUAGGAUUCAAAUCCUCCUAAGAUCAGUUAUAUAGGAAUAGAAAUCCAACGACCAAUGCCUCAUCCCCCGCCUCUCUUCCCUUUCAACUUUUUUUUCUCCUUCGCGCCCCCACACCCCACUAUUGUUAACAACCCCAAAUUCAAUUGCAAGUCAUCUGUUCUCUAAGUCAGAUAUAUUUUUUCACUAUCCCUUACUGUUUUAGUUUUUUAUUUGUCAUCUAUUUCUUCUUCUUCAUCUUUGAGAUUUCUCUCUCUAUCAUUCUUCCAUAGUUAUGAAAAGAUCUUUGCAACCAAAAGACAUUCAUUUGCAUGACCCCCCCCUCUUUGUUGUUUCGUUAACAUCGGCUGAGAUUUUAAGGUCAAGAGACUUGUAAUUGUGGGAUGUGGCGGUGUUAAGGCUGAUUUUGGAAAGGGUAAGGUGAGGGACCUACAAUUAUGGUUAUGGUUGGGUGAGUUGUGGCGGUGUUAGGGCUGAUUUUAAGGUGGGGUUGAAUUUAAUUUAGAAUUUAGGGAGUUAGUGGUUCUAGGUUAAGAGCUUUGAAGUGAGGGAGAAAGAGAAAAGUUGACAGAAAAAGAGGAAGGAUAAGAGAUUUUGGCCGUUGGAUUUGUAUUAAUGGAUGAUGUAAGAUCCCACAUCAACCAACAGAGAGGGGGGUGAUGUGCCUUCUAUGUACACACCCACCUCAUAUAGCACGAGGCCUUUUGGGGACUCACUAGCUUCGGAUUCCAUUGGAACUCGGAAGUUAAGCGAGAUCGCGAGAAAGCAAUCCCAGAAUGAAUGAUCCACUGGGAAGUUCUCGUGUGAGUUCCCAAAAACAAAACUGUGAAGGCGUGGCCAGGGCCUAAAGUGGACAAUAUCGUGCUACGACGGAGUCAGUCUGGGAUGUGUCAGAAUGGUAUAAGAGCCACUAUGCCGUUCAGUGCGAGUGUGCCAACAAGGACGUCAGACCCCUUAGAGGGUGGAUUGUAAGAUCCCACAUCGACCAACGAAAAGGGGGUGAUGUGUCUUAUAUGUACAUGCCCACCUCCUAUAGCAUGAGACUUUUUGGGGACUUACUAGCUUCGGAUUCCAUUGGAACUCCAAAGAUAAGUGAGUUAGGGCGAAAGCAUUCCCAGGAUGGGUAACCCACUUGGAAGUUCUCGUGUGAGUUCUCAGAAACAAAUCCGUGAAGGAAUGGUAAGCCUAAAGCGGACAAUAUCAUGCUAUGGCGGGGUUGGUUUGGGAUGUGAUAGAUGAGACCCAUUGGUCCGUAGGAUCUCCACAAAAUUUAUUCGGAGAGGAUUUAAAUUCGUAUUUAUAAUGGCUUAAGCCCAUAGGACAUUCAUAGAGAGAAAAAGAGAGAGAAUGAUAGAAUAGUCAAAUUCUAACUAUUUAUAAUGACUUAAAGCCUAUAUGGCAUUCAUCAUUGACCUAUGUCUAAUUAAUAAAAAUAGGUCAUUGAUAUAUGGCUUAAUAGUAAAGUUUUAUUGACUUUUGGCUAAAUUACCUUAAAAAAUAUAUAUACAAUAAGUUAUUUUGCAUAAAAUAAUAUUGUUUGAUAAAAAAUCAAUUAUUAUUCUUUUAUUUUGUAGUAAAUUAUUUUACAUACAUUAGCCAUUUUUUAUUUGUUAUUAUAUAUGCGUGUUAAAAAUAAUUUAUCUAUACUUAUAUGUAAAAUAUAAGUAAAUUUAUUUCGAAUCAAACCACAUUUAUUUUGUAGGUAAAUUAAACAACAUUUAUAUUGUAGGUACAUUAUGUUUAUUUAUUUAUUUUUUUUGCCAGAAGCAUUAACAUACAAUUUGUUAUGUUUGUACAAAAAAAAAAGGUAAAUUAAAAUUCAUAAAUAAACAUUUAUUAUGAAUCAACCAAGAUUUAUAUUGUAGGUAUAUUAUGUUUGCAAAAAAAAAAAAAAAAACAAUAGGUAAAUUAAAAUUCAUAAACAAGCAGUAGUAUAUAUAUAUAUAUUUUUUUUAAUCAAAUUACUUUCUUUUAUUUUGUAGGUAAAUUAUUUUGCAUGCAUUAUUACAUAUAUUUGACGCAUUUUAUUACUAAUAAAUAUAUUUAAUGCUAAUUGUAUUAAUCUAAAAUUUUAAAAUAGAUCACAAGAUUCACAACUUAAAAUAUUUAUUUAAUUAUUAUAAUAAAAUAUUCAUACAAUUUUAAGUGAAAAAAUAAAAUAAUUGAGUACAACUACGGGGAUGGCUGGUGAAGUGGCUGGUGGAAUGGAGCUUGAAGGCCACUUGGAGGUUAAGGAAUGCGAAUGACAGAAGCUACCAUGGGGUAUCCCAGCAAUGUAAUAGCAGACGACUUCUCGCUCGUGCUCAACUUCUUCUCUUUUGCGUUCAGCUUCUUCUCGGUGGCUCGCUAGCCAUCUCCAAUUACUGUAGCCUGGAAGUGAUCCCGGUUGGAGGAUGACAGACAGCUAGAUAAAGAAGAAGCCCCCUGAAUGGUGAGCAGUAAAUACUUUCUAUUAGAGCAACUCCACCCUUAAGCCCUCCCUCUUGACAAUCCACUAUUGAAUCCACCCUAUUGAACAAUAACUACCUUUAAUGAAUAGUAACUACUAUUAAUGAACAGUAAUUACCUUUUGCAUCUCCACCUUUGAAGCCCUCUCCCUGACAAUAAGUAAUAAAAUAUUAGUUUUUUUUGUUUGUCUAAAUAAUACAAAAUAAAAAAAAUAUGGAAAUGAGGCUGCAGGCCUCGGGCUGACAUAAAAAAAAUAAAAAAAUGCCUAACCCUCGGGCUGCACGCCUGUCAAUUCCCCACCCCCCUUAUGCUCGGGCUCCCACCCUCACUCGGACUCUCCAAGGCUGGAGGGUUGUCCACCGGACCUCGGGCCAUUUCCUCUCCCCUAUCCCCCGAGCACCGUCCAAGGCUGGACUUGCUAUUAAAAGCUACACCGACAACUUUUAGAAUUCUACAACCCAAUUACCAUCAAGGAUGCGGAAAUAAAGUGAUGGGACUGGGGUCGUAGUAGAAUGGACAAGCAAAUAAUUUCAAUGCGUAAUGUCAUUAAAGAUAUCGCUAGGAUUGUAGUUAGGAGUAAAUGAUGGGACAGCAAAGUAUCAAUAAUUAGGCAGAUACAGAUCCUCUUAACGAGCUUAUUAAAUUUGUAGAUUAAAUUUUGAAAAUUAAAAGAUAAGCAUUGAAGUUAGGAGUAAAUGAUGGCACAGCAAAGUAUCAAUAAUUAGGCAGAUACAGAUCCUCUUAACGUGCUCAUUUCUACCAUUUGGUACAUGGGACGGAAUGGGACGAACUGUUCCGUCUCACGUUUGGUGCGCCUAAAAAUUGUGGAACGGGUUGUCCCAUGGGACGAAAUUUGGCUGAUUUUUCGUUUCACCUCUUCCCCCUGGAACGACCUGUUCCACAUCCGUGGAACACAAAUUUAUAACAUUUUAUGACAAAAUUUCUCCUUAUCUUUUUUAAUAUUUACAUCAUCUGUUCCGUCUUGUUCCGUCACGUCCCAUCCUAUUCCGUCCCGUUUGCGUACCAAACGGUACCAUAAUGACACAUAAUUUAGUUUAUAAAUUUUACUUACAAAUUUAAUCUCCUUAACAUUACCAAUAAAGUAAUUUUUAUUAUAGAAAAUUUUAAAUCAAAGCCGUUCAAUUUUUUUCAUUUGAAAAUCAUAUUUAUAAAAAUGUUAUUCAAAUCGAAUAUUGUUUAGUCAUUCAAAUGUAAGAAUUAAGAAAUUUGAACAUUUGAAUAACUAAACAAUAUCUAAUUCAAAUGAUGUUUUGUUUGGAUGAUUUUCAAAUGAAGAAUAAGAAACUAAACAAUCCGAUUAUGAACAAAAAUGCGAUACAUCAAUACGGUACAAAAAUGCGAUCUUUUUAGCAUUCCUCAUGUACACAAAAAAAAGGCAUUACAAUUCCAACUCUUAUCCCUCUAUUCACCCCAAUUAUAUGGCCAGCUUUCCUCCUCGGGGAUAAGUAUAAUCGAAACUGUUCAAUUUCUUAUUUUUCAUUUGUAGAUCACCUUUACAAAAAAAAAAUCAUCUUGAACGGAGAUCAUAUAGUCAUUCAAUCGUGUAGAACAAACAAAUUGAUGGUGUAGGUACCAAAUAACAUAUUCAUGAUGAACUGUCAAUUUAUUUGAUAUAUUUGAAUGACUAAACAAUCUCUAAUUUGAAUGAUUUUUUUGUAGGAGUGAUAUUAAAAAAAAUAUUAAUAAAUUGAACGAUUCCAAUCGUUGAUUUUAUUCGGUCAAGAUACAGUAAUCCAAAUAGGGAUAUGUGCAUCCCCACAUAGGAGAUGCAAGUAUUAUCCUUUAAGUUAUAAACAACAUAAUAUAGAUUAGUUACUGGCCUAUGCAUUAUUACUAUUUUUUUUUUUGACAUCAUGAAGUCAUUCAUUGGAGUCUAGUCUAUGCAUUAUUACUAUUUAUUUUUUUCUAAAUCUGGUAUGCGUAUUAUUCUUUUUUUUGGUAAGACUAGCCUAUGCAUUAGAGAAUUUUUUCAGGUGACCGGAACCUCACAUCACCAUAGACAGUUCGUGUACCCAUCCAAUUGGAGGAUGCCAGUCCCCCACCAAAGAAUCUAUGUGAUUUAGUUUUUAACAAAAUCAAUUAAACAAAAACUAAACCCAAAAAAUAGAACAUCUCGACUGCCGAGCCAACAUCACCAUGGACAACCGACAGCUGGAAUACGGAUUUGGAUCCUCUCCUGAGCUAAUGGAGAGGAUCCUCCUGACUCAUCAUCUUGGGCCGUUGGAUUUUUAUCUAACGGCUAUAAUUAUUAUAACUUUAAAGAGACAUCGCUAUAAUUAUUAUAACUUUAAAGAGACAUUUCUGUUUGUAGUCGUUGGAUAAAAAUCCAACGGCCCAAGAUGAUGGGUCAGGAGGAUCCUCUCCAUUAGCUCAGGAGAGGAUCCAAAUCCCUGGAAUACUACCUUCAGUGAAAUGAGAGUGCAUUUUUGCUCACCAUUAUAUUUAUCACUAUUAGAUGAAUUUAAAUUUUGAAAUUUGUGCUUAUCCACUACACGAAUCUCGAAAUUCAAAUCCAUCUAACGGUGAUAAAUAGUGUGGUGAGCAUAUACCAUACUAAAUGGUGGUGAGCAAAAAUGCGCCCUUUUUCAGUAUGACUGGAACACGGUAUGAUACAUCAUGUGUCACUAUAUAAAUGGUGAGAUAUGUGUACUAAAAAAUAAAAUUUACAACCACUUAUAUAAAAACACGUGAUGUACUAUUCAUAUUCCAGUUUGUUGCUGCACUAACUAUUUUGCCAAGUAAGAUUACAUUCCUUUAAAAUGGGCAAAGUGCAAAGCUAUGCCAUUGCGAUAUACACACUACACACAAAGGAGAGAAAGCUUUGGUUUUUGUACACACCAUGGCCUUCUCAGCAGAAAAUCUUCUUUUCAUCGCAUCAACAUCCCCAGUUUCCAUAAUCAGACAUUCAAAACCCACAAACUCCAACAUAGACACCACCCUCUUGCCCAAACCCUCAUCACUCUUCCCUCUCUCACAACAACGCGCCAUCUUGAGGACAAACAAGCGCUGCUCCGCUCUCUCCCAAUCCCCCACUCACCCCGAAUACAUUCCCAACCGAAUCCCAAACGAAAACUAUGUACGAGUCGUGGACACGACCCUACGGGACGGAGAACAAGCUGCGGGGGCGUCCAUGACUCGGCUAGAAAAGCUGGCCAUUGCACACCAGCUGGCGAAGCUAAGAGUGGAUGUGAUCGAGGCGGGGUUCCCGGCUUCGUCCAAAUAUGAUUCGGAGACAGUGAAGCGAAUAGCAAAAGAGGUUGGAAGCCGUGUUGACGAGUGCGGCUACGUGCCUGUCAUAUCUGCAUAUUGUAGGUGCGUUCGUAGCGACGUUGACGCUGCAUGGGAGUCGGUGAAGGACGCGACGCGCCCGCGCCUAUGCAUAUUCAUAUCAACCAGCGAAAUCCACAUGAAGUAUAAGCUGAACAAGACUGCCGAUCAAGUUCUCGAACUCGCGAAGGAGUCGGUGAGGUAUGCCAGAAGCCUUGGAGCUCAGGACAUUACGUUUGUCUGUGAAGACGCUGGAAGGUGGUUAACUCUCUAUCUCGUUCUUUCCAAAAACAAUUUAUAUGAAACCGAUUUACUAUCACAUAAUGUUCUAAUUUAAUAAAGUAAAGAUAUGUGAAGAGAUACCUACACAUCACAUUAUACUAAAAAUAAGACUUUAGCCCUGAAAUUUAACUUAUUUCACAUAGAACUUGACAUAAAUUUUUUAGUCGAAUAAAACCCAUUGACUAAAUUCCACAUGAGCAAAUUCAUUAACACUAUUUGGAUGAGGAAAAUAAACUUAAAAUUUGAAUAAAAGUCAGAAUUUAUAAAUUGACAUACACCAAUUUCCUUGUUUGGAUUCAUAAAUAUAGAAAUUUAGAAUUUCGGCAUGGAAAAAAAAAUUGGAAUUUGGGACCUUCAAUUCCUAAGUUUAAAUUUUAUGUAAAUAUGUGUCAUUUCCCAAUUUCUAUGAUUGAAAGUUUAAAAAUAAAAAAUUCCGCAUUCAAUUUCAUUGUUCUUUUCCGUCAUUUUAAUAUUCACAAAUUCUAAAAAAUAAAAUCUCAUCAUUUCACCAAACAAGAAAAUUCACAAAUUCUAGAAAAUAAAAUCACGUCAUUUCUUUAUCCAAACAUAGUGUAAUUAUGUUUGACCUUACAAAUAUUUAAAACAAAAAUCAAAAGAAUAAUAGUCCACUAUCCACCAAACUAAUAGUUAGGCCAUGUAAACCUGAGUAUUGAAAGUCAACUAUAUCAGUAUACUUCUUGUUCGAACUUUUGAAUCCUCUUAUAUAAUUUAGACUAAUUUAAUGUAAACUGUCCCUCGUAAAAAAGAAGGAUCGGGCUUAAAAACUAAUUGAUUAUAUGCUUUUAAUUAAUCUGAAUUAGGUCUGAGAAGGAGUUUCUAUAUCGAAUAUAUGGGGAAGCUAUCAAGGCCGGAGCAACAACUUUAACAUUCACAGACACUGUUGGCUACAAUUUCCCCAGCGAAGUGGAGCAAUUUGUUAAGGACUUGAAAGCCAAUGUAAUAGGGAUCGAAAAUGCAAUCCUAUCCAUGCAUUGCCAUAACGAUUUUGGUCUCGCUAAUGCCAAUACAAUAGCAGUAUGCGCACGCUUCACUCUUGUACUGAAUUCAAAAUUGAUCGGUCUCUCUCAGUACCUCUUGAAUUUUAAUAUUGUUUACAUACUAUAGGGGGCAUAUGCUGGUGCCAGACAAGUUGAAGUUACAAUCAAUGGCAUUGGUGAGAGGGCUGGAAAUGCUUCAUUAGAGGAGGUAAAUCUCUAUUUUUGUCAUCAAUAUACAAUUAUUGCUCAUAUUAUGUAAUCUUAUAAGAAAAGAUCUUACUUUGACAAAAAAAGGAUGGAAUAAACUAGCAAUUAUCUGAUCAAUGAUCUAAAUCAACAGUCUAACUAUAACUUCAUGUUUUUUCCUACACGUAAAGUUUGUGAUGGCCGUCAAAACUCGUGGUAAGGACAUACUUGGGGGACUUCAUACAGGAAUAAAUACAAAGCAUAUAAUAGCCACCAGCAAGAUGGUAAUUCUUCUUCUUCGUUUGUUUCCUUAUAUUUACCUGGUUAGUUUGGUUGGUCUGAUUUACUGAAAUGUUAAAACUCUUUGCAUGCACUAAUUAAUAAGGUGGAAGAGUACAGCGGAUUAUCUGUACAACCACAUAAGGCUAUAGUUGGAGCUAAUAUUUUCUCUCAUGCCAGUGGAAUUCACGAGGUUAUAUUUCCAUAUUAACUUUUAUUUUGCAGUUGAAAUAUAUAAAUAAAUGAUUUCAUAAAAUACACAUAUAUAUGCAUAUAUAGAAAGAGAGAAAUCUCCUCUGUGUGUGUGUUUUAGGAUGGAGUUCUUAAAAACAAGAGCACCUAUGAGAUUAUUUUGGCUGAAGAUAUUGGCUACGUCCAUUCUAAUGACGAUGGCAUUGUCCUAGGAAAGCACAGGUUUGUAAUAAAGGAUAAUACUUGCGUCAAUCUCAUAAGUAUCAAUUAGUGUUUAAACAUCUCACAUUAUAUUUUUCUACAGUGGCCGUCAUGCUUUGAAGUCUCGCCUCUUGCAGGUAUUAAUCGAAAAUUAUUUCUGAUUUUUUUUGUUUAAACUUAAUAUUAUAUGAUGAAAAUAAAUUCUCUACAGUAAUUGCUUUUUUUGUUUUUAUUGGUAUUAUUCAGCUUGGCCAUGAUCUGGACGAAAAGAAAUUUCACGAGGUGUUUGAACAUUUCAAGUCAUUGGCUGAGACAAAGAAGGUAACAAUGAAUUAAGUCGAUAAAUAAUCUUAAUAUGCCGUCAAGUCCUUAUGAUUGAUUGGUUUUGCACAUUGCAGAGUCUUACGAAUGAGGACCUAGAAUCAUUGGUUUAUCAGGUGGCCAUUUAAUUCCCUAGCCGCCAAAGAGAAAAUCCUCCAUUGUCGAUUCUGGGCUCGGAGACAAUCCUUCUUGAUCCCUUUCCUAUCUUCCCCUCUUUUCUUAUAUUAUUUUAUAAGAUUUUCAUUUAGCAGUUGUGGUUGCUCUUUCGAUCUAAUGAAGAGAACCUUCAUGGUCGUAGCCGGUCUCUCACUCAGUCGAUGAGUGCUGUGUGCGCGCUUUUUUGUGGCUUGUACACUUGAAAAGAGACUAUUAGUAGGAAGCUAAACCUUUAUUGAAGGUGAGUCAUAGCUGGGCUUCUUUGCUGAUAAUUUCAAGAUCAUAAGAGGGUGGUGUGGUACUUUCUUCAUAGUGCCUUCACGGUGGUUAUUGCAAGGUUCAAUCCUCAUGAGUGUUAUCUUUCAUGUUAGUUGAAUUAAAAUCAUUUGUGGCUCAAGAAUUGUAUUUUAAUUAUUUGAAUUUUUAAUUGUAGACUUGUGGUGUUUUGGAUUUCCGAUUGAUUUUUUUCCCAAGUAAGGUUUGCUAUUGGGAUCACGUUUAACAUGCCUAUUCCAUAUAAGUUGUCGAUCGUUGUUAAUAAAAUUUCAUUCCAUCUCAAAAACGGUGGCCAUGUAAAUCUAAUGUUCUUCUAUGCCAUGACAUAACAUUAAUGCACUUACCUUUCACUUUAGUUUUUUCUUCUUUUUUUUUUGUUUUUUUUUGAAACAAUAAAUUUUGUCAGAUUAGAUGUUAAAUUAGCCACCGACGGGGUUCAAACACAUGCCGUCAUGCAAAAACUCAACUCAUUUCCAUCACAAUGGUAAAGGGCCACUUACUUGCACCUUUAACUUUGGGCUUUGGAUUUGAUAAGGGUUUUUUAUGUUUCUCUUCAACAAAUGUUACUGGCAGUCACCCAUGCACGAAACAAGUAUCCACCAGUCAAAGUUGAGGUACAGUUAGUUCAUAAAACGAGCAAAGAGCCUCAAUUUCGUUGCUUGAAAAUACAUAACCUCAGAGAUUGAUGAUUCUUCAUGAUCUACAAAAACAUUAUACAACACACUUUCAAAGUUGUAAAACCAAAAUACCAAGAUGUUUUUUGUCAUCCAAGAAUUUUGUACCAGUGUUUUUUGUCAUCCAAUAAUUGGAGUAAUUUACUUGCAUGCGACCCUGCCUCCUCUAUCUGGAUCAACUAAUUAGCUCACAUGCCUUUGUCUAGUUCAGAAACAUAGCACUGAUUCUACUGGUAAUCAAAAUAUCACCUGAAAACGACCAAAAUCGUGUAAAGAUCGGACAGCAGUCUUCACGACUCUUCUCGUGUUUUGUGUUUCUUGACUUCUUGACAUGAUGGUCAUUAUUGACUGAAACUGUUUCGGCACUGGUUCUACUAGGCUCUUGCAGAACUGAUUCUCCAUUGUUUCCCUUCCUCCUCUUAGCACUCCUGAAAUUUUUUUCAACAAUUACAAUGCAGAAUCUACUUUUUUUUCUUUUCCAAAAUGGAUUAUAUACUUUUAAAUACAAACUCUUUCAAGUUAAAUCCAAGGUCAGAGAAAUACCCAUCCGUUAGUGAAGUAUCUUCCAUUUGUUUAUCCAACCAGAGAAUGUUUCCUGUGUGAGCAGGAAGCAAGGAACCAUAAAUGUACAGUGUUUCCUCAUCCACACUGCAAGCGUAAUGCAAAUGCAAUGUUAUGGAAGUAAGUACACAAGUAACAAACACUUUUUGCAAAACGAAGUACAAUAAAAAACAAAUGUAUCACUUAGUUGAGAAGCUACAAUGUAACAAAAUGAGUACCUAACCAUGUAUAUACUGCACGAAAGUUUAGUCAACUAGAUUUUUUUUUAGUUUACAAGAUAUGCAGAAUCCCCACAAUAUGAACACUUAAGCAUACAUCCUACCUCUCCAUCAUCACUUUUUCAUGACUCAAGCAUCUAAUUCACAAAUCUCGAAAAUGAUUGUGAGUUGUGACCUUUUGGAGUACAGUUUAGAAUGUGUUACAAAUUGGCUUUAAAACCGAAAUCCACAUUAAUUGACAAGGUAAGGGAGGAGGGAGGGUGGGUUUGGGAAGGAGGAUGCCUAAAAGAACGAAAACAGCAUUCCACGGUAAAAUAAAGAAAAGAGUAUACCACUAAGAGCAAUGCUAGAGUGACCACUUUCAGACCACAUUCUGUGGCAGGUGGGGUUAACUUAUGGCAUCAACCAUUAUGACCAGUUGGUAACUGAUUGAACACCUUCCAGUGCCACAUGAUGUUGAUUACUCAUGCGGUUCAAAAAUGCAGUCUCUUCAGCAUUGCUCCUACCAAAUAUCAGUUUUCUUUCAAAUCAUAAAAAGGUAAUUAUAAUCAAAGGUCACCUUUUGACUAAUAGUCGUAUCAUGGUUCCAACUUUAAUUACAUGCCGCUUGUGGGAUCUGCUAACAAAUAAUUGCUUGCCAUGUUUCUAAGAGAAGAUUGGUACACCAGAAGGAAGAUGAAUUACUAUUGGAAAGAUUAAGGAUAACAACAUUGAAACACAAUGAUGAAGAAGACUCUUACAGAUUUAUAUCGAAAUUCCUCACAAAUAUCUUUGUCUGUUAUGAUGGCAGAUGAGAAGCCAAGAAUAAUGACAUGAAUUGAUUCUUGUUUGACUUUCACAACCUUUCCUUCUGCAGUGGCAGAACGUUACAAAUCAAUCAGCAGGAUCAACAUUAGUGGAUACAAAUGCAUGUGUAUCAUUUGAUACAGAAUGAAUUUUUAAUUCAUAACAAAAUAAAUCAAAUUUUGAGCAUAAUAUCCUUGAAAGGGAUAAAAUUUGUAUGUCUGUUACUUUAUUAGUUAACGCAGAACAAGAAUACUACCUACAAGCAUAUCGGGCUUUGGAGAAUAAAGUAAUAACUUUGCUUUUAGCCUGACAGUAAAGUAAGGAUGAACACCGGGAAGAAUCUUUGCUUCCUUAUCUAAGAUGUUGAAUUCAUAAGCCAAUACAAUACCCUCAAAUGUAUCAUUGUACCUGCAUGAGAAAUCAGAGACAGAAAAUUAAAUUCCCAAGUUGCUAAGAAAUAAAAAACACGUGAAACAGAAUAUUAUUCCAAAGAGAGCGACAAACACCCUCAACUUGACCAAUACAGACCAAGCCGACUGUUGAAUUUGGAGGGUUACAGUAGAAAAACAAAUCCAAAAACAAUGUAUGAAGAUAUCAUUCUUAACUCUGAAUCCCCGAUAAAUUAGCUUUCAUUUGCACUCUUUCUUAAGCAAAUUACUUGUUUGUUGCAAGAUAUUGUCGGAACAUUUCAGAAAUACAAAAAAAUGGGGGAACAAAGUCUGUUUCUGUUUGAAGUUCCGACUAAAUAAUUGGUACUUUUCAAACAUAGUCUCCAAAAAGCUCAUGUUUUUAUUGGGAACUUUAACUCAACUGACUCUAAUGAAUUAGCUCUCAAUCAUACUCUUUCUUCAGCAAAUUACUUAUUUGUUGCAAGGCAGAGUCCAAACAACGGCAUACAUUGUGGGAACAUUCAGAAGUUACAACAAAAUGGGUGGCAAACUUCUGCUUCUCUUUGAAACACCGAACGAGUAACCCGGUAUUUCACAAACAGAGUCUCCAAAAAGCUCAUGCUUUUUUUCUAAAUUCAACACAACUGACUCAGCCAACACAAAAAAAGGAAAAACCCCUACGAAUAAUCCUUACGCGAGCAACAUCGAAACCAAUCGUACAAACAGUAUCAAGCUUCCAAAUCCUUAAAAUAAUCAAAAUUUUGAAAAAUUAAAGAAAGGGUUGCUGAGAAAGUACCUCAAAAGCAUCGAGCUGAGCUCGCGCAGGAUUGCUUUGUGGACAUUGUUGCUCGUCGACGGAUGCAAAUACACCACCAAAUUGGUACCCGAAACGCUCAGCCCCUCCAUUGAGCGCCCCCCAAACCAAACCGGAGCUAGGGUUUUUGCGACUAUGGCGGAGAGCCUAAAACCCUAGCAGAGCGCUGGAACGUUGAUGGGUUUAUUCAAAAUUUCACACUUUAUUUGGGCCGGGCCAAAGUUAGGCCGCAGUAUUCAAACUUGGGUCAUAACUCAUAAGUGGGAGGUGGGUCCCACACCGUUAAAUCAGAGCCGUCAAAAUAUGUUUGUAGAUCAAGAGAAACUGGAGUGUCUCAAAUUUCUUCUCGGGCAAGAGGUUAGAGACGAGCGUGAAUGGAAGCAUGUAAGUUUUCAUCUGGGCUUUUAAUUGAGCUUAUUUAACUAAAAGUAGUAAUUUUUUCGAUUAAAAAUGAUAAUUGCGAUUAAAGCCUUUCCUUUGGAUUAUUUGUGGGCUGGGGAUAUGCAGAAAAUUGGAUUAAAUUAAAGCUUGUGUUGCAGUGUUAGCCUCUACUCGAAUAUUUAUUGGGAAAAUUAGUAAAAUUUCUGCAAUUUUUAAUAUCUGAUUUUCUGGGUUUGGAUUGCUUGUAUGUGAUGCUGUUAAUUUUGGGGGGUUAGUCUUUUGGACCCUUUUUCUUCCACCUAAAUUUGUUGGCUUUCGAUUCAUCGGAUGUUAAAGUUUUAAUCUUGGCAGAAGCCUGAAUCAUCUGCAUUGUGAUUUAGAAUUAUGAUUGGUGUAAAUUGAAAUUCAUGAAAAUCGUACUUUCAAAAAGAAACUGGGUGGGUUUGUGUAUAGCUUAUCUGCAUACGAAUGACCCUAACACAUUCGUUUUCAGUUUCAUAUGUCCGAAUGAGUGGAGUUAUUGCCUAUCAUAUGACUAGCAAAAACCGACACUCGCGUGUAUAAGUUUUUAGGAGGAUGCAAUGCGUGAGGAACACGUAUUCCCUAUCGAUGGAUACUUGUGAAGAUGAUGAAUUUAAUUUUUUGUGUUCAUUUCUCUUUUUUGCUUGUGGAAUUUUCCAUUUCAAUUUCCCUGUGGUUUGAUGCUUUGAUUUUGCAUUGCGAACGUGCAUCACAUCCAUUAACUUGCAUUGGUUCUGUAAAUAUGGUUUAUAUUCGUGAGAUAUUGUGAACUUCACAGCUUAUGCAAUUGAGAAUUACAGAAGGACUGCAGAUCCUACUCCAAUGGAGUCUGAAGCGGAUUUGAACAAGCCGGUUGUGGAGAGUUCAGUUGAAAGGGAUGUUCCAAACAAUGAAAGUGGAGAAAUGCUAGAUUCAAACAAUGGGACAGAGUUGAUUGAAAAUGAUGUAAAUGGUAUCCUAGAACCUUAUGUUGGAAUGGAGUUUGACUCCGAAGAGGCUGUCAAGGAAUACUAUGAUGCAUAUGCCACUCGUGUGGGUUUUAGAAUCCGUGUUGGUAACUUCCAUCGUUCAAAUCGUGAUGGAUCCAUCAACAGUCGUAAGUUUCUUUGUAACAAAGAAGGUUUUCGUAACAAUAAGAAGUCAAAGAGGGGUGAAGUAAGGAGGUCGAGGGAGGAAACUAGGGAGGGCUGCAAGGCAAUGAUUAUGGCUAGGAAAGAGAAGUCCGGGAAGUGGGUUGUUACAAAGCUUGAAAUAAGACAUUGUCAUCCUAUGUGGAUUUCUAGAGGCAAGAAAGUCACCAUUCCGGCUCCAUCACAGGUAGUUGCUUUAACAAAAAAGUGAGAGUUUUUUAAUACAUGAAUGAAUUUAUGAAUCAUAUUUCAUGGGGAGCUUCUGAAAUCGUAGUGUAACAAAUAGACCUUUGAUUGAUUUCGAACUUCUGAGUUCUCCAAUAUGAUACAUUUAUAUAAUAACAGAUAUCAUGUGCUUACAGGAUGAGAAAGACAAGAAAAUUCGUGAGCUAUCUGCAGAGCUUUAUCGGGCGAACCAACAGUUAGCAGAGUGCAGAAAAACACUUGAAAUGGUUCUAAAAGAGGUAGACCAACACGCAGACUGCCUUACUAAAAGUGUUCAAAAUAUAGUUAAGAAUGUAAAAGAGAUUGAAGACAAGGAUCGAGAGAAAUUAUAACAUUCUUAGUUAUAACAGUAUAACUUAUAUCAUUAACAUUCUUAGUUAUAACAGUAUAACUUAUAUCAUAUCUCCUACCUUGCUAAUUAAAAUGGCUGGAUUUGCUAGGCUUUUUAGACAGUCUAGUAGAUGAAAGAAGAGAUGGUAGCCUUAUUGCUAAUUGCUAGGUUCUGUAUCAUUUUAUAUACAAUUUUCAUUGGUUAAAUAGAAAAGCUCCCUCCGGUAAUGUGGGAUGACCUCCAGCUUUAGUAUGUUGUGAUGCUGACCUGUUAUUCAGUAGCUCAAAGGUAUGAAAGCGAAAUGCAGUUAUGCAAGGACGAGGUUCCUGGUGCCCGCAGAUGCCAUUCUCUUUCACACAGGUGCAGACAUCGGUGUCAGCAUUGGAAUUGGUUGAAUGGCUGGACCGUAUGAGGCCUUGCAUAGCCGAAGCCUGGUAUGGUCACGGAAAGUCCUGAAUAACUUGAAGGGAGAUACUUCGGUCAUUCCCUUGGUUGCACAAUUUCUACUUACUUGUUAAUCACAGUUUGACACCAAGUACAAAAAAAAUGUUCUUGUGUUUUUAUAGUUGGGGUGGUAACUGAUUUUUCCGUUGGGACGUCGAUAUUAGGAAAAUAAGAGCUUCUUUUUCCUUUAUCUUGAAUCCUUCUCUCGUUGGCCAGUAUGAGAAAUGACCUCAAUGUGUGCACCACCACCACCACCAGUAUCGUAACCGGUAGCAAAAGUCUGGGACUUUUUCGUUUUAAGGAUCUGACAAUGUUUCCAUUUUCUAAGGACAAAGAAAGGGAUCCGGGGGCUUUAUGAUAGUAGAAAGGGGAGUGGGACGAUCCGCCGAAUUCACAUUAGAAAUUGACAACGUCAACGCAAACGAAAUCUUGAAUUGUGUAUAGAAACAAGACGAACCACUUCUAUUCUUCGAGCUGAGGUAUAUGAAGAAUGGCUUUUUGGUCCCUUUCAUUUCAUCCAGUGGUCGGGACAUUGUCUUUUCGUGUAGAAGAUACGGGUUCGAUUCUCGUGAGGGAUAGGUAUUCAUUCCUGGCCGCUUUUGGUUAGUGUUCAUUGUUGAGUGAUCGCUCGCUAUUUGGCUAGAAAAGGUGGUAUGGAAGCUUCUUCUCUACCAAAAUUAACUUGGCUCCUCAAUUCGUAUGUAACCGAUUUAUAUAACUUUAUGUUUAUGAUCGGAACUGUUCAUAUUAUAAAUCGCUCUCUGUAAUGAUCAUCUCUGCCAAAAAAAAAAAAAUCAAUUAAAUAGGAAAUUUGGUCAUCCAAAUGUACAAAACAGAUGGAAUGAUUCGGUAAAAAAAUCACGAACCAUUUAUCUAUUUGUUACUAUUGAUUGACUAAACAACCUUAGUUCUAAUUGAGUUUUUUAGAGAUGACCUUUAUAGAGAUAUAUAAUAUAAACACGAAAAUUUGUAAAUCAACUGUUAAGUGAAUUGAGGAGGAACUCCUCAAUCUUGAGGAGCCAAGCCUUAGCUUUAUCUUAGAGAAACGAAGAUAUCAAUGAUGAGAGAACUCAUAUGGUCCAGUAGUUCAUUCAAUUCCAAUAGCCGAUGUUGACGCCAACGCCUCGGUGAAAGAGAACGGUUGUACCUCCAGCCACCGGAAAUCUCGUGCUUGCAUAACUACAUUGGUGUUCCGUACAUUUUAGCUACUGAAUAACUUGAAGGAAAGUACCCGGCUCCUUCAUUUGGAAUGUUAAAAACCUGCUAAUCAGAGUUUAACACUAUAUGUGAACCUUUAUUAUUGUGUAUGGCUUAACUUUCAACAACGUUAAUUAAGGCCUUCUCCUUGCAAAUCUUAUUGACCAAAAAAAGGAAUAUGGCUUCUAAUUUCCAGUCAUUUUAAUUUUGUGAACAAUGCUUUUGGUGCAUCAUGGUACCGUUUAGUAUGCAGACGGGACGGGACGGGACGGAACGGAUGUUCUGUGUUAUGUUUGGUAAGCGCAGAACGGAACAUGACUUUUAUACCGUUCUGCGUUUGGUAUCGCAUGGACGGAACGGAACCAAAAGAUUAAAAUGACUAAAACACCCAUGUUCCGUCUAUUGUUUGAUAGUAUCUGUGUGUGAUAUGUCUUAAACCAUGUACUGAUUUGUUGCAAUUCUACUACUAUUUUCUGCUUUAUUAAUGGAGUUCGCAGCCCAGUCAUCAAAAGGAUAACCCUGGAUUUAUCUCAUUUCCCUGAGGAAUUAUCUCCCAUCAGGUUAAUUAUAGUAUCAAUUUCAUUUGGCACUGUAUUCUGCGAUAUUGUUGCAUGAAAAAACUAAACAUUUUAUAAAGCACAGACUAGAGUCAAGACACUGAACUCUUUGUUACAAUUUGUAAUAAUAUCUGUUGUUUCUCUAUAUUAAGUAAAUUGUGAGCUAUUAGAAUGCUAACAAAUUUGAUAAUUAACAAAACCCAGUAAUUAACACAACCCAAAUCAGCAACAAAAGAUAAAAAAGCAAACCCGAAUUAAUUAAACCCAGAAAAUUUUCAAACCAAACGCAAAAGAAUGAAACAAAACGACCACACAAAAAAAUUGAAUCAGAAAAGAUUCAUCAAUUAAAGUAAAAAAAUGAGAUUCAACAAGCUAUCAAUCGCAACCUGGGUCGAUCUGCAGUGCGACAGUAGCUGCUGCGUGUUGGCUGGGUGCAGUCGACGGCUACGGGAGAAGAUGAGGCAGUCGACGGCUACGGGAGAAGAUCUGCAGUGCGACAGUAGCUGCUGCGUGCUGGCUGGGUGCAGUCGACGGCUGCGGAAGAAGAUGAGGAGGAAGAGAGAGCAGCGGCAGAGAAUGGAGGUCUUACGAGAAGAGAGAGCAGUGGCUGAGAAAGGUAGGGUUUGUUUUUAGGAUAUAGAUGGUGUAAAUAUUGAAAAAGACGGGGUAAUUUUGUCUUAAAAUGUUAAAAAUUUCUGUUCCACAUCUGUGGAACAACUUGUUCCGGGGGGUGGAGGUGGAACAAAAAAUGACCCCAAAUUUGUCCUGCGGAACAGCUUGUUCCACCCAUUUUAGGCGUGCCAAACGUGGGACUGAACAUCUCGUCUCGUUCUGUCCCGUCACAUCCUACAUACCAAACGCACCCCAUAUGUAAUCAAAUUAUCAAACUGUAGCCGAUUAAAGGUUUGUACUCAUUUUCUUUUUGGAGUUUUUAUCACAAAUGAUUUUUGAAAUUAACUUUAUUCAUCAUUUUGGUCUUUCAAUUUGAAAAUCAAUCAAUGUUGUUCUUGAAAUUUAUUACCACACAUCUAUUUGGUCCUUGCCGUUUGAUUCUGUCAAAUUUUAUGUUAAUUUGAUGACAUAGCAAACCCAGAGUCCACACAAUCAAUUUUUGAAAUUUAAAAAACUAGGAAAAGCCUGCAGAUUCUGUUGGCUGCUUCCUUUGCCUAGUUUUAUUAUUAGCACGUUUAGGUUAUUAGCUUUGAUUUUCCCAAAUGUAAUGCUGUACUGAAUUGCUUCUUAUAUCGGUGAGAUGAAUCUGAUAUAUGUUGUUUCAGUCUUUGUUUUAGAUUUUUUUCAUUUGCAUCGAGACACUUGUGUUUUCUUUUUUAGGUUUAUUUAAUUUCUAAAUUAUUUUAGUUCCAUGUGACGCUCAAUUAUUACCGUGUGGACUCCAUAUUUGUUAAGUUAUCAAUAUAAGAAAAUUUAACAAGAUCAAACGGCAAGGACCACAUUAAUAUACGGUGACCAGGGUAUUCGUGGUCCAAAAUAAUAAACGAUAAAUAACAGUAAAUUAAGGAUGAGACUUUUUGGUACUUUUGAUGAACCAAACAGCUGCGGCGAUGGAAUUUGGGACGGAUACGUAGUAUCUCUCUAGAUCUAGCAAAGCAAAAGACCCCCUAACGUAAUUCGAAUGGGGGCUAACCGUUGAGUCCACCCUAGCCUCGCAGGGCGGGCCCCCUCGAUUUCAAGCCCUAGCUUAUGGCUAGUAAAUUUUAGGAAUGACAUUACAACAACAAAGUCUUUUCCCACUAAGUGGAGUCGAUUAUAUGAAUUCUAGAACGUCAUUGUGCUCGGUUCUGUGUUACGUCUUCCGUUAUAUCCAAAUACUCCAAGUCUUUUCUUAGAGUCUCUUCCAAAGUCUUUCUAGGUCUUCAUCUACCCCAUCAGCCUUGAAUCUCUAUAUCGUAAUUGCAUCUUCCAACCGGAGCAUUUGUAGGCCUUCGUUUCACAUGUCCAAACCACCGUAACCGAUUUUCUCUCAUCUUUCUCGUGUGCCCACACAUACAACGAAGCAUUUUCAUCUCCACAAGUCUCAUUUUAUGUACGUGUUGAUGCUUCACCGCCCAACAUUCCAUGCCAUAAAACAUUGUUGGCUUUAUUGCUAUCCUAUAAAAUUUUCUCUUGAGCUUUAGGAAGGACAUUGAUUAAUUUAAAUUGAAUGACCAAAAUGAUGAGUUAGAAGCUACUUAGUACUACGGUCUGGUAGUAUUUCGUGUCACUUGUAAGUGAGAAGUCUUAUGUUCAAUUCUUGCUAAAGGCGAGUUUGAAUCACAUUAUUACUAAUUCAUUAUGAGGCUAAGCCAACUCUCUUUCCUUUAAUGUAGAUAAUAUUAUUUGUUAAAAAAUGAUGAGUUAGAAAGAAUGGACUCCAUAUAAUGGACGUUUAGGUCAAGUCAUUUUAUAUAAAUUUUAUGUUUUAAUUUUCUUACGUAAUGACAAGUUAUUUUAUAAAUGUUUCAAUGACGUAUUGUGAACCACGUGGCCAAGACUAUUACUUGAACGUCAUAGGCUGAUGUUAACUUUCAACAACCCUAGGCUGAUGUUAACUUUCAACGACCUUAAUCAAGGUAUACUCUGUUAACUUUCAACAACCGUAGUUAAGGCUUUACGCCUUGGAAAUCUUAUUGACCAAACAAUAUCAUGGCUUCUAAUUUUCAGUCAUUUUAAUUUUGUGAGCAAUGCUUUUGGUGCAACAGAUGUAAUCAGAAUAUCAAAAUAGCUUGUUCACUCUUCUAGGAGGCGCUAGACCACUGGCGAACGAUCUGAUUAGUCUUUAACGUUUGAAAAUUAAGAAAUGACGCAUAGAUCUACUUAAGCAUCCACCUAGCCCGGCAAAGCAUCCGUCUAGACUGUCUAGACCUACCUAGGUCGCAACUAUCACUUAAACAAAAAAUUGAUAAUUUUCAUUUUGCAUUUUAUAUUUUCAAUAAAAUGUAAGAGACUUGUUGAAUAUUUGGAUAAACACUCAUUAUGUAUUUAUUUCCCAUGUUUUCUAUAUGUUCUAAUACUUUAUAAUCUAUAUGUCAUUUUAUUUUACAAUUUAUGUAUUCCAAUACAGUUAUGUGGUUUUUAAUAUAAAUAGGCACUUAUUUAUAUGAUAUAUAAUAAAUUUCUUAAAUCCGCCUAGCCGCUUAGGUGCUAGGCUCCACCACGUCGCCCAACUGGCACCUAGAGUCGUUUAGAACCUUGAGCCUAUGAAAGGUUCUAGUCAUUUUUUUUGGGUUUUUAUUACGUAUCUGAAAUAAAUAUAACUCAUAAUUUUGGUCCCUUAAUUUAAAAAUCAAUUAGUGUCUUCCCUUAAAUUUACUACCACACAUUAAUGUGGUCCUUACCAUUUGAUUCUGCCAAAUUUUCUGUUAAUUUGAUGAUAUAGCAAACAUGGAGUCCACACAGUCAAUUUUUGAAAUUAAAAAAAAAAACAGAAAAAAAAAAAGGAAAAGGCAAAGUCUCCAGGCUCUGUUUGUUGCUCCUUUGCCUAGUUUGAUUAUUAGCACGUUUAGGUUAUUAGCUUUGAUUUUCCCAAAUAUAGCUAAAGGAUGCUGUGCUGAAUUGCAUCUUAUAUCAAUGAGAUGAAUUCGAUAUAUGUUGCUGUUUCAAUCUUUGUUUUAGAUUUUUUAAUUUGCAUUGAGAGACUUGUGUUUUCUUUUGUGGUUUUAUUUAAUUUCUAAAUUAUUUUGUUACUUUCUAAAGAUUUUUUAAAUUUCAAAAAAUUAUUUUUUUCCAUGUGAUCCACAUGGUGCCUAAUCAUUGGCUGUGCGGACUCAAUUUUUGCCACAUCAUUAAAUUAACAGAAAAUUUGAUAUAAUCAAAUUGCAAGGACCACAUUGAUAUGCGGUGCUAAAUUUCAAGAACGAAAUUGACUAAUUUUCAAAUUAAAUAAUCAAAAUGAUGAGUUAUGUCAAUUUCAAAGUAGAUAUAUAAAACAUUGCUCCUACGACCACAUCCUUACAUGGUGAUCACGCUAAUAGAGCAGUGUCAUUUUGUCACACUUAUGCGUUUAUGUGAAAUUGAAUCACACAUUUUAUAUAAAUAUCAACAGAAGUUAGAUUUGCAGUAGGAUGGACUUCAUAUUAGGCUUGGCAAAUGAGUCGUGUUUGUGUCAUUUUCGUGUUAUAUACCUGUUAUCUUAAUGGGUUGUGUUAAACAUGUUAUCUUAACAGGUGACCCAUUAACGACCUCUUUCGUUAACAGAUCAUGUAUAUUUCGUGACGGAUUAACGGAUCAUGCUAGAAAUUGUCAUGCUUAAUGUCUAUAUCUGGCAAAUAAUAUCUUAUUGGAUUCUUAACAAGUGAUCCGAUAAACGAUCCGACUCAUUAACGGGUUCUUAAUGGGUUACUCGGUAACUACCCGACUCAUUAUUAGGUUGACCAAAAACUCCAUAUUUUCAUAUUAUUUCUUGUCAGGUUAACGAAUCGUGUAAGAAAGUGUACCAAAUAUGCUCCAUAUAAUGGACGUUUAAGAUAAACACUUAUUAUAUAAGUUUUUGUUAUAAUUUUCUUAUACAAUAAUGUUAUAUUAUCUUAAAUAUCUUCGCAAUAGGGUGCGGUACGAGAAAUUUUUUAUUGUGAUAGGAACACAGAUGAUACAUCACGUGCUUUUAUAUAAGUAGUGAAAAAUUGUAUUUUUUAAGUUAUUAAAAUUUUAAUAUACAUAUUUCACUAUAUGCACAAAGAUAUGUAAUGUAUCAUCUUAUAUUUCGAUCACAUUAAAAAAUUUCUCAAUAGCCGUUUGUCAGUCUCCCAGUAUAAUCAAGAAUUCUUGAAUGACGAGGCCAACAAGUCUUCAUACUACUUUAUAUAAGACAAUGACAUUGAUCCGUACCCAUUAAAUGCCUUUAGUCCCACACUCACAAGAGACCAGUAUACGAAAUAUUACAGCACGUGUUACUAUACAAAUUAUGAGAUAUGUGUGCUAAAAAGUUAAUAACUUAAAAAAUAAAAUUUUUCACCACUCUUAUUUGAACACGUGAUAUACCACUUGUAUUCCCGUCACAACUAAAAAUUUCUCCUCACCCACCCUCAAAACCUCACCACUUUCAUUUUUAUUUUGAAUAAUAAGAAGACUAAAUUUAAAGAUAAAAUUUACAAAUUAAAUAAUAUGUCAUUAAUAAGAAUGAGAUAAACGAAUCAUCAACUUUUAUAUCCUUUAGUUUUCAAAAUUUUACCGGCUUAACAUUACCCUUUUACUUUUAUUACAAAAAUCUUACAUCUUUAAAACCAUCCCAAAAGUUACAACAAAAAUCCAAUAACAAACCCCAGAAUGUUGGUUUAAUAAAGAUUUAGAUUCUCCAUUCAAGUUCGAACUUUUACAAAUGUAUUUUUUUUAGUCAAUAGCUCUGAUUUGGGUUAAUAAAUACCAAAAAAUAUGUUUCCGCUAUAUAGAUGCUAAAGUCUCAUAAUGAAAUAAAUCAAUAUGUUAUCAAUGUGAGGUGGAAUACUUUCUGUAUUAAAAAUGAAAAAUGUAUGCAUUUCUUCUGUAAAAGGAUGAGCUCAUUCUCCCACUUACUUAUAACAUAUCUUCAUCGUAAAAGUUUCAAAACUAAACCUUUCAAUCUUCUAAUCUUUAUUUGAAGAUCAUCCAUAUAAAAAAUCAUUCGGAUACCGUUUAGUCAUCUAAAUGUAUGAAAAAAAUCAACGAUUCAUUAUAAAUAUGCUACUUGAUAUCAACACAGUUGAUUUAUUGAUACAUUUGGAUGACUAAACGAUAUCUAAUUUUAAUGAUUUUUAUAAAGAUGAUUUUCAAAUGAAGAUUAAGAGAUUGAAUGGUUACAAUUACGAAACUUCUACAAUUAAAAUAUGUUAUUUGCAAGUAGAGAAGUGAGUUCAUUCCCCAAAAUGAAGUGUUCGGUGUUCUAAGAAGCAACGUAGCCAGCCCAUAGGCAAUAGACCGUAAGUUGCCGCAGCUACAAUCCCUAAUCGGUCUGAAAAUCGGAAAGCUUGUUAAGCGGCUCCUUGGGCGGAGUUAGGUACAGUAGGCGGAAAUCUAUGGAGAGCUAUGGCGGAAUCUGAAUAUUAUUAUUAUUUUUUUUUAAUGCAAACCGACUGCGCAUUCGACGAAGAGGAUGGCUUGUCUGUUUUUUUUCUUUACCGCCAGAGGAUGGCUUAUCUACAUGUUGUCGUUUUGCCAAAGGUUGCAUGUUUCGUUUUUUAUUCAAACUUUUUGUUAUCACUUUUCGUUUUCUUUUAUUUUAAUCAACAAGUGACCUUUCAUUUUUAUUAGGGGUGUGAUAUCCACACACCUCUUUUUACUUCUCUCACACCUUUUUAAUUUUCGGCCGUCGGAUCGGAUGAAUUAAACAAAAUCAAAUGACAGAAAUUUAUUAUUGUCUAUUUGUAAGACACCACUGUCUCUCACCAAUAAUUUCUAUACUUUUUUUAGUAAACUGUCAAUUUGCCCUCUGAACUAUCACCUAACUUUCGAUUUUCCCCCUAAACUUUUUAAUUGGAAAAUUAAGGACUUAAACUAAUUUUUUUGGCUGAUUUCCCCCUACUGUAAGUUUUUAAUAGAUUUCAUCCAAAUUAACGUUAACUCUUAUCAUGUGUAAACCAUGUAACUCUCAUUUGUAGACAAAAACAUUACUUCACUACACAUUCAGACACAAAAGCUAUAGAAUCACACAUAUUUGCAUAGGUUUAUAUUAUAGAAAUCUAAGGUUUUCAAUCAUUUUAAAGAAUGAAGCGACCGAACUACCCACACAUGUUGUGCAUAUGCUUCCAUUUAACAGAAAUUUGGAUGGAAUGAAUGAAAAAUUAACAACAGGGGUAAAUCGGCCAAAAAAAUUAGUUUAAGUCCUUAAUUUUCCAAUUAAAAAGUUCAGGGGGGAAAUCGAAAGUUGAGUGAUAAUUUAGGGGACAAAUCGGCAUUUUACUCUACUUUUUUAGUUUGUUUUGGCUAUGUCUAUACUAUAUAUUAAUAAUAGCACACCCUUUAUCAAUUUUUUUUUUAACAAACACCUUUUAUCAAUUAAAAGCUAAAGAGAAUAUAAGUGUAAAUAGUUACUUGUUUAUAUGAUACUAAUAAAUUUACUUAAAAUGUCUAAUCUGCCAAGUUGCCUGAACGUUGGGUCCUACUUCGCCACUCGACUAACACUUAUUAUCUUUUAGAGCCAUGCAAUUAUUAUCCUUAAAAAAAUCUCUGGAUUCAAGGGAAAAGAGAUUAGUUUGGCUCCUCAAUGAACAAAGAGUUUCUCUUUAAUUCACCCUGUGGCCGAUUUAUGGGAUUUUAUGUUCUUAUGAUCAGAACCGUUCAUGUUAUAAAACAUUUUGUAAAGGCCAUCUCUUAAAAAAAAAUCAAUAAACUAUGAGAUCGUUUAGUCAUCAAACCGUAUAAAAACAUAUGAAAGAAUCUGAUAAAAGAAUUACAAAACCAUCUACCCAUUAGCUACACUAAUUGACUAGACGACUGUAUUUUCUAUUUUUCUUUUUUUUGGUUGACAACGGGGCAUAAUGCCGAAAUAAAAUGAAGAUUACAUAAGAAUAUAGCGAGGCCACGAGACCCAAACUAUAUUUGCAACUAGCAACAUAUGACAAGAAGGAGGAGCUUGCUCAAAAAAGACUGAACUCAAAUUACAUGACAAACCCAAAAGAGCCAAAUUAUCAGCAACAAAAUUCUUUUCACGAUAGAUAUGACGAACUUCUAUUGAUCUUUUAAUUUUUGCAAAGUUAUUUAUAAUACAAAUGAUUUCAAUAAACUAAAGGUAAUUGAUCACAAAGUAUCUUUAAAAAAAAAAAAAAAAAACCUCUUCAAUCUUUUUAAGGAGCCAACCUCGCUCAAGAGAAAAUCCAAAAUCCAAUAACAAAAAGCAAAAGCUUCUUCCUUUGUUCCCCCUUGCCCUUCCCUCUCCUUUCCUUCCAUCUUCUCAGGAAACAAACAGAAACCACUACAAGCAACAACAUUAGCAAGAAAAUAAAGAAAUACAUAAACCCAACAAGCACCAUUACAAUCUCGAAGUCCGACAUACAACCCCUCUUUCUCUGUCUCAAGAUUUCAGCUUCAGAAAUUGACAUCUGAAAGUGAAAAGUUAAUCUUUUUGUGUUUUUUUUUUCUUGAUUCCCAGAUCCGACUACCCAAAAGAGCGCAACACCCAAGACGGCCGGAGAGUGAUGUCGUCAUCGUCGACAACAAGCGUUCACGUCAUGGCCCUGGACGGCCUGGUCAACGUGAACUCACUCUUCACCAUUGCCGUCUUCGUGGGGCUUUCUCUGGCGACUCCGGGACAGAGGAGCCUCGAGAACCGGACAUCCUGCGACGCUGGGAUCGACGUGGCGAAGAAGCUGCUGGUGUUCGAGGUUGUCUCGUUCAGCUUCUUCCUGUUCUCAUCGCUUGUGGCGCAGGGACUGAAGCUGGCGAUCAACCUGCUCAACAGCAAGAAAGGAGAGGACCCGUUACAGGCCCACAUCAAUAAGAAGGUGUUGAGAUUCGGGAUGUUGGGGUCGGCUUUCGGGUCGGUCAUGGGUUGCGUGUUUCUGAUGCUGUCGAUGGUGAAUGUGAUCCAGAUCAGGCUGGGGAUGCUGUCGUGUGGCAGCAAAUCCUCCGUCCAUGCUGUGGCGGCGCUUGUUGUUUUGGUCACGACGGCUCUUUUGGUUUAUAUUUCUACUGCUGUUUAUGCUUUUCUUCACUAGCUGCUGAAUCAAAUUUUAUAUUUGUCUCCGGAUAUUGGAAUAAGAGUAAACUGUUGAUUUGCCCCCUGAACUAUCACCCAACUUUCAAUUUCCCCCCUGAACUUUUUAAUUGGAAAAUUAAGGACUUAAACUAAUUUUUUUUGGCCAAUUUCCCCCCUACAGUUAGUUUUUCAUAGAUUUCAUCCAAAUUAACGUUAACUCUUAUCAUGUGCAAACCACGUAACUCUCAUUUGUGGACAAAAGUGUCAUUUCACUAGACUUUUAGAUACAAAAGCUAUAGAAUCACACAUAUUUGCAUAGGUUUAUAUUUUAGAAAUAUAAGGUUUUCAAUUAUUUUAAAGAAUGAAGCGACCGAACUACCCACACAUGUUGUGCAUAUGCUUCCAUUUAACAAAAAUUUGGAUGGAAUGAAUGAAAAAUUAACAGCAGGGGGUAAAUCGGCCAAAAAAAUUAGUUUAAGUCCUUAAUUUUCCAAUUAAAAAGUUCAGGGGGGAAAUCGAAAGUUGGGUGAUAGUUUAGGGGGCAAAUCGGUAGUAUACUCUUGGAAUAAUGGAAUGUCUGUGACGGUAUUUCUAUGAAUUGCACGGAUUCUGUUGCUGAGAGGUCCUCCUUUGUUUGAGAUUUUAGGUGACCCUGAUUUGGUUGAGAGUGAAAUCUUUAAAAAUUGGCAACUUGGAAUAGAAUAUGCUUCAUUAGAGUACUUAGGUAAUGUUGGUCGGACACUUGGAAUGAGUAGGAAUGGGCAAAAUACCUAUGGGUUUAGGUAACUGCGGUUACUUACCCAUUUAAAGUUUAUGAUUACGGUUAUGGAUAACCAUUUAGACGAACAAACGGUUAUGGGUAUAACCGUUUAUCCGUGAAAUUUAAAUGGACGGUUAUGGGUAUUAGCCAUUGUUAUAAUGGAUAUCCAUCGGUUAUAGGUAUUACAUGUGGUUAUAAUGAAUAUCCAUUUAUCCAUUUAAUUUAAUACAUGUAAAAUUAAAAAAAAAAAAAUUAAAAACCCUAAAUUUUCAAUCUCUCCACUAGCCUCAAAGUCUCAAACGCUCCGUCCUCGCUGAAUCAACCACCAUUGCAUAUUCUUUCAAAAAGUUCUCCUCCAGCUGCAUUUUCCAUCUCAAUUGCUAAAUCGUUUGGUGUUAACAGCACCUACGUAAAUUAACACACACACACACAGAGUAGAAUUAAAAGUUAUUGAUGAAUAAAACAAGCAUGAAUAUUUGACUUUAAACCAAGUGAAAUUAAAAGUUAACGACAAAAGGUAGUCUGAUUGUUCUCUAUCAAAAAUGUUUAGUUUCGAAAUAUUUUGGAGCUUUGAAUCAUCUAGUAUUCAAGAUAAUGACUACUUUUUGUUUUUAGAAACUUUACUUUGUAAUCAUAUGGAUUAUAAUUAAAGACUUGAUUGAGUGUAGUAGAAAAAUAUCGUUUUUAAACUAUUAUUUCAAUUAUUGGAAUUGUAUGAGGACUUAAAUGAUUAAAAUAGGAAAAUGCAUGCUAAAAUGUACCUAUAAUGAUGUUUAAUUGUUAGAAAACGAAAAUUAUAACAAAAUUUUCUUUUGCAAUUUUCAAGUUGUUAAAAAAAAAAACAUGUAGAUGAGUGAAAAAAGGGUAAAUGGGUAAAAAAAAGAAGAAGAUAAACGGGUUCAAAAACAAGUAAACGAGUAAAUAAUUAUGGUUAAAUGGGUAAACGGUUGUGAUUAAAUGGGUAAACGGUUAUGUGUAUGGGUAUAAUAAUUUAUGCAAUUACUCAACGGGUAAACGGUUAUGCGGGUAUGAACAUAAAUGGUUAUGGGUAAAUAACCGCAGUUACCUGUCUGUCAUAACCGUUGCCCAUUCCUAGUAAUGAGGGUUUAUGGAAACUUACCUACAUUGGAGAUGACCUUAUGGUGAUCUCAUAGCCAAUCACACAUGUGUUGUCAUGUGGAGUAGGACACUCAGUCACAUAAUGUUUUAAGAUAUUGUUACGAUAGCAUCCCCCACUGAUUCUGUCCAGUUGCUGCUAGUGUUGCUAGUGUUGAAUGUUUGAUUAGAUUAUGAUUGAUUUCGAUCACAUUACAAACUUGGCUGAGAAAACAAAGCCGUCAUUUCAUCCGAACUAGUCGCUAAUGCAAAAUAUGGUUGAAUUUUGGACGACACCAUCAUAUGAUGUUAGAGUACGGUUUUUGGUGUCAGUUGCUAAUUGUUUUUGUUUGAACUAGGUUCUCACUGUCGGGACCUCGGGACAUGGCAUUAUGUUUGGCUUGCUUAUUCGUUGUAUGCCGAAUAGCAUAACGGAUGACAUAUAGGAACCUCGACCGUGUCUACGAGCAAUAUUGGCCGGUGCGCUGGUCGGUAUUAUAAUCGGCACAUGACAACCCCAAGAAGUAGUAUGCCCGCCCCCUAACCUCCAACGGGUGCCGAGAAGAAGCUUGUUUAAUGUGCCAAGGGUCCGAGCACCGGGGACGUUUGGGAGCUUGUUUAGCCGUAAUAAAUCUAUAUGAACUCGGAUUUAGUUGCAUUGGACUCGUUUCAACAUCCCGAUAUGGUCUUGCGUUUGAGACCCUUGUUUUUCGUUUGUUGAACAUUUCUACUCGAAUCGGACUCGUGCUUGACUUUGGGACUGGAGUUUCCACAAACAACUAGAGAAGCGAAAUUAUUAUCUCAUUUCAAUUUUUAUUUUCAGGUCUCUCGAUUUAUAAUAAUAAUAAAUAACCAUGAAUCAACAUUCAUUGUCUCCUUCUGCACUCCUCCCUUUGUUUGUGUCCUUGAUUUACUCUGAGUCGUAUGGCUAGAAAAAGAGGGAGGAGCAAGAUAUGUGAGUGUCAAAAAUCAAUUCGCUAAAUUAAAAUGAAACUAAAGAAAAAUAAUAGAGUACGCAAAAGAUUAUGGAGUUAGAAGAACUUGCUACUUAUACGUAUGCUAUUUGUACAACCAAAGGGUAAAUCAACUGAAAAAAAAAACAAAAAACAAAGAACGAAAACUACAGGAUAAUUCAGUUUCUGCUCCACCGAAAACUAAGAUUUAUAGUUUUUCUUUUAACAAGACGAUAAUCUAAACUACUCUUAUCUAAUCUAUGGGGAGGGGAUUUGAACUCAAAUGCAAGAGACAGACACACUGCCUUGACCAACUGACCAGACCCACAUUUGCAAAUUAGGUCUUGAAUACAGGGAAUAGCGUAUGAAAGGAGCUGAAACAAUCAAGUAGCCUUUUAACCGUUUCAAGGUGCUACCCUCUUUGAUUCAAUUUCUUUCACGCUCUGGACUAUACCGUCAAUGUUUCUCGACAAGUGAUUGGAAUGUUCUUCCAUCUGCCUCAAAACCAUAUCAAGCUGUUCUUGAUAGGUGGCAGACAUCUUUCGCUCACGUUGCAACUCAGCCGUCAACUCCCGAAUUUUCAGAUAUUUUUCGUCCUGGAACAAACCAAAAAGCAAAUCAAUAGCAAUUAUUGAUUGUUAUGGGAAAUAUUAUGGUAGCAUAAUGCAAAGAACUCUUCCCCUGCCCUGCCCUCACAAACAUACGUCGGGUAUCUGCUAGGUGGCUUUAACAAGCCCUGGUCAAAUAUGUAAAACGUUACUGUAACCACUGUAAAUUAGAGCACAAACCCUACAUGUAAAACGUUUACUGUAACCACGAUAAAGUUAAACGAGACACCUAUUACAUCUCACAAAACGGCCAGGGAAGCAAUUACAUAUAGCACUCGAGGGGACUUGUCCAAAUUCUAAGAACAGUUACUACCAAAAGAAACCAUUAAAACGUCUUUAUUUAAUUAUUUUAUUACAUCUUGAGUAAGUUUAUAAAGCUAAGGACCCAUUUGAUAAACAUUUUGGUUUUAGCUUUUAGUUCUUAUUUUUUGUGCUAGAGACCGGGGGAAAGUAUAUUGGAUGAAAUAAGGAAUGGAGAAGGAUAAAGGGAGGCGGUGUGAGGGAGGAGGGAGAAAUGUAGAUCAUAUGAAAACAAAAACGUUAAAGUGAAAUCAACUCAAAAUUGUUUUUAGUUUUCAUUUUUGUCAUUCCUUUCCUUUCCUUUCCUCCACCCUCCUUCCUUCACCCUUCUUUAUCUCUCCAUCCCUUUCUCCCACAAGUACUUCUCCACCAUAUAUAUCACAAAAAAUUAAAACUAAAAACGAAAUGGUUAUCAAACAGGUCCUGAGUUUUAGAUUGAACGUCAAAACUGGUUUUAACAAUUUGGAGGUGACAAAAAAUGGGUUGCCUAGUACGCCUUUGAGAAAUAUAUGAACUACAUUCUUCAAACAAGGAAAACCAAAAGAACGAUAUCAUCAGGGAACCUUUUCAAGCAAGGGGCAUCUGCUAACUUCAUCCAAUUAACCAGAAUCCCUACUAAUAUAAUGCAGGGUUGCAUUAGCAAAAGUAACUUUCCAGCUUGCAAAAGCUCCAAAUCACUUGCAGGCAACAGAGACUAGACCAUCUGAUGCAAUUUCAAAUAUACAACGGACAGAAACUAGAUAAUCGAUUAACUUAACCAACACAAGGAAACAAAAUAAACCGCUAACUUAACAGAAAUCACAAUGCAUCUGUCUUACAAAAUAAACCUAUAAGCGAGCAACUCAAAGAUGCAGAUAAGAAGCACUCACUGGUGUUUGAGACAGAAGCAUACUGCGGCGACCAUUUGCAGGUGUACCUACUAGUGGACGGUUAUGCUCCUUUAUAAAUCGUGUUACGAUCCAUUUUCCUGAUUUGUCUUUCUUUACCACAAGCAUCGCUUUGCACCCUUCUCUGGUGAUUGCUCGAGGCUUCCUAUUCUCAGUUCUUUUGGCUCGCGUCAUGCGAAAUCCCUCUUUGUUACACACAAGCCUCCGCCAAACUACCUUACCAUCACGCAUUGAUCUCCGGAAGGCAUCGACUCGCAUAAUGAAGCCCACCUGUGUUGCAUAUGCAUCAUAGAACACUUUCGCAGCCUCUUCAUAUUCAAACUCCAUACCCACAAAUGGUUCUGUAUCCGAGUUCCCCUCAUAUGUGACUGCCUCUUUCCCAUUGGAACUCUCUAACACGUCCUCAUCCUUGCUCAUAGAAGGUUCUUCAUCAUCCACUGCCCAAAUAAGCAUUGUGAUAAGACUCCAUCUAAGGUUCUACCUUCCAAAAUUCAAGCAAAACAAUAAUUUUGCGAAGAAAAAUGCGAUUUUUUAUACCAAACUAGUUUUCGAUUACCUAAUGAAUUGUGCAAAGUCUCACAUCAUAGUGUAACCAAACAAAACCUUACUAAAAUAUUUUACCAAUGUAAUGAUUCUGAUCACACACGCAGAAUAACACAUCUAUAUCUCAACUAUCCACUGGAAAACAUAACCUGCGUUAUGUUUGGCUGCCGAGAAAACACAAGAAAAUACCAACAACAGACUGGAAAACUGAGAACAACCCAAGAUUGGGGUUACUGAAUUCUAAGUUACCCAACUCAUAGUUGUCUACUUUUGCUCAGCAUCCAAACAGAUUAAGGAAAUUCCAAAAACAACAAACAACACAAUCGAAGGUUUAACGUGAGUGCAGAUUAAGAAAUUAAAGAGUGAAAAUGCUAAGAUAAAAUGAUUAACUCACUUGCUGUGACAGAGAGAUCGCGACCCAACAGUUUGCUUGGCUUCUGCAAUAGAGAGGAAGCAGAAAGUUCGCUCCUUUUUUGUUCUUCUGGUUUUGGGGAGGUGGCGGGCGGUUGAAGCGUUUGAGCUCGAACUCCAGGGUGUUGGCAGGUGAACGAUCCACUGCGGCGAAGAAAUGCAUCACUGAAAGUCCUGAAUAACUUGAAGGGAGAUACUUCGCUCAUUCCCUUGGAUGCACAAUUUCUACUUACCUGCUAAUCACAGUUUGACACCAAGUACAAAAAAAAUGUUCUUGUGUUUUUAUAGUUGGGGUGGUAACUGAUUUUUCCGUUGGGACGUCGAUAUUAGGAAAAUAAGAGGUUAUUUUUCCUUUAUCUUGAAUCCUUCUCUCGUUGGCCAGUAUGAGAAAUAACCUCAAUGUGUGCACCACCACCACCAGUAUCGUAACCGGUAACAAAAGUCUGGACUUUUUCGUUUUAAGGAUCUGACAAUGUUUCCAAUUUCUAAGGACAUAGAAAGGGAUCCGGGGCCUUUAUGAUAGUAGAAAGGGGAGGGGGACGACCCGCUGAAUUCACAUUAGAAAUUGACAACGUCAACACAAACGAAAUCUUGAAUUGUGUAAUGAAACAAGAUGAACCACUUCUAUUCUCCAAGCUGAGGUAUAUGAAGAAUGGCUUUUUGGUCCCUUUCAUCCAGUGGUCAGGACAUUGUCUUUUCGUGUAGAAGAUACGGGUUCGAUUCUCGUGACGGAUAGGUAUUCAUUCCUGGCCGCUUUUGGUUAGUGUUCAUUGUUGAGUGAUCGCUCGCUAUUUGGCUAGAAAAGGUGGUAUGGAAGGCUUCUUCUCUCCAAAAAUUAACUUGGCUCCUCAAUUCGUAUGUAACCGAUUUACAAAACUUUAUGUUUAUGAUCGGAGCUGUUCAUAUUAUAAAUCGCUCUCUGUAAUAAUCAUCUCUGCAAAAAAAAUCAAUUAAAUAUGAAAUUUGGUCAUCCAAAUGUACAAAACAGAUGGAAUGAUUUGGUAAAAGAAUCAUGAACCAUUUAUCUAUUUGUUACUAUUGAUUAAUUAAACAACCUUAGUUCUAAUUGAGUUUUUAGAGAUGACCUUUACAAAGAUUUAUAAUAUAAACACGAAAAUUUGUAAAUCAACUGCUAAGUGAAUUGAGGAGGAACUCCUCAGUCUUGAGGAGCCAAGCCUUGGCUUUAUAUCAAUGAUGAGAGAACUCAUAUGGUCCUGUAGUUCAUUCAAUUCCAAUAGCCGAUGUUGACGCCAACGCCUCGGUGAAUGAAAGAGAACGGUUGUACCUCCAGCCACCGUAAAUCUCGUGCUUGCAUAACUGCAUUGGUGUUCAAUACAUUUUAGCUACUGAAUAACUUGAAGGAAAGUGCCCGGCUCCUUCAUUUGGAAUGUUAAAAACCUGCUAAUCAGAGUUUAACACUAUAUGUGAACUUUUAUUUUUGUGUAUGGCUUCACUUUCAACAACGUUAAUUAAGGCCCGCUCCUUGCAAAUCUUAUUGACCAAAAAAAAGGAAUAUGGCUUCUAAUUUCCAGUCAUUUUAAUUUUGUGAGCAAUGCUUUAGGUUUGUACACCUUUUCUUUUUGGAGUUUUUAUCACAAACGAUCUUUGAAAUUAACUUAACUCAACAUUUUGGUCUUUCAAUUUGAAAAUCAAUCAAUAUCGUCCCUGAAAUUUAUUACCAUACAUCUAUAUGAUCCUUGCCAUUUGAUUCUGUCAAAUUUUAUGUUAAUUUGAUGAAGUAGCAAACCCGGAGUCCACACAAUUAAUUUUUGAAAUUAAAAAAACUAGGAAAAGCUUGCGGACUAGACCCGGUAGUUUUUGAUACGACAUGGCGACACAACACAAAAACGACACGAAAAUAACGGGUUUCGAGUCAACAAGAUAACUUAUUGGGUCAUUAUCGGGUGACCCGUUAAUAACGGGUAUACACGCGAGUAACACGUGGGUAACCCGUUAAGAAAAAAUUUAUUUUGAUAAUUUUAAAGUUUAAUUACUAAAAGAUUUAUUAUAAAAUACAAUAGCCAUAUUAAUAUAUACAAUAUAUUCUAUAUUAAAUAUAUAGUUUUGUAUUAUUCUAUAUAAGUUUAAAAAAAAAAAAGUUGUAGUCAUUAUUUAUUUUUAUUAUGAGAGUCCCUUAUUAUCAUUACUAGGAUAAAUUUUACUUAACAUGUUGUUGUCCAAAAUUAAAAUAAACUAAUAUAGUAUUUGUAUAUGCAAGAACUAAGAAGACAUACAUACAAGUAUGAAAAAUGUGAGAGAAUAUAUAAACACUCGUGAUUCAUCAUUAUUCCUCCACGAGUAGAUAAUGGUUACACUUACAUUAUCGUUUAGAUUUUUAAAAUCCUCCAAACCUUCAUGAAUAAUGUUUUUUAUUUGAGGACAAAAUUAAUAAAAUUAAUAAUAAUUAUUGUAGAAGUGUAAAAAAUGUAAAAAAAAAAAAAUACAAUCACUCAUAGUGACAAACUUUACAAUUUUCAUGAAGGGGUUAGCUUCGAAAUUCAACACUAUAAUUCAUAAACCUUAAAUUUAUAUUUAACCGUCGAUUACCAUUUACGCUUUAUUCUUCUUACUGAAUUUCAUUUUUAAAAUUUUCUUUUUUGAAAACAUGAUCAUCUGGCGGAUGUAAGAAGAUGAACAGUUCAGAUCUUUGAUAUCACGUUUUGAUAUUUACGGUUAACUGAAAUAUGAGUCGAUCUCAUAUAGUUUGUAGAAACUUUAUAAACAUCAAGCAAUAUUUUCACUAACCGUAAAAUUAUGAAUAUAAUAUCAACGAUCCAAACCGUUAAUCUUCCUGCAUCAUCUAAUAGAUCAAGUUUUCAAAAAACAAAAUUUGAAAAAACAAAAUUUGAUGAGAACAAUGAAGAGUAAAUGUAAACAACAAUCAAUGGUUAAAUUUUGAUCUAUGAUUUAUAUAAUUAUAGUGGCGAAUUUCGAAGUUAAGCUCUUCAUAAAAGUUGUAAAGCUUGUCAUUACGAGUAUUUAUAUAUUUUUUUACACUUCUACAUUAAUUAAAUAACUAUUAAAGACUUUAUGUAAAUGAAAAUAUACUUAAAAGAAAAUUGCGUUUUUAUGUUUUGGAUGUGACAAUAUGAUAUGUAUAUACUUAUUUAGUAUUAUGUUUUUCAUUUGAUUAUUUAUUGGUUUAAAAUAUAUUUUCCUUAAUAGGUAACGGGUCAGGUCAUAUUACCGGUUUAUUUUAACGGGUGUUACACGACACAACCUAUUAAGAUAUCAGGUAUGACAUGAAAACGACACGAACAUGAAAAACACGAUAUGAAUGCCAGGUCUACUGCAGACUCUGUUGGCUGCUUCCUUUGCCUAGUUUUAUUAUUAGCACGUUUAGGUUAUUAGCUUUGAUUUUCCCAAAUAUAAUGCUGCACUGAAUUGCUUCUUAUCGGUGAGAUGAAUCUGAUAUAUGUUGUUGUUUCAGUAUUUGUUUUAGAUUUUUUCAUUUGCAUCGAGACACUUGUGUUUUCUUUUUUAGGUUUAUUUAAUUUCUAAAUAUAAGAAAAUUUAACAAGAUCAAGAGGCAAGGACCACAUUGAUAUACUGUGACCGGGGUCUUUGUGGUCCAAAAUAAUAAAAUGAUAAAUAACAGUAAAGUAAGGAUGAGACUUUUGGUAGUACCGGUGAACCAAAUGGCUACAGCGAUGGAAUUUGGGAUGGAUAUGUAGUAUCUCUCUAGAUCUAGCAAAGCAAAAGACCCCCUAACGUAAUUCGCAUGGGGGCUAAUCGUUAAGUUCACCCUAGCCUCGCAGGGCGGGCCCCCGCAGUCUCAAGCCAUAGCUUAUGGGAUAUUACAAUAACAACAAAGCCUUUUACCACUAAGUGGGGUCGGCUGUAUGAAUUCUAGAACGUCAUUGCGCUCGGUUAUGUGCCACGUCUUUCGUUAUAUCCAAGUACUCCAAGUUUUUUUUUUAGAGUCUCUUCCAAAGUCUUUCUAGAUCUUCCUCUACCCCUUUGACCCUGAACAUCUAUCUCGUAAUUACAUCUUCUAACCGGAGCGUCUGUAGGUCUUUGUUUCCCAUGCCCAAACCAAAGUAACCGAUUUUCUCUCAUCUUUCUCGUGUGCCCACACAUACAAUGAAGCAUUCUCAUCUCCACUACUCUCAUUUUAUAUACGUGUUGAUGCUUUACUGCCCAACAUUCGGUGCUAUAAAACAUUGUUGGCCUUAUUGAUGUCCUAUAAAAUUUUCCCUUGAGCUUUAGGAAGGACAUUGAUUAAUUUAAAUUGAAUGACCAAAAUGAUGAGUUAGAAGUUAUUUAGUACUACAGUCUGGUAAUAUUUCUUGUCACUUGUAAAUGAGAGGUCUUAAGUUCGAUUCUCACUAAAGACGAGCUUAAACCACAUUAUUGCUAGACUGCUAGUUCAUUAUGAGGUUAAACCAACCCUCUUUUUCUUAGUGUAGAUAAUAUUAUUUGUUAAAAAAUAAUGAGAUAGAAUGGACUCCAUAUAAUGGACGUUUAGGUCAAGUCAUUUUAUAUAAAUUUUAUGUUUUAAUUUUCUUAAAUAAUGACAAGUUAUUUGAUCUUAUCUUAAAUGUUUUCAAUGGCGUAUUGUGAAUCACGUGGCCAAGACUAUUAGUUGAACGUCUUAGGCUGAUGUUAAGUUUCAACAACCCUAGGCUGAUGUUAACUUUCAAUGACCUUAAUCAAGGUCUACUCUGUUAACCUUCAACAACCAUAAUAAUUAAGGCUUUACUCCUUGGAAAUCUUAUUGACCAAAAAUAACAUGGCUUCUAAUUUUCAGUCAUUUUAAUUUUGUGAGCAAUGCUUUUGAUGCAUUAGAUGUAAUCAGAAUAUCAAAAUAGCUUGUUCACUCUUCUAGGAGGCGUUAGACGGUUGACGAUCGUCCUGAUUAGUUCUUAAGCGUUUGAAAAUUAAGAAAUAACGCCUAGAUCUGCUUCAACGUCCGCCUAGCCCGGCUAAGGGCUAGUUUGGUAUUGCUGUGCUUUGAAAAAAAGCUGCUUCUGCUGUGCUGUGAGAAUAAGUAGCUGUGAAAUAAAACAGCAGAGUGUUUGGUAAACUUUUUGUAAAAGUGCUUUGGAAAAAAAUAACAGUAUUAUAGUGUUUGGUAAACUUUUAUGUAAAACAGAUGUGAAAAAAGCCGGUUUUUCAAAGCUGGGUUUUGCAGCUUCUUGUUUUUGACUUUUUUUCACCAAAAAUUGUGAAAAAAAACUGAAGCUAAAUGUUUACCAAACAUAAAAAUAGCUCCCAGCGUUUUUUGAUACCAGCUUUUUUUCAGAAUCACCUCAGUACCAAACCAGGCCUAAGCACCCGCCUAGAUUGUCUAGACCUACCUAGGUUGCAACUAUCACUUAAACAAAAAAUUGAUAACUUUCUUUUUGUAUUUUAUAUUUUCAAUAAAAUGUAAGAGACUUGUUGAAUAUUUGGAUGAACAUCCAUUAUAUAUUUAUUUCUCAUAUUUUCUAUAUGUUCUAAUACUAUGUAAUCUAUAUGUCAUUUUAUUUUGCAAUUUAUGUAUCCCAAUACAUUUAUGUGUUUUUUAGUAUAAAUAUGCAUUUAUUUAUAUGAUAUAUAAUAAAUUUCCUAAAUCCCCCUAGCCACUUAGGCGCUAGGCUCCAACACGUCGUCCAACUAGCACCUAGAGUCGUUUAGAACCUUGAGCCUAUUAAAGGUUCUAGUAAUUUUUUCUGGGUUUUUAUUACGUAGCUAAAAUAAAUAUAACUCAUCAUUUUGGUCCCUUACUUUAAAAAUCAAUUAGUGUCGUCCUUAAAAUUUACUACCACACAUUAAUGUGGUCCUUACUGUUUGAUUCCGCCAAAUUUUCUAUUAAUUUGAUGAUAUAGCAAACAUGGAGUCCACAGAGUCAAUUUUUGAAAUAUAAAAAAAAAAAAAAAAAAGGCAAAGUCUCCAGGCUCUGUUUGCUGCUUCCCUUGCCUAGUUUGAUUAUUAGCACAUUUAGGAUCCGUUUGUUGCGCCGGACUGUCUCGGACUGGACUGGCUUAGACUAGACUAAGCUGGACUAACUUAGUGAAGCGUUUGUUACAGUGUCAGACUAAGAAGUAGGAUAAUAAAAACAGUACUGUUCACCAGAUUUGUGUUUGCUUAGACUAGGACUACAAGUUUUUGCCAUUGUGUAAUAGAGUAAUGCUACAAAUCUCAUGAUAUGGGUUAAUUGGAGCAUAUUUUGCCAUGUAUAUUAUGAAUCUUAAAAAAAGAGGACAAUUGUUUUGUUUCUAUUACCUGCUAAUAGAAUUGGGACAUACUAUAGUUGGGACAUGCUAUUUAUAAAUAGUUGAGUUUAAUUUGCAAAUGUAGCUUGGUUUAAACUCUAUCACCCAAAAGAAGAAAAAGAAUAAUGCCCAAUACAUGCAACUUCAACAAAUACAAGUACAUAAGAAGAUACUUGUGACAAGUCAAUCUUUGCUAUUGAUUGACUCUUAAAAUAUCAUUCACUAAACUUUGAUCCAGGAUAUUUUACAAAAUGCCAGUGAACUAUAGUAUAGCAUUCCAAAGUAGAUCUCCAUAAUUUACAAAAUCCUAGUUAACAUUAGCCAAAAUACUUUAUAGUGCAAAGCUAAGUUAUAAGCCAUAACAUAAGAUUGUACGAUUAAUAAAAUACAUCCAUGUCAAAAGGCACCACAUAAUAUACUCAUCCGCUUGCUUUGUCGCUUAAAAGCCUUUGGACGAACACUUUCUUGAGUUCCGAUUUGAUUGCCUUGAACACUCCCACAUUUUGUGGUUUUUCCAAAAUAAAAGACAAUGCAUCAAUUUGAUCCAUAGGAGAAAGACCCAUUGGUUCAAGUUCGUUAGCUAUGUCACUAUGAUCUGCAGUACCUUGAAUUAAAGCUUCAGUUACCAUUUGCAUCCUCUUCCCACUUUCAACAUAAAAAUCUUUCAGUCCACUGAUAAUUGCCUCGGGUUCCAUCACUUGAACUUCCCGCAGCUCUUUUCCUCUUUCUUUGGCUAUUUUCAGAUGAGGUGCUUUGUUGGCUUUGUUGGUUCAUUGAAGAAACAAAAUUUUCACUUCCAAUAUCACUUGCACAAACUUUAUCAUGACUUUGUUCCUCCACCAUUUCAGCAGGGGUUUCGGCUACAUUACAUGCAGCCCGAUCUUUUCCAAAUAUAUAUGCAAAUUUAUCAUACAGUGGAAAAUGUUUGCUUCUCCAUCCAUCGACUUCUUUAUUUUUCUAAGAUUAUAUCAACAUAGCAAAACUAAAAUUUAGCAUGCAUAACAAAUACAGCGGCAAGAAUAUAACUAAUGUAUAAAUAAAAUAGGAUAUGAACCUGCACAUAAGUUUGCCAUGCGUCAUCACUGUCAACUUCAACGCACUUUUUGACAUCAUUCCAUGCAAAUCCACUUGUGUUUAUCAUGUCAACAACCAAACUAUAUGUUUUUUUUCCAUUUCUUCAACUUUGACUCAAUAUGUGGAGUUGCCUUUAUAUUGGAAUGAAGACAUAAAACAUUGACAACUUUCACUAUUUCAAUCAAAGUACCUUGUUUGAAAGCACCGGUGUCACACCGUUGCUUCCGAGCAAAAGGUAUAAAAUAUUGAUGAUAUCAGAAAUAUCGGUAGUCCAAAAACACAGAAAUUUCGAUGGAAAUAUCGGGAUAUUAUCGAUAUCGAUAAAAAUUGAAUAAAAACCACGGAAAUUGUAAGAAAAACUUGGAAAUUUUUAUUGAAACUUUGCAGGAUGUUUAUUUAGUCAAUUAUCUAUUAGUUUAUCACAAAAAAUUGGAAGGAAAUGCAUUGCAUGAUAGAUAUAACUGAUUUAAGUUGAUUAUAUAGCGAGCUGGCAAAUAUUGUGAGUGUAGAAAAUAUGUAGUAAUUAAUUAAAGAAGUUUAAACACACCAUAAUCAUUUAUAUAAUGAAUUAGUACAAUAUUUUACACUUUAUACAUUGCAUGGUAAGAUACAUGAGUGACUUAGCAAGGUCUAAAAUAUCGAUAAUAUUGGAAAUAUCGGUAAUCCAAAAAAAUAUCGGUAGUCCAAAAACACGGAAAUUUCGAUGGAAAUAUUGAGAUAUUAUGGAUAUUUUAGACCAUCAAAAAAAGCCUCAAGAACGGAUAGUAAUGCUUCUUCCUCAAAUGCUUCCCAUUUACGCAUUCUUCCUUUUGGCUCUUGAGUAGCAUUCAAAAUAUUGUCGUUAUCCAUACCUAAACAAAAAAUAUUUGAAUUUACUAAAAUACAAUACAAAUAAUCAAUUUGCAUAAUAUCCAAUUAAUUGGCAUACCAUCCAAUCAAUAAAAAAGUUUUAACAUUCAUUGAUGAGCAAUCUAAUCAUUUUGCUAAUAUCCAACAAAUGCAUGAUAAAAAUGAAUACUAAAAUAAAAUGUUAUCAUUAACACAUAUAACUAGUUCGGUUGUUGGUUCCUAAUUGCUCUCCACUCAUUAUACAUUUUCUGAGCCAUGGCAUUCCUCUUUGUAGUCCACUAGUAAGAUGUUUCAACACUACCAACAUAUUCACCUUCUUCUGUAUUUUGUCCAUCUUCUAUUAUUGGCAAAUUCUCCAUUGGAUCUACAGACAUCUCUUGCCUAAUAAGAUUGUGUAGUAGGCAACAAGCAGUAAUUAUUCGACCUUGUGUCCUUAUCGGAUAGAAAGAUGGACUCCUUAGUAUCGACCACCUUCCUUUUAGCAAGCCAAAACAGCGUUCAAUUACAUUCCUUGCCUUAGAAUGCUUCAUGUUAAAAUAUUCUUCCUUAUUAGAAGGUGUCCGUCCCUCCCAUUCAGAUAAAUGAUAAGGUAUUCCUCUAUAGGGUGCAAGGAAUCCUUCACCAUUUGUAUAACCAUCAUCUGCAAGGUAAUAAUAACCUAAUAAAAAAGCAGACCUUAUUAACGUUUUGUAGUUGACAAACAAAACUAGACCUAACUUACAAAGUUGAGACUAACUAAUAGUCUUACCCGCUGGUACCUUAAAACCAUUAGGCCUAUUAAUUGCAUCAUGUAGCAUUCUAGAGUCUGAUGCCGAACCCUCCCACCCCGGAAACACAUAUAUGAACUGCAUAUCUCCUGAACACACACCUAACACAUUAGUUGCGACUCGACCCUUUCUUGUUAGGUAUCUUGGUUUGUCAAUUUCAGGUACAUGCACAUCAAUGUGUGUUCCAUCUAAUGCUCCCAAGCAAUUCUAAAAAAAAAAUAAAAAAAAGCUUUUGCUAAUUUAUACAAAGGGAAUGAAGAGUUAAAGCUUAGGGAAAAUGAAAAAAAAAUUAUCAUCAUACCUUAAAACAUCGCCACCUAGGAUUUGUAGAAUCAAUAGGCACAUGCUAAGGGACUUUUAGUAGGAUACCUUGUAAUCGCAAAAUUCCUUGCAAUACGCUAUUGAAAUACCUACUUAUAGUCUCUCCCGACCUAUAAAAUCUACCGCCAACACUACGAUUCUUAGUAUGAUGUGCUAAUAUUUGUAAAGUCAUACACACCUGCUUCUCUACAAACACCAAACCAUCCGUUUUUACCCUCCCAUCUUGACGAAGUAAUUCACAUAAUAUGCUAAAAGUCCUUCUAUCCAUUCUCAAUUCGUUGACACAUUCAAUAUCAGUAUUCCCUAUUAUACCAUUCAGAUAACACAAACUAAUCUCUCGUUUAACAAGUGAACGGUUAGUCAAAGUGCGUCGUUCAACAUGUCUCUAUUUGGCCCUUAGCAUCAGUAACACAAGAAUCGUACAAAUGCAAAUUGUCUCUAAAUGAGACAUUUGUAACAAUAAGAUCAAUAAAAGCUUCAUUCGCUCCAUAUCUAUCCAAACAAAAAAAAAAGAAAACAAAAAAUAAGGACAUUAUAUAUGCAGAAUACACACACACACACACAGAGUACACACAAACACACACACACAGAGAUUACACACACACACACACACACACACAGAUUACACACACACACAUAGUACACACAAACACACACACAGAGUACACACAAACACACACAUACACAUAAAAAUUACACACACACACACACAUAUAGAUUACACACACACACAAAUUACACACACACAGAGUACACACAAACACACACAGAGUACACACAAGCACACACACAGAGAUUACAAACACACACACACACACACACAAAUUACACACACUCACACACACACACACACAUAUUACACACACACACAUAGAUUACACAUACACACACACAGAGUACACACAAACACACACACACAUAUUACAUUCACACACAGAGAUUACACACACACACACACAAAUUACACACACACAAAGAUUACACACACACACACACACACACACAUAUAUUACACACAAACAGAGUACACACAAACACACACACGCACAGAUUACACACACACACACACACACACACACACACACACACACACACACACAGAGUACACACAAACACAUACACACACAGAUUACACACUCAUACACACACACAAAGUACACACAAACACACACACACAGAUUGCACACACACACACACAAAUUACACACACACACACACAUAGAUUACACACACACACACAUAAAGAUUCCACACACACACACACACAAAUUACACACACACACACACAGAGAUUACACACAUAUACACAGAGAUUACACACAUGCACAAAGAGUACACACAAACACACACAAACACACACACACACACAGAGUACACACAAACACAUACAAACACACACACACACACACACACACAUAGAUACAUACACACACACAGAGUACACAAACACACACACACACACACAUGCACAGACACACACACACACAGAGUACUCUCAUUGUUGAAACCCCAAAUUUUAAAAUCGAAAACAGCAUGUGGGUAGGAAUUUCAAGUUUCACAACUUUGACAUCCUAAAUUCCCAAGUUCCAUCUCAUCUUAUGAAAACCCCAAAUUCUAAUCUCAAAUUCACCUAAAUAUCAAAACCCUAAUUUGUUCAAGUGCAGAGGUCUAUGAUUUAAAAUUUCUCAAACCCAAAACAACAAAAUUAAAUAAAGCUCAGUUAAUAUCACAAACUAAUCCACACAAAUCGACGAAAUAAAUCGAAGAUUCGAAGCUUACCAGACAACUCGAGGCAGAUGAGGGCGAGCAGCUGCAGAUGAGCGAAGACGCAGCGAUGAAAGUGAGGAGGAUGACGAUGAGGGAGCACGGCAAGGACGACGAUGAGGGAAGACGUCGAGAUGAGGACGAUGAAGGCGAUGAAGGAAGACGCAGAAAAUCUCUCGUGUUUUCUUUGGCUUAUGAGUCUGUCCAAAAUUGGGGAUCCUCGUUAAGAACGGCUAAGGAGGUGUUUAAUCCGGGCGAAUCCCUGCUAAGCUCAUUAAAGCUAAUCCUAGUGCACACCAAACAAAUAACUACAGUCUAGUCCAGUCCAGUCUUUCUUAAUCAUGUCAAACAAAUGGGCCCUUAGGUUAUUAGCUUUGAUUUUCCCAAAUAUAGCUAAAAAGGAUGAUGUGUUGAAUUGCAUCUUAUAUCAACGAGAUGAAUCCAAUAUAUGUUGCUGUUUCAAUCUUUGUUUUAGAUUUUUUAAUUUGCAUUAAGAGACUUGUGUUUUCUUUUGUGGUUUUAUUUAAUUUCUAAAUUAUUUUGUUAGUUCCUAAAGAUUUUUUAAAUUUCAAAAAAUUAAUUUUUUCCAUAUGAUCCAUGUUGUGGAGCCAAAAAUAAUCACAAGGCGACACGUGGAUUUUUGGGUAAAAGAUGACAAAAAUAUCCUUGAGGCAUACCGGGAUUCCUACGCGCGAGGAGCGUACAAUCAUUUGUCAAUCAAGUCAAAAGUGUCCAAAAUAGGUAACCAAAUCAAAGAUAUUCUCAUCCAUCCUAAUCUUAGAUAAUUAUUUUAUAACCUACAUAACAUUACAUUUAAGUGGAGGUUAAUUGGCUAAUUAAUCCAUUAAUCACCAAUUAAAUCACCUUCAAAGCAACAAGCUCAGAAUCCAACCUCUUGAUCUCCUCGGCUAAGGAAUAAGCUUCAACUGCCAUAAUCUUCGCCACCUCCUUGACAACUUUGCUAUAUAUGCAUCAUAGCAAGCAGAGCAGUCCUUUUAUAGUGGGUCGUAUGUUUUGCAAAGGAACUUGGGCAAACAACCUUUCUACCGCUAUCAACAAACUUGGCACAAGCGUUCAUGACUUCAAGCAGAUAUAGUUUUAAAAGCAUACAGAUCUCAGCAGCCUCCCCAGAAGCAGGCUUAGUGGAUUUCUCACAACUGCCCACACGAGCAGUAUCUUCCUUCCUAGCAGGCGAAUCAGUCUCAGCAGCAAAGGGAGUGGGCCUUAGCGCCACUUUAGCAACAGAGUCCACCUUACCACUUUUCAUAAUAGCAAGUUUCUCUAAAGGUGAACCAGAGAUCAACCCAGCAUUCUAGCAGGCAGGAGGCCUGCAUGCCCAGCAUUCCAGCAAUCCAUGAGGCCCACGACCUCCUAAUUUCUUUCAGUCGCCAGCUUGGCCUGAGUAAGGUCUAAGAGCCCCAAGGACAUGAGCCAUGUGGCUCGCCUAGCACUGCGCCCCAACGCCACAAUCCGCAGCCCCAACCGCACAAGUUGCCUUUGGCUUUAGCCAAGCCAAACAGGCCAAGCAGUGACCCUUGCCACGAAGCCUCCUCAUCCCAUGCCGAGCCGACUCCUGGCCCCUGCCAGCCGACAUGCUGCACCACCCCGACGGCUGCCCCGCAAUAGCACUAUCCAAGAAGAAGACAAGAAAAAAUUAAAUUUUUCUUACAUUGGUGCGGCACGGAGAAGACGAAGAAAUCAACGAAAGACGGUCAUUUGCAAGAUGUAGAAGAUUGCUAGAGGAGGGGGAACAAAUAUCAUCUAAGCUCUCUCUCUCUUGUAGGGUAGAAUAAAUCGCUCUCCAAAGUUGAUUUAAUAACCCACUUAAGGUGGACUUAAAUAGGCUUUGAGAGAAAUUUAUUUCCCUUUCCUAGAAUGACCUAAUUUCCUAUUAAAGAGAGAAUCUACAUCAAAAUAGGAAGCAAUCCUACAUUUCCUAAAGCAAGAUGAUCUCUACACCUGCUGCCCUUUCCUAUGAGGAGCCCAACAAGUGUGGGGGCAUUUGUGGAGCCAAAAAUAAUCACAAGGUGACACGUGGAUUUUUGGGUAAAAGAGGACAAAAAUACCCUUGAGGCAUACCGGGAUUCCUACGCGCGAGUAGCGGACAAUUAUCCGUCAAUCAAGUCAAAAGUGUCCAAAAUAGGUAAUCAAUUCAAAGAUAUUCUCAUCCAUCCUCAUCUUAGGUAAUUAUUUUAUAACCUACAUAACAUUACAUUUAAAUGGAGGUUAAUUGGCUAAUUAAUGGAUUAAUUCCUAAUUAAUCCAUUAAUCACCAAUUAAAUCACCCACAAAAUAUACCCAAAAAUCCCAAAGGGCCGGCCACCCUUGUUGAUCUCAUCAUAUUUACCUAUUUUAUCACAUUAAUUAGCUAGUUAAUUUGGCAAUAAUUUUAUUUGCUAAAUUAAUUAGUCAAUUAUUCUCAUAACUCCUAAAUUCAACCUAAAUCAAGAACCCUAUCCCUAUAAAUAGGCUCUUAUUCUCACCAAAAACCUAGGUCCUUACUCUUGCUAAAAUUCUCCAAAGCUCUCAAACACUUUUAUCUCAAAAUUCUAACUUUGGCAUCGGAGGUUCUUCGGUCAAAGCCCCACCCAUUCAUCGUGGGCGCUUGAGGCUCUUGGCCUUAACCUAAGGUGUUAUUUGUUUUGUAGGUGCAAUUUUGUCCAAGAUCAAGGAGGAAGAAAUUUGCAUCCACAAAUUGGUGCUUUCAUUGAGAGGUGAGAUCCAUACUCAUAGAAGACUCUCGCAUAAAAAGGUUUUUCUAUUUUCUAGUCCAUUUGAAUAUUUUUCAUACGUUCUUAUUAUUAGAAAUUUUUAUUUGCAAAGGUUCUUUGAUAAAAUGUAUAAGAAAAAUAUAAUGGCUAGAAAUUUAGAAAAUUCCACAAGUGAAAAUUCUAAUACUCAAGAAAUGGGUCCGCGGCGAUUUACGAGGCUAAAUGUGGUCAUAGGCGAAGUGGUACCACCACUACGAGGUUCCACCAUGGCCCAAGACGUGUCAUCCAAGCUUGCACGGGCCCGAGCCCAAGCCUGGCAUUCACAUGCAUCACGCACUGAGCAGCCUGUUCUCAUCGAGCAGCCCACUUCCGUGGCCCAACCUGCUCCUACCGAGCAACCUACUCUCACGGUCCAGCCUGCUCCCGACGAGCAGCCCACUCCCGUGGCCCAGCCUGUUCCAGCCGAGUAGCCUGCUUUCGUGGCCCAGCCUGCUCCCAACGAGUAGCCCACUUUCGUGGCCCAGCCUGUUCCCGCCGAGCAGCCCACUCUCGCGGCCCAGCCUGCUCUUGUGGCCCAGCCUGCUCCCACGACCCAAUCUGCUCCCGUGGCUUUCCAAGCAGCCCAAGUCGGCCCAAGACUAUCUCAACUAUCUGGACCUACCAUCAAGCUGGGAGCAUUUUCACCACAUUUCUUCGUGGAUUUGAUAUUUCCCAACUCAAAUCUCGCACCCAGAGCCUACCACACUUCCACUGCUCAAUGAGGCACAUUCCUUCCAAGUUCUUCCAAUCUAAAUGGCAAACAACACUUGUCUCAACAAGUCAUAGAGUUGACGAACGUCCUUGCACAAUAGAUAACCUUGGUGAAUCAACUCUUGCAACGCACCGAGAUCCAACGUGCCUCGGACAAGGUGUCCCGAAGUAGGACAAGGGCAAAUGAACCUUUCCAUUAGUGUCCCGGUAAGUAGCCUAUCAACUAGCCACGAUCUGAGCGUUCUGGCAGUUUACGUACCCGAUUGGGCCCCCGAGAUAGCGUAAACUCCCAUCUUAGAGCGCGAAGGAGCAUGCACUCUCGACUAAGCCCACAAACGAGUAUAUUCACAGUUGGGCUUACACUCCGAUAGUCAACAUAAGCAACCUUCCAAGCGAAGUGUUCAUUCGCGGCUAAGCUCUCAAGGAGCAUCAUCCACCUCACAUCGGAGUAGGCAGCACGACAGACGGAGAGAAACAGUCACUUAAUACGGCUCAAGUUCAACCGGCAGCCUGCGAAGAACUCGUUCGCCUGCUAGGAACGCGCUACACGCACCGCAUCUGGGGCAUAGACGAGCCAAAUAUAUGGAAGAGCAGCCUAGACCAGCAAGUCACGGUUGGGGGCAGCCGAGAGCUCCAUUACCUUAACAAAGGCAAAUUCAUGAAGAAGUAGAGAGACUCUUGACCAAGCGAUUGCGCACUUUCCAAGCGAUCUUGAAUAUGAAGUUCCCCACUACUCUGAAGGAGAUUCAAAGUCUGACUGGACGAGUAGUCACAUCUGAAGUAGCAAGAAGCUCUAUCAUCAUACGAGAAAAGCUCAGGGCCCGACUACCUGUAUUAUACAGUUCAAAAGCUCUCCUUGAUGUUAUUAAAAAUUCAAAAGCUAACUUUGACGAUAGUUGUUGUAACCCAGAAGCUCAAGUUUUACCUUUAAACGCAUGUAGUUAUCCUUAUGACGCAUUAUUUUGCCCAAUCCAGACACACGACGAUAAAGGCGUAAGAUCCUGGCGAAUGCAAAGUUUUCUAACGAACACAACAACUCGGCCUAAAAGACACGCCAAGGGCAAACGAACACUAGAAUGACACACUCGGAAGCAAGUUUUGUCCUCGUCGCCCCAAAAGAUUUUACAUAGGAGCAACAUGUACUUGCAGUCAAACACCACUUCCUACUACGUGUCACACGGUCCUAGCUGACCCUUGCUUUAUAAUUCAACUUUACAGUGGUCCAAUACCAGCAGUUAAGCAUCUUCUACUGCAUGUAACAUGGCCCCAGCUCCACGGCUUCCUACCACGCAUUUAUGACGCAAUAGAGCGGCCCAACGACGUCUCGGAAGUAGCCGAGCACAUUCUAUCAGCACCUGCUCCACCCGAUGGAGACUUCUGGCAUUUGCAUGUCGACAUCGCAUCCAACUACAAAGGUUCAGGAGCAGACGAUCAUUCUAGGUUUCAAAGCAUCUAACAACGAAGCAAAGUACGAAGCCCCACUAGCAGGCCUUCGAAUGACAAAAGACUUGGCGGUGAAAAAGCUUUCAAUCCAUUUCGAUUCCCAGCUAAUCACCAGCCAAACUACUAGGGGCAAAUGCAUGAUGAUCGUGGCAACUGACUACUUCACCAAAUAGGUAGAAGCAGAGCCCAUGACGACCACGAUUCAAACGGACAUAAAGCGAUUCAUAUGGAGGAACAUCAUUUGCUGAUUUGGCAUCCCUUAAUCCAUCAUCACCGACAAUGGCUCGCAAUUUGUGGGCAAAGAUUUGGUAAAGUUAUUUAAAAAAUAUGGCAUCAAACAGCACAUGUUUACGCCAAGAUAUUCUCAAGGCAAUAGGUGGGCCAAAGUAUCCACCAAGAUGAUCCUCGAUUGCCACAAAAAAUGCCCCACCAGUAAGAAAAGAAAAUGGUCAGACGAACUCUAUGGAUAUCUAUGUGCAUAUCGCACCACCAAAAGACGAGCAACCGAAAGAAGAUGGCCACAAGCUUAAAUCUGGCAUAGGAGAAAUGCGAGCAGACUAUCACCCGCAUCACAGCUUACCAGCAAUAGUUUCUUUCCAGCUACAACAAAAGGGCCAAGAUCCGGAAGUUGCAGCCCAGAGAUUUAGUCCUAAGAAAAGCCUUCAUCAUUGCCCACAGAGAAGGCUCCAAAAAGAUAGAUCUCAUCUGGAAAGGUUCAUACAUGAUCAGCAGAGUAGGUGGCAAGAGUAAUUACACCCUCGCCACCAUGAAACGAUAAAAAGAUCGAAAAGUAGUGGAGCGCCUACAAGCUGAAGAAGUAUCAUGUGUGACCUCCUACUACAUCAAAGCCCGAAGAUUCAAGAAUCUCAACGGGCACCACCUCACAAGCCGAGGACUAUCCAGUUGUUAUGCAGUUCCUACCUUACAACUAAGUUCUCGUUCGUUUCACUCGUUUUUCAAUGAGGAAUUCAGAAGUAAUCACAACUUGGCUCGGCUGCAUGCUUAGAACAACUGAUCACUCCUGCACUUCAAAAAAAGACUGCGCCCUUCUUAAGGACUCAUUGCAGGAAUUACAACCCCCGAGAGACCAACCAUGCUCUCCAGUGCGAUAAGGUAAACUAAUUGCUCUCCAGUGCGAGAGGGUAAACCAAUUCCCUGACACCUAUAUGGGUCAGCUCUCCAAGAUGAGAGGAUUAAACUCUACACUCCUAAUAUCCAAACGUGGAUGAACUUGGCUGCCCUAGUAUAACUAGAUGCACGAUAGCUUGCACUGGGAUUCCUAGAAGUAGCCACAAUGGUCUUUUUCAAGGUUUAGCUAAUUGAAGGAUUUUGGGUCUCUUGGCUUAAUCCGCUAAGACCCGGGCCCUAAAGACGGAGGGGGCACAUUACGCAGUACUCCCUGCAGACGGCUGCCCUGGAACCCUAAAGCUGCUACCAAGUGCACUAAGGUAGCCUAUGGAUUCCGGAAGACUGCCUACGGCUUGCCUUUCGAGCAGUAAAGUCACGCUAGACUUAUACAACCGCACAUUAUUGUGAUAGGUUAAACAAGCUAGCGCGCAUAUACGAAGUUUUAUCCAUUGCCGACAUGUUACGUAGUCGAUAAGCUUCACCUCUGCCAAGCGCAGAACAACCUACACCAAGUCCUAAAGUGUUGUGAUACUUGCUACGCAACCUACGAAAUUGGAAAAAGUCAAGGUUAACAGCCUAGUGGUUACGCGGACUUGUCUGCUUCUGUAAGUAAGGCAUCCGGCUGCUAACCCUAUGGCUAACAACUUUGCAAAGUUCUACACCAACACCUAUGGCUGCAUAGGCUACGCGAGCUUGUCUGCUUAUAAAAAAGUAGCAUGCCUACCACUGGUCUAUCAAGUCUAAAGGCUAGGGCAUGAACAAAAUAAGCGAAGAUAAAGAAAAACGAAGGAAAUCAUGUUUAUAAACAACUAGCAAAGGCCAAAGGAGUUCAAGCAAAACAUGAGCUACAGGGAAAAACAAAGAAAAUCCUAAAGGCUACUUAGAAUACUACACUACAGCAGCUUGGACAUCCCACAACUACUCGGUCGCCACACCUUCAGUAGCCAUAAUGCUCUUAGCAACGGCAUCAUCUGGCGUUUCACCCCUGGUUGCCCCCGCCUGGGCACUAACUUCUCCAACUACUUCACCAAUGGAAGCCGUAAAAGCAAGCAAGUCUUCUGGAGAAAUAGAAAAGGUCUCGAAACCUCAAGCCCAUCAUUUUCACCCUUCAGCUGCUCAUUCUUCUCAAGCAGACUAACACGGAUGCGCUGCAGCUCAUCCACUCCCUUCUUAGCAUAAGCAGCAAUUAACUCUUCAUCCUUUGCAUAAGCAGCGAAAUGAAGCUCAUAAACUGCAAAGUCAAGAUCUUUAAUCUGAGGUAUGUAACAUUCAAUCUCAUUCUCUGCACUUUCAUACUUAACUUGGAUCGCGUCAAGCUUAGUCUUCAAGUUAAUGAUCUUGUGGCGAGCGGUCUCAAGCUGCAGAGAAGUGGGGACAGAAAUAUUAGACCCCUUCAAAGCAACAAGCUCAGAAUCCAACUUCUUGAUCUCUUCGGCUAAGGAAUAAGCUUCAACUGCCAUAAUCUUCGCCACCUCCUUGACAGCUUUGCUAUAUAUACAUCAUAGCAAGCAGAGCAGUCCUUCUAUAGUGGGUUGUAUGUUUUGCAAAGGAAUUUGGGCAAACAACAUUUCUACCGCUAUCAACAAACUUGGCACAAGCGUCCAUGACUUCAAGCAGAUAUAAUUUUAAAAGCACACAUAUCUCAGCAGCCUCCCCAGAAGCAGGCUUAGUGGAUUUCUCACAGCUGCCCACACGAGCAGUAUCUUCCUUCCUAGCAGGCGAAUCAGUCUCAGCAGCAAAGGGAGUGGGCCUUGGCGCCACUUUAGCAAUAAAGUCCACCUUACCACUUUUCAUAAUAGCAAGUUUCACUAAAGGUGAACCAGAGAUCAAGCCAGCAUUCUAGCAGGCAGGAGGCUUGCAUGCCCAGCAUUCCAGCAACCCAUGAGGCCCACGACCUCCUAAUUUCUUUCAGUCGCCAGCUUGGCCUGAGUAAGGUCUAAGAGCCCCAAUGACAUGAGCCACGUGGCUCGCCUAGCACUGCGCCCCAACGCCACAAUCCGCGGCCCCAACCGCACAAGUUGCCUUUGGCUUUAGCCAAGCCAAACAGGCUAAGCAGUGGCCCUUGCCACGAAGCCUCCUCAGCCAUGCCGAGCCGACUCCUGGCCCCUGCCAGCCGACAUGCUGCACCACCCCGACGGCUGCCCCGCAAUAGCACUAUCCAAGAAGAAGACAAGAAAAAAUUAAAUUUUUCUUACAUUGGUGCGGCACGGAGAAGAUGAAGAAAUCAACGAAAGACGGUCAUUUGCAAGAUGUAGAAGAUUGCUAGAGGAGGGGGAACAAAUAUCCUCUAAGCUCUCUCUCUCUUGUAGGGUAGAAUAAAUCGCUCUCCAAAGUUGAUUUAAUAACCCACUUAAGGUUGACUUAAAUAGGCUUUGAGAGAAAUUUAUUUCCCUUUCCUAGAAUGACCUAAUUUCCUAUUAAAGAGAGAAUCUACAUCAAAAUAGGAAGCAAUCCUACAUUUCCUAAAGCAAGAUGAUCUCUACACCUGCUGCCCUUUCCUACGAGGAGCCCAACAAGUGUGGGGGCAUUUGUGGAGCCAAAAAUAAUCACAAGGUGACACGUGGAUUUUUGGGUAAAAGAGGACAAAAAUACCCUUGAGGCAUACCGGGAUUCCUACGCGCGAGCAGCGGACAAUCAUCCGUCAAUCAAGUCAAAAGUGUCCAAAAUAGGUAAUCAAUUCAAAGAUAUUAUCAUCCAUCCUCAUCUUAGGUAAUUAUUUUAUAACCUACAUAACAUUACAUUUAAGUGGAGGUUAAUUGGCUAAUUAAUGGAUUAAUUCCUAAUUAAUCCAUUAAUCACCAAUUAAAUCACCCACAAAAUAUACCCAAAAUCCCAAAGGGCCGGCCACCCUUGUUGAUCUCAUCAUAUUUACCUAUUUUAUCACAUUAAUUAGCUAGUUAAUUUGGCAAUAAUUUUAUUUGCUAAAUUAAUUAGUCAAUUAUUCUCAUAACUCCUAAAUUCAACCUAAAUCAAGAACCGACAUGAUUCUCUGCAGUUCACGGUGGUGAGAUGAAAAAAUGAAAGAGAACCGACAUGAUUUUUUGUGUCGUUUCCCACAGACGGCGCCAAAUGUUGAUGCACAAAACCGGAUGGUCUUGGUACAACGUAAAUCCGACCGUGAAUCUGCAUGAAAUGUAAAUGACACAAGAGUUAUCGUGGUUCACCCCAAGGUUUGGGCUACGUCCACACUGAUUGUGUAUUUAUUUGAGGGAAUAGAGAGGGAGAGGGUGAGAGCUUCUGAGAGCUUCUGAGGGUGAGAGAGGGGAUCUCAGGCCUAGGAAUUGGCCUCUCAGAGUGAGAGUGAUGCCUCCCUAGAAUGAGGGGAGGAGUCCCCUUUUAUAGAAUAAGGGGCUCCUCCUCCUUUACAAAGUAUGGGCUUUAGUGUGAGGCCCAAAUACAAGGCCCAAGGCCCAAAUAUACGAGGCCCUAAAUAUGGUAUAAACAGUAGUCCCCCAAGUCUUCAGUCAAGAGAGUCUUUUGGCUGGAGACUUGAAAUUCAGUCCAUGUGUGGGCCGAAGUAACUAGAUGCUGUCUUGAACUGAUGCUCGAUAUGAGGCGGUGCCCAAUCUGAAAUGACGCUCAACUAGAAGUAGCACACGCUGUGAGACUGCUCGGCUCGUGGCUUAUGUUGCCUUGGCUAGCUCGGUUUGCGGCGUUGAAGGUGAGGGAGUCCCUUUUAUAGAAUAAGGGCUCGUUCCUCAAUACAUAAAUGAUGGGCUAGAGUUGAUGCUCGCGGCGAGGCGGUUGCUCAGCUGGCGGCGUUUCUCUCUAAUGAAGGUGAGGGAGUCCCUUUUAUAAAAUAAGGGUUUACUCCUCAGUACAUGAAUAAUGGGUGCUCUCUAAUGAAAGUGAGGGAUUCCCUUUUAUAGAAUAAGGGCUCACUCCUUAAUACAUAAGUGAUGGGCUAGAGUCCCCCAAGUAUUUUUCAUGAGUGCUCUCUAAAAGUGAAGGAGUCCCUUUUAUAGAAUAAGGGCUCGCUCCUCAAUACAUAAGUGAUGGGCUAGAGUCUCCCAAGUAUUUUUUAUGAGGCCCAGUUGAGGCCCAAUAUAUGGUACAUAAUGUAGUCCCCCAAGUCUUCGGUCAAUAGAGUCUGUUGGCUGGAGACUUCAAAUUGAAUCCAUGUAUGGGCCGAAGUGGCGGUUGGUCGAAUGCGGUAUUUGUAUACCCUGCACUGAAGCUUUGUAGGUGAAGCUUUGUAGGUGAAGCUUUGCAAGUGAAGCUUUGAAGCUAGAGCUCUGUAAAUGAAGCUUUUGAAGCUAGAGCUUUGUAAAUGAAGCUUUUGAAUCUAGAGCUCUGUAAAUGAAGUCUUUGAAGCUAGAGCUCUUGUAAAUGAAGCUUUUGAAGCUAGAGCUCUGUAAAUGAAGUCUUUGAAGCUAGAGCUCUGUAAAUGAAGCUUUUGAAGUUGAUUGAUAUGAGUGAUGCUCAUGAAUGUUUAUGUUGAUUGACAUGAGUGAUGCUCAUGAAUGUUGUUAUGAGUGAUGCUCAUGAAUGUUAACAUGAGUGAUGCUCAUGAAUGUUGACAUGAAUGAUGGUCAUGAAUGUUUAUGUAUGAUUGUCAUGAGUGAUGCUCAUGAAUGUUUAUGUAUGAAUGACAUGAGUAGUGCUCAUGUAUGAUUUGGAGUACUAGGCGUACUUUUGAUCACCUGGUUGGUGUUAUUUUGGGCUUGUCGUUGUUCUUCCUUUUUUUUUUUUUUUUUUUUUUUUUUUUUUUUUUUUUACCCUCUGAUGGGGUUUAUACAUAUGUCUCCGAAAGAUAAUAAAUUACAUCAUUCUGGUAGAAUGUUUAUUCCUUACUUUUGUUUUUCUCUUUCUUUUCUACUUUUCUUUUGUAAUUAUCUCAGUGGGUAGCCAUAUUUUCUGCUUUGCUCUUUUACUUUGCUUUGCUUUUGCUUUCCACUUUUUUUUUUUUUUUUUUUUUUUUUUUUUUUUUUUUUUUUUGACCCUCUGAUGGGGGUUUAUACAUAUUACCCUUUGAUGGGGUUUAUACAUAUGUCUCCGAAAGAUAAAUUACAUCAUUCAAAAAUAAAGGUUUCGACAGUUGCGUUUGUGCGUACUAGGCCUCUCUUUCUGUCUCUGUCAUGCAUGUGCACCCAAUUUAAUCAUUAAUAUCUUCUUUACCGAUUAUCCCUUACCACUUGCGGUCCUACUCAUUCAAAUCAUAAUCUCUCAGAUUUUAUUCUCUUUUCUGCUUUGCUCUUUUUUCUUUUGCUUUUGUUUUCUGCGUCUCUUUCAUUGUUUCUCCACCUCCACUCUCUCUGGCAGACUUGCUUUUGCUUUUGCUGACUUGCUUUACAGCAAACACAUUUAGCUUUUCCAUGUGGGUGGUCGAAAAAAAAACCAACCAGAUUCAUCAUUUCCGAUGGCAUCACCGACAGAAACGGUUCGAGCGUUUGCAAAAACCUGAUCUGGACAUCUGAGAAGCAGGGAUAUUUCGAGAUCUGAAUCUCAAAGAUUGACCAAAACCUUCAAACCUUAACAGCAGUUGAGCUACGCAGCCAUUGUUAUGAAAACAAAUUCAGAUCUUGCAACAACUGCGGCUUAGAGACUGACUAAUGGAGCAGCUUCCAUGGAAGAAAUGGGGGAGAUUACCCAAACAGCGUGGUUUGGCGUCGGAAUAGCUCGACUUCGAGAACGUAAAAGCUUCCUGCGAUCUGCGUGAAACGGGUCAUCCUCUAGAGUUCAAAAAAGCUCCGUGAAGGAUGAGUGAAACUCGGGUAGGACAGAGUCGCGACUCGACUUGAGGAGGUAGAGAACGACCCGCUUCAGCUUGUCGUGCUUCGGUUCUAACGGGUCGAGGUAGGAGAGGAUGCGGUAGCCGCCGGUACCGAAAUCUUCUCUGUUCUCCUUCUUCUUCACUGCCUCCGAAACCCAAACCUUCUCUUCCAGCACUACUCUUCCAUACGAAUCCGAAAUCUUUGGUAGCACAUUCGCAUCGUAAUCGUACUCGCUCAGAAUCACGCCGUUGUACGCCGCGUAAUCGGAUUGUAUUUGUGUGGAGAUCUUCUCCAUCGUCAUAGGAGGGACCAUCACCAGCUCCGGCUCCAUUUUCGGAUGAGAAUCUUCGGGUGUUGGGUGGAGCUUGGAGGAGGCGACGAUGCUGAUGAUGAUACAAUUAAUGAGUAUGUAGAGAUACGGCGGUCUGAGCCAGGAGAUGGCGGAGCUCUAGAGAGAAGGAACUUGGGAGGUGACGGUGUCGGCGACCAAUGGAGAUGAGAGUUUCAGCCCAACGGCCAUGGAGACCACGCCAGUGGAGAUCAGCGCAACCUUAAGAGUGAGUAACCAGUUGUUGCUCGCGCUCGUCGACAUAUUUAUCAGAAUGUUGCGAAUUGAUCAGAAUCUUUACCUUUUCCGGCUAGAGUUUUGUUUGGCUCCCUGUCUCUGUCUAUUCUUCCUCUUCUUGCCAACCUUGUCCAGGCCCAUAAACAGCAGCCAUAUGCUUCCCCUUGACCCAGCCCGAUCUCUCUCUCCAUUGCCCAACUUGUAUUGUUUUGAUUCUCUGCAGUUCACGGUGGUGAGAUGAAAAAAUGAAAGAGAACCGACAUGAUUUUUUGUGUCGUUUCCCACAGACGGCGCCAAAUGUUGAUGCACAAAACCGGAUGGUCUUGGUACAACGUAAAUCCGACCGUGAAUCUGCAUGAAAUGUAAAUGACACAAGAGUUAUCGUGGUUCACCCCAAGGUUUGGGCUACGUCCACACUGAUUGUGUAUUUAUUUGAGGGAAUAGAGAGGGAGAGGGUGAGAGCUUCUGAGAGCUUCUGAGGGUGAGAGAGGGGAUCUCAGGCCUAGGAAUUGGCCUCUCAGAGUGAGAGUGAUGCCUCCCUAGAAUGAGGGGAUGAGUCCCCUUUUAUAGAAUAAGGGGCUCCUCCUCCUUUACAAAGUAUGGGCUUUAGUGUGAGGCCCAAAUACAAGGCCCAAGGCCCAAAUAUACGAGGCCCUAAAUAUGGUAUAAACAGUGCUCCCCUAAGUUCCCGAGUGAGGGAAACUCCUCGGUUGGGGACUUGCAAGAUCCAAUCCCUUGAGUAAUCACGAAACUUCUAAGUACCGAAGUGUGGUCUGAUCUUCAUCUGCCCUUCUCUGGAAGUACCUUUCCUCCAUCCGGGAAUGGUGUACUUAGCUGAUGUUGACGCACAAGGUAAUGUAUCAAUUUCACUUGAAGCUUAGUUGUAGUUUCGGGCUUAGUCAAGUGUGAUACAAACCCUAUAGUAGGAGUCCCCCAAGUCGCCGAGCUAGGAGAUCUGCCGAAAGAGGUGACAGACAAGGUAAGCAGUCAAACUUCCAAGUAAGCAACCCAGGAUCAGAGGUUUGACGUCGGCUUCCGGUUGAUUGUUCUCAUUCUCCUUGUCUCUCAUUCAACUGCCAGGAUAAGGAGAAGCAAAUGGAUAAGAGAUGAUAUGAGAUACUUUUGCUUUUGAAGAAGUAACUUUCCACAGGCUUAUUCUUGAACUGUGCUGGAGGGUUUUCUGGUGCCCUUCAGAGUAUAAGGCCGACUCAAAAAUUUGAGGGUCAAAACAAGUCCAUCAAAUCUAGAGUACGUUCGACCUUGAUGAUAUGGGAUACUUUUGCUGUUGACGGAAUAAUGAAUGUGGUAUGGAAAGGUGUCGUGCUGUAGUGAUCUGUUUCAGCUCACCGUUGAACCUUCUGCUUCAAUCUUUUGCAUGGCAGAAGUGGUGUGCAACCUUUGCAUUUAAAUGGUCCUUCAGAACAUUCCUUCAUAGUGACUCAUCCACGCUUGGCAGCUUCAGUGUAAAGAGCCAAUAUCUGAUCAACUGUCAUGAGGUAUUUGCCGGUGGAAUUCGUGACCUUGACAGCAGUUGAGGAUGAGUACUCGAGAGCAAUGCUAAGUAAGCAACCAGGCAAAGGCUCCAGGCAGUCAGUUCCAAAUUGGAGGUUUGAUUUCAGGUUCCGACUGACUGCUCUCUUUUUCUCCUUGUCCUGCAGGUGUGGACAAGGACAAAGACAAAGACAGGGAGAAAGCAUGAUAUGGGAUACUCUUGCUUUCGACCCUGAUGAUAUGAGAUACUCUUGUUCUUGGUGUGGCUUAUUUGCUGAGGUAUUAUCGGGGGGAAAUAAAGCUGAGUAUUUCGAGAGGUUAUGUUGAGGGUGCCUUUUCGAAUGUGAGAAAGGGUUGAGCAUUUUUGCAGGUUUGCCUGUCCGUUGAGGAGGGAGGUCAAUGUAUAUAGGGAUUUCCCAAUAACAAGUAGUAAUGCUAUUCCUUUACCCUUCUUGGUCACAGCAAUGUAGUGGGAGCUGCCAGCUUCACGUGUUUUAAUUUUGUCAGAGCACUUUGAAAAAGUGGUAUGUGGUAUCUGGAAAGCUGAUAUUACGUGUGGAGAUUACAGACAAGCUUUAUCUAAGGAAAUCUGGCUCUCGAAGUUCUGAGAGUUGUGCCUCUUCGGUUUUCGAACAAGCAAUCCCGUCGAGGAUCUGACUCUCGAGAUUCGGAAAGCGGUGCUACUCCGGUUUUUGAGAAAGUAAUUAUGUUGGGAGUCUUUUCUCGAAUGUGAGUAAAGGUUGGUCGUUCUUGCCAACCUGUCUUGCCACAAAACACGGAGGUCGACACACAUAGGGACUUUCCAGUUGUCAAGCAGUGGUGCUGUUCCUUUACCCUUAUGGGUAAUAGUAGGGUAGCUGGCACUUCGAAAUUCUCGUGCCUAAACUUUGUCAGAGAUCUUUGACAAAGUUAUAUGUGGUACCCGAGGAGUUGAUGGUGCAUAUGGAGAGCGGUGAUUGAUCAGUAAGAUUCACGUGCUUUCUGCUUCACCAGAAAUCUUCGACAGAUUGCCCGUAAUUUCCGCAAAGCUAAUUGUGCAUGUGACAGGUGCUGACAAGGCUGCAAAAGCAGGUGCUUCUUCGAUUUCUGAGAUCGGCCCUCGUGGUCUCUGAGCAGCCCAGCUUUUGAGAAAGCAAACGCCUCUUCGAUUUCUGAAGCUCCGUCGAGUGCAGAUUUUUAUAGAGGCUGGCAUUAAGUUCCACAGCACACUUGAAUCUCUACCAGUAGAAGCUCAUUUCUUGCACUUCUAAGAUCUUGAUUUGUCUGACCUCUUCCUUCUUCAACACAUUUGAAAAUGUCUGGACCCUCCGACCGUCGUUUUGACUUGAACCUUGGAGAAGAGACAGCCACGCCUUCUCCAAACAACAUAUGGCGCCCAUCCUUCAUAUCCCCUACUGGUCCUCUUACCGUUGGGGAUUCUGUGAUGAAGAAUGAUAUGACCGCUGCAGUGGUGGCCAGGAACCUUCUCACUCCCAAAGAUAACAGACUACUUUCCAAACGGUCUGAUGAGUUGGCUGUUAAGGACUCUCUGGCUCUUAGUGUUCAGUGUGCAGGUUCUGUGUCUAAUAUGGCCCAACGCCUAUUUGCUAGAACCCGCCAAGUUGAAUCAUUGGCUGCUGAAGUGAUGAGUCUCAAACAGGAGAUUAGAGGGCUCAAGCAUGAGAAUAAGCAGUUGCACCGGCUCGCCCAUGACUAUGCUACAAACAUGAAGAGGAAGCUUGACCAGAUGAAGGAAUCUGAUGGUAAGGUUUUACUUGAUCAUCAGCAGUUUGUGGGUUUGUUCCAAAGGCAUUUAUUGCCUUCGUCCUCUGGGGCUGUACCUGGUAAUGAAGCUUCAAAUGAUGAACCUCCAAUGCCUCCUCCUUCUGGGGUUUUGUCAAGUACUGAGGCUCCGGAUAACCACCCUCCGGUGCUUUCUCUUUCUGGGGCUCUACCGACUGCUGAGACUUCCCCUAAGCAACCUUUGUGAAGGCUCCCUUUUGUUUGUUUAUUUUGACUCAUGUAUAUGUACAUAUUUGUGGCUUAUCGAAAAUAUUAAUAAAUAAGCUUUGCUUCAUUUCAACAUAUUGUGUUAAAUACACCAAAGCCUUCUUCAUAAAGUUCUUUGAAUUUUUUGCUUUUGUUGAAACCUGUAUUGUUGAAGCUUUGUGAGUGGAGCAUGUAGUUUGAGGUAGUGUUCCCUUAAUUUCCCGAGUGAGGAAAACUUCUCGGUUGGAGACUUGAAAAAUCCAAGUCACUGAGUGGUUGUGAGACUGCCGAGUAUCAAGGUGCAGUAGCAUAUGGUGGGAGUCCCCCAAGUCUUCAGGCGAAGAGAGUUGCCGAAUGAGGUGUCUAGCUAGUAGUCAAUGUCAUGAGUAGGAAAACUUCACUUGUUUCUUUUCGAAGUGGUAACCCAGGGCUCUUUCUUCAUAUAUUGUUUUUUGUUAUGAAGAUGUGUUAGGCCCAAAGAAGUGGAGGCCUAGGAACUUUUUUUUUUUUUAUUUAUUUUUUUUUUUUACUCCCUCCCUUUUUCUUGUGUCAUUUACAUGGGUGUAUUCGAAUGGAGCUGAAUGAGGGGUAGGGUAUGACUCAUUAUCAUGUGCCAUGAUUUUGUCUUCCUUUAGCUUCUCUUUUGCUUUGCUUUAGUCUUCCUUUAGCUUUUCUUCAAUAUAACACCAUUUUCUGUGGCUCAGAUCGCAAAACCAUCUUCAUGAAAGUUGUUCCUUAACUUGUGAACUACAACAUAUCCAAAUUUGAGGUCCCUCGGAGCAGUAUAACUCCAGAAAUCCAGGUAUGAUGAGUGACUGUUUAUCAUUUGUCUGUCAACCCGUCAGAUUUGUUGUGAGUUUUGAAACUCUAUUUUCUCUUGCUCAAAUAAGCAUGCUUUCUUCAUUGAAGUUGUUCCUCAGCUUGGGAACUACAACAUAUCCAAAUUUGAGAUCCCUCGGAGCUGUAUAACUCAAGAAAUUCAGGUAUGAUGAAUGACUGGUUAUUAUUUUUCUGUCAACCCGUCAGAUUUGUUGUGAGCUUUGAAACUCUAUUUUCUCUUGCUCAGAUCAGCAUGCUUUCUUCAUUGAAGUUGUUCCUCAGCUUGUGAACUUCAACAUAUCCAAAUUUGAGAUCCCUCGGAGAAGUAUAACUCCAGAAAUCCAGGUAUGAUGAAUGACUGGUUAUUAUUUUUCUGUCAACCCGUCAGAUUUGUUGUGAGCUUUGAAACUCUAUUUUCUAUUGUUCAGAUCAGCAUGCUUUCUUCAUUGAAGUUGUUCCUCAUCGUCUCUUUCAUAACAUAUCAAAAAUUCAGAAUGAACUAAUGGUUAAAUAUUUCCAGAUCUUCGAAACAUCACAGCAGCUUCGAAAUCUGCAAGAAUCCGACUGUCAUGCUUGGAGCUUCAACACUUUAAUUUCCGUGGCUCAAACAGAAAUGGUUCCUUCUUGAAAGUUGUUCAUCUGCUCAAGAACUAGAGGGUGUCCAAAAUUCAGCUCCAUUGGAGAGAAGCAGCAGCUGCAAAAAUUUGAUAGAGAAAAGGAGGCGAAGCUUUGUUGGAUUUCUAGGCUGGGGAAGAUUCCAGUUUUUGUAGCAACUUCAGUACUGGUGAAUUGCUUGUAUUUUUGUCCAUAACUAAAUUUUGGACUUUGAAUUAUUAUUUGAUCUAUCAUAAUAUGUUUGGGAACAUAUAUAAGUGAAUAAAUAAGAAGGAAGAUUUUGGGCCCUUGUGGGUGUAAAACAAAAAAAUGUUUAGGUUGUGUGAACAAAAUUUGUUUAUUUGGAGCAAGGUUUUGUGUUGAAGCUUUGUAGGUGAAGCUUUGGUGUUGAAGCUUUCUAGGUGAAGCUUUGAUGGUGAAGCUUUGUAGAUGAAGCUUUGUAGAUGAAGCUUUUUUAGGUGAAGCUUUGUAGGUGAAGCUUUGAUGGUGAAGCUUUGUAGAUGAAGCUUUGUAGGUGAAGCUUUUUUAGGUGAAGCUUUGUAGGUGAAGCUUUGAUGGUGAAGCUUUGUAGAUGAAGCUUUGUAGAUGAAGCUUUCUAGGUGAAGCUUUUUUAGGUGAAGCUUUGUAGGUGAAGCUUUUUUAAGUGAAGCUUUGGGCCCUUGUGAAGCUUUGGAGGUGAAGCUUUUCGGGUGAAGCUUUUUUUGGGUGAAGCUUUUUUGGGUGAAGCUUUUGAGGUGAAGCUUUGUGGGUGAAGCUUUGGAGGUGAAGCUUUUCGGGUUUUUUUGGGUGAAGCUUUGAAGCUUUUGGGUGAAGCUUUUCUUUGUGGGUGAAACUUUGGAGGUGAAGCUUUUCGGGUGAAGCAAGGCCCAAGGCCCAAAUAUACGAGGCCCUAAAUAUGGUAUAAACACAACCUAAAUCAAGAACUCUAUCCCUAUAAAUAGGCUCCCAUUCUCACCAAAAACCUAGGUCCUCACUCUUGCUAAAAUUCUCCAAAGCUCUCAAACACUUUUAUCUCAAAAUUCUAACUUUGGCAUCGAAGGUUCUUCGGCCAAAGCCCCCCCCAUUCAUCGUGGGUGCGUGAGGCUCUUAGCCUUGACCUAAUGUGUUAUUUGUUUUGUAGGUGCAAUUUUGUCCAAGAUCAAGGAGGAAGAAAUUUGCAUCCACACACGUAGUGCCUAAUCAUUGGCUGUGCGGACUCCAUCUUUGCUACAUCAUUAAAUUAAUAGAAAAUUUGAUAUAAUCAAACGACAAGGACCACAUUGAUAUGCGGUGGUAAAUUUUAGGAACGACAUUGACUAAUUUUCAAAUUAAAUAAUCAAAAUGAUGAGUUAGGUCAAUUUCAAAGUAGAUAUAUACAACAUUGCUCCUAUGACCACAUCCUUACAUGGUGAUCAUGCUAAUAGAGCAGUGUCAUUUUGUCACACGUAUGCGUUUAUGUGAAAUUGAAUCACACAUUUUAUAUAAAGAUCAACAAAAGUUAGAUUUGCAGUAGGAUGGACUUCAUAUUAGGCUUGGCAAAUGAGUCGUGUUUAUAUCAUUUUCGUGUCAUAUACCCGUUAUCUUAAUGGGUUGUGUGAAACCUGUUAUCUUAACAGGUGACCCAUUAACAACCUCUUUCCUUAACAGAUCAUGUAUAUUUCGUGUCGGAUUAACGGAUCAUGCUAUAAAUUGUCAUGCUUAAUGUCUAAAUCUGGCAAACAAUAUCUUAUCUGAUUCUUAACAGGUGAUCCGAUAAACGAUCCGACCAGUUAACGAGUUCUUAAUGGGUUACUCGGUAACUACCCGACUCAUUAUCGGGUUGACCAGAAACUACUUAUUUUCAUAUUAUUUCUUGUCAGGUUAACGGAUCGUGUAAGAAAGUGUCUAACAUGCUCCAUAUAAUGGAUGUUUAAGAUAAACACUUUUUAUAUAAGUUUUUGUUAUAAUUUUCUUAUACAAUAAUGUUAUAUUAUCUUAAAUAUCUUCGCAAUGGCGUACAGUACCAGAAAUUUUUUAUUAUGAUCGGAAUACGGAUGAUACACUACGUGUUUUUAUAUAAGUGGUGAAAAAUUGUAUUUUUUAAGUCAUUAAAUUUUUAAUACACAUAUUUCACUAUAUGUAUAGUAACACGUAAUGUACUAUCUUAUAUUUCAAUCAUACUAAAAAAUCUCUCAGUAACCGUUUGUCAGUCUCCCAGUCUAAUCAAGAAUUCGUGAAUCACGAGGCCAACAAGUCUUCAUCCUACUUUAUAUAAGGACAUUGACCGGCACUUUUUUAAAUGCCUUUAGUCCCUCACCCACCCUCAAAACCUCACCACUUUCAUUUUUAUUUUGAAUAAUAAGAAGGUUAAAUUUAGAAAUAAAAUUUACAAAUUAAAUAAUAUGUCAUCAAUAAAAAUAAGAUAAACGAAUCAUCAAUUUUUAUAUCCUUUAGUUUUCAAAAUUUUAUCUCCUUAACAUUACACUUUUACUUUUGUUACAAAAUCUCACAACUUUAAAACCAUCCCAAAAGUUACAACAAAAAUCCAAUAAGAAACCGCAAAAUAUUGGUUUAAUAAAGAUUUGGAUUCUCCAUUCAAGUUCUAACUUUUACAAAUGUAUUUUUUUUAGUCAAUAGCUCUGAUUUGGGUUAAUAAAUACCAAAAAAUAUGAUUCCGCUUUAUAGAUGCUAAAGUCUCAUGAUGAAAUAAAUCAACAUGUUAUCAAUGUGAGGUGGAAUAUUUUCUAAAUUAAAAAAGAAAAAUGUUUACAUUCCUUCUAUAAGCGGACAUUCCUUCUAUAAGCGCAUGAGCUCAUUCUCCCACUUACUUAUAACUUAUAACGUAUAUUCAUCAUAAAAGUUUCAUAACUAAACCUUUCAAUCUUCUAAUAUUCAUUUGAAGAUUAUCCAUAUAAAAAGUCAUUUGAAUCAGAUACCGUUUAGUCAUCUAAAUGUAUGAAAAAAAAAUCAACGAUUCAUUAUGAAUAUGCUACUUGUUAUCAACACCGUUGAUUUAUUGAUACAUUUGGAUGACUAAACGAUAUCUAAUUCGAAUGAUUUUUAUAAAGAUGAUUUUCAAAUGAAAAUUAAGAGACUAAAUGGUUACGAUUAUGAAACUUCUACGAUUAAGAUAUGUUAUUUGCAAGUAGAGAAAUAAGUUCAUUCCCAUAAACAGAAUGAAGUAUUCGGUGUUCUAAGAAGCAGCGUAGCCAGCCCCUAGGCGAUAGGCCGUAAGUUGCCGCUGCGACAAUCCCUAAUCGGUCUGAAAAUUGGAAAGCUUGUUAAGCGGCUCCUUGAUUUUAAUCCCUAAUCCCUGAUUUUUUUUAUUUUUUUAUUUAUUAUUUAUUUUAUGCAAACCGACAGCGCAUUCGAAGAAGAGGAUGGCUUGUCUACAUGUUGUCGUUUUGCCAAAAGUUGCCUGUUUCGGUUUUUAUUCAAACUUUUUGUUAUCACUUUUCGUUUUCUUUUAUUUUAAUCAGCGAGUGACUUUUCACUUUUAUUAUUAUUAUUGUCUAUUUGUAAGACACUACUGUCUCUCACCAAUAAUAUCUGCACUUUUUUAUUUUGUCUUGGCUAUGUCUAUCCUAUAUAUUAAUAAUAGCACACCUUUUAUCAAUUUUUUUAAGAGUUUUAACAAAAAAAAAUUCCGAUACUGUUCAUUUUUAACGAAAAACUACAUUUAUAUAUUUUCCUGAUACCAUUCACUAUACCUUUAAAAAUGACUUUUCAUUAAAAGUGAAGGUUUUUUGGACUUUUCAUUAUUUUAUUUUUUUUGUUUUUGAACAAAGACCCUUUAUCAAUUAAAAGCUAAGGAGAAUAUAAGUGUAAAUAGUUACUUAUUUAUAUGAUACAUAAUAAAUUUGCUUAAUAUGUUUAGUCUGCCAAGUCGCCUAAACGUUAGGUCUUACUUCGCCACUCGACUAGAGCUUAGUGCCUUUUAGAACCAUGCAAUUGUUAUACUUAAAAAAAAUCUCUCGAUUCAAGGGAAAAGAGAUUAGUUUGGCUCAUCAAUGAACAAGGAGUUUCUCUUUAAUUCACCUUGUGGCCAAUUUAUGGGAUUUUAUGCUCUUAUGAGCAGAACCAUUCAUGUUAUAAAACAUUUUGUAAAGGCCAUCUCUUAAAAAAAAUCAAUAAACUAUGAGAUCGUUUAGUCAUCACACUGUAUAAAAACAUAUGAAAGAAUCUAGUAAAAGAAUUACAAAACCAUCUAUCCAUUAGCUACAAUAAUUGACUAGACGACUUUAUUUUCUAUUGAUCUUUUUUUUUUCUUUUUUUGGUUGACAACGGGGCUUAAUGCCGAAAGAAUAUGAAGAUUAGAUAAGAAUAUAACGAGGUCACGAGACCCAAACUAUAUUUGCAAUUAGUAACAGAUGACAAGGAGGUGCUUGCUCAAAAAAUACUGAACUCAAACUACAUGACAAACACAAACGAGCCAAAUCAUCAGCAACAAAAUUCUUUUCACGAUAGAUAUAACGAACUUCUAUUGAUCUUUUAAUUUUUGCAAAGUUAUUUAUAAUACGAACAAUUUCAAUAAACUAAAGGUAAUCGAUCACAAAGUAUCUUUAAAAAUAAAAUAAAAAAAAACCUCCUCAAUCUAUUUAAGGAGCCAACCUCGCUCAAGAGAAAAUCCAAAAUCCAAACUCCAAUAACAAAAAGCAAAAGCUUCUUCCCUUGUUCCGCCUUGCCCUUCCCUCUCCUUUCCUUCCAUCUUCUCAAGAAACAAACAGAAACCACUACAAGCAACAACAUUAGCAAGAAAAUAAAGAAAUACAUAAACCCAAUAAGCACCAUUACAAUCUCGAAGUACGACAUACAACCUCUCUCUCUCUCUGUCUCAAGAUUUCAGCUUCAGAAUUUGACAUCUGAAAGUGAAAAGUUAAUCUUUUUGUGUUUUUUUUUUCUUGAUUCCCAGAUCCGACUACGCAAAAGAGCGCAACACCCAAGACGGCCGGAGAGCGAUGUUGUCAUCGUCGACAACAAGCGUUCACGUCAUGGCCCUGGACGGCCUGGUCAACGUGAACUCACUCUUCACCAUCGCCGUCUUCGUGGGGCUUUCUCUGGCGACUCCGGGACAGAGGAGCCUCGAGAACCGGACAUCCUGCGACGCCGGGAUCGACGUGGCGAAGGAGCUGCUGGUGUUCGAGGUUGUCUCCUUCAGCUUCUUCCUGUUCUCAUCGCUGGUGGCGCAGGGACUGAAGCUGGCGAUCAACCUGCUCAACAGCAAGGAUGUCAAGGAGGCGUUGCAUACCAACAUCAAUAUGAAGGUGUUGAGAUUCGGGAUGUUGGGGUCGGCUUUCGGGUCGGUCAUGGGUUGCGUGUUUCUGGUGCUGUCGAUGGUGAAUGUGAUUCAGAUCAGGCUGGGGAUGCUUUCGUGUGGCAGCAAAUCCGCCGUCCAUGCUGUGGCGCCGCUUGUUGUUUUGGUCACGACGGCUCUUUUGGUUUAUAUUUCUACUGCUGUUUAUGCUUUUCUUCACUAGCUGCUGAAUGCAUAUUUAUGCAAGUCUCUUGUACGAUAUCAUGAAAGUGUAAGAUAGACCCUUAAGCAAUAUAAGAGCAAUUCCACCCCUAAGGACUUUGCGCCAGCACCUAGCGCAUUUAUCCACUCAAAUAAACAGUAACAGACUCUAAUGAACAGUAAUAGGUCAAGGCAUCUCCACCCCUAAAAAAAUGCGCUAGCACCUAGUGAAAAAAUGCGCUGGCACAAACGAUCUCCAUCCCUACAAAAUGCGCUGGCACCCAGCCCAUUUAAAAUAUUUUUAAAUUUUGUCUAAAAGAAUAAAAAAAUAAAAUAGUUUUAAUUUCGGAUAGGAUUUUUAAUCAAUCUCGUCACGCCACGUGUCAUUAUCUGAACGUACUAUUUUGUGAAUAGAUUUCCGCUAAGAUUUUCAACCAAUCCCGACACGCCACGUGUCACUUCCGUUUUACAAUAAUUUAGCCAAGAUUUCGAUAAGAUUUUUAACCAAUCACGUCAUGCCACGUGUCAUUAUCUGAACGUAUUUUGUGGAUAGAUUUCUGAUAAUAUUUUCGACCAAUCCCGACACGCCACGUGUCACUUCCGGUUUACAAUAAUUUAGCCAAGAUUUUGAUAAGAUUUUCAACCAAUCACGUAGUGCCACGUGGCAUUGUCCAGAACCUCAUCCUUUCUUUUUUUGUCCAUAUAAACCAUACAUCCCUACAUCCAUCCUCACACCAAGCUCAAUCCUUCUUUUUAGCUCAGAAUCCUUGUUCAUCGUUUUCAAAUCUUGAGUUCUUAUUACAAUGUCUUCUUCAAGAAGGGUGUAUAAACAGUUGCAGGAGCAACAACAAAGGUUGUUGGCACAACAGGCAGAAUUGGCCAAUCUCGAGGAAGGUGGAGGUGGAGGUGGAGAUGAGGCUUUCUUCAUGGAGGAGGAUGAGGGUGGAAUAAAUUAAAAUUUGGUGCGGGUGGAAUGCAUAUAAAAAUUACAUAAGAAAUAACAUAAAAAUUACAUACGAAAUUAAAUAAAUCAAAAUAUUGAUGUGGGUGGAAUGCAUAUAAAUAAAUAAAAAUAUUGUCACCUGAUCCGCUAAACUUGUCCCACUACGAAGGUUACCAGAAGCAUGAGAGAUGGCGUUUUUCUAACAAGUAAAGGAUGCGUUGAAUUUUUUCCAACGACCUUGAAGACCUUGACUAGUUCUGGCGUUUUCUCCAUGUACAUCUGUUGACCCUAGAAACUACCAAGCCUACGUGGCGCGCAGGCCGAGUAAUCUAUAAGCUAACUACGUCCUUCGGUGAAUGCGGGGCGUGCCAACUCGUCGGCCGAGCUCGGCCGAGGAGUAAAUUUUGCUGAUGUCGCGUUGGAUGCGCGGCUGACUUCUGCGUCUUGCGAUUGCGGCCGAGAAAGGAACGCGUCUCGGCCUUUUGGGCUCUCGAACCUGAAGACAAGGUUACUAUCCUUACGAAGUUCAAUAUCAAAUUCGGCUCUCAAUGUGCCGAAUGUAAUAACUGUAACACCUCACUUUGCCGAGAAGACUGAUGAGAUGACCUCGACCAAUAAGGAUUCAAAAAUCCUUCUCGACCGAGACUUGGAUAGGUAAUCAACCGUCCUCGCCGCAGUGCUGUUGAUGCCAACGAAAGAUGCUGCGAGACCGGCUGAUUCUACGGUGACAGAGCUAUCUAUGCCGACUUAAGAUAUCACCGGUUGCUUUCACAGUGCUGUUGAUGCCAACGGAAGAUAUGUCAGCGAAAAAAGAAAGAAAAAAUCUCAAGUUGUUGAGUUUGCGCAAGGCAGUUGUAUUCAUUUGCAGGUCAUUUUUCCGUUGUUCGUGACUCUGUAUUUAUAGUGGCUGAUGUACUUGCUUGGCACGGCUAGAUAGAGUUUGACUGCAACUCUAACUCACUAAAUAAAAUUUGAUCCAUAGCUUUUAAAAUUCUGCGACCUCCAAAAUAAAGCCCAUCCAGGCUUUAUCACAUCUAAUCUACCUAGGCUUCUGAUUUUAUUAAAACCUCCAGCAGAAACCUUCACUUCAAUCACACAAAAAGCCUAGUCUAGCUAGGUUUGUUGUGUCAUCAUCUCAACCUAGGCCUAUCACAUCACCACCAAAAUCCAAUCUAAUCCUAUCCUAUUUAGGCUUCUUCAUAAUCUAUGCAACCUGAUCCCCACCAUAUUUUAAAUAAACAAUAAUCAAUUUGCACCACACACCACACAUUCGCGCUCCAGAACACCCAAGUCAGAUUGACUUGUGCUGCCAUGUUUCCAGUUGGAAAUAUAUCUCUUAUCUUUCAUAAUAAAUUACUAUUAAAAGAUAAUUAUGAUAACACCAUAACAUUAUCCUUUAAUAAUAAUAAAAUGAAUUAUCUCUACUUUUCAUCUGACGGUGUGAAACUUUGCUCAUUCAACGGCCUUGAUUACACGGGCCGAUUGUGUAAAUUUGGGUCCAAACAACAUCGCAAAACGCUUUCGUAAUUUUACUCCACAUUUCUCGCUUAUCCAUCACAUUCCCCGUAAUUGGGUCAUGAGUAGUGUGAACCCAACAUUCACACAACGUAAUAUCUUCAAUGAGCCUCCACGAAGACAUUUUUUCUCUUAAAGUGUAGAAAAUAUUGAAAUGUAGAUAGUAUAGAAAGUGUAGAAAAUAUUGAAAUGUGGUGUAAAGGUGGAAGAUGAGGGUUAGGUAUUUAUAGGAAAAAAUUUAACAUUUUUCAAAAUUUUCUGUAAUUUUUUUAAAAUUUUAUGUAUUUUUUAAUAAUUUUUCUGUAUUUUUUUAAUAAUUUUUAAUGAAUUUUAAUAUAGUUAAUUAAUCUGGACCGUUGGAUUUGAAAAAUAUUCAAAUCCAAGAGACAGGGAGUUGCCACGUAGCCAACGGACAUAUUUCUGACCGUUGGGCCUUUUUUUUUACUUUUUUGUGAAAAAAAGUGGACCGUUGAUCUUUGAUCCGACAGUCUAUUUUAAAAGUAAAAUUAAAAUUUUUUUUACCGUUGGAUUUCCAACGGCACAAAGAGAGCCACGUCGCCAACUCGGGGGGGGGGGGAACUGAGUGCGCUUGCACGCGGGCCCGCGUUCUGAAAUCCUGUCGGGCACUCGCUCCAGCGCCUCCGUGAAGCGCACGCGCCAGGCAAACUGCCCAACUUCUUGCUCAGUCUUUUUUGGGCUGGUCCAGAGCCCAGCUCGGGCUGGGUACCAGUCAAGUUGAGGGGGUGGACUUGGUUGACAGGGUCCUGGCCUUGUUUUUGUGCUGGGUCCUGGGCAAAGUCCACUGGGGUGGAAUUUCUCUAAGGGCCAACUUUAUAUUAACUUAACCACCAACCUAAAGAGAAUGCAUAUUUAUGCAACUCUCUUAUACGAUAUCAUGAAAAUGUAAGUUAGACCUUAAGCAAUAUAAGGAGUGACUCUAUGGAUUCAUUUGGAUGUACUUUUAAAAAUGAUUAAAAAAAAAUUUGGUUAAAUUGAUUUGAGUUCCAAAAGCACUUUAAGUGACUUUUUGAAGAAGCAUCAGAUAUGUAUUUCUUGUAGGAAGCACUAAAGUACUUUUCCAGGAUCCAUUUGGAUUUUUACUAAGGAUUGGUAUCAAAAACAUUUUCACCAAAAGCGCUUUCACUCAUUUUAAAAGCACAUCCAAACGAGCCCUAUAUCAACUUAGCCACUAACCUGAAGAAGAUAUCGUCUCAGGAAAUAAGGCAAGGAACUAAAGUUCUUCUACAACUCUACACAACUGGAAAACAAGGCUCACUAAAUGGGGCUUGAGUAUUUCUAUAAAACUUGCGUGUAAAGUGAGAGUGUAGGGACCUUAGUUAUAUAUUGUAUGUGAUGGGUCUUUGAUUAGGAGUCCUCCCCUUAAGAAAACCUUAUCAAAGAUUGACCUUAUCAUCGAGAAUCACUUAUGCAUUAUAUCGGCUAGUAGAGUUCUAAUUUAUCUAAGAGUGUUUCUAACUUGAAUACCGAAGGAAUACAACUCCUGAAAAGUGUACCACAUGUGUCAAUCCUAAUCUCCUUGUUGUCCCAAAAGUCUUUGUACAAAUUACAAAGUGUUUGCUCUCAAAUAGUACUUACAUUCUCCCACUAGAGCAAAUACUUUGUAAAGUUGUAUAAUUAUACUUGAGUUGGAAAGAAUCUGUAUUGGUCAUGAGAUUAGUAUUCGACACUUCUUAGUUUACCAGUCUUUGUCAUUGUCAAGCAUUUAUGUGAACUAUAGGGUAACACACUCAAUUCAUUGAAGAGUACCAUCCCCAUAAUUACUUACAAUAAAACUUACCAACACAUAAGACUCCAGCAAGAUAUAUGAUAUGUAAGACACAGCUGAACAUGUAUUAAAUGUGUUAAACAUUUGGUCCAUUUUCCGAAUUGAAAACGAUCUUUGUGCUUCUAUAUGAAGCCCUUAGGAUGUCUAUCACUUUAUAAUGAAUGAAAAAUCAUAAAGUAUCAUGUAAUAAACACAUUCAUGCAUUAUCAUAACUAAUAGUUGAACUCUUUAAGGGAACUUGAACAACCUUUCAACAUUAUUCUUUACUAGCUAAGAAAACUUCAUCAUUAAUACUCAAAACUUAUCCUCCAUAGCAUAAACUGUAACUGAAUAAAAACUAACAUAAAGGUUAAACCAAUUACAUAACUCCCACUAAUUCGCUGCAUCGAAAUCAGCCAAGACUCUCAUUCUAGUGACAUGCUUCUUAAAGACAAUCAUGAGAACUGCUUUAUUUAAUGGAUCAACAAUCAUUUAUCCAGUCUCCAAAUAAUCGACUUUAACUAAUCCAGCUACCACCUUCUCUCGAGCAAUGAAAUACUUUCUAUCCAAGUUCCUUGUUGCAUUAGACCUCUUAUUAUUCUUAGUAAAGAAUAUGGCUGCAUUGUUAUCACAUAAAUCUGUAUAGGUCUCGAUAUAGAAUCCACAGCUUGAAGCCCAAGUAUGAAGUUCUUCAACCAAAUAGCUUGAUCCACUGUUUCACAAACUGAUAAAUAUUCGACAACUAUAGUUGAUGCUGUCACAGUUCCGUGUUUCACAUUUUUCCAAGAGACCGCACCACAUGCCUUUAGGAAAACAUAACCUGUCAUCGAUUUCAUAUCAUAUGGGUAACCUGUGUCUAAAUCAUUAUAUCCUUCCAAAACCAAACUCCGAGUUCUUCUAUACACUAACAUAUGGUCUUUAGUUCUCUGAAGGUAUCUCAAAACCCUUUUGGCAGCAUUCCAGUGGGCUUCUCCAACAUUGGAUUGAAACCUACCAAGCACAAAGAUGGUGAAAACCAAGUCAGGCCUUGUGCACACCUGUGCAUACAUCAAACUUCCCACCAAAGUACAUUUGGUUUGUCUUCCAUAGUCUUCCUCGCCAAGUCUGUUUUUGGACAUUGCAGUUUACUCAAUUUAUCACCCCCUGAUAUAGGCAUUUAUGUGGUUCCACAUGAAGACCUGUUGAAUCUUUUUAACUCUUUUUCUAUGUAUGCCCUCUGUGACAAUCUCAGUAAACCUCUCAUUCUAUCUUUUUUGAUCUCAAUCCCCAAAACAUGUCGCUUCUCCCAGGUCCUUCAUUUCAAAAUGCUUCUAUAAUAAUGUUUUUGUCUCAUCCAACAAAUUGUGACUAUUUGUGGCAACCAAUUUAUCAUCCACAUAGAGAACUAGGAUGAUAAAGUUGCUCCCACUGAACCUUAGAUAGAUGCAAUUGUCUAAAGGGUUUUCAGUGAAGCCAUGUUCUUUCACAACUCUAUGAAACUUCAAGUACCGCUGUCAUAAUGCUUGCUUCAAUCCAUAAGUGGAUUUGUUGAGCUUGCACACUAAGUUUCUUCCUUCUCCCUCUUUAAAACCUUAUGGUUGUCGCAUGUAAAUACAUUAUUUCAGAUCCCCAUUCAGGAAUGCCGUUUUUACAUCUAUUUGAUGUAAAAUUAAAUCAAAAUAAGCCUCCAUAGACAUGAUAACCCUAAAAUCAUCUUUUGUUGAUACAUGACUGAAUGUUUCUUUAUAGUCUACACUCUCAUUCUGUGUGAAGCCUUUUGCAAUGAGCCUGGCUUUGUGCAUUUCUAUGUUUCCAUUUGAAUCCCUUUUUUGUUUUAAAGACCCAUUUGCACCCUAUGGGUUUUGUUCCUUCUGUAUGUUCCACUAAGUCCCAUACUUGGUUGUUUGCCAUCGAGCUUAAUUCACUCUUCACGCCUUUAUCCACUUGUUUGCAUUUGGUCCUGCAAUAGCUUCUUUGUAACUCAUCAGAUCAUUUAACUCUGAAAGAUCAGUGUCAACCUCUGUCAAAUACACGAAAUCACUUAAGGUUGUAGGUUUUCGAACCCUAGAUGACUUUCUUACAGCACCUGCAACCAUAAAAUUGUCUUCUUGUGCUUGUUGUUGUUGAUGAUUUUAUGUCAUAGCAUCUUCAAGAACAUCUUGAAUAACUGUAUUAUUAUGCAGUUCAGUGUCAUGUGCAGCCUCUAUCUCGUUGUAUGGUUCAUCAGAAUCAUUACUUCUCAUGUUCUCAGUUACUAUAAUCAUUAGUGCCAUUACCCAUGUGUUACGAUCAACUUCCUCAACUGUAGCUUCUAUUUUCAUUAGUGUCUUCUUCAAAUACGAAUUCUUCAACCCUUGUUCCAGAAUCAUUGCUUGCAUCAGACUCUAUGAAAACUGCUUUUCCAAUUUCGACAAUUCUAGUAGUUUGAUUAGGGCAAUAGAAUCUAAAACCCUUCGAUCUCUCAACAUAUCCAAUAAAAUGACAACUAAUAGUCUUGGAAUCGAGUUUCUUGUAGCCUGGGUUAUAGAUUUUUGCCUCUGCCCUACAACUCCAUACAUGCAGAUGGUUCAAACUUGGUUUUCUGCCUGUCCAAAGUUCGAAAUGUGUCCCUUCCACAGAUUUUGAAGGUACCCUAUUAAUUAUAAAAUUCACAGUUUUCACUGCUUCACCCCACAAACAACUUGGAAGAUUGGUUUUACAAAUCAUGCUUCUUAGUUUUAAUUUGCAACCUUUUUUUAUUUUUAAAUUUGUACUAAUUUUCUUUUUAGUUUUAAUUUGUAACUAUAUAUUAAUCUAAAUUUCUAAUUUUUUAUUUGUAACCAUAAUUUAUUUAUAAUGUAACCAUUCUACUUUAUAAAUGUACCACUUUGUUAUAUGUAAAAUGUUCCAAUUUUUGUCUAAAUGUAUCAUUUUUAUGUGAAAUGUACCCAUUUUGUAGUAUAAAAUCUAUAAAUGUAUCAUUUUUCAAUUUCAAAUUAACCCUGAUUUAGAAGUAUACAAUAGAACAUUUAUUUUGUUCAAAAAAAGAAUAUACAAAUUGUGUGUGUGUGUGUGUGUGUGGUGUAUUUUUUUUUUUUAACAAAAUGGUGCACAUUGUAUAUUCUUUUCCUUGGGUACAUUCUUUUUAUUUUUUAUUAAAUAGUUUGUUGAGCCAAAAUUAAUGUGUACAUUAUUUUCCUCUUGUUUUAAAUGUACCCAUGAUUUUUUUUUCUCUUAUCCUUUUUUAUUUGGGUACGUACAUUGUUGUGUCAUGCAGGAGUACAUUUUUGCUGUUGUCAAGUUCAUGGGUACAUGCAAAAUUAAUUUACUAGGUGUAUAUUAUUUCACUUGACACUACUCAUUAAAAUUUGCAAAACUUUGUGCACAAUGGUUUGUUAUGUACAUUGUUUUUAGUCUCAUAAUCCAUGAGACUUUUACCAUUUAUAGUGCGAAAAUGGUGAGAUUUGUUAAAUACAAUUUAAGUUAAAAGAGAAAAUAACUAACAUAAAAUAUAUUAAUGCUAAUAUGCUAAUGUGUACAAAGUUAAACGACUUUGAUCAAAAUAUAAAAAUCAAUAAGGUUUCAAUUAAAAAAUAUUGGUGAUUAGAGACCGCAUCCAAAGUAUCUCUUAUUAUUAAUAGGUAAAAUAAAAACCCAAUAACACUAGCUUUGAAAUAGAAAUCAACUUUCUUUUCAUGGAAGGAGCAUAAACAACAGUAUCGAACUCUAAAUAAAAACCAAAUUCUAGUUUUAGCCUAACACUUCCUAAGGCUUUGACUUCAACUCUCCUUCCAUUGCCAACCGAAAUUUUGACUUCAUCCUUAUUUGGUGUUCUCCUUGUUGUGAAGUCCUGCAAUGAAUUUGUAACAUGUAUAGAAGAGCCUGAGUCAAGCCACCAUUAAGUGCUAGGUAUGUUAAUUAAAUUAAAUUUAAAACAAGCAAAAACAUUUUUACCUUUCUUUACUUCUUGUUUGGCAAGCCAAGCCUUAUAUUUGGGAUAGUUUCUCUUCAUGUGGCCUUCUUUUUUGCAAAAAUAACACUCGAAAACUGAAGGUUUAUUAAGUUUGAAGUUUCUUUUAGGUGAGGGAGCCCUUUUGGUAACAUCCUUUUUGGCAGCAUCAGGGACAUAAGGUUUGGUAGCUUUAAUGGUACUUUGCACGAAGUUCACAUACUCAUACUUCUCUUUUUCAGACUUUUCUUUCUUCAUCCUCUCUUCUUCACUCACACAAAUGGCUAUCAACUUAUUCACAUCCCAUUUUUCACGCAGACCAUAAUAAUAGACUUUGAGUUGUUUAUAAUUCUCAGGCAAGGAAGGAAUUCAUUAUCACAUGUAGGGCUGGAAAAAAAUCCCAAAAAUCCCAAACCAAACCAAAAAAAUCCCGAUCCCAAACCAAAAUUCCCGAAAGUUUCGAGAUGUAAUCCCAAACCAAACCGAAAGUUUCGGUAUGGGAUUCGGUAUUGCAUUUCAUUUUUUCGGUAUUCCCAUACCGAACCGAAAAAAAAAUAUAAAUAUAUAUAUAUAUAUAAUUUUUUAAUUAUAAGAGAAUUAUUUCAACCGUUGAUUGUUUUGGAUUUAAUCUGUGCCGUUGAUUUGUUUUUAGGUCAUAUCACAUUUCACUUUUGUAGUUCCUCCGUUCAUUUGUUUGGAAGCGCAACCCUGAGCCUCCGGUCCUCACCAACGUCGUCCCUCACCAUACUGUCGAAUUCCGACCAGCCACCGGCCCACCACCACACCAUACUCUCAUCUCUGACUCUCCAGCCUUCCUUCACCACACAACCACCGCUCUCUCUCGCGAUCUCUCUCUCUCUAGGGCGAUUGUCUUUCACGGACAGGUCAGGUCACAGAACUGGGGAUCUCUCUCACGGUCUCACCACUACACCGAGUCUGAGUCUCACUCUCACCCCAAAUUAGGUAAUUAAUUUAGUUUUCUGAAAUCUCUCUAUCUCACCGUCACACACACACCUCUCGCUCUCUCUCUUUUCUUUUGCGAUUUUGUCUCUUCAUCUGGAUCGUCUUUGAAAUGAUAGUAUAUAUUCGUCAUUUGCAUGUUAGUAUAUAUUCGUCAUUUGAAAUGAUAGUAUGUAUUCUCUCUGUAAUAUGAAGUUAUGAACAAUCCUCUGUAAUAUGAAAUGAUUGCAUAUUCUCUGAAAGAAUUUUUCGAAUUGGGUAGAAAAAAAUACCAAUUACAUAUGUGAUUCACAUGUGCCAGAAACGUAUCAGAAAUUGGUACCUCAAGUGCAUUGAGUUUUCUAGCCACAUCCACCAUCUUCAAUAUGUACUCUCGCACACUUUGGAUCCCAUCAUAUCUCAUGUUAGUAAGAGCAUUCAUGAGAUUACCUGUCUCAGUUUUUGGCGACUCCCUAUACUUGUCAUCAAUGGACUUUAGAAAGUCUUUUUCAUUUGUUGCAUCAGGAAAGCCACUUUUCACCACAUCUGUCAUGAUCCUUUUGAUGUCAACAGAAAGAUUCUGUUGGAUUUGUGCCAUUUUUAAUACUUGGAUUUCUGACUGGAUGUGCUGUCAUCAGUAGGUGUUGGAGGCUCCUUAGUUCUCAGCGCCAUACCCUAGUCCAUGACUCCUAGAACGAUUUCGAGAUCUUGUUUCCACUUUCUGUAGUUGACACCAGUAAGAGGCUCAACUGUAUUGAGGUUCAUCGAGUUGGGAUUCACUGAAGAAGACAUUCAUUAUGUAAGGAGUAUUAAUCUUUAACCCCAACCUAUAAAUCACCUUUUUCAACAUCUUUAGGCUGAUUAAUAUGUGAAAGCUGUCUUUAAUCACAUCGCUGAUUAAUAUGUGAAAGCUGUCUGUAAUCACAUCGCUGAUUAAUAUGUGAAAGCUGUCUUUAAGCACAUCACUUUAUAGUCAACAAUCGAAUUUUUGUAAUUAAGAUCACAAGCCUUCGUGGUUGAAAAUAUUAAUUUGAUUCAAAUAUAUAAUAUGCUGCUUAAAUAAAUUCGAAGCAUGAAAGAAAGAUCGUCCUUAGAUGAGUGAUCAUGUCUUGAAUUUAAGCACCAUUACUGGUGCAUGUAUCGACUGAAAAAUAUGUAUAUCCUUAUGAUCAAGAAAACUUUAGUCAUCCUUGAACGUGUUUAUAUAUUUUUCCCUGAUGAUACAGUUCCAGUUCCAUAACAUGCGAGACAAAUUAAAAUUUCUUGAUGCCUUCUACGUAGGGUCGAAUGAUAUGUGAGGGCUCUGAUAUCAAAUGUAAGAUAGACCCUUAAGCAAUAUAAGGACUGACUCUAUAUCAACUUAACCACUAACAUAAAGAAGACAUUGUCUCAGGAGAUAGGGCAAGGAAUUGAAGUUCUUCUGCAACUCUACACAAUUGGAAAGCAAGGCUCACUCAAUGGGGCUUGAGUAUUUCUAUAAAACUUGCAUGUAAAGUGAGAGUGCAGGGAUCUCAGCUAUAUAAUGUGUGCAAUGGUCUUCGAUUAGGAGUACUCCCAUUAAGAAAACCUUAUCAAAGAUUAACCUUAUCACCGAGAAUCACUUAUGCAUUAUAUCAGCUAGUAGAGUUCUAGAUUAUCUAAUAAUGUUUCUGACUUGAAUACCAAAGGAAUACAGCUACUAAAAAGUCUACCACAGGUGUCAAUCCUAAUCUCCUUGUCGUCCCAAAAGUCUUCGUACAAAUUACAAAGUGUUUGCUCUCGAAUAGAACUUAUUGAAAAUUGCAUAUUUUUGUCUCCAGGUAUUGAAAUAUCAUUGUAAUGGUAUCUAUGCGAAUUUCACAUAUUUCUUUGCACGGAAGUUCUUUGUUCGAGAUUUUAGGUGACCCUGUUUUGGUAGAGAGUGACAAAUCUUGAAAAGAGGCAACUUAAAAUAGACUUUGCUUCAUUUGAGUACUUAGGUAAUGUUGGUCGGACACUUGGAAUUAGGGGGGUUAUGGGUUACAGAUAUUUUGGAGAUAAACUUACCCAGACUGGCGAUGACCUUGUGGCGAUCUCAUAGCCAAUCGAUCACAUAUGCGUUAUCAUGUGGAGUAGGACUCUCGGUCGCGAUAUUGUUAUGAGAUAUUGUCACGGUAGCAUCCCGUUGCGAUAUCCAUUAAUUCCAUCCAGUUGCUAGUGAAAAAUAUGGUUGACUUUUGUACGACACCAUUAGGUGAUAUUAGAAUACGGUUUUUGGUGUCUUUCCCUUCUUGACGGGAGGAGACAUCAACUCAUCGGAACAGCCAUAAUUGGCCAUGAUAAAUCUGUAUAAACUCGGAUUGACAUGUUCAUUUGGUUGCAUUGGACUCGUUUCAACAUCCCGAUUAACUGUUGGUCUUGGUCUUGCAUUUGAGACCCUUGUUUUUUCGUUUGUCGAACAUUUCCACCCAAAUCGAACUCGUGCUUGACUUGGGGCUAGGGUUUCCACAACAACUAGAAAAGGGAAAUUAUAAUCUCAUUUCAAUUUUUGUUUACUGAUAUGCUACUUGGUAUCAACAUCGGUGAUUUAUUGAUACAUUUGAUACUAAACGAUAUCUGAUUCGAAUGAUUUUUAUAGAGAUGAUUUUCAAAUGAAGAUUAAGAGAUUGAAUGGUUACGAUUAUAAAAUUUUUACAUUUAAGAUAUGUUUUUUGCAAGUGGAGAAAUGAGAUCAUUUCAAUAUAUGAGAAUGAAAGUAUUCAGUGUUCUAAAAAGCAGCCUAGGCAACUCCUAGGUGUUAGGCGGUGAGUUGUCACUGCGACAAUUCCUAAUCAGUCUGAAAAUCAAAACGCUUGUUAAGCGGCUCCUUGGGUGGAGCUAGGUACGGUAGGCGGAAAUUUGUAGAGAGCUAUGCCGGAAUCUGAAUUUUUUUGUAUGCAGACCGACGACACAUUCGAAGAAGAAGAUGGCUUGUCUACAAGUUGUCGUUUUGCCAAAGGUUGUCAGUUGCUGUUUCAGUUUUUUAUUCAAACUUUUUUGUUUUGAGAGCCCACCAUUUUUUUUUUUUGAUUUUUUUAAUGGGAAACUCCCAAUGAAAAAUCAUAUUUUUAUAUUAAAAAGUCAAUCCUGGUACUAUUCACUUUACUUUUUAUUUUGUCUUUAUCAUUAAAACUCAAAAUUUUGAAGCCAUUUUCAUUUUUUUUUAUCACUUUUCGUUUUCUUUUCUUUAAUCAGUAAGUGACUUUUUCACCUUUAUUGUUAUUAUUUUUUUUCUCGUUUUAAGACACCAUUGUCUCUCACCAAUAAUAUUUGUACUUUUUUAUUUUGUUUUGGUUAUGUUUAUACUACAUAUUAAUAAGGGGUGUGUAGAUAUACACACCAUUUUUUACUUCUCACACACCUCUUAUUAAUUUAUAUCCGUUGAUCUUCUUCAUUUCAUCCGAUCCGAAAGCCGAAAAUUGGAAGGGUGUAUGAGAAGUAAAAAAUGGUGUGUGGAGAUCACACCCCAUUAAUAAUAGCAUACCUUUUAUCAAUCAAAAGAUAGGGUAAAAACAAGUAUACGGGUAGAUAAUUACUUAUUUAUAUGAAAUAUAAUAAGUUUACUUAAUCUGUCUAGUUCGUCUAGUCGCUUAGAUGCUAUGUCCUAACUCGUCACUCGUCUAGCUAGGCCGUAGCCCGCUACUCAACUAUAGCUUAGCGUCUUUUAGAGCCAUGCAAUUAUUAUCCUUAAAAAAAAUCUCCAGAUUCAAGAGAAAAGAGAUUAAUUUGGUUCAUCAAUGAAUGAGAAGGAGUUUCUCUUUAAUUCACCAUGUGGCCGAUUUAUGGAGAGAUUUUUUCAGUGUGAUCGAAACAUGGGGUGAUACACCACUUGUCACUAUACAAAUGGUGGGAUAUGUGUGUUAAAAAGUUAAUAACUUAAAUAUUAAAAUUUUGGGUAAAUUACACUUUACCACCUUAUACAACACUUCAAAACAUUUCACUUUCAUACCUCACCUACUAUUUAAUUUUAAUAUAGUACCCCCGUUACAUUUUCCAUCCAUUGAUCCAUUAAGAGCUGGUGUGGCGGACACAUUUGUGCCACGUGGCAAAAAAUUUAAUUUUUUAUUCAUUUAAAAUAUUAUAAUAAUUUACCCCUAAAAAAAACUCAAACUCAAAACCACCUCUCUGCAACCCCCACCCCUGCAAACAAACCCAGAAACAUUCACCCCCACCUCCCUCUCCUCCACUCUCUUCACCUCCCUUCCCAAAAAUCCUUUUCUCAGUCCUCUCCUCACUCACCAUUUCUGACUGUUUCUCUCUAUCUCCCCUCUCUCUCUAGGAGAUGAGUCCUCAAACCCUAACCUUAAUCUCAUGCACUAUUCUCUCUUCUUCUUCCUCUUCCUAUCGCCGAUCAAUUCGUAGAGACACUCGUCGACGAUCUCCGCUCCCACAGAAAAAGCAAGAGCUUGGACGGAGGGGGUGGCUUGGGUGGGAUUUUUGGGCAUGGCGGUGGUCUCCGGGAAGGUAGGGGUGGGGUGGGGGGUUGCGGGGGAGGUGAGGGUCGGGUGGAAUGGGGUGGGAUGGGAUGGGGUGUUUGGGUUGUAGGGAAGGGGGAGGGUCGGGGGGUUCUAGGUUUGUUUGGUUUUUUUUUUAAAUAGGGUAAAUAUUAUUAUAUUUUAAGUGCAUAAAAAUUAUUAUUUUUGCCACAUGGCAUAAAUUUGGCAGCCACAUCAGCACAAAUAUGGAUCCCAUAUUUACCACGUCAUCAUUUAACGGUUUACUUAAUGGAUUUUCUAACGGAUGUAUGAAAUUGAAAUAAAAUGAUAAGUAAAUGUAUGAAAUUGAAAUAAAAUGAUAAGUAAAUGUAUGAAAUUGAAAUGUUUUAAAGAUGUUGUAAGAAAUUGAAAUUGACCACAAACAUGAGGGGGUAAAAUGUAAUUUACCCUAAAAAUUUUCACCACUUAUAUAAAAACACGUGGUGUACCACUCAUGUUCCGGUCACAAUGAAAAAAUUUCCGAUUUAUGGGAUUUUAUGCUCUUAUGAUCUGAACUAUUCAUAUUAUAAAAACACUUUGUAAAGAUCACUCUUCAAAAAAAUCAAUAAAAUAUGAGAUCGUUUAGUUAUCAAACUGUAUAAAAACAUAUAAGCGAAUCUGGUAAAAGAAUUACAAAACCAUCUAUCUAUUAGCUUCAAUCAAUUGAUUAGACGACUUUAUUUUCUAUUGAUCUUUUUUUUUUGGUUGGCUACAGGCAUAGAUUUAAAUAUCGAUAUUAUCGGCGAAAUAUCGCUGAUAAUAUCGAUUUUUCGGGGAAUGGAUAUUUAAAUAGGUAUCCGUGUGAUUUUCGUCAAAAUAUCGCGAUAUUAUCGAUAAUAUCGCGACAUUUUUUGGAACUGUGCAAUCGGACUCUGAGAAUAACGCCGGAGAUGGUGUGCCUAUUCCCGAGCCGAUUUCGUCCCAAAAACCUUGCAAAAACACGAUUUUUAACAUCAAUUUCACAUAUAAACUUCAGAUUUCACGCAUGCAAGAGGUAAUCAACAUAGGGUUUAGUCGGAUCUCACCUGAAAACUUGGGUGUGCCUGGGUGUGGGUGCGAUCGGGGAAGCCGAGCUUCCUCUGCGCGUCGCCGUGCUUCCCAGAGACGGAGGAGAGGGAGGGAGGGUGGUGGAGACGCUGCGCUGGCAUCGGGGUGGACGGAUUUGGGUGUGCCUGGGUGUGGGUGCGAUCGGGGAAGCCGACCUUUCUCUGCGCGUCGCCGUGCUUCCCAGAGACGGAGGAGAGGGAGGGAGAGUUCAGGAGGGUGAGAGUUCAGGAGGAAAGGGAGGGAGAGUUCAUGGGAGGGAGAGUUCGAGAUAGAGAUAGAGUUGAGAACUCUGAGAGAGUGAGGGGUCCGAGAGGGACUCGGGAAAAGAGAGAGAGAUAGGGUGAGGGUUAGUGGGCUGCCACGUGGCAGCGUGACAGAGAGUGAGAAUCAAGAUGAAGGGUCCAGAUUAGAUUAGGAUAAAGGACUCAAUUGCACAAUUUAUAUAAUUUCAGAAAAAGAGUGAAAAUAUAAAUUAAUCUGGGGGUCUAGAUUAGAUUAGGAUAAAAGACUCAAUUUCAGGGAAAAAGUGAAAAUAUAUAAUUUCAGGGAAAUAGUAGAAGUUGUAUUUAUUGGUUAGGCAUAUGGAAAUGCAAAAAAUUGUUUUUCUAAUGAUUCUAAUCAAUUUCAAGAAAAAUAAUGAAUUUAUAAGGGUAAGAUGAGUCUAUAAAAGUGAUAUAAUGAGUCUAUAAGAGUGUCGGUCAGUUAGACAAUUUAGAUUUUUUUAAUCAUUUUUGCCAAUUGGCUUGUUAUCGCCUUUUUUUUAUUAUCAAAUUGGAUUAUUAUUCAUUAAAUUGGAUUAUUAUCAAAUUGGAUUAUUAUUCAUCACCAUGUUUUAUAUUAGGAUUAUUUUUUUAUGAAAUUGGAUUAUUAUUCAUGAAAUUGGAUUAUUAUUCAUUAAAUUGGAUAACUACUCUUCACAAUACACUCACUAUACACAUAGAGAUGAUGAAGAUAGUGAAAAUUUUGAACCUCAUAGGAACUCUAUGUGGUACUAAGUCACUUAUGUAUCUUACCAUGCAAUGUAUAAAGUGUAAAAUAUUGUACUAAUUCAUUAUAUAUAAAUGAUUAUGGUGUGUUUAGACUUCUUUCAUUAAUUACUACAUAUUUUCUACACUCACAAUGUUUGUCAGCUCGCUAUAUAAUCAACUUGAUAAUGUUAAAUCCAUCAUGCAAUGCAUUUCUUUCCAAUUUUUUGUGAUAAACUAAUAGAUAAUUGACUAAAUAAACAUCCUACAAAGUUUCAAUAAAAAUUUCCAAGUUUUUCUUACAAUUUUCGUGGUUUCCAUGUAAUUUUUAUCGAUAUCGAUAUUUUACCGAUAUUUCCAUCGAUAUUUCCGUGUUUUCGGACUACCGAUAUUUCCGAUAUUACCGAUAUUUUCUUCCUUGGCUACAGGGCAUAAGCCCAAACGACAAAGGAAGUUACAUAAGAAUAUCACGAGGCCACGAUACCCCAGCUAUAUUUGCAACUAGCAACUGAUGGCAAGGAUAAGCCUGCUAAAAAAAACCAGACUCAAACUGCAUGACAAACCCAAAUGAACCAAAUCAUCAUCAACAACAUUCUUUUCACGAUAGAUAUAACGAACUUCUAUUGAUCUUUUAAUCCUUACAAAGUUAUUUAUAAUAUAAACGGUUCCAAUAUAAUCAAAAAGUACAAUGAAUUGAUCACAAAAUAUCUUGAAAAAAAACUUCAAUCGUUUUAAGGAGCCAACCUCACUCAAGAGAAAAUCCAAAACCCAAUAACAAAAAACAAAAGCAUCUUCGUUUGUUCCCCUUCGCCCUUCCCUUUCAUUUCCUUCCAUCUUCUCAAGAAACAAACAGAAGGGUUUUUAUCACAAAUGGUUAUUGAAAUUGACUCUCACUAUCAAGAUGAUAUCUGAAAUUGAAAAUCAAUCAAUGUAGUCCUUGAAAAUAGGUGUCGUAAAUCAAUGUGGUCAUUUCGUCACAAUUCUGUUUAAAAUUUCGUUAAAUGCUGACGUGGCAUAUAAAUGGGUCCCACAAGAUUUACAGGUUUUUAUCAUAAAUUGCCCCUGAAAUUGACCCACACCAUCAAGAUGGUCUCUAAAAGUGAAAAUCAAUGAAUGUAGUCCUUGAAAAUAGAUGUCACAAAUCAAUAUGAUCCUUCUGCCACAAUUUUGUAAAAUUUUCUGUUAUGUGCUGACGUGGGUUUAAUAAUAAAUUAAAAAAGUUGACUAAAUAUCUUUUUGCACAAUGAUUUUUUUUUUUUUUUUGGUUAUAGUAGGGCCUACUUCGAAGAGAGACCCUUCCAUAAAUUCUCAAGAGCACAAAGCUUAACCAAGGCCUAAGAGAGGGUUUGGUAAUAGUUUUCAACCAACAAUAGACACACCUCGGUUAUAAUAUUAUUAUCUCAAGGCAGACCUCGUUGUUCUUUGAAUCACCGUACCGCCAGGAAAGCACUUAACAAACUCUCCAAAAUUAAGAUUGUAAGGAUGUUGAUCGCCUAAAUGUUAAGGGUGAUGUCCUAGAAGUCUUUGCCAGUCAACUAAGCCGUCACCAAAAGUGAUCUCGAUCCAAGUUCAAUUCGAUGAAGAGUAUCGAAGUGUGUAAAGAUGGGUGUAUUGAGAUUUUUUUUUAUUAUAGAGAAUAUGCAGCAAAGGAGGUAGACGAAUGUGGACUGGGAUCGGAGGUGAUUACAGGACUGGAUUUUUGGGUUGACAACUAUUUAUUAACUAUUAAAUUAUUAAACCUAUUUUUAAUUUUUUUAAAUUUAAUUAGACUUAUGUGACCGAUUUAUGUGUCAAAUCAGCACAUAACAAAAUUUUUGACCGAAUGAUGACGGAAUGACUAUAUUGAUUUGGGACACUUACUUGCAGGACUGCAUUGAUCGAUUUUCAAUUUUAAAGACCAUUUUGAUGUCGUCAGUCAAUUUCAGGGACCAUUUUGAUGUGGCAAGUCAAUUUCAAGGACCAUUUGUGAGAAAAAAAAAAGAACUUAUGGGACCCAUUUAUGUGUCACAUCAACACUUAAUAGAAUUUUUAACAGAAUUAUGACAUAAUGACUACAUUAAUUUGCAACAUCUAUUUUCAAAAAUUACAUUAAUUGAUUUUCAAUUUCAGAUACUAACUACGAUAAAAACCCCAAAUAUACACCACUACAAGCAACAACAUUAGCAAGAAAAUAAAGAAAUACAUAAACCCAAUAAGCACCAUUACAAUUUCGACGCCAUGGAUGAGUACGGCAUACAACCUCUCUCUCAUGAUUUCAGCUUCAGAAUUUGACAUCUGAAAGUGAAAAAUUAUUUUUUUUGUGUCUUUUCUCUCCAUUUCCAGAUCUGACGACUACCUAGGGGCGGUUCGGUACGAUUACCGUACCAAAACUCUUGUACCAAUUACCGUACCAAAACUCUUGUACCAAUUACCGUACCAAAUUUUCGGUUUGGUAAAAUCUAUUACCAUUACCGUACCAAACUUUCGGUAUACCGAAGUUUGGUAUUGCCAAAAGUUUGGUUGGCAUGGUAUGACAAUGGUAAUUGCCAUUUUGUUUUGGGACAAAAUUUGUUUUUGUUUUUUUAACCCAAUUCAAGGGCAAAACUUUUUUUUUGUACCUUUAUCUCAUACAUUAUAGAUUAAAUUCAUCUAUUAUUCAUCAUUCACAAUUCACACACAUAAUAAUUCAAAUGAUGCAUUAAGAUUCAUCAUGAAAAUUAAGCUUACAAUCCAAAUAAAACUUACGAACCAAAACAAAUAGAAGUUAACAAUCCAAAUAGAAAUUAAAGUUUCAAACCAAAUGAAAAUUGGAAGUAAACUUCAGAAGGGAGAAUUCAUUGAUCAGUUAUUCAAGCUUGAGAUGUUGAAGCUUUUGGAGGAGGCAUUGAACUUCUAGAAAAUUGAAUUUGUGUCAAGCCUACAUUACAAACAAAGAAAACGUAUUAAUUAGUAGCUAAAAGAAUUAAAGUUGAAAACCAUUUAAUAACAAAUUUACUAAAAAAAUUAAAGCAUAUCUUUCUUGUUUUCUCUUCUUCCAUUUCCUUGUAAAAUUGAAGCAUAUCUUCCGUUGGUUCCUUAUAGAAGUUUACUUCGUCUGCCCUAAGCCAACCACUAGUACGCACUAGUGCCUCCAUUAUUUUAGGAGUCAAGGAUACCCUAAAAGAGUUCACAACCCUCCUCCCUAAGCUAAAUGCAUUUUCACUAGCAACAAUAGAAGUGGGGGUUACAAAGAUAUUUUGGCUAUUUGUGAAAGAAUUAGGAACUCUUUUGUGUUUGAUUUCCACAAUUUUAAGAGAUCAAAGUCACCAACAACAAUGCUAAUAUAAGUAGGGUUUUAUUUUCAAAUUAUUGGAAUAUUAUAAAUAUGUGUUAUAUAAUUAUCUAUUAUAUAAUUUAUAAAUUAUAAAUUAUAUUGUAUUUUCAGUAUGAUACGGUAACACCAUGGUAAUAGUAUCCAUUACUAAUACCAUACCAUGAAAUUUCGAUACGGUACAAUACCGUACCAUUACCGUUUAGUAUAAAAAAAUUGGCACAAAAACGGUAUGGCACGGUUGACAAUUCGGUUCGCAAGGCAAUUUGGCAAAAAAAAUCCACCCCUCCGACUACCCAAAAGAGUGCAACACCCAAGACGGCCGCGAAGUGAUGUCAUCAUCGUCGACAACAAGCGUCCACGUCACGGCCCUGGACGGCCUGGUCAACGUGAACUCACUCUUCACCAUCGCCGUCUUCGUGGGGCUUUCUCUGGCGACUCCGGGGCCACAUCAAUCUGAAGGUGUUGAGAUUCGGGAUGUUGGGGUAGGCUUUCGGGUCGGUCAUGGGUUGCAUGUUUCUGAUGCUGUCGAUGGUGAAUGUGAUCCAGAUCAGGCUGGGGAUGCUGUCGUAUGGCAGCAAAUCCGCUGUCCAUGCUGUGGCGGCGCUUGUUGUUUUGGUCACGACGGCUCUUUUGGUUUAUAUUUCUACUGCUGUUUAUGUUUUUCUUCACUAGCUGCUGUGCUGAAAUUGUAUAUAAUUUUGUCUCUGGAUAUUAGAAUAAUGGAAUGUCAGUGGCGGUUUUCUCUGUAAAUUGCACGGAUUCUGUUGCUGAGAAGUUCUUUGUUUGAGAUUUUAGGUGACCCUGUUUUGGUUGAGAGUGAAAUCUUGAAAAUAUGGCAACUUGAGGGUGGUGAGGUCACCGGAGAAUGAACCACGGUGGUGGAGGUCACGGUGAUGGUCUCGGCGUCUCAACACCACGAGCACAGAGAAGGUGAGGGAGACAGAGGUUGAGGUAAGGGAGAGUAACAAGAAAGAGAGGAAGAGACGUGGUGGUUGGGGUGGUGCGUGGUGGGCGUCUCGCCGGAGUGGCGAGGGCAUGCCGGUCUCGGUGCCAGAGUUUGCAGAGGAAUAGAGCUGAGGGAAUUGACAGGGAGAUGGGGUGUCGACGUGUCGUGGCGGCACAAGAGAGGUGAGUGAAGAGAGGGAGCUGCGGAAAUGUGCGGAGGAAAUGGACACAUGGCAGCAAGAGAGUGGUCCAAAAGUUUUAAAAAUAAAAAAGAGAGUGUUAGGAAGAGAGAAGGGACACGGGACGGGCAGGAGUGGGGUGUGGGCCCACGUGACUCACAAAACAAGCCACAAAAUAUCUCUAAACAUGAAAUUACCAAAUUGUCCUUCAUAUUCAUAAAUCUGUAAAAUCUCCCUCGUAACUCUAAAUUCGAUUACGUGUUCAUAUCGUCGCGUACUACGCAAUUACGCAAAAGAAUGAGUCCUACAUCUCUCUAAACGAUGGUCAACGAAAGUCAAAAACCUUAUCUUUAGGGGCAUUUUCGUCAAAUCAUUUUUUUAAAAUUAAUAAAAUAGUAAAAUUAGGGAUGGGUUGUCACAGUUCAUGUUAUAAAACAUUUUGUAAAGGCCAUCUCUUAAAAACAUCAAUUAAAAUAUAAGAUCUUUUAAUCAUCUAUAAAAACAUAUGAAAUAAUUUAGUAAAAGAAUUACAAAACCAUCUAUCUAGCUACGAUAAUUAACUAGACGACUUUAUUUUCUAUUGAUCGUUUUUUUCAGUUGACAACGGGGCAUAAUCCCACAUUUUCUAUAGAUCGUUUUUUUUCAGUUCACAACGAGGCAUAGUGCCAAAAGAAAAUGAUUUUCUAUUGAUCGUUUUUUUUCAGUUGACAACGGGGCAUAAUGGCAACAGAAAAUGAAGAUUACAUAAGAAUAUAAGCCAACCUCGCUCAAGAGAAAAUCGAAAAUCCAAUAACAAGAAGCAAAAGCAUCUUCCUCUGUUCCCCUUCGCCUUCCCUCUCCUUUCCUUCCAUCUUCUCAAGAAACAAACAGAAACCACUGCAAGCAACAACAUUAGCAAGAUAAUAAAGAAAUACAUAAACCAAGCACCAUUACAAUCUCGACGCCAUGGAUGAGUACGGCAUACAACCUCUCUCUAUCAAGAUUUUCAGCUUCAGAAUUUGACAUCUGAAAGUGAAAAAUUAUUCUUUUUGUGUCUUUUCUCUUGAUUUCCAGAUCAGACGACUACCCAAGGGAGUGCAACACCCGAGACUGCCGGGAAGUGAUGUCAUCAUCGUCGACAACAAGCGUCCACGUCACGGCCCUGGACGGCCUGGUCAACGUGAACUCACUCUUCACCAUCGCCGUCUUCGUGGGGCUUUCUCUGGCGACUCCAGGGCAGAGGAGCCUCGCAAACCGGAGAUCCUGCGACGCCGGGAACGACGUGGCGAAGAAGCUGCUGGUGUUCGAGGUUGUCUCCUUCAGCUUCUUCCUGUUCUCAUCGCUGGUGGCGCAGGGACUGAAGUUGGCGAUCAACCUGCUCAACAGCAAGAAUGUAGAGGACGCGUUCCGGGGUCACAUCAAUCUGAAGGUGUUGAGAUUCGGGAUGUUGGGGUCGGCUUUUGGGUCGGUCUUGGGUUGCGUGUUUCUGGUGCUGUCGAUGGUGAAUGUGAUCCAGAUCAGGCUGGGGCUGCUGUCGUGUGGCAGCAAAUCCGCCAUCCAUGCUGUGGCGGUGCUUGUUGUUUUGGUCACGACGGCUCUUUUGGUUUAUAUUUCUACUGCUGUUUAUGCUUUUCUUCACUAGCUGCUGAAUCCACUUUUAUAUUUAUCUAAGUUUCUCGUUCGAUAUCAUGAAAUUUGUAUAUAUUUUGUCUCGGAUAUUGGAAUAAUGGAAUGUCAGUGUGGCGGUAUUCCCUAUAAUUGCACGGAUUCUGUUGCUGAGAGGUUCUCCUUUGUUUGAGAUUUUAGGUGACCCUGUUUUGGUUGAGAGUGAAAUCUUUAAAAUAUGGCAACUUGGAAUAGAAUAUGCUUCAUUAGAGUACUUAGGUAUUGUUGGUUGGACACUUGUAAUGAGGGUUUAUGGAAACUUACCUACAUUGGAGAUGACCUUGUGGUGAUCUCACAGCCAGUCACACAUGCGUUGUCAUGUGGAGUAGGACACUCGGUCGCAUUAAUGUUUUAAGAUAUUGUCACGAUAGCAUCCCGUUGCAAUAUCCACUGAUUCUGUCCAGUUGCUGCUGGUGUUGAAUGUUUGAUUAGAUUAUGAUUGAUUUCGAUCACAUUACAAACUUGGCUGAGAAAACAAAGCCGUCAUUUCAUCUGAACUAGUCGCUGAUGCAAAAUAUGGUUGAAUUGUGUACAACACCAUCAGAUGAUGUUAGAGUACGGUUUUUGGUGUCAGUUGCUAAUUGUUUUUGUUUGAACUAGGUUCUCACUGUCGGGACCUCGGGACCGGGCAUUAUGAUUGGCUUGCUUAUUCGUUGUAUGCCGAAUAGCAUAACGGAUGACAUUUAGGAACCUCAACCGUGUCUACGAGCAAUAUUGGCCGGUGCGCUGCACAUGACAACCCCCAAGAAGUCAUAUGCCCGCCCCCUAACCUCCAACGGGUGCCGAGAAGAAGCUUGUUUAGUGCGCCAAGGGUGCGAGCACCGGGGACGAUUGGGAGCUUGUUUAGCCGUAAUAAAUCUAUAUGAACUCGGAUUGACAUGUUCAUCAGUUGCGUUGGACUCGUUUCAACCUCCCGAUAUGGUCUUGCGUUUGAGACCCUUGUUUUUCGUUUGUUGAACAUUUCUACCCGAAUCGGACUUGUGCUUGACUUGGGACUGGAGUUUCCACAAACAACUAGAGAAGGGAAAUUAUCAUCUCAUUUUGAAUUUUAUUUUCAGGUCUCUUGAUUUAUAAUAAUAAUAAUAAUAAUAAAUAACCAAGAAUGUUGGAGAUAAAAUAGAUUAGAAAGAGAUAAGAGAGAGACGAGAUAGAUUGGGAGGCGAAAUAAGGGAAGUGAAUUUCAUAUCUCAUUGUCUCCUUCUGCGCUCCUCCCUUUGUUUGUGUCCUUGAUUUACUCUGAAUCGUAUGGCUAGAAAAAGAGGGAGGAGCGAGAUAACAGGAGUGUCAAAAAUCACUUCGCUAAAUUAAAAUGAAACUGAAAAAAAAUAAUAGAGUACACAAAAGAUUAUGGAGUUAGAAGAACUUACUACUUAUACGUAUGCUAUUUGUACAACCUAAUAAGGGUAAAUCAACCGGAAAAAAAAAAAAACAAAACAAAACAAAAAACAAAGAACAAAAACUACAGGAUAAUUUAAUUUCUGCUCAACCGAAAACUGAGAUCUUCAGUUUUUCUUUUAACAAGACGAUAAUCUAAACUACUCUUAUCUAAUCUAUGGGGAGGGGCUUUGAACUCAAAUGCAAGAGGCAGACACAUUGCCUUGACCAACUGACCAGACUCACAUUUGCAAAUUAAGUCUUGAAUACAGGGAAUAGCGUAUGAAAGGAGCUGAAACAAUCAAGCAGCCUUUUAACCGUUUCAAGGUGCUACCCUCUUUGAUUCAAUUUCUUUUACGCUCUGGACUAUAGCGUCAAUGUUUCUCGACAAGUGAUUGGAAUGUUCUUCCAUCUGCCUCAAAACCAUAUCAAGCUGUUCUUGAUAGUUGGCAGACCUCUUUCGCUCACGUUGCAACUCAGCAGUCAACUCCCGAAUUUUCAGAUCUUUUUCGUCCUGGAACAAACCAAAAAGCAAAUCAAUAGUAAAUAUUGAUUGCUAUGGGAAAUAUUAUGGUAGCAUAAUGCAAAGAACUCUUCCCCUGCCCUCACAAACAUGCGUCGGGUAUCUGCUAGAUGGCUUUAACAAGCCCUGAUCAAAUAUGUAAAACGUUACUGUAACCACUGUAUAUUAGAGCACAAACCCUACAUGUAAAACGUUUACUGUAACCACGAUAAAGUUAUAAACUAAAAGCACAAUACCAAAAGAAACUAUUAUUACUCAAACUGAACAGAAACGAGACACCUAUUACAUCUCACAAAACGGCCAGAGAAGCAAUUACUUAUAGCAUGCAAGGGGACUUGUCCAAAUUCUAAGAACAGUUACUACCAAAAGAAACCAUUAAAACGUCUUUAUUUAAUUAUUUUAUUACUUCUUGAGUAAGUUUAUAAAGCUAAGGACCCAUUUGAUAAACAUUUUGGUUUAGCUUUUAGUUCUUAUUUUUUUGUGCUAGAGACCGGGGGAAAGUAUAUUGGAUGAAAUAAGGAAUGGAGAAGGAUAAAGGGAGGCGGUGUGAGGGAGGAGGGAGAAAUGUAGAUCAUAUGAAAACAAAAACGUUAAAGUGACAUCAACUCAAAAUUGUUUUUAGUUUUCAUUUUUGUCAUUCCUUUCCAUUCCUUUCCUUUCCUCCACCCUCCUUCCUUCACCCUUCUUUAUCUCUCCUUCCCUUUCUCCCACAAGUACUUCUCCACCAUAUAUAGCACAAAAAAUUAAAACUAAAAACGAAAUGGUUAUCAAACAGGUCCUGAGUUUUAGAUUGAACGUCAAAACUGGUUUUAACAAUUUGGAGGUGACAAAAUAUGGGUUGCCUAGUACGCCGUUGAGAAAUAUAUGAACUACAUUCUUCAAACAAGGAAAACCAAAAGAACGACAUCAGGGAACCUUUUCAAUCAAGGGGCAUCUGCUAACUUCAUCCAAUUUAACUUUCCAGCUUGAAAAAGCUCCAAAUCACUUGCAGGCAACAGAGACUAGACCAUCUGAUGCAAUGUCAAAUAUCCAACGGACAGAAACUAGAUAAUCGACUAACUUAACCAACACAAGUAAACAAAAUAAACCGCUAUUUUAACAGAAAUCGCAAUGCAUCUGUCUUACAAAAUAAACCUAUAAGCGAGCAACUCAAAAAUGCAGAUAAGAAGCACUCACUGGUGUUUGAGACAGAAGCAUACUGCGGCGACCAUUUGCAGGUGUACCUACUAGUGGAUGGUUAUGCUCCUUUAUAAAUCGUGUUACGAUCCAUUUUCCUGAUUUGUCUUUCUUUACCACAAGCAUCGCUUUGCACCCUUCUCUGGUGAUUGCUCGAGGCUUCCUGUUCUCAGUUCUUUUGGCUCGGGUCUUGCGAAAUCCCUCUUUGUUACACACAAGCCUCCGCCAAACUACCUUACCAUCACGCAUUGAUCUCCGGAAGGCAUCGACUCGCAUAAUGAAGCCCACUUGUGUUGCAUAUCCAUCGUAGAACACUUUGGCAGCCUCUUCAGAUUCAAACUCCAUACCCACAAAUGGUUCUGUAUCCGAGUUCCCCUCAUAUGUGACUGCCUCUUUCCUAUUGGAACUCUCUAACACGUCCUCAUCCUUGCUCAUAGAAGGUUCUUCAUCAUCCACUGCCCAAAUAAGCAUUGUGAUAAGAUUCCAUCUAAGGUUCUACCUUCCAAAAUUCAAGCAAAAUAAUAAUUUUGCGAAGAAAAAAUGCGAUUUUUUAUACCAAACUAGUUUUCGAUUACCUAAUGAAUUGUGCAAAGUCUCACAUCAUAGUGUAACCAAAUAAAACCCUACUAGAAUAUUUUACCAAUGUAAUGAUUCUGAUCACACACGCAGAAUAACACAUCUAUAUCUCAACUAUCCACUGGAAAACAUAACCUGGGUUAUGUUUGGCUGCCGAGAAAACACAAGAAAAUACCAACAACAGACUGGAAAACUGAGAACAACCCAAGAUUGGGGUUACUGAAUUCUAAGUUACCCAACUCUUAUAGUUGUCUACUUUUUCUCAGCAUCCAAACAGAUAAAGGAAAUUCCAAAAACAACAAACAACACAAUCGAAGGUUUAACGUGAGUGCAGAUUAAGGAAUGAUUAGGAAAUUAAAGAGUGAAAAUGCAAAGAUAAAAUGAUUAACUCACUUGCUGUGACAGAGAGAUCGCGACCCAACAGUUUGCUUGGCUUCUGCAAUAGAGAGGAAGCAGAAAGUUCGUUCCUUUUUGGUUCUUCUGGUUUUGGGGAGGUGGCGGGCGGUUGAAGCGUUUGAGCUCGAACUCCAGGGUGUUGGCAGAUGAAUGAUCCACUGCGGCGAAGAAAUGCAUCUUCCUCUACGGAUUCCUUUUUUUUAUAUUUUUGAAUUUUUUUUGGAAAUUUUGUAAAAGGUCGUAUGGACUUAUAUAUUCGCUAGUGUUGUAAAUAAUGAGUAUGUUUGUCCACAUGUGUAUAGUAAUGUGUAUAGUGAAGUAUAACAUGUGUAUACUAUAUACUCAUAAGCUAAAUAGUAAUGUUUUGUAAUUUUCCAUUGAAGUAGCUCUAUAAAUAGAGCACUUCAAUUGUGCAAAGAAAAGUAAAUGAGAAGAAGAAAGAAAAGAGAAAUAUAUCUAAUAGCCAUAAUAUACAUUACUUCAUCUGCAACAGCUUGUGUCGGUAUAUUACUCUGCAACUGCUUCGUUCCUUCACCGAGUAAAGGUUAUCUCUCUAUAAAUUUUGCCUAUUUAUAACACGUUAUCAGCACGAGUCUCUAAGUAUAACCAUGUCUCAUUUACAUUCACUAAACAAUAAAGGAAAUCAUUCUCUCAUUUCUCUCCGCCGAACGAAAAAAAAAAAAAAAAGUUUCCUCUAAGGUUUUUCCUGUUCAUCUUCUUCAUCUGCCUCAACUGCGCGGUAUAUCCUCGCGACGAACUAUUUGCUCCAUGCCUGCUCGUAGUUCUCCAACUAGUGGUUACAUACAUCUUUGAUUACUUGUUUGGUUUGGAUAUUGAUUACUAACAUAGUAUUUAUAUUGAUUUUACUGCAAUCCAAGAUGGUGCGGUACAAUCGCCCAUCUUGAACUGCAAAUUUCAUCUUACUGCGAUCCAAGAUGGUGCGGUACAAUCGCACAUCUUGAACUGCAAAUUUCAUCUUACUGCGAUCCAAGAUGGUGCGGUAUCAUCGCCUAUCUUGGACUGCAGAUCUACUUUUACUGCAAAUUUCAGGUGGAGCGGUAUAAUCGCCCUCCUUGCUCUCCAAAUUUAAAUUUACUUGUUAUUUAAUUUCAUUGCAAUUUUAGGUGGUGCGGUAUAAUCGCCCUCCUUGCUCUCCAAAUUUAAAUUUACCUGUUAUUUAAUUUCAUUGCAAUUUUAGGUGGUGCGGUAUAAUCGCCCUCCUUGCUCUCCAAAUUUAAAUUUACCUGUUGUUUAAUUUCAUUGCAAUUUUAGGUGGUGCGGUAUAAUCGCCCACCCUGCUCUGCGUAUUUCAAUUUUCUUGUUACUUGAGUGGUGCGGACUAAUCGCCCAUUCCAUGUUACAUUCUUUCAAUGAGAAUGGUGCGGUACAAUCGUCCUUCUCAUUCACCCUGCAAAUCUCGAGCCAGAAGUUUCGAGUGCUUAUCAUUUUGGCCUAAAGAUCAAAAUGAAAAAUUUGUAAGAACCAGAAGUUCUAACAUCACAUUCCUCUAGGAAUACAUAUUACUGCAAGUUCUUACACAUCUCAUUUUCUUUCAGAAAAGAAAAUGACGAACUUGGCUAAGCUUGAAUAUGCUGCCCUGGACAUUACCGGGAAGAAUUACCUUACUUGGGUACUUGAUACCAAGAUCCAUCUGGAAGCAGGGAAUCUUGGAGAUACCAUCAAGGAAGAAAGCAGCUCAUCUUCUCAAAAUCGGGCGAAGGCUAUGAUCUUUAUUCGCCGCCAUCUUGAUGAGGCACUAAAGAGUGAGUACUUAACGGUUGAAGAUCCGUUAGCUCUCUGGGAGGCCUUGCGAAGCAGAUACAAUCACCAGACAACGGUGAUUCUUCCAAAAGCUCGCUAUGAGUGAUCUCACCUGAGAAUUCAGGAUUUCAAAUCAGUAGCGAAGUACAAUUCUGCGUUGUUCAGGAUUACCUCUCAGAUGAAGCUCUGUGGGGAUACCAUUACUGAUGAAAUAUUGCUGGAAAAGACUUACAACACAUUUCAUGCCAAUAACGUGCUCCUGCAGCAGCAGUAUAGAGCGCGAGGCUACACUGAAUACAACCAGCUGAUAUCUGUGCUCCUGGUAGCUGAACAGAACAAUGAGCUCCUGAUGAAAAACCAUAAUUCCCGACCUACUGGAUCUGCACCAUUCCCAGAAGUAAAUGCUACUUCCCUCGAAGUGAACGCCAUAUCCUCUGGUGGUAAUUAUCAUAAACAAGGACGUGGCCACAAACGAGGUCGAUGGAAUAGGAAAGGCAAGAACCAUGGUGGUCAGUUUCACAACCAGGUUCAGAGGCAUAAUUCUGGCCCGAGCUUUAAAAAUGUGAAUCGUCACAAAGGCAAAGCUAACAUGACCAAUGCUCCCAGGAACUCUGAAGGAGCCUGCCAUAGGUGUGGUGGCAAUGGGCAUUGGGUGCAAACUUGUCGUACCCCAAAACAUCUGGUGGAGUUGUAUCAAGCCUCCCUCAAGAAGAAGGGUGUCGAGACCAAUUUUCUCGACCAGACUAAACCAAUGGAUAUACCUGAUCCAGUGUUUGAUUUAUCAGGGCAAUUUGACGCAACUCACCUAGAUGUUUCAGACUUCAUUAUGGAAAGGGGGAAUGAAGUAUAUCGGUCCGACUAAAUCAUUUAUGUUUGAUGUACUUUUAUUAUGCUGAACUUGUUGUCUAAAACUAGUUUUUCAAAUUCAAUAAAAAUGGCAUGUAAAUUUCCUGUUAUAAAUUGUUUGUUAACUGUGAUUCCAUUUACUCAAAAAGUAUGGAUAAAAACUGUGGUUAUUCUCAGAACAUGAGAAAUGACGGAGAUAUUUGUCUUGCAGACAGUGCAACCACACAUACAAUACUUCGUGAUCGAAAGUAUUUCUCAAGCUUAAUGCUUACAAAAAUAGGGGUAACAACAAUAUCAGGACCUUCAUAUGUGAUUGAAGGCUCAGGGAAAGCCCAGAUUAUGUUACCAAAUGGAACAAUAUUGUCCAUACAAAAUGCAUUGUAUGCUACUCGAUCUACUCGAAAUUUGUUGAGUUUCAAAGACAUACGUCUAAAUGGAUACCACAUUGAAACGAAAAGUGCAAAAAAUGUGGAGUAUCUAUGCAUUACCUCCAAUGAUACCCAGAAGCGUAUAUUGGAAAAGUUGCGUGGUUUUUCGAGUGGAUUAUAUUAUACAUACAUAAGGACAGUUGAAUCACAUACUAUCAUGAACCAGAAGUUCAUUGAUUCAAAGGUUUACAUGCUUUGGCAUGACCGUCUGGGUCAUCUAGGAUCUACCAUGAUGCGUAGGAUCAUUACCAACUCUAAUGGACAUCCAUUAUUGAGCAGAGACAUUGCUAUCUCAAAUGAUAACCCUUGCAAGGCUUGUUCCCAAGGGAAGUUGGUAAUUAGACCAUCACAACUAAAGGUUGAUGCUGAAUCCCCAUCAUUUCUACAAAGAAUUCAAGGGGAUAUCUGUGGACCUAUUCAACCAUCUUGUGGACCAUUUCGAUAUUUUAUGGUUUUGGUUGAUGCAUCAACCAGAUGGUCACAUGUUUGUCUCUUGUCUACUCGGAAUGUAGCUUUUGCGAGACUUCUUGCUCAGAUAACUAAGUUAUGAGCACAAUUUCCAGAUUAUCCCAUUAAAUCAAUCCGACUUGAUAACGCUGGUGAAUUUACGUCUCAAACCUUUGAUGAUUACUGCAUGACAUUGGGCAUUGAUGUUGAACACCCUGUUCCUCAUGUCCAUACUCAAAAUGGUUUAGCAGAAGCAUUGAUCAAGCGGCUUCAGUUAAUAGCCGGCACUCUGCUUAUGAAAACCAAAUUGCCAGUUUCUGCAUGGGGACAUGCCAUUCUACAUGCUGCAUCAUUGGUUCGAUUGAGACCUAUAGCCAACCACCAAUACUCCUCAAUACAACUCGUGUUUGGACAUCAGCCAAACAUUUCACAUUUACGAGUUUUUGGUUGUGCUGUUUAUGUGCCUAUUGCACCUCUGCAACGCACUAAAAUGGGACCUCAGCGUAGACUGGGAAUUUAUGUGGGUUUUGAUUCACCAUCUAUUAUUAGAUAUUUGGAACCCUUGACAGGUGAUAUGUUUACAGCUCGUUUUGCUGAUUGUCAUUUUGAUGAGACAGUUUUCCCGUCGUUAGGGGGAGAAAAGACCGUUCCAGAAGAACGACAAGAGCUAACAUGGGUUGUUCCCACCUUAUCUCAUUUUGAUCCUCGAACCCUUCAAUGUGAAAAUGAAGUGAAAAGGAUCGUUCAUCUUCAAAGCAUUGCCAAUCAAAUGCCAGAUGCAUUUAAUGACGCUAUGAAAAUGACAAAAUCGCAUAUACCAGCUGCAAAUGCACCUGCCAGAAUUGAUGUCCCUGUUGGACAAAAUAAAGUGGCAGCGAAUGAUUCAUCUGGUGCACGCCUGAAGCGUGGUAGACCACCAGGUUCAAAAGAUUCAGCCCCUCGGAAGAGAAAGACGAGGGCACAACUGAAUCCAAAUGAAAUCAUUCAGGAAGAGAGAGUAAAUGACAAAUCCACAAUUCAUGACUCUGGACUUCCAGAAGAAGAAAAUAGCCCUGAAGAGACAGAAGUACAUGAAAGCAAAGAAAUCUCCAUAAACUAUGCAUGUACUAAUGAAUUGUGGGAUCAGAAUGAAAUAAUCAUUGACGAUAUGUUUGCAUUCGCAGUAGCCACUGAAAUCAUAUUAAGUGAUGAUAUUGAGCCCCGCUCUGUUGAUGAAUGCAAACAGAGACAAGAUUGGCCUAAGUGGAAAGAUGCAAUCCAGGCAGAAUUAAAUUCCUUAGAAAGGCGAAGUGUUUUUGGACCAGUAGUCUAAACCCCAACUGAUGUAAACCCCGUAGGUUACAAAUGGGUGUUUACAAGGAAACGCAAUGAGAAAAACGAGAUUGCUAGAUACAAAGCACGACUCGUUGCACAAGGUUUUUCACAAAGACCUGGAAUUGAUUAUGAGGAGACAUACUCUCCUAUAAUGGACACAAUUACGUUCCGUUACUUAAUAAGUUUGGUGAUUUCAGAAAAACUUGACAUGCGACUUAUGGAUGUCAUCACCGCGUAUCUAUAUGGAGAAUUAGAUACUGACAUAUAUAUGAAAGUCCCAGAAGGACUUAAGUUGCCUGAAGCAACAAACAAACCACGGGGUAUGUUCUCAAUCAAAUUAAGGCGAUCACUAUAUGGGCUGAAACAAUCUGGGUGAAUGUGGUAUAAUCGUCUCAGUGAGUAUUUGAUUAAAGAAGGAUAUGCCAACAAUGUCAUCUGCCCUUGUGUGUUCAUUAAGAAAUCAAAUACUGGAUUUGCUAUAGUGGCAGUAUAUGUCGAUGAUAUGAACCUAGUUGGAACCCCUGAAGAGCUCAACAAAACUGCUGAAUAUCUGAAAAGCGAAUUUGAAAUGAAAGACCUUGGGAAAACCAAAUAUUGUCUAGGCCUGCAGAUCGAGCAUUGUGUUAGUGGAAUUUUGGUCCAUCAAUCAGCUUACAUUAAAAAAAUACUGAAGCGAUUUGGCAUGGACAAGGCUUAUCCACUUAGCACCCCAAUGGUCAUUCGUUAUUUGGACAUUAAGAAAUAUCCAUUUCGUCCAAAAGAAGAUGAUGAACUGGUCGUCCAAAAGAAGAUGAUGAACUGGUCUUUGGUCCAGAAGUACCAUAUUUGAGCGCAAUAGGUGCUUUAUUGUAUUUAGCACAAUGUACUAUACCAGAUAUAGCUUUUUCAGUUAACUUGUUAGCCAGGUACAGCUCUGCUCCAACAAUUCGUCAUUGGAAGGGAGUCAAAGAUGUUCUACGAUACCUUAGUGGGACAACAGAUAUGGGUCUCUUCUACUCAGACAAGCCCACAAAUGAACAAAUCCUUGUUGGAUACGCAGAUGCUGGUUUUCUCUCCGAUCCGCAUAAAGCCCGCUCACAAAAUGGAUAUGUGCUCACUAAUGGAGAUACUGCAAUUUCAUGGCGAUCAACAAAGCAAACGCUAGUUGCAACAUCUUCCAAUCAUUCGGAAAUAAUUGCUUUACAUGAAGCAAGUCGUGAAUGUUCUUGGUUAAGAUCAAUGAUCCAUCACAUCCGGAAUUCAUGUGGUCUACCUUCAAAGACAGACUUUCCAACUGUCAUCCAUGAAGAUAAUGCAGCCUGUGUCGCCCAGAUGAAGGAACGAUUUAUCAAAGGUGAUAAGACUAAACACAUAUCUCCAAGAUUUUUCAGCGCACAUAAGCUUCAGAAGGCUAAAGUUAUUGAAGUCAGACAAAUCCGUUUCAAUGAAAAUUUAGCAGACUUGUUCACCAAAUCUCUACCAAAGUGCACAUUUCAGAAGUUGGUACAGGGAAUCAGAUUACGUCGGCUUACAGAUUUGAAGAAUGCGGAAUCAGGGGGAGAUACAAUUCAGGGGGAGCAUCCAUGAUACAUGCAUGUUGUACUCUUUUUCCUUCGCUUAGGAUUUUUCCCACUGGGUUUUUCCUAUCAAGGUUUUAACGAGGCAACCUAAGCAUGCUCAACACCAUCUGGGUAAAGUUGUACUCUUUUUCCUUCGCUAUGGUUUUUUCCCACAGGGUUUUUCCAAGCAAGGUUUUAAUGAGGCAACUGAUGUUGAUAUGUGGGCAUCCAAGGGGGAGUGUUGUAAAUAAUGGGUAUGUUUGCCCACAUGUGUAUAGUAAUAUGUAUAGUGAAGUAUCACAUGUGUAUACUAUAUACUCAUAAGCUAAAUAGUAAUGUUUUGUAAUUUUCCAUUGAAGUAGCUCUAUAAAUAGAGCACUUCAAUUGUGCAAAGAGGAGUAAAUGAGAAGAAGAAAGAAAAGAGAAAUAUAUCUAAUAGCCAUAAUAUACAUUACUUCCUCUGCAACAGCUUGUGUCGGUAUAUACUCUGCAACUGCUUCGUUCCUUCACCGAGUAAAGGUUAUCUCUCUAUAAAUUUUGCCUAUUUAUAACAGCUAGGACCUUCCAAUUUAUUGUGCUUUUAUUUAUUUUGUAAAUUUAGUAAAUAACAUAUCGUUAACUUGCAUAUCAUCGGUUUUAUAAAAUUUGGUUUACAAAUUUAGUUUGUCUAAAUUUACCCUUAAAUGUCGUAAAUUAUCUUUGAACUGUUAGGUAUUUCUUACUAUGAUAUCUAUUAGCGAGGCACUUUCUUGUGCACUUGAUAAAGCUAGCUCUACACACUCAGCGGCCAAUCUUGUGUUUCGUGCUUACUCUAAGAAAUUUGGAUUCCAUCCGAUUCUAAAUUGUGGAUAUCUUAGGAAUUCUCACAUCUUAAUCAUUCAGCAUGCAUCGUAAGGUCCGAAAUCAUUUAACUUUUUUUAUUUAACAUUAAACACAAAUAGUACCUAAUAAAAACUGAUUGCACGAUAGAUGAUGAACGGUUAGGAUGUGGAAAUAGAUAUGGGGAAGAUCUAUUCCCUACUAUAAGCACAUAGAAGUUGACUACCACUUCAUUCUCCCUUCCCUAUCUCACUAGCCGCUUUACUCAAGUAGUCGAUGGCUUCCAUUCUAAAUUCUAUAAUUCCAUUUAUGGAAUGUUUCUUCUCUCCUAUUUCACCACCCGGGUGAUGAGGGAAAGUCUCGUUACAUCUCCAAUAAACUAUAGUUUUGAGUUCUUCAAAAAAGUAAAAAAAAAAAACUAUAGUUUUGACUUAUCCGGUUAUAAAAUUUAUCGAUGAUUUUUUGUUUCAAUUUUUGAUGAACAUGUGUGAAAAAGAACUACAAAUUAAACCUCCAAAAGCUUAUACAAACCUCUAGACCUAACCUAUGAAUGGUUGAACUAUUGAGAGUUUUUAUAGUAAUUCAUUGUCUUUGGUAAUACAUUUAGGGGGCGUUUGUUUGCCCUCACUAAAUGUCACUAGACCAGACUAACUAUUAGUCCAGUGCCGUGUUUGUUUGGAUUAUGUUUAAUGAGACUAAAAAGGACUCGCAUGGACAAACUCCUUUGCUAGGAGUUCUUAGCGAAACCCCCAAAUACCCAUGGGAUUGCUAAUACCUCGUCUGCUCCGUCUCAUCAUCUCUCUGCUCUUGGUUCUCUUGAGCAUCGAUAGCCACCAUCACACCACAACUCACCAACUCCAACGAGACACACCACCAACCCACCACCACUCUCUCCCUCUCUUCUCACCCCGAACCCAUAGUUUCGAACUGAGGAAGACCUUGCUCUUACCACCAUCCGUCCAGCUCUAGCCAUCUGCUUCGCUUCACUACGCUUUGAACUUAACCUUGGACUCAUCUGCUACACUUCGAACUCAACCUCGGACUCGUCAACUUCGCACGAUUGACGGGAUCUUUGUGAACCCAUUGGUGGGUGAGCCACCCAGUGCGCUUGAAGGAAUAUUGCAGGCCAAAAACGUCGGAGCCUACGAAGGCGAUGAAGACAUUAGUUGGAUUGGGACGACAACGGCGUGUUUUCCAUCAAGGGCAGCGACUUGGGAUUUUUGUGUACUAAUAAGCCUAAAAAAGAAUACUUACCAAAAAUAUAUGAUCCUUUCGUCAAUAGACCCUACCUCGAACGAAUCACAAAAUUGUUUACACUCUUAAGCAUAAAUUAAGCUUCUAUAAAAAAUUACUAGGAUCUAUCUUGCAAAAGAACGGAGAAUUAAAUGGAGACCUCAACCAUAUAAUACAAGCUGUGUUGAUGCACAAAACCGGGGCGGUCUUGGAACAACGUAAAUCCGACCGUGAAUCUGCACAAACGCUCAAGAACACGAAGAACACAAAGAACACAAGGAUUUUAUCGUGGUUCACCCCAAUGUUUGGGCUACGUCCACACUGUAGCUGAUUCUGCUUCUCUGUAAUUGUAUGGAUACAAGUGUUUGAGGGGAAGUCCCCCAGAGAGAGAAUAGAAGGGAGAGGAUAGCCUCGGUGGUGUGAGGACUCUCUCAAGGCUUCUAGCCUUUGUUUUCAGCUCUAGCCCUUAGAAAUGAGGACUUAAGACCUUUUUUAGAAUGAGGGGGAGUCCCCUUUUAUAGAAUAAGGGGCUCCUCCUCUUUUACAUUUGUCGUGGGCUUAAUGUGUGAGGCCCAAAUACGAAGCCCAAGGCCCAAAUACGAGGCCCAAAUAUAUGGUACCAACAGGAGUCCCCCAAGUCUUCAGUCAAGAGAGUCUUUUGGCUGGAGACUUCAAAUUCAAUCCAUGUACGGGCCGAAGUGGCUAGAUGUCUUGAACCAGUACUCAACCUAAGGCAAUGCUCAACAUAAAGCAAUACUCGGCUAAAGGUAUCACAAAAUUACGAGACUACUCGGCUGGAGGCGAUGCUCGUUGCGAGGCUGUUCGGCUAAAGGCUAUGCUCGCGGCGAGGCAUUUGUUCGGCUGGAGGCGAUGCUCAUUACGAGGCGGCUCGGCUAGAGGCUAUGCUCGCUGCGAGGCGGCUCGGCUCGUGGUAUUCCUUAUUGCAAGUAUCUACUUUAUGUCGACAUGCACUCAGUAUGAGUUGAUUCUUGACAUGACUCGGGUCUGCUUGUCGGGUUCACAUAUUGGGUCUAUAUGUCAGAUCUGCGAAUCAGGUCCGCAAGUCGGGUCUUUGAAUUGGGGCCAUACGUAGGGGCAUCAAGUUGGGACCGGGCACAUAGGUGUCCCAAUAAGCGAAUGUCCGAGCAAGUGGGUGUCUGGUCAGGCAAGAGAUCAAUGUUGAUCAGUAGAGCUGGUUGCUCGAUAAUUCCUGACAAUAAAUGACAGCAUAAGUAUGAUUGUAUAAUGAAUAAAUCGAAUUGACACAAUUUGUCAAGGCAGAAUAUUGUACGAUGUGCCUACUACAAAUAAAUGAUUUAUUCAGUUGUGUGGUAAAUCACACGUUGCAUAAGUGAAAUAAUUAGCUGAAACACUGGGCAAUGAAUAAAUAUUUGCACAAAUAAAUGCUUAUAUAAAUAUGCGCGAUCCGACUAGGAUUAGUGAUAUAUAUAUAUAUAUAUAUAUAUAUAUAUAUAUAUAUAUAUAUAUAUACUUGUGAAAGGUUGUGUACCCAUAAUUAUGCCACGUGACUAGCCAUUGUCUCAAGGUAAUAGCCUUUGAUGCAAUAGUAUAUAAUAUAUUGAUCAGUUCGGUGCAUGUGUUUAGCACAUGCAAUAGAUGGAGUUAUGAUCAUUUACAAUGAUUAAGUACUGACUUUCUGUCAGCACAGUACAUUUAAUAUGGUGUUACAUGGCAUAUAAGUGAUGCAUUUGUAUUGCACUAUGCAUACUGAUAUUGGUAUGUGCAUAGUAGACUUAAGUUUACAACAUCAUUAUUUAAUAAAAGCACAAGCACGCGGCAUAUGCGGUUGCAUUCUAGCAACAAGUAUAUAUAUAUAUAUAUAUAUACUGUUGUGAUGCCAACUAUCAUUAUAUACUAAUAAUGCUUUCUAGCAACAAGCACGGCAUAUCCUAAUAAUGCUUUUGUGAUGCCAACUAUCAUUAUAUAUAUAUAUAUAUAUAUAUAUUAAUUAUGCUUUUGUGAGUGCCGAUUAUAAUGAAACACUAUUGAUAAAGAAAGAAGAUGCCUUAUCUUUAUCCCCACAUUGGCGGUCGACAGGAAAAAGUGGAUGGAGACCUAACGUUUUUUGUUAUUGUCCAAGCCCUUUUGAUGAUGAUUAUCAUCCAUUGGCAUAUCCUGCUGUAACAAACUCAAUUGGAGUGGAGCAAAGUGGUGGGGCCCAAAUAAGGCUCAGGGUUCCACUAAUAGUUAGGGCAGGAUGUGGUACAGCCUUUUCGAUUGUUUCUCCUUCCCGUCCAACUCUGUGAGUGAUUAACUCGAACGAGUGUUUCUCCGGCCUGCAAAGCCUUUUCGAUUUCGACAUCACUCCGAGCAGCAUCCUCAAUGUUAAUAGGUAAAACAGCAUCCUAAAUGUUAAUGGGCAUUUGCCCAUGGCUGAUCGUUGGUGCUGAUUGCUGCUCUGUGAGUAGGAGAAUGAGCAUUGGGAUUCAGAUUCGACGACAUCGUCGUGGUCCUGGAAAUGACAUCCAUCUUCGGUCUGGUGAUUGCCUGAUAUUGUAAAUCUUGAAACGACGUCGCAACCAAGAAAAAGAGUGAGAACGCCUGGAUAUUGGCUGCUGACUCGGGCUUGGUUUCUCUGCUCUGAAGUUUCCCCACUGACCCAACCCCGUUUGGCCCAUAUCUCCGACCCGUUGUCCAGUUGGUAAACCAAGUGGACAAAUGCCCAGCGACCUUUCUCCUUGUCGUCAAAGGCACAGAUUAGGUCCUUCACCAUGGGUUAGACAGAGAGGAGGAAGACGGCGACGAACUUGAACUCAAUGACUCUAUGAGCAAUGGCGAGCCAAGUGACCGGACCCGGCCGACGAGGGCGUCGAGGACGCUCCACUUACCGCUGUUCUGACUUCCCAUGAUCGCCACUUGAGGCAGCAAAAUAUGCGGCUUGUUGCUGACCACCGGCGCGAGAAUAUCCUGGACCCUGUUGAUCAUCGAAAUUAACAACGAGCCGAUCAUCACUGAAGGUCUCGGACUGGUUGCCGAUGAGUCGACUUCUUUAGCUUCUUCUCCAAUGGUGCAGUUUUAGAGAGAGAAAACUUACACUCUGAUUACCAAGAGUGUGGUAGAGAGAUAAAGUAGUGUUACAGAGAGUAAGGUAGAGAGAGGCAAACGUGGGUUUUUUUGUGAAUGUGGGUUUUUGGGUUUUUUUUGAUUUUGCAGAUUCAAGGUGGGGAUUGUGGUGAGGUUUCACGGUGGUGAGAUGAAAAAAUGAAAGAUAACCGACAUAGCUUUUUGUGUCGCUUCUCACAGACGGCGCCAAAUGUUGAUGCACAAAACUGGAAGUCUUGGUACAACAUAAAUUCGACCGUGAAUCUGCAUGAAAUGUAAAUGACACAAGAUGUAUCGUGCUUCACCCCAAGGUUUAGGCUACGUCCACAUUGAUUGUAUUAUAUUUGUCUGAGAAGUGAGGGAGAGAGAGAGCUCUGAGAGUGAGAGCGUUGAGAGGGUGAGAGAGGCUUCAGAAAUGGCCUCCGAAAUGAUCCCUCUAAUUGUGAGGGUGAGGGGUCCUUUUAUAGAAUAAGGACUCCUCAAUUAUUACAUAUUUGCCCCUUCCUUUAUCACAUAAUUACAUUUAUGUCCCUCGAGUAUUUGUACGAGAUCUAAAUACGAGGCCCUAAAUAUGGUAUAAACAGUAGUCCUCCAAGUCUUCAGUCAAGAGAGUCUUUUGGCUGGAGACUUGAAAUUCAGUCCAUGUGUGGGCCGAAGUAACUAGACGUUGUCUUGAACUGAUGCCCGAUAUGAGGCAGUGCUCAAAGUGAAAUGAUGCUCAUCCAGAAGUAGCACACGCUGCUCGGCUGCUCGGCUCGUGGCUUAUGUUGCCUUGGUUGGCUCAGUUUGCUGCGUUUGAAGGUGAGGGAGUCCCUUUUAUAAAAUAAGGGCUUGCUCCUCAAUAAAUGAAUGAUGGGCUAAAGUUGAUGCUCUCUAAUGAUGGUGAGGGAGUCCCUUUUAUAGAAUAAGGGCUCGUUCCUCAAUACAUAAAUGAUGGGCUAGAGUUGAUGCUCGCGGCGAGUCGGUUGCUCAGUAGGCGGCGAUGCCCUCUAAUGGUGGUGAGGGAGUCCCUUUUAUAAAAUAAGGGCUCGUUCCUCAGUACAUGAAUAAUGGGUGCUCUCUAAUGAAAGUGAGGAAGUCCCUUUUAUAGAAUAAGAGCUCGCUCCUCAAUACAUAAGUAAUGGGCUAAGUCCCCCAAGUAUUUUUCAUGAGACCCAAUUGAGGCCCAAUAUAUGGUACAUAAUGUAGUCCCUCAAGUCUUCGGUCAAUAGAGUCUGUUGGCUGGAGACUUCAAAUUGAAUCCAUGUAUGGGCCGAAGUGGCGGUUGUUCGGAAGCGGUAUUUGUAUACCCUGCACUGAAGCUUUGUAGGUGAAGCUUUGCAAGUGAAGCUUUGCAAGUGAAGCAUUGAAGUUAGAGCUCUGUAAAUGAAUCUUUUGAAGCUGUUUGACAUAAGUGAUGCUCAUGAAUGUUUAUGUUGAUUGACAUGAGUGAUGCUCAUGUAUGUUAUCAUAAGUGAUGCUCAUGAAUGUUAAUGUAUGAUUGUCAUGAGUGAUGCUCAUAAAUGUUUAUGUAUGAAUGACAUGAGUAAUGCUCAUGUAUGAUUUGAAGUACUGGGCGUACUUUUGAUCACCUGGUUGGUGGUAUGAAUAGCUAGUUGCCAAAUGAUAUUAGAGUACGGGUUGUACAUUUCAUCACCUGGUUGGUGGCAUGAAUGGCUAGUUACCAAAUGAUAUUAGAGUACGGGUUGUACUUUUCAUCACCUGGUUGGUGGUAAUAGCGACAGGUUGCCGAAUAUUUUUGGAGUACUAGGCGUACUUUUAGUCAUCUGGUUGGUGAUAAUAGCGGCGGGUUGCCGAAUAAUUUUGGAAGUACUGGGCGUACUUUUGAUCACUUGAUUGGAGCUUUUUUGGGUUUAUGGGCCUCCGCCCUCCACAACAUGCCAGCCCAUUAAUUAUGGGCUUUUCUGUUUUUUUUUUUUUUUUUUUUUUUUUUUUACCCUCUGAUGGGUUUAUACAUAUUAUCCUCUGAUGAGGUUUAUACAGAUGUUUCCGAAAGAUAAGGAAAAUUACAUCAUUCAAAAAAAUGAGGAAAGUAAAACACAUCAUUCUGGUGGGGUGUUUAUUCCUUGCUUUUGCAGUGUUUUUCUGCUGCAGUGUCUCUUCAUCUGGCAGACAUAAGGAAUUAUAAUACUAAGAAGAUCUUUUGCUUUUCUUUUUUUCCUUUUCAGCUUUUCCUUUUGCUUUUGUUUCUGUUUCCCACUGCUUUUCUCUUUUCCCUUUUCAUUUCUGCUUUUGAUAUGAAUGUUGACGACAUGAUUAAUGGCACAACUCUUUGGACAGCCUCUUCGACCCUACCCACUUGCUUUUCUUGGUACCUCCACUGCGUAUUGCAGGAAGAUUGUUUUCUGAAAUCAGACGGAACAAGGACUUUGCCACGUUGGUAUGUCGGUGAUCAGCAGCCGUUUGUCCACCAUGACUGCUUAUGCUCAAAGACCGGAGUGUUGACCAGAGCUUGGACCGGCAAGUGUCUUUGCCGAGAGUGUUGACCAAAGUCGUGAAUUAGAAAGCAGACGCAUUGUUACCCUUGAUCUUAAACCAAGCCUCAGCAGCACACUGCUUGUGGGCAGCAGCCAAAUCAGCCUUAUAAGAACAUCCUAGCUCAAUAGGAAUCCCAGAUUCAUGAUUCGUUGCAUCCAAGCUCAGGUGAUAAAUCUUGCAGUCCCUCACCACUUUCGCCACGUUAAUCUUCACCUCCUCCAGAUUUACCUCCGCCGAACUCUCCGACGCAGAUGCUUCCCUCUCCACAAGAGGCGCUACGGCGUCCUGCUUCUCUCUCCACUACAUCAACAACCACAUGGGCUUUGUCUACAGCUGCCAUUUGUAAAAAACCCAAAGAGAGAAUCUUCAUGUAAUGGCUCUAUGCGGCCAAGAUCAUUAAUGCCCACAAAGGUUGAAGAAGCUCUCAACCCAGCAGGAAGUGGGUUUUUUAGACUUUCAACAACUGGGUUCUGUAGCAGUAGGUCAUCCCUCUCUCUCAUCUUUCUCACGGUGAAGGUUAUGAGCUUCGUAGAAAACGUAGAAAAUGGCAGAGCUGUUGGUGGAGUUGACCGGGGGGUAACCUGAUCUGGUGGGGUGGGCUUCUAGAGGGAAGAGAGGGAAGGACGAUGCGGGAGUCGGGUCGAGCCAAGGUGCUCCUGGAGUAGGCGGCGAUGAGGGAGUCGGGUCGGGCCAAGGUGCUCCGGUCCACGAGUUCGUACCAGAGGCGGCACUGCGAGAAACCAUGACGAGAGAUGGACGCGUGGAAGACCGGCGUGGCGAUGGGAGGCUGCGACUGGGCGCCGACGGUCGUUUGAGAGUUGAAGAUCGGGAGUGUCGGUGGGGCAUCCAUUGUUGGCUGUGAGGGGCAUGACGAUCAAUGAGUCCCUUGAAGGCACAAACUUCACUCUCCCUCUGUACUAUCCUAUAGAAGUUGUUUGAUGAUGCCAUCUCAACAGCCUUCUAUAGUUUGAUACAAAUCAAGCUGCUUUUGUCUCUGUCGUUUUUUAUUUUUAUUUUUUCAACCCAGAGAGAUGGGCUUUUCUGGUUUCCUGGGUUUUUUUUUUCUGGGAAAGCUUUGGGUUGUUGAGUUUUUGCAGAUUCAAGGUGGGGAUUGUGGUGAGGUUUCACGGUGGUGAGAUGAAAAAAUGAAAGAUAACCGACAUAGCUUUUCGUGUCGAUUCCCACAGACGGCGCCAAAUGUUGAUGCACAAAACCGGGGCAGUCUUGGAACAACGUAAAUCCGACCGUGAAUCUGCACAAACGCUCAAGAACACGAAGAACACAAAGAACACAAGGAUUUUAUCGUGGUUCACCCCAAUGUUUGGGCUACGUCCACACUGUAGUUGAUUCUGUUUCUCUGUAAUUGUAUGGAUACAAGUGUUUGAGGGGAAGUCCCCCAGAGAGAGAAGAGAAGGGAGAUGAGAGCCUCGGUGGUGUGAGGACUCUCUCAAGGCUUCUAGCCUUUGUUUUCAGCUCUAGCCCCUAGAAAUGAGGACUUAAGACCUUUUUUAGAAUGAGGGGGAGUCCCCUUUUAUAGAAUAAGGGGCUCCUCCUCUUUUACAUUUGUCGUGGGCUUAAUGUGUGAGGCCCAAAUACGAAGCCCAAGGCCCAAAUACGAGGCCCAAAUAUAUGGUACCAACAAGCUGGAUGGAUGAAGUGGAAGAUUGCAUCCGGCGUGUUGUGUGACCGUCGUAAGAUCUAUCUUGCAAAAAAACGGAGAAUUAGAUGGAGACCUCAACCAUAGAAUACAAGCUAGAUGGAUGAAGUGGAAGAGUGCAUCCGUCGUGUUGUGUGACUGUCGUAUGCCACUGAAACUCAAGGGAAAAUUUUAUAGGACGACAAUAAGGUUGACGAUGCUGUAUGACAAAAAAUGUUGGACGGUGAAACAUCAACACGUAUAUAAAAUGAAUGUAGCGGAAAUGAGGAUGAUUCGUUGGAUGUGUGGGCACACAAGAAAAUAUAAGAUUAAGAAUGAGGAUAUCUGAGGUAAAGUAAAAGUAGCCGAAAUUGAAGGAAAUAUGAGAGAAAAUCGGUUACGGUGGUUUGGACAUGUGUAAUGAAGGCCUAUUGACACUCCAAUUAGAAGAUGUGACUACGAGAUAAAGGUCCAGGGCCGAAGGGGUAGAGGAAGACCUAAUAAGACUUUGGAAGAGACUCUAAGAAAAGACUUAGAGUACUUGGAUCUAACGGAAGAUAUGACACAGAACCGAGCACAAUGACAUUCUAGGAUUCAUAUAGCCAACUCCACUUAGUGGAAAAAGGCUUUGUUAUUGUUGUUAUUGUUGAAUAAGUAAAAUUCAUGUUAUUCUUCUUAUUAUUAAUUACUUAGAAUUUGAACAAAAAAUAAAUUCAUUUGAUAAAAAAUAUUAACAACGGAUUUUUUUUAUGUAACAUCCCACAUCGCCCAAGGAAGUGGAUCUUGUAAGCCUUAGAUGUAUAUUCUCAUCUCUACCUAUCACGAGGCCUUUUGGGAGCUCACUGGCUUCGGGUUCCAUCAGAACUCCAAAGUUAAGCGAGUUCGCGAGAGAACAAUCCCAUGAUGGGCGACCCACUGAGAAGUUAUCGUGUGAGUUCCCAGAAACAAAACCAUGAGGGCGUGGUUGGGGCCUAAAGCCGACAAUAUCGUGCUACGGCGGAGUCGAGCCCGGGGAUGUGGUGGGGGCCCGGGCCGGGAUGUGACAUUUUAUUUAUUAAAUUUAAUCAAUGAAUUGGUUGUAAAUAUAUUAGAUUAAAUAAUAUAUAUUAAAAUUUGUUAUUAAUCAGUUUUUUAGUCCGAUGCUGUACUAAACGCUUCAUUAAGUUCGUCUAACUUACUUUAGUGCCAGUCCAGCUUAGUCCCUGAAACUAAUUUAGUUUGAAAUAGUCCGGUGCAACAAGCGCACCCUUAGAUUAUAUCGUAAAUUGCAAAAUCAUUAUGUUACCUAUAUAUAAUCACUAACUAAUCCGUUAGGUAACCUUUUAUUACAUAUGAAAACUAAUCAUGAUAUUCAACUUAAUUCAAAUAAUAAAUAACUGGUAAUUUUGGUGGAAUUUGGUUUUAAACCGAAUUUGACCUUUUUUUUCCUCAUAUAUUUUUUGGUGCGAGUUUUUAAUUUAUUUUAAAACUUAUAGUCACAAGUACUACAAUUUAAUGACAUUUUUUUUCACUAUCAACAAGAAGUCUUGUAUUUGACUCUUCCAAAUAGCAAACUCCGGAUCGAAUCAUUAAACGAUUUCAUUACGAACCUUAAACCAACCUCCUUCCUUAAAAGAUAUUGUUACAUACAAAAUAAAGUAAAAUAUUCUGACAUGUGAGUAAAGCCCAGCCCAACCCAAAUCCAAGAUCCUCCCAUAAACCAUGAGCCCAUAUCACCAAAGGUAUAUUUAAAUAAAAAAGUAAAAAGAAAAUAAAAUAAUUUUACUGCUGAGUUGCUUUUGAGUUUGGAAGUUAGAAGCGUUGAGUCCCUUUCGUCUUCGUCUGCAGCUGCUGAGCGGUCUCCAUCUUCUUCCAUUUGGAUCAGUCCACGAAACCCACCAACAAAAUCCUCAGCUUCCAAUUCCAUUCCGAACUUCUUCGAUUACCCACUUCCCGAUUUUUAUUAAAGUAAGUUCCUUUACUUUUUUUUCACUCUCUGCCACUCUUUCAACUCCAAUUUUUUCCUUUAAUUUUUUUAUUCAAUGAUUAUAACGAAUCUGUGCAAUCCGAUAUCUUUGUCUCUUUAAAUGGCAGUAAAUACUGGCCUUUCCUUGCAAAUGUUUUGAAUUUUCUCGAGAAAAUUAGCUCAUGCAAAGCAUUGCUUGGUGAGAAAAAGUGGGGAAGGGAGAAACUUAUAUCUCAGAUCUCUUGUGAUUUCGUACACUUGAAAAAAUUAUAUACCACCAUUGAACUGAGCAUUCCGUAGAUGUGUGCGGCUGUGAGAGCUUAUGCUUAUCUGGAUUGUUUUGGGUUUUAUUUAUCUAUCUGCAUUUUUGUUCUUGAUGUUAAAUAUUGGGUUGUUGGUCCAAUUUCAUGAAGGAUUUGUGUUUUGAGUUUAAGUAGUAUUUUUUCGGGUUUCUAUGACAAAAAUUCGGCGCGAUAAAUGAUCCAAGUUUUAAAAAAGUUAAAACUUCAUGAUGUUGUUCAAAGAUCAGGGCGGUUUGCUUGAAACUGCAUGUUGAUAGCUUGAUUAGUAAAAGUAAUGCGUGGGUGGAUUUAUUUAGUGUGUAUUAGAUUUUUUUUUCCAUGACAAAUUACGCAAGUAAUCUGCCUGAAAUAAAAGUUUAUGGAUUCUGUUACAUGUUAUAUGACAGUAGAUUUGGAAAAGGAAGCUGAGGCAGAAGUAGACAGUGCUGUGGAGAUGGAUGUAGGUACUUUGGGAGGUCUGGUUCCGGAACCUUAUGUGGGUAUGGAAUUUGAUUCCGAAGAUGCUGCCAGGAAAUUCUAUACUGACUAUGCCAGACAGGUCGGGUUUGUUGUCCGUGUUAUGCAGCGUCGUCGAUCAGGAAUUGAUGGGAGAACUCUUGCCCGUCGGCUUGGGUGUAACAAACAAGGGUUUUCUCCUAACCAGCCGGGAAAAUUUGGACCUGAGAAAAAGCCUAGACCUAGUGCACGAGAAGGUUGUAAGGCAACAAUCUUGGUGAAGAUGGAAAAAUCUGGAAAAUGGGUUGUUACAAGAUUUGUAAAGGAUCAUAAUCAUCCUCUGGUCGUUACUGCCAAUGGUUUUAGCACAGAGGUGAGCAUCCUUAUAUUAUUUAACUUCAGUAUUAAUAUUCUCCCUUUUCAAAUGUUUUUCGAGGUCGUUGUUUUUUGCUUGAUUAUCCCACUUGUUUCUUGUUUUUUGCUUGAUUAUAUCCCACUUGUUUCUCUCCCAUAUAAAUCAUUUAGUGAUCUUUCAAAACUAACUCUGCCUAUCGUCUUUCCAAAUCGUUUACAAUAGUUAAAUUUCUUUGCCCUUUGUUUUCUUUCACACGUUAGAACUUACUCGGCAAACUUAUGUUGUGUAAGGGUAAAGAAACAAGAGAUAGAUAUGCAUGGUAGAUCUACUCCAGUAAUAACUUUAAUGAGCUAUCUAUGAUUUCGUCAUGGUCCCUACAUGAAGCAUCAUGGUGGGUCUUAGGGCAUGGUAAGGUUCUUUGAUGACAUGCAUGAAAGCAUGUUUCCCGAUAUCUCACCAGUUGUUGAAUGAACCACCGACGAAAAAAAUUUCAAGCAGAAUAAGGAAGGGUGAGUUUGGAAUAAGUAAGCAGGGGAAGACUUUCGAAUUUGUUCAUGAAUCAACCUUAGAAUUCUAUGAUAGCGAUCUUUUGAGUUUAUGUUUACUAUUUUUAAUAGGUCUCAAUACUUUUGACUCAGUUCAGUUUCCGCAGUUGACUAAUUUGCUUGUUGAUGAUUGCAGGGUGAUAAGGAUCGGAAAAUUGAGGAACUUACACUGGAGUUGGAGCAUCAGGAUCAACGAUGUGCAGCUUAUCGAGAAAAAUUACUAAGCUUCAUGCACAAUGUUGAGGCGGAAACAGAAGAACUGUCUGGAAAGAUACAAGUUAUUGUCGAAAAUGUGAGAAAAGUUGAAUCUGAAAUGCAAAAACAUUCCUUUCGUAGAUAGCAUUGGAGAUUAAAACUAGGAUUUUCAGUGAAUUACUCACCAUUCAGCUCCAUCAUCCAAUAAUGUACAGUGUUAAUUACAAUUAAUUUCUUCCAUCACAAAUAGAGAAGUUCUUUUAUUCUACGGUUCAAUGAAAAUCCAACAUUCUUCUACAAACUUUCAUUGUUUGUUUCGUUCGAUUAAAUGAAAUGUUCAUGCCACUUUGAUCUGCUUCUUGUCUUGCACGCUGCCCUGAAAAUUAGAAUGCGAGGCAUUCUUAUAUCAGACUUUAGCAGUAUAUGAUCAUAGUUGUGCAGUAUCUGCAGUAAGAGGGGUCCAAAAAUACCUGGACUGAAUUUUUAUGGUUCAAGUCUUCAAGACAUUUCUGCUGUACAGUAUGUUAGUCUGUCAGAAUACUCUCCAGGAGAACAUCAGUCGAAUCCUCAUGCACCUAGUCUGCACAGAGCCAUAAUUCUGUCUCUAAUUGUGGCCUGAUUGACUUUGUGGAAGCCCUUGAACUUCAGUCACCGUUUGAUUUGGAGGAAGCCGUCGAACUUUAGCCUCCAUUUGAUUUUGUGGAAGCCCUUCAACGUCAGUCUCAAAUUCUCUUACAUGGUUAACGACUCCUCUAACUUUCGUUGCUAUCAGUUCCGUCUCCGCCUCAACAUUAUUCAGCAAUGUAAGUAGUGGCUCAUGGUAUUGUCCACAUAAUUGCUCUUCACGCCCCAGGUCCAUAGUGAGUUCCGCAAUCUUCAUAUCCUUUGCGUCCUGCGAAUGUUUAUUUGAAAGAAAAUCAGACUCAGAGGUUGCAGGUAAUGCACUUCUGCAACCAUGUAACGAUGCACACUUUCAGAUCCUUUGUCAAACCAUAUUUCCUAAUAAUGAAACAACCUAAAUAAAAGACUCUUCGUCUUAAAAGAAAAGGAAAAUACUCCCAUCCUGACUAAUAUGAUCCAAUUCUCUGGAACAUUAGAAAACAAAACGCAUGUAACUCCAUUGCAUGGAAACCCGGAAAGUCUUCAUUCGUAGAUAAGCUAAUCAAUUACAUUAGAUGGAAACCUUGCUAGUUAUAGCAGGGAUGAAGAAUCUAAAGCACCUUAGACCUACCUUAGACCUGAUAAAAAAGUACAUAAACCACGGUUUUGAAAUCAAAGUUCAAUCAAUCAUGUUUCUCCUCAUGCUUUAGAAGUUCAAUAAGAAGAGUAACAGGCUUAAAUUGCAAUUCCAUUAAUCAAGAAUCACAUCAAGAUUCGAGCAAUGGUUACUUUUUUCUUGAAUUUAGAUUAGAUGAACUUACCAUAGAAUUCCCGGAAGAAACUAUAAGUGGAUGAGCAUGGUCCUUAACAACUCUUGUAACAACCCAUUUUCCAGACUCAUCAAGUUUGACUAGCAUCAUUGCUUUACAACAUUCUCUUCUCAUAGGUCGUGGUCUUCAAACUGACAGGACUCGGUCUCUAGCUUUUACAGAACGCCCUCCUUGCUUAUUGCAGGAUAGCCUACGGGAAAGAACUCUCUUGUCAACAUCUGAUCGCCGACACUGAUCUAUACACAUGAUGAACCCAACUCGCCUUGAAUAAUCUUCGUAAAAAACCUCGGCAGCAUCUUCAGACUCAAAUUCCUACCGAUAUGUGGUUCUACAACUGCAUUCAAGUCCCUUUCGGCUGAAGUUUCUGUCCAAUCCAACUUCACAACCACACAUCACAUUGUAUUACAUUCGAGAAACAUAAUAACACCACUCCCCCCCCCCCCCCCCCCCCCAAACAUCACAUUCUGCUGAGUUUCCUCCUACCUUGAAGCCUUUAAGAUUUUAUAUGCUUUUGUUGAACACCAAAGUUUCUUCCUCAUGAAUCACAGUUACAACUAUAUCCUUGAAGUAAAAAACAAUAUUUUGAGUAAUUAAACACUGGAAUUACAGAUAUGGAAGCGAAUAUAGCAACGAGAGACACAAGUCGAUGUAGAUAGAGUUGAAGAUACAGUAAGAUACUUAAUAUAAGAGAAGUUGAGGAUUGAGGACAUUUUAAUCUUAAUUUAUGAGAGUAACUCUUGCUCAAUUUUGGGAGGAAUAAGCCUUGAAAUCAAAUAUUACUUUAACUAGAAAUCACAAGUAUCUAAUUAGCAGGAGACUAAAAAAAGUGCAAGUAUCUAACCAUCGAAUUGUGAUCAUAAGCAAUUUACAAGUGUCUCAUCUUCUUUUUUUCUUUAAAAGUGAAGCAGCACGCAGAAAUACUCGAUCAACUUCAUCAAAAUUCGGCAAGCCAGCAUCUUCGUCCAAGGAUUUAUCCUUCUUUGCGUCCCUAGAUAUUUGACGCAGGUGAUCCUCAAAAUCUUCAGGUUCGCCAUCACCUUCAACUGGAAACUUUUCAAACUCUUCCAAAUACAGAGGUCGCUCUGCCUUCUUCUCGGUCUCCUUCUCAGAGUCAGUAUCAAAAAUAUCAGAUAAAUCUUCAGAGUCUGAAGCUAUAUCCACAUCUGUUGAAAGGUCAUCCUCAGAGCGUUCCUUGCUCCUAUCCAUCAUUUCUUUUACCUUAUUUGAAGCCUCCAGCUUCAACUUUGAGGAGCUACCAGAGUGUGCACUAUCAGUAGAUUCAGUACCAGUUUCUUGCGUUUCUUCAAUGUACUCUGUAUUGAUGUCUACUUUCCUUUUAGCCUGUGCUCGAAGCAACUCAAGAUCUUGUUCAAGUUUUGGAAUAUAUUUCCUUACAGCUCGAAGACCAUCCUUAUACUUCGAUUUAUCCAAAGCCUGUAUGGAGGAGCAGAGAACAUAAGGGAAAACACGAAAACAAAUAAUGACAGACAGUGCUUCAGUAUAUGAUCAGGGAACCUAGUUUUAAUUUCAACACCUGUCAAAAGUCUAACCGUGUUGUCGAACAUAUACGUGCAUAUCAUUGUAUAUUUGUGUUUUAUUUACUGAUGGAUCUUUUAAACGAACAUUAUAUAAGGAAAACUUGUUAGUUUUCCGGUCAUGAGGAAGCAAGCAAGGGACUUGAUUGUCAUGUUAUCAGGAAUUGAUUUAAAAUGUUUAUCAGAAAAGAGCAACGAGGCGCUUACAGUAUCAAAAUUAAUUUCAAAUAUGGAGUCAAAAAGCACUCGGCUUGCGCUUGACAUGCAGUGUUCUAGUGGAGACAGUUAAAAGUCUAAUUUCUCAGAAAGAUCUAAUUUUAGAAAAAAAUAGACGAUAAGCGAACCUUCUUCCUGGAGAGAGUGACCCUAGGUGACAUGAUUUCUGUUGGAGGCUGAGAAUAGUUCUUCCCUCUAUACAUAAUUAUCGUGUAUUCUUCAUGAAUGCCGAGCACAAUCCCUCCGGUUAAUCUAGCCAGCUCAGAAGCAAUCUCCUUAACCUCUUCAGGUGAGAAUGUUUUCACCACCACCUGCAGAGUUUGAUGUUUCUUCCAAUGCAAGUGCAUGUUCAGAAUCACACCCUGGUAUAUCCCCCGUCUACCAACGGGCACAUAGUUCUUGCACUUGAGACCCAUCUUCAGAAAGUAGAAGUGUUCCUCCGGCGUCAAUAUUUCUGGAUCAUGGUUUGUCUCCGAUGGCUCCGAGGGCUCAAUCUUUUUGAGAGCUUCAACAAGCCUUUCCUCUUUCCUUUGAGCCUGCAAAAACAGAAAUCACAUAUUUUCAUCAGUCUCUAAACAUUUCGCAGAAUCGUGCUACCUUUUUCAUGCAAACAUCAGUUGAGAGAUGUGCUGAAAACUCCAAAAUUGCCAGAUAACUUGUACGAAAUCAAAACCCAAUACAACUCUUAACGUACAGAUUAUUUUACCUUUCUUAACUUGUGGAGAAUUUUCUCCUCAGCAGUCAUUCUCUCAUAGUCUUUCUUCUUCUUAUACCUGAAGAACUUGAGCCACCUAACCACUGCCCUUUUUCCCUUGAGCUUUUUCCUCUUCACUUUACCAUCACCAGUGGCCUCAGCACCCGCGCCGUCUUUUGAAUUUUCCAACGGCUCCACAGCCUUGUGUUCUGUGUUAACACACGGAGCCGAAUGAACCCAUUUUUGGCACUCCAACGGAAACCUUGCAAUGCCCACCACGUCCCACACAGGCUUUUCAUCGAACACCUUGCAUACAACAUCACCCAAGCUACUGCAUUUUGAGGUCCAAACAUGAAAUGCUAUACAUUUCAAUGCAAUUAUCACAGAAAAUUCACUACUUUUUGGGAUUUGGAGAAAGAGGGUACCUGGGUCGGUAUAUUUUGGGGUGGUUGUGGGAUUUGAGAAGGCGCAGUGACCGGAAAACGCUCGGCCGCGCCAGUUUCUGCAUUGGGGCUGAGCUGCGGUAGGAAAUAGCAAUCCUCUGUUUGGAGGAUCCGAAAGAAGGCGAGUUAGGCCAUCUGGAAUUCCAAGUUCUCAAAAUCCAACGUUUGGGAGCUCGGUAGUGGUAGGGUUCAACUGAAUUUCUUCCAAUGUGUUUUCUGGCGUGUUGCCAUUAACCCCAAUUGGGACGACGAGAACCAGCAGCGUAUGCACCAAAACGCCGUCGUAUUUAUGUUGGGGUGGUUGUUCUGUAAGUUGUGAUUUUACCAGGGUUAUUUUUUAAGAAAACUAAUGAAAAGUUUUUAAAAAUGUUAGUUUUAAUGAAAAUAACAAAAUAAAGAUAUAAAUGAAUAGUAUCAGGAGUGACUUUUUAAGGUAAAAAUGUUCUUAACGUUAAAAGUGAACAAUACCGAAAGUGUUUUAUUAAGAUUCUCUUUUUUUUUUAAUGGAAAGUGAUUUUUUGCACACAUUCAUUUUAACGUUUUACUUAAAUUUUUUAAUUUAUAAAUUGAAUAAAUCAAGUGAAAAUAAUAAUCAAAAUUAAACAGCGGAAUAAGAAGCUGAACGGGUGUUUGUUUAUUAUAUCCCUCUCCACAUUUGUAAUAGUUACUUUUAUUUACCUAUUGUCUUGAGGGAAAAAAAUAAUACCAUUGCAUUUUUUUUCCUCCAUCAUGGAAAUCUUAGUUUGGGCUUCUUUAUGCGACAACACAUCACAGACAAGUGUUCAACUUAAAUUUAAUCGUUUGAAAUGAAAUGUCACAUAACAUAAGUUAACUUGACGGUUUAUCAUACCAUUUCCAUCAAUUAGCAACCAAUACCAUAAGCACACAUGACUUGGUAAUGUCAUGAGACAUGAAAUAAUUCACUUUAAUCGUGUUGGACUUCCAAAUUUACUUAUUUUCUUGGCUAAAGAAGAGCUACCAAAAACAUCUACAUACAUCAUCUCUCAUAUAUACCCCAACUCCUAGAGAUCAAAAUUGAUGAAGGAUUGAGCGAGAGAAAAUGGUCAUGAAACAAUCUAGGAGAACAUAGAGAAUGUCCUAAAUCUACAAGAAUAUCACCCACAACCUCAACCGCAACAUAUUUGCUUUCCAACACACAUGUUCAAUGUCAACUUCGUAACAGAUUCGACCUAAAAUGUCUCAAAUAAUCGAGUAACAAAAACCUUUUAUGACCUACUUUCUUUUCGAAAAUUUAAGACAAACCCUGAAUGUGUACAAUCACCGUGCACACAUAUAUACUCUCAAAUAAAGAGAGAGAGAGAGAGAGAGAGAGAGAGAGAGAGAGAGAGAGAGAGAGAGAGAGAGAGAGAGAGAGAGAGAGAGAGAGAGAUGUCCCUCCCUAAGGAAAUUUUAUGUCUCUAAAUAUGCGAAAAUGUUAUUGGAGUACACCAGUGUAUGACAUGCAUUUGAUGAACAUGUGUGCAUACUAGAAAAAACUCCUAAAUAGGAUUAUUGAAAAUAAAUGUGACAAGAAGAUAAUGUUAGGUUUAGAGGGUUCGAGAUAGCAAAGUAUUUAACUCCGUGGUAUAAAGUUUAGUGCAAGUGAUGGAUAGGGUUCAAAUCAUUGUGUCCUGAGUUCAAACCCUCCACCUCCCUUUAAUUUAGAUGAAUUUAGUAUAAAGUACCUAUUGUUUGUCCAAAAAAUAAAUGGCAUAAAGUUAGUAAUUUAGGGUAAAAUAUUUUUAUGAAGACUUGAGAAUCUUGUUUGGCUCAUGAACUUGAAGUCGUCUCUCAUGAUCUCAUUUUGGAUGGAUUUUUUAAGAGCAAACGAUGAAAGCUAGAUAAAAUAUAGAAAAAGCUAGCAUGAGUGUGAUUUCAACCAGCUAGAUGUGAGAUACAUUGAACUUUAUCUCCAUGUGAUGCAUGCAACCCACAUCGAGAUCAAAUGAAACAGUUUAUUUAGUGAUUACUAUAUGUAUAUAUUUGCUCUUUAGUCUUUGAUUAUAUGAAUAAAAAUUGAUCUAGGGAGGUUAGUUGCAAAUUCUAAGGUCUUAUAUGCAAAUUGCUUAAGAUCGAUCGAUCUUAUCAUCAAUCUGAAUUGAUAUACGAACAAAUUAAGUCUGGUUUAGCGGUUCAAUUUUCUUUUGGUGGAGAAUACGGCUAAGGCUGUUGUUUCCUUUGUGGCCGAAAAGCUUGGUGACUUCAUAAUUAAGGAGGCAAGUUUCUGUGAGGAGUUGGCGAUCAAGUUAAGCUUGCACAAACCGAGCUAAAAAUGAUGCAGGGCUUGUUGAAGGAUGCAGAUGCAAGACAAAGAGAUAAAGAAGUAAUACGUGUUUUGGUUGCUGAAAUUAGAGAUGCUGCUUAUGAUUUGGAGGAUGUCAGUGAAAACUUUGCCUUGAAGGUGACUUCCAAGUUCCAAGAGGAAAGGAGGAGGUGUUAAGAGUUUUAUGAAAAGGUUCCGUUCCAUCUUGAUUGAAGGAGUCAAUCUUCAUGAGAUAGGGUCAGAAAUUGGGAACAUUACAACCAAAAUCUCUCAUUUGAGGUUGAGUAGUUUGCAGGCUCACAACAUAAGGGACAUAAGGGAGAGCAGCGGUUACACGUUAAUGAGAGGAAGCAACAACUAAGGCGAACCUAGAAUGUGAUGUUGUCGGGUUAGAGAAGAGUGUCAAGGAGUUGGUUAUGCAAUUGGUAAGAGAUAAACAUCACCGCCUCCGAGUUGUUUCUAUAUGGGGGAUGGGUGGCUUGGGCAAGUCCACUCUUGCGAAACAGAUUUACCAUCAUAACGAAGUCAGACGCAGUUUUAACUCUUUUGCUUGGGGUGUGUAUAUCUAAACAGUUUCAAGUGAGAAAUGUUUGGCAAGAAAUUUUAACGAAACUCAUUUCUGCUACCUGUGAGCAAAGAAAAGAAAUCGCUCAAAUGAGUGAUGCUGAAAUAGCCAAGAAACUUUGUCUUCUCCCGAUCAAUAAAAGAUGUUUGGUGGUUCUUGAUGAUAUUUGCGGUAUUGAGGCAUGGGACUCCUUGAAAGCUGCACUUCCAUACGAGGAAACAAAGAGCAGAAUAUUACUCACCACACGUAGAGAAGCAGUAGCGUCGCAUGCUGAUCCAAGUGGUAUCCUCUACCAACCCCUCCCACUAUAAAUGAGAAAGAGAGCUGGAAAUUGUUCGAAAAGACAGCACUUCUUAGAAGGGAUUAUAUGGGUAUUUUCUCAAUAACUCUUUUAUCUUUACUUUUCUUGUUUGAAUAUUGACUAACGAUUAACAAAACAAUAACAGACUUGAUCGCUUUGAGCUUUUUUUUUUUGUUAGAUAUGAAUGUGGUCACGUCAAUAAAAAAAUGGAUGGAAAGAAAAACUUACGUUUUACUUUUAGGCAUUGAAACGAAUGUUUUCGACUGUGUCAACUUUGCAUGUCUAAAUAGCAUUACUCUUUUCUCUUAGUUAUAAGUGCUUUCGAAAUGGUUUGAACGGUAGCCUUUAUAAUGGGAAGCGCUGUUAAUUUGGUGUUUUUCUUUCAGACUCGAAAUUUUCAAUAAGCUCUUCAACGGUGUGCAGGUUUGCCAUUAGCCAUCAAUAUUCUUCUUACAGGACUUCUAGCUACAAAGAAUAAGAAUGUUUAUGCAAACAUAAGGAGAAGCAAAGGCCAAGAACAAGCGUACACAGGUGCAACGUGGCUGUUAGCAUUGAGUUAUGACGACUUUCCGUAUCAUUUAAAGCCAUGCUGGCUUUCUUUAUUUAGGUCAGUGUCCUGAGGAUUAUGAGAUUCCAGUGAAUAAGUUGGCUAACCUAUGGACACCAGAAGGUUUUAUUUCUUUGGCCCAACAUAGACAAAGUUCAGUCGAAACCAUGGAAGGUAUAGCAUAUAACUGCUUAACUGAGUUGGUCGAAAGGUGUGUGGCUGAAGUUGGGGAACGGGGUUCGGUUAGGAAGAUAAAAACCUGCCGUAUCCAUGAUCUUAUGCGAGACAUGUGCUUGUUGAAGGCAGAAGAGGAGCAUUUCCUCCAAAUCGCCAAUUUUAUGGCUAGAAACAAGGUAAUUGGUAAAGUUCAAGGAGUUGCUAUAUUCUUGGACGAGAAGGUUGAAAAAUUGGUUCCAUCAAAAGAUGAAGGAGAUGUCCACCUUAGAUCGCUCUCAUACUUUGGCUCAAUUCGUUGGAUCGCAGGAAGUAAAAAGUUACUACGAUCAAUGUUCAAAGAUUUCAAAGAUAUCGAAAAGAUACCGAUCAAAGAAAUGAAAGAGUUUGCAUUCUUUUGAAAUAAAAAUGAAAUUAUACAAGAGAGAGAGGCCUCUAAACCUCUAAACAACAAGGCUGCUCUUCUUUUGUAUCUCCUUCUCUAUUGAAAAAAAAAAAACAACAACAACGUGAUGAUUUUCGUACACCCCAUGCAUUCCCCUCCUGCACCCCUUGUAUUUCUAGCCCUUCGAUCGAAUAAACUCGAAGGCAAAUAAGGGUACACAAAUAAUGGGAGGAGUGUAGAAGGAGAGAAUGGAAAAUCGAAAAUCACUACCAUGAAAAAUAAUGCUUCUGCUAGCUAAUUUGAGCUUAAAGCAGCAAACCCACCACCUUUCAUCAUCUGCUUAAACUCCUUGAAAUUCACCCUCCCAUCACCAUCACCAUCAACCUUCUUUAUCAUGAUCUUGCAAUCCUCCAAUGUCCUUCCUUGCUUCAGCCCCAAGGAAGAUAAAACCGACUGCAGCUCGUCCACCGUGAUGAAUCCGUCUCCGUUCCGAUCAAACACAUUGAACGCCUCCCUCAUGUCCUCCUCCUCGUCCCUCUCGCCUAUGAUCGUCUGGUACAACGCCCCGAAUUCAUCAAUGUCCACGAACCCAUCUCCAUUGACAUCGAUUUUUUCAAUCAUCUGGAUCAAGUCUUUGUCCGGAAUGUAAAUCCCCAGCUUCUCCAACGAGUCCCUCAGCUCCUUCUUCGUGAUCCGCCCGUCCCCGUUCUGAUCAAACAUCUGGAAAACCCGCCGUACCUCCGCCCUGUCCAUUAAAAUUGCUAAAAAAAAUAAUGAAUCACCACCAAAUAGUACGAUUCAAAAUUCGAUCGGGAUAUUGAGGAACCAGCAAAAAAAAAACCCAAAUGGUAAGAAAGAUUUCAAUUCUUGGAAGAAGUGAGGAAUGGAGGGUAGAAAAUAUGGGAAAAAACCCUGAGGAAAAAAAUGGUUGGGAAACUUGGUUAGUACCGAACUGAGAAUUUGUGGUGGGAGUUGUACGGAGUUGUUACAAGGAAAAAGGAGGUGAAAAAUCGAUUAGGGUCAAACGUUUGUACGUUGAUGAUUGAUUGGCUUAAAAUUUUGGUUUUUAACGUUGUCAGUUGAAAAACGCGGGUAUUGGUUUGAAGUCGUUUGGAAUGAAACCCGCCGUUUUUGCGGCGCUGCGUCUAUAAUUGUGGCGCCGUAUUUUCUCGAAUUAAGACUUGAUUUUAGGGUUUUUUUUUAAAAAAAUUUUACGAAAAGAUUUCGCUAUUGUUUAUUUUAAUAAAAAAAUCAUAUUUUUACUUUAAAAAGUCAAUCAUUGUAUUAUUCAUUUACAACACAUUUUUGUCAUUUUCAUUAAAACUUAAAAUUUAUAAACCCUUUUCAUUAUUAUUUUUUUUUAUAUUUUUUUUAUGAUUCAAUUUCAAAGGUUGCAUUUUUGUUUGAACACAAGUUUUGUGCAGAUCGUAAGUUUGCGCAUGCCCAAAAUAUAGAAUGGAGUUUUGGGUAAUUAUCAAAGCUAGCUUGGUUUUUUAUGGUGAAAUUGAACUAUCAUUCAAUUAUCAUACUCAGUAACAAGGACGUGAGUUAAGCUAGUUUGCAAUGAUAAAAAAAAAUGAGGUUUGAAUUCGUUUGGAAGUCAUUUUAAAAUAAUCAAAAUUGUUUAAAAAAAUAUAUUUAUAGGGUUCCAAAAACACUUAGGGGGUGUAUUCAAUUGGGAUUUUGAGGGAUUUUAAUUAUUUUAAUGAAUCCAGCAGUAUUCAAUCAGGAUUUUAAGUGAUUCUUUGAAAUUUAAUGUGUAUUUAAUCAGGAUUUUAAGAUAGUUUAUUAAAAUCCUUAGAAAUCCAGAUGUAUUCAAUUAGAAUUUUAAAGAAGUUUGUAACAUUUCAGGUGUAUUAAAUUAGAAUUAGAAUUUAAAAAAUUUAGAAAAGUUGCGGAAUUAAAGGGGAAUUGAAGAGAUUUUGUAGUGUAUUUUAAUCAUUCACAAAUCUCAUCUCUUCCCAUGAGAUUUCCAGUGAAUUGAAUCAAAAUUUUACAUAGAAUCUCUACAAAUCAGUUAAACUCUAUAAAAAUUCAUGAAUUUAUAAAUCAAUUAAAAUCUCUUAAAUUCCCAAUUGAGUACACCUCUUAAAGAUAUUUGUGCAAGAAGCACUAGUACCAGUUAUGUGAUUUCGGUAGAGAGCACUUAAAUAUCUUUUCAAAAUUCAAAUGAACCCAUAAAGUAAAGUAGUUGUCCGGAUGCAUCCAAAUUCAAAUAUAAAGUGAUUUAUAAACACCCUUUUUCUGCAAAGAACGGGCAAAUUUAAUUCAUUUGAAUUAAUAUUAUUAUUAUUUUGAGUGAAACAAUAGCGUAAGUUAAAUAUUAGAUUAACUACUGACGAAAUUUGAACCCACGUCGCCAUGCAAUGGCACAACACAUUUCCACCACUGUAGUAAAAGGUUAAUUCUCCAAGUUUAUUUCAUUUGAAUUAAUUAAAUAGAAGGUUACUUCAUCUGAAUUGAAAAUAAAAAGUAAACAACACAACCGAGGGGAGGGUGUCUAAAGAUUAUUUCUCAUUCAAAUCUUCCAUCCCCAAUUAGCUAUUGUUUAUAUAACAUAAAACCUACGGUUAAGAGUCUAAUUAUGUUCAACUCCGUUUUAUUCUGAUCAUAUUAAGAUUUCUUUAUUUUUUUUAGCCUUAAUGAGAAACUUCUAGUAAGACUUUAUUUUCAGUCCAAUCUCCAAAGUCUAAGAUCUUUUUAGUCCCACCAUUUUUAGCGUGCAAAGAAUGUGUAAGAAUUUGUUUGUUUUAAUUCCAAAUAGUAGCCCUUAUUUAUUUGUUUUAGAAUCAGAAAGAACGUAGCGAAGAGAUAUUAUUCUGAUCAUUUUAAAUCGAAAGAUCAUCACCCUUUCACAUCUCUUUCAUCAUUUUCUUCAUCAAUCAAAUUCAAUUUACAGAAAAUAUCAAAUUAAAUUUAAGAAAAUAAAAACAAGUGUAAUCCAACCAUGUGCCCACAAAACCAACCAUAGUAAUAGGGAUAAUGGGCGAGUAGUUGGAUUAUCUAGAAAAACUAGAACUCGAUUAAUAUUGCAAACGAAGAAAUUGCCUCAAAACAUCGACUGUUUAGGGACAGAGUGCGUUUGCUUAAUAUAAUUAUUAAUUAUUUAUCAAACUUUAUAAAUUAAAUUGGGGGAAAAUGGAAAAGAAGAAGAUGUGACAGUAGUAAAAGGGCCUGAAGAAUCAGGAGGAAGUCAGAUUCAGGCGAGUGCUACUGCCGAUUUGGAUUUCGCAAGGUUUGUAAUUCAUUUGGCUGAAUCGUUGAUUCGACACCCAGUCAAGAAGCUGAACUUGCUUACCCUUUCAAAAAUUCAAAGCAAAAUUUGAUAAAAUAAAUAGGGAGAUUAAAUCGAAUCAAAACAAUCGAAGAAGCGACGGCGGGGAUUUAUGGAGGAAAGAAAAGGAAUUGGAAUCGGACGGGAGCUGCCGCGGAAGAGAAGAAGAAGAGGAACCCUGCACAGGACGAUAC
rnacentral:lncRNA from 1 species